rnacentral:lncRNA from 1 species
GAGUUCGAGUCCAAAGAAAAAAAUACAUGAAAUUUGUCUUACAUGAAUGGCUAAACAUGACUUUAUUCACAAUAUCAAACAUGCAAAUGCUAUGAAAUUGUAGAGUAAACUAGUUCUUCACUGCAAAGUAAAACUGAAAAAAUAGAGAUCCAACCAGUCGACGACGCCAUAAAACAGAAAGCUCAAACGAUGAUAAGCAUAAUCAAGUAUCAACCACCUAUCAUUGAGGCAAAGAAUGAAUAAGAAUUUAAACAAGAAACUUGAUUAAGGAAAUCAUAACUACAUGGACAGAGGCAGAUUCAAGAUUUUUGUUGGGAAGUGUUCACUUAUAAUAUAUAAAAUACUGACGAUAGAUUUAUCAAUAUUAUCCAUGAAAAUAGUGUUUAAAAGAAAAUUUUGAAUGUUUAUGGAAAAUUUUCUUUUAAAAUUUCUUAUUUUCUAAUUUUUAGGAGUGUCCAAAAAAUGAUUUUGAGGGUAUGCAACACAAAAUUUUUCUUUAAAUUUUUUUGAUUUUCAAUGUACACCCCACAAUGCCAUGUAAAUCCACCACUAGACAUGGAAAAAAGCCAUAUUUACCUGUUUAGCUAACAAGUUUCUCCUGAAAUUUUCACUUCCUUUGGUAACAUUAUCCUUGUUUCUCCCAAAGUCAUAUAUAGAGGUAUUUGAUCUUUCCGAUGGCUAUGAACAAAUUAAUAAUUAUAUAUGCAUUAUUGUUCAAUCAAAUAUAUAUAUAUAUAUAAAAAAGAAAUUAUUAUUAUUUGAUGUUUUAUUUUUGGCUUGGGUUUAUAAGAUUUAAUAGUUUAUGAAUAUUCUAUUAAUAUAAAUGUCUUUUACAAUUUAAUAAAAUGAUUUUUUUUAUAUCCAUAUUAACAUUAUCACAAAAAAUUAUUAAUUUUGACUAUUAAAAGACUGACCCUUGCUUUUUUUAUCAAAAAAUAAAUAAUUAGUAACAAAAUUUUUGGUGUUUAGCAAAUAAAUAAAAAAAUUAAUUUUUUGAUAAAAAAGAAAGGAUUUUUGAAAUUUGGUAAAAAAUUAAACUUAAAACAACAAUAUGUGAAUGCUAUCAUUUAAUCGUAUCUUAAAAUUUAUAAAUGUAUGAUUAUAUAUAGUUGAUUAAUAAAAGUUUAAAUAUUCUUUUAUUAAGGAAAUAUAAAAAAUUAAAGUUAAUUAAAAAAUAAAUUUAAAUUAUGAAAAUAAUAACACGGUUAAAAAAGCUAGUAUAUAUGUAAAACAAAUACCAUUCUCAAGAUUUUAUUAUAAUGUACAAAUUAAAUAUGUUUAAUUGAUUUUCAAAUUCUAUUUAUUUAUUAAGCAAUUGAAAUGUUAUCUAAAUGUUCUCUACAAGUGCCAUGUCAUCAAAGUUUGCCUAUAUGUAUGCAUGCCAGCAGUUUGAAUUCCCAUCCAAAUUGGAUUUCAUUAAAUUAAAAUAGUAGGAUGGCUAAAUUACACACAAUAAUAUUGUAAGGGCUUAAGUGAAAUUUUGAUUACAAUAUGGUUAGAGAGCUUAUUUUAUUAUUUUACCAUUACUUAACAAGGUUUUUUUUUUUUUUUAAAUAACAAACAAGUUUAACUCAGACUUGAAUGAGUUGAACAUAAAAUAUUGUUAAAGAUGAGAGUUCAACAUAAGUCUUGAAUGCUUUAUUUUAAUUUUUCUAAUAUAAAACUUACAUAAGAACCCAUUUUUGAAAAGAGAUUCAAAACAUUGAUUAUUUUAUGAGUAUAGAAAAGAUUUGGGCCAAAGGUAAAAUCUCAAAGCAUAAUGUAAGGAAAGGAGUACAAAAUUACCUUUAGUUGAAGCCCUUUGUGGACUGCUUGUUGAAUAAUGAACUUUGCAAAUCGAGGACAAACCACUAUGGUUAACUUCUCCAAUGAUGGUGGCAGAAUGGCAUUAUCAACUCCAUUAUUUUCUUUUGCCACAUUGAAGACAUAUUGUAGUCUUGGACAACCAUGUAUUUCAAGAGAUGUCAAUUUUGGCAAGGGCGGAGGAUGGAGAAGGCCACUGUCUGAUUCUAUAUUAUCAUCAAUUUCCAACUCUGUGGCAAUGUGUUCCAGUUCAUCGCAGUAUUCUAUCUUGAGUUGUUCUAGCAUCACCAAGCUUUGAACAAGUGAUGGUGAGAAGAGAUAUUUCAAUUUAUUGCAGCGACUAAUUACUGCAACCUUGAGGCUUUGGAAGCAGACAUGAUGGGUUGGCCCUUUCCAUAUCCACUUCAGUUCUGGUAAUGACUUUAGCUUCAAACUUGUUAAAUUUGGCAGCAGUGGAACGGUUGAGACAUGGCCUUGAUCUGCUGUAUCAAUCAAGCAUUCCAGCUCUUUAUCAUCUCUAAGUGUAAGAAAAGUUAAUUCAUUUAGUCCCUGUGGAUCUACGCUUGGAAUGAGAUUUUUGUGAUACAUGAUUCCAUCCAUGGCAAGUAUUCUGACAUCCUGAUAAAUUCACAAUAUAAUGAAAAGUAGCAGCAACAUUAGAAACAUAUAAUUAGAUUUCUUUUAUUAGGAAAGAGAAAGAUUUGAGUUAAAAGAAUAUUUUUAUUCCUCGCUUUUCACUAAAAGUUUGUUACUGUAGAAAUUUAAAUAAUUCAAACUAAGCUGAAUAUAACUAAUGCUUAGAAAGCAUGGAUAGUGACAAAUAAUUAAAGUAUGAUACGACAUGGAUAUGACAAUUAAACAAUUUUUAAAAUGGAAAACACGGGUAUUGUAAAACAUGAUAAUAAAAUAAAUUUUUAUAUAUUUUUUAUACAUAAAUUUUUUAUACGAAUAUAAAUUGAACACAACUAUAAAAUAAUUAAUGGUAUGUGUAAAAGUAAAAUAAAAUAAAUUUAUAAACAAGAUUAAAAUUAUAUAGGAAAAAAUAAUCAAUAUAAUUAUAAUUUUUUUAAUUUAAUUUUUAAUACUAAUAAAUUAUAAAAUUUUAAACUUUUUAAAUAGUUUCAUUUUUCCUUUUUUUCUUUUCUUUUCUUUUUUUUUUCCUUCUUUUUCUUUUUCUUCCUACAUUUUCUUCUCUCUCUUUUUCAUCCCGUUUCUUCUUUGUUUUUCUUUCAUUUUCCCCUUUUUCCCUUCCCCAAAUCAUACGAUUUAUAAUCUUUAUAAAUUCAAUAAUAGUAAUUAUUGAAUAAUAUUUUUAUUAUGUACAGAAUUAAAAAGAGAAAAAAAUACAAAGAUUUUAUAAAGUGUGUUAAUAGAGAGAAAAAAAUAUGUAGUGCUAGUUUUUCUCAACCUGCAAACCAUGUAAUAAGUAUACAUUUAAUCAACCUUUUUUCUUUUAAACAUCAACAGAAGCUAAUUAUAUAUAAUACUAUAUAAUACUUUUACAUUUAAAUGUGAAUGUACUGAAUUUUGAUGUUUGUGUUAUAAGAUAAAUAAUUCAAUUAAUUAUUACCAAAAUAAACAAAAUUAAAACAAAAUUAUAGUAUAAGAGAAGUACCUUUAAAUUGGCCUGCAACGUCUUAAACUCAGUUAAUUGGGGACAACUGAAAACUUCGAACAUCUUCAAAGAUAAUGACAUGACAAAAUUUUCUGGACAAAAACUACUCAACUUCUCUAAAUUUUUAAGCCUUAAAAAUUGCAAUCUCUGUAGCACAAUGUCUUGUAGUGGACGUCCACCCUUGUCCUUUGUCAUAUUGAAGACCUGCUUUAGUUGAGAACAAUCAGUUAUCUCAACAGAUUCCAAAUAAGGAAGUCCUUGAGCCAAAGUGAUUGGAAACACAUAAUUCAAUCUUCCGCAAUUAAUUAUCUUGAGAGUUCUCAACUUAGGCCAGCGGAAAGGAUAGCCAUCCACGUUUGAAACUAUUUGAUCCUCAUUUUCUGCUUCUCCGAAGAUUACAUGUUCCAAAAAGCCGCAAUCUUUUAUUUCGAGUUCUUCUAGAUGCUCCAAACUUUGAGCAAGGGGAGUCGAAAAGAGAUAUGCCAGUUUCGCACAUUCCCAUAUUCUCAUAGUCUUAAGACUUUGGAGGUUAACAAGAUGGGUGGGCCCUUUCCAUAUCCACUUCAAUUCUGGUAAUGAGGUUAGCUCCAAAGAAGUUAAAUUAGAGAGUGGUCGUACCUGACAUGAAUUCAUUGAUUGAAAAGGUAAAUAAAUAUAGAAAAAGCAUUACGUACAAAGGCAAUAAUAGUAGUUAUUGAAUAAUAUAUUUUUACAUAAAGUGUUGGGAAAAACAACAAUACCCACGCGCAGCAACCACACACAAAAUAACAAGCUCAAAUCAAGAAUAAGAAAACACAAAUAUAUUUGGUUCAGCCCAACUCAAAAUGGCCUACUCCAAAUCUAAUCCACUAUCAAAUAAAUCUUUACAAUUGUGAGACUUUUAGAAUGAGAAAAGUCUCCUAAAACUCCUUACUCAAAACUUAACCCAAAACCCAAUUACACCCUUUAAUAGCCUACUCACUUAGCUAUUCUCUUGGUGUCUAACUCUCUGAGGUUACUAAACUAAAACCAAAACAUCUUAUUUAUAGGGGUGAAACCCUUUAUACCUUUACUAAACUCCCGAUGUGGGAUACAAGACAAAUUCAAACUUACUUAACUUUCGAUGUGGGAUUCUGAGAUUCAAGGCAAAUCCCAACAAAUCCUCCCUUGACUUGAAUCUCCAAACACUUCAACAGUAUCUGCAAAGCUAACAUGCUUACCUUUCUUCUUUUCUUUCAUCACAGGCAUUCCAACAACUGAGCCUCCAUCAAACAUGUACAAGUGAUUGACCCUAUUCCCUUGUAGAAUCACACUACCAUUCUUGUACACUUUCAACCAAUCAUUACUACCAUAAUAUGUGUACCCUCGAGAAGCUAACUCACCCAAAGCAAUCAAAUUGUAGUGACAAUUUGGUACAUACCUUACAUGACGAAGUGUCCUAAUAACACCAUUGUGAGAUUUAAGGCGAACACUCCCAAUGCCUUGAAUCUGCACAUUUUCUUUGUUAGCAACCACAAUAUCCCCAUACUUUUCAUUCUCAUUCAACUCCACAAAGCAGCUCCUAUCAUUGCAAACAUGAACUGUAGCAGCUGAAUCUAAAACCCAACCUUUGUCACUUUUCAAAGUCUGGGUCUCAUCCACACAAGUUGUCAAAACAACAUCAUCAUCAUCAGACAAAAUAGCAGCAGUAUCACUCUUUUCUUCAUCUGAUUUUUCUCAUCAUUCGCCCUUUUGAAAGCAGCCAUAUCCCUUCUCAGCUUCCUGCAGCGCACUUGGAUAUGUCCCUUCUUACCACAAUAAUAACAUUCUACAUCACUGUAAUCUCUGUCUCUUGACUUAGAUCUCCAUCUUGAUCCAUCAAUCCUCUUUUGAGUCCUCCCUCGAUCAAAACCCUCUACAGCUAGUGUACUCCCCCCAGGUGAUGAGUUCUGAGCUCCCAUAAACCUUUCAUUCUCAUGCAACAGGGCAGUCACAUCAUCCAACUUCAAAGUAGACCUACCUACCAACACAGUCUGAACUAAAGGCCUAUAAGACUUGGGCAAAGAUGACAGCAAAAUUAAAGCUUUCUCUUCAUCUUUUAACUCAUCAACAGAAAUCGCUAGCAAUUGAGAAACCAAUUUAUUAAAUUCAUUCAGGUGAUUAUGAAGACUCAUACCUUCUUCCAUCUUCAGAGAAUACAGAUCCAUCUUCAAACAUAAUCUAUUAGUCAAUGACUUCGAAGCAUAAAUACCUUCAAGCUUAUCCCACAAACUCUUCGGAGUACUCUCAGUCAACACACUGUACUUUACUUCUGGAGCUAACGCCAAUCUAAUAGUACUAACAGCCUUCUUCUGAAUCCUAUUCCAAUUAGCAUCAGACAUUCCUUCAGGCUUACUACUCUCCAAUGCCUGAUCCAAUCCUUGUUGUACUAACAGAUCUUGAAUCGUACUUUGCCAUAACAUAAAAUUACUCUUUCCAUCAAAUAACGGAAUCUCAAACUUAGACAUAGACAUACCAGACAUACCUUCUUCAGACAUCUUCAAACACUGCUUCACGAUCUCUUGGACCCACGAACCUCGAACCUCGCUCUGAUACCACUUGUUGGGAAAAACAACAAUACCCACGCGCAGCAACCACACACAAAAUAACAAGCUCAAAUCAAGAAUAAGAAAACACAAAUAUAUUUGGUUCAGCCCAACUCAAAAUGGCCUACUCCAAAUCUAAUCCACUAUCAAAUAAAUCUUUACAAUUGUGAGACUUUUAGAAUGAGAAAAGUCUCCUAAAACUCCUUACUCAAAACUUAACCCAAAACCCAAUUACACCCUUUAAUAGCCUACUCACUUAGCUAUUCUCUUGGUGUCUAACUCUCUGAGGUUACUAAACUAAAACCAAAACAUCUUAUUUAUAGGGGUGAAACCCUUUAUACCUUUACUAAACUCCCGAUGUGGGAUACAAGACAAAUUCAAACUUACUUAACUUUCGAUGUGGGAUUCUGAGAUUCAAGACAAAUCCCAACAUAAAGAACAAAAAAAGAGAAAAAAAUACAAAUAUUUUAUAAAUUGUGUUAAUAAAGAGAAAAAAGGUAUAUAGUGUUAGCCUUCUCAACUUGCAAGCCAUGUAAUCAGUAUAAAUUUAAUUUAUUUACUAAUAUAAUUUAAUUAAACUUUAUUUCUUUUAAACUUCAACAGAGGUUAAUUAUAUGAUCAAUAUAUAAAGUUUAGUAAUUUCUAAUUAUUCAUUAAAGGAGAAAUGGAGAGAGAACAAGUACCUCAAGCUCACCCAUUUCAUGGGGAAAAUCAAUGAUUUGCUCUAAUCCCUCACAGGCACAUAUAGAGAGUUCUUGUAGAUGCAACAAACUUUGAGCAAGGCAAGGCGGGAAGAUCGCUUUCAAUUCAUCACACCUCCAAAUUUUUACAACCUUCAGACUUCGGAGGCUUGCAUGAUAUUGAUGGGUUGAUUGUGAUUUCCAUAUACUCUCCAAUUCCGGUAAAAAAGCUAGAUCCAAACUUGUUAAAUUUGAGAGUAGCGGUGUCUGACUAAUUUCUUCCUUUUCAAGAAGCCCAUCCAUUUCAAAUACCACUUUCAACCGCUUACAAUUCUUAAUGGUCAAAUCUUUUAACUUUUGUAAGGACCUAAUAUGCCCAUCUAUUUCAAGAGAUGUCAAUUUUGGCAAGGGCGGAUGAUGGAGAAGGCCACUGUCUGAUUCUACAUUAUUAUCAAUUUCCAACUCAGUGGCAAUGUGUUCCAGUUCAUCGCAGCAUUCUAUCGUGAGUUGUUCUAGCAUCCCCAAGCUUUGAACAAGUGAUGGUGAGAAGAGAUGUUUCAAAUUGUGAUACAUGAUUCCAUCCAUGGCAAGUUUUUCGACAUUGCAUAACAAUUCCUUGAAACCAUAUGAUGGGACAUCCUGAUAAAUUCACAAUAUAAUGGAAACUAUUAGCAGAAUUAGAAACAUAUAAUUGGAUUUCUUUUAUUAGAAAAAGAAAGAUUUGAGUUAAAAGAACAAUUUUAUCUCUGGCUUUUCAUUAAAAAUUCAUUAUCGUAGAAAUUUAAACAAUCCAAAUUAAGUUGAGUAUAACUAGAAUCUAGAAAGCAUGAAUAAUGACAAAUAAUAUAGUUAAAACAUGACAUGGACACGACAACACAACAAUUAUAAAAGGAGGACACAGGUAUGGUAAGACGCUACAAUAAAAUAUAUUUUUAUAUAUUUUUUAUCCAUAAAUAUUUUAUACGAAUAUAAAUUGAAUGCAAUUACAAUGUAAUUAAUGGUGUGUGUAAAAGUAAAAUAAAAUAAAUUUAUAAACAAGAUUAAAAUUAUGUAGGAAAAUAAUCAAUAUAAUUAAUUUUAUUAAUUUAAUUUUUAAUACAAUAGAUUAUAAAAUUAUAAACUUUUUAAAUAAUUUCAUUUUCCCUUUUUUUUUCUUUUCUUUUCUUUUUUUUCCUUCUUUUUCUUUCUCUUCCUACAUUUUCUUUUUUUUCCUUUUCUUUCUCUUUCUCCUUCCUGUUUCCUUUUUUUAUUUUUAAUUUUUAAUUUUCCCUUUUUACCGUUUGUCAAAUUGUACGAUUUAAGAGCUUUAUAAAUUCAAUACUACUUGUUAUUAAAUAAUAUUUUAUUAUAUAAAGAAUAAAAAAAGAGAAAAAAAUACAAAGAUUUUAUAAUGUGUGUUAAUAAAGAGAAAAAAAGAUACAGUAUUCGUUUUCUCAACCUGCAAGCCAUGUAAUAAAUAUACAUUGAAUUAAACUUUUUUCUUUUAAACAUCAACAGAAGCCAAUUAUAUAUAAUACUUUUACAUGUAGAUGUGAAUGUACUAAAUUUUGACGUUUGUGUUAUAAGAUAAAUAAUUCAAUUAAUUAUUACCAAAAUAAACAAAAUUAAAACAAAAAUAUAGUAUAAGAGAAGUACGUACCUUUAAAUGGGCCUGCAACGUCUUAAACUCAGUUAAUUGGGGACAAUUGCAAACUUCGAACUCCUUCAAAGAUAAUGACAUAAUAAAAUUUCCUGGACAAAAACUACUCAACUUCUCUAAAUUUUUAAGUCUUAAAAUUUGCAAUCUCUGUAGCACAAUGGCUUGUGGUGGAAGUCCACCCUUAUCCUUUGUCAUAUUGAAGACCUCAUUUUCUGCUUCUCCGAAGAUUACAUGUUCCAAAGAGCCGCAAUCUUUUAUGUCGAGUUCUUCUAAAUGCACCAAACUUUGAGCAAGGGGAGUCAGAAAGAGAUAUGCCAGUUUCGCACAAUUCCAUACUUUCAUAGUCUUAAGACUUUGGAGGUUAACAAGAUGGGUGGGCCCUUUCCAUAUCCACUGUAGUUCUGGUAAUGACUUUAGCUCCAAAGAAGUUAAAUUAGAGAGUGGUCGUGCCUGACAUGAAUUCAUUGAUUGAAAAGGUAAAUAAAUAUAGAAAAAACAUUACAUACAAAGGCAAUAAUAGUAGUUAUUGAAUAAUAUAUAAUUUAAUAAAGAAUAAAAAAAAAGAGAAAAAAUACAUUGAUUUUAUAAAGUGUACUAAUAAAGAGAACAAAAAAAGAUAUAUAGUGUUAGUUUUCUCAACUUGCAAGUCAUGUAAUAAAUAUACAUUUAGAUUAGUUACUAAUAUAAUUUAAUUAAACUUCGUCUCUUCUAAUCUUCAAUAGAGGUUAAUUAUAUGAGCAAUAUAUAAAGUUUAGCGAUUUCUCAUUAUCCAUUAUAGGAAAAAUGGAGAGAAAACAGAUACCUCAAGCUCUCCCACUUCUUGGGGAAAAUCAAAGACUUGUUCUAAUCUAUGGCACCCAGAUAUUUCAAGUUCCUGUAGAUGCACCAAACUUUGAGCAAGGGGAGUCGGAAAGAGAUAUGCCAAUUUCGCACAGUCCCAUAUUGUCAUAGUCUUAAGACUUUGGAGGUUAACAAGAUGGGUGGGCCCUUUCCAUAUCCACUGUAGUUCUGGUAAUGACUCUAGCUCCAAAGAAGUUAAAUUAGAGAGUGGUCGUGCCUGACAUGAAUUCAUUGAUUGAAAAGGUAAAUAAAUAUAGAAAAAACAUUACAUACAAAGGCAAUAAUAGUAGUUAUUGAAUAAUAUAUAAUUUAAUAAAGAAUAAAAAAAAAGAGAAAAUACAAUGAUUUUAUAAAGUGUACUAAUAAAGAGAAAAAAAAAAGAUAUAUAGUGUUAGUUUUCUCAACUUGCAAGUCAUGUAAUAAAUAUACAUUUAGAUUAGUUACUAAUAUAAUUUAAUUAAACUUUAUCUCUUCUAAUCUUCAAUAGAAGUUAAUUAUAUGAGCAAUAUAUAAAGUUUAGCAAUUUCUCAUUAUCCAUUAAAGGAAAAAUGGAGAGAAAACAGAUACCUCAAGCUCUCCCACUUCUUGGGGAAAAUCAAAGACUUGUUCUAAUCUAUCGCACUCAAAUAUUUCAAGUUCUUGUAGAUGCAACAAACUUUGAGCAAGGCAAGGCGGGAAGAUCGCUUUCAAUUCAUCACACCACGAAAUGUUUACAACCUUCAGACUUCGGAGGCUUGCAUGAUAUUGAUGGGUUGAUUGUGAUUUCCAUAUACUCUCCAAUUCUGGUAAAGACGAUAGAUUCAAGCUUGUUAAAUUUGAGAGUAGCAGCGUCUGACUAAUUUCUUCCUUUUCAAGAAGACCAUCCAUUUCAAAUACCACUUUCAACCUCGUACAAUAUUCAAUGGUCACAUCUUUUAACUUUUGUAAGAAGCUAAUCGGAGGCGGACCAUGGCACAACUCUUUCAAACAAGCCAUUUCCAUCAUUCUUAAUUUCACCAAAUUAGAGAAUGCAGUUGGUCCCUUCUCUCCUGUUGUGUCCACCAAGCAUUCCAUAUCAUCGCACUUUUGAAGCCAAAGAGAAGUUAAUUCACCUACGCACUUUGGAUCUAUGUUUGGGACAAUAUUUUUGUGUCCCAUAACAUUCUUCAAAGCCAACUUUUCCACACUGCAAAGCAACUUCUCGAAUGCACUUAAUGAAGAUGAGAAUUCAGUAAUUUCCAAGGUUCUAGAGUUAAGCUCCUGCAUAAAUCGAAGAUCUUCAUUUACAGCUAUAUUGUAGCUUUGUAGUUUAGGGAACACAAGGUUUUCUGGAAAACAUUGAGCUGUAGAAACUCUCAGUGACAGCCCAGUCAAACGAGACAAUGAAUUCAACUCCAGUAAGUUAACAUUGUUUUCACAUGUCACGUGUAGCUCUCGGAGCGAUGUCAACCUGUUUGUUACACACAAAUACAAAAAACUAUUAUCAAACACUUCAAGUGAAUCAUAAAAAUAGAAGUAAACAUAUAUUAAUUUUAAUUAUCUCAGCAAAUAUAGCAUGAUUCUUCAGCACCUUUUCUUAUAAAAAAACGUUUGAGCAUUUUUUUACUGUUUUGUAAUUCAUGACAAUCAUGUUAUAUAGUAGCAUUUUUUUUAAUGGGAAGGACUACAGCUCUGAAUGCUUCAUAAUAACGGGAGUGAACAAAAGCUACAAAAGCUUAAGGUAGAUAUGUUUCCCAUAGUCUAAAAUUAAAUUACUUAAUAAAGUAAAUAAAAGAAAAAUAAAUAACAUAAAAAGAAAUACUUAAUUUUGUGCAAUAUGAUAAAAAAAUAAUUGACAUCUACUAUUACCUUGAUAGCAAAGUAGGGGGAAAAUUUAACUUUUUGCCUCUAGAGUGAGAAAAAUGUAGCGAUUUCAAUUUACGCAGUGCCACUAAUUCUUCAGGUACCUCAUAAAUAUUAGUAUCAGAAAAGGCAAGAAUCUCAAGGUUUUUCAUAUUUGCCAAUGAUGAGAUAUUCUCCAACUCGCAUUCUACAAGGCACAGAGUUCGAAGAUUUGUUAUCAAUUUAAGUACUUCUAUUGAGAAAAUGACAUUUUUGAGAUGCAAAACUUGGAGGGCUUUCAUUCCUUCAACAAAUGCAAUUGGAUCUUUCACUAAAAUCUUUCCUGUAAAAAUCAAAAUUUUGAGUUUUGGAAAUUUUAAUUUUUCAGGAAAAAUAUUUAUGUUGCUGUUCCAAAAGGAGAUUGCUGUAUGAGAUCCACAACUUUCUCUUAGAGGCCAUUCCAUCAACCCCUCUUUUACCAUGAAUAUAUUUUUCCCUGUAGAUGUAAUCCAAUGAGCAAAAUCACGAACCACGUCAUGCAUUCUUACAUAUCUUUCAUCAUCAUCAUUUCUCAGUAACAAACCAGAAUCUUGGAGUUUUCUUAGUGCUUCACGAAUUUCUCUCCGCAAGUCUUCAAUUAAGUUAAUAUUAGAAAAUAAUCCAUAACCAAUUGCAAACAUAAUCAACUCCUCAAUCUCAAUAUCCCAAUCUUCUGGAAAAAGGGAACACAGCAAGAAACAUGUUCGAAUAUUAUCUCCCUUCAAAUAAUCAUAACUCAGCUUAAGGCAGUUGUAGAUGUCUUGAGAAACCUCUUCAUUGUCUAAAUGUCUUGAGUCCUUGAGUCGCUUAUUUGCUGCUUGCCACCCAUCUAGAUUUGCACCUUUUAAAGCUUUUCCGAUUGUUACAAUUGCAAGAGGCAAACCCUUGCAUUCACUAGCAACCUCCUUGGCUACAUCAUUCAAUCUCGAAGAAACAUCUUUUAGACGAGCAGUAUCUUUGAACAGAGCCCAUGCUUCACAUUUGGAUAAGAUGUUGAGUUUAAAUAUCUGUUGACAAUCCAUUCGAACACAGACUUGUGGAUCACGUGUAGUCAGAAGAAUUUUGCAACCCUCGUGUUCAACACCGAAUGGAAUACCUAUAGUCCGCAAUUUAAAAUCAUCCCAAACAUCAUCAAUAAUUAUGAGGAUCUUGUUCACGCCUAGCAAUCUCAGCCGUAACUCUUCUGCUUUUCCUUCUUCCGUGCUUGCUUUAAAUUUCAAACCUAAUAAUUCUGCAAAUUUAUCUUGAAUUUUGUUGAUGUUUGGCGUUUGGGACAUUGUAGCCAUCACAACUUUGUGAAAGAGAUUUUGCUCUUUAGCAUGCUUCCCAACUUCUUUUGCCAAAGUUGUUUUGCCCACCCCUGGCAUUCCAUACAAUCCAAUCAUGUUCACACCAUCGGUAUUUAGAGCCUUGAUGAUCUCAUUGAAAGUAAACUUUGAAGACUCAUUAGGCAUGAAAUCUUUAGAGGGGAAGAAUUCUAUCCCCUGAAGAGGAGCAAGGUGGCCCACCCUUGGAAAGUUACAACUCUCAAGAAGUUUAUUGAUAGAAAUCGUCUUCUUUGCCACUUUCUUACUUAAGCAGUAUCGCCAACCCCAACUUGGACACCAAUUGAAACACUUCUUACGUUCUAUUUCAGCUUCCAAACUCUGGGUUUCUUUCAGUUCUGUCUCUGCCCUUUGUUGCCAGUCUUGGACAUCCUUCUCAAUUACCUCAUUUUGCCUUCUAGCCUCUUCGACAUCAUUUUUUACCCGAUCACUUUUCAAUUCAAGUUCUUUUCUCCUAUUCUUGAAUUCUUCAACAAUUUUCCCAAAUCGAAAAAAGUAACCAACAUAAGGUGAUGCAUAUUCUGUUGCGAGGUUUCCUACAGCAUUGGCAGCACCAGAGGCAGCAAAUUCAGCAGCCAUUCUUUGAUGAUCUGAGAUUGAAAAACAACUUUAAUGAUUAGUAAACAUAUAAACUGUUGGUAAAAUCAACACACACAUGCAAGACCCACACACAAAAUAGCAAGCUCAAAAUAAAAAUAAAAAUAAAAAUACGGUUGUAAGGUUUUGUGGGAUAUACACCUUAUAGGAGUAUUGAGACUCCACAUCUUAUGAGUGUGUAUGUUUGUUUGUGAGUGGAUUAAAGGAAAUUCAGAAGGUCCGCAUAGAUAUGAUGCAUGGAUACAUAUAAAUAUGUGUUUAAUUGUAUUGAAAAUGUGCAAGUAUAUGUUUAUUUGAGUUUAGAAUACUUCAUAAAAUUAGAGAAGAUUGAAAGAAUGUAUGAGUAUUGAUUGUUGAGUGAUUGAUAUGUUAUGAUGUAUGUUUUUAAUUCUUUACAACUAGUGAAUUUUAUUUCUUAUCCGUGAACGUAGAUCGAUUGGACCAAAUCACGUUAAAUUAUUAUCUUUUUGUGUUUGAUUAAUUAUUUGAUUUCGCCUCCGCUGACGUGAUUAGAUUGAAGCCUUUUGGCCUAACAUAAACAGCUAGAGAGACAAAAGCAAUUGUGAAUGUUUGCAAAGUACCUUAAUUACUUUGAGAGCCAAUUGUGAAGUAGAAGAGAAAAAUUGUUGAUGGAUCAACUUGGAAAUUGAAAAUUCUGCAAAUGGAAGAAAUUAUUCAGUGUUCAUGCGUAUAUUAAGAAUAUAUGUUACAUGUGUUAAGAGUAAAGGUAGUAUAUAUUUUGAUCAUUAAUCUAUCUAAUAUUUUCUCAAUUUUUAAAUAAAUCCAUUUAUUUCAUUUUUUUUCCUUAUAAAUGCAGUCUUUUAUUUAAAUAAGGUAGGGAAACAAACAAGUAAACAACUUUUGAGCAUAUAAAAAAUUAUGGAAAUAAAAAUAAUUAUUCAAGCAUGCCAAAUUGGGGAUGGACAUUCUAAAUUAAGCUGAGAAUUUUUUACAUCAUCAACCUUAAUAGAAAUUAAAAGAAAAAGGAAAUAAAGAUUAGUAACAAUAAGAUUAUAAGAACAUUGAAUUAUUUUUUUCUUUUUUUGAAGUUAAUCGCAAAUCAGAAUAGAUAUAGUAUGAAAUAAAAUAAAAAAUAGAACUCAAAGAAACCAAAAAAUUAUACAGCAAUACCAUUUUUGCUUCUUUUAUUGUAGAGAGAAAAACACAAGAAAAAAAAAAAAAGAGACAAAUAUACCGCGGACAUAUGAAUUUUCAGGAUUCAAGAUCGAGCUUUUUAUUUCUAUCCACGCAGUUCUUUUUUUUUUUUUUUUUUUUGAGUUCAAGGAAAACUUAAGUAGAAACCAACCUUAUUUGAAAUGAACAAAAGAGUUUCCAGUAUUUACAAAUAUUGAGAAGUUGUGCUUGAAAUUUUCGUGACUGAUUGAAACUACAGAGAAAAGUUUGAUCAAAGACUUGUUUAAUUUCUUUGGAUUCUCUUUUAUCACCGUUAUUAUCAUUUUACUUGCUCAAAUCCUUAGUGGAAGACAGCUAGACAAGGGCCCAAGCAUCUUUUCCUUUUGUUGGGAGUCGGGUGCGCAAUGCCUUCAAGUCACACGUUUACUUUUCUUUUUUGUGCUCGGUCAAUUUUUUUUUUUUUUCCUUGAAGAAAACUGAUCUAUUGAUGGUAGUGGGACAUGGCAUCAUUGAUGCACUUUUGAAUUAUUUUGUCUUUUCACAAUUAUUUUUCAACAAUCACUUUCUCACCGACUUUGUUUUGUUGGUUUUCAUGGAUUAAAUUCGAUGCGUUGAAAGAUUUAAUGAUUCAAAAUCUUGUUUAUUUCCUCCGUUGAUUUAUCCUAACGUAUGAAAGAAAUAGUUUUGCAUAUCAUCAUUUGCUGAUAUACUGGGAAAUUCCACAGCUUACACAAAUUUAUCGAAAUUAAAAUCUUAUAAUAAGAAUUUUUAUUUUUUUAAGGCAAUAAUUAUUUGAUAAUUGAUAUUACUUUCAUUUAAAAAUAUUUCUCAUAUAUUAAUUUUCACGAAAUUUAAAAAAAAAACCUUGAUUUUAAUUUUGUAUAAAAUUAAAAUUUCGUAAUUUUUUAUGUUAAAAAAAUUAAAAAUAAUUUAAAAUAUAAAAAAUUAAAUAAGAAUUUUAGAUUUUAAAAAAAGGAAUAGGAUAUAUAUGUAACAUCCCAAAAAAAUAACAAAAAAUAAAAGGAACGGAAUGAGUAGUUAUAAAUAGAUUUUUCGCACAAAUGCGUAAUUCGUCAUUUCAAGUUCUCGACUCUCUAACCAUUUACUCUUUUAGCUAUACUUUUUAUUUUGUCUCAGGAAAGAAGAAUAAGUAAAAGAAUCGAGAAUCGGAGAGAAAAGAGGAACCUCAAGCUCACUUUUGAAUUAUUGAUCCCUUUAUUUUUCUCCUUUUUCGAUUAUUUUUCAGCAAUGAUUGUCACCUACUCGGUUUUGUUGGUUUUCAUGGAUUAAAUUUAUUUUUCAACAAUAAUUUUCUCACUUACUCAGUUUUGUUGGUUUUCAUGGAAUUGGAUUCUGUAUCAAAUUAUGCCCCAUGCAAUGCAAUUAGAUUUAAUGACCAAACAAACAAAAGAAAGGGUUAAUGAUUCUAAAUCUCUUGGUUUUUUUUUUUUUUUCCUCCAUUGAUUCAUCCUACCACUUGAAAGAAGUAAAUUUUUAGAUUAUAUUAGCUGAUAUGCUGCGAAGUAUCUUAAUUACUUUGGGAGCAAUAUAUCGCUCCAUGAAAAUGAAAAUAAAAGAGAACAAAUGGUUGAUGGAUCAAUUUGGAAAUAAAAAUUCUGCAGAUGGAAGAAAGUAUUCAGUGUUCAUGCAUAUAUUAAGAAUAUAUGUUACAUGUAUUAGAGUAAGGGUAUAUUUUUAUCAUUAAUCUAUCUAAUAUUCUAUCAAAUUUUAAAUGAAUCUAUUUAUUUCAUUUUUUGUCCUUAUGAAUGCAGUUUUUUUUUUUUAAUAUGCCAGGGAAACAAAUAAGUAAACAACUUUUGAGCAUAUAAAAAAUUAUGGAAAUAAAAAUAAUUAUUUAAGCAUACCUAAUUAGGGAUGGAUCUUCUAAAUUAAACUGUGUGGACUUUUUACAUCACCAACUCCAGAGAUCAUUAGGAAAGGAGAAUUAAGAACCAACCUAAACAGAAAUUAAAAGAAAAAGGUAAUAAAGAUUAGCAGCAAUAAAAUUAUAAGAAAAUUGAAUUAGUUUUUUUCCUUUUUCUGGAGUUAAAAGCAAAUCAGAAUAGGUAUAGCAUAAAACAAAAUAGAAAAUAGAAAGAAAAGAAAGCAAAAAAAAUUAUACAGCAACACUAUUUUCUUUCAUUGCGGAGAGAAAAACACAGAAAAAAAGAUAAAUUAUACGCAGAUUUUUUUUAGUUCAAAGAAAACUGAAGCGGAAACCAACUUUAUUUCAAAUGAACAAAGAGUUUCAAGUAUCUACAAUUAUUGAUAAGUUGUGCUGGAAAUCUUUGAGACCGAUUGAACCUACAAAGAAAAGUUUGAUCAAAACUCGUUUAAUUUCUUUUGAUUCUCUUUUAUCAUCAUUAUUACCAUUUUCCUUGUUCAAAUCCUCAGUGUAUGACAACUAGAAAAGGGCUUAUAAUAAGAUUUUUUAUUCUUUUAUAAGGUACCAAUUAUUUGAUAAUUGAUAGUUGUAAAUAGAUUAUUCACACAGAUGCAGAAUUCCCUAUCUCAACUCUCUAACCAUUUACGCUUUUAACUAUUUGGUCUGAUAGGAAAAAAAAAAGUUAAAAAAAUGGAGAAAUGGAAAGAGAAGAGGUACCUCAAGCUCACCCAUUUCUUUGGGAAAAUCAAAGACUUGUUCUAAUCCAUUGCAGUAACAAACAGAAACAAUUGUUGAUGGAUCAACUUGGAAAUUGAAAAUUCUGUAGAUGGUAGAAAUUCUUCAGUGUUCAUGCGCAUAUAUAUUAAGAAUAUACCAUACAUGUGUUAGAGUAAAGGCAUCGUAUAUAUUUCGAUGAUUCUAUCAAAUAUUUUCUCAAUUUUGGAGAAUAAAAUAGAAAUGGUUUAUUGGAGCAUACCUCACUUGGUAUGGAUCAUCAAGAGCUAUAAGGACUUUUUACUUCACCAACUCCAUAGAACUGUGAAGGAAAUUCAAGGACCAGCCAAUGUAUGGAUUUCAUAUAUAUGUCAAUAAAAUAAUAAUAAUAAUAAUAUAGAUCGAACCAAUGAAAAAAAAAAGAAAGAAUUGAAACAAAAACGAGUACCUAAUUUUUUUUGGUUCAGUUAUUGAUAGAAGAGCAAUGCAGAAGUGAAACAAAGUGUCUGGCACUGUAGCUAGCCCAAAGAUGUGGGGAUGAUAUAAGACGAUGCUUUGCUUCAACGGAAACUGUUUGACGACUGAUGACAAAGUAGUAUGAUUAAGAUAGGUCAGCAACACAGAAGAAAAACCCAACAUAAAUAUAACAAGGAAAUAUGAAUUUUCAAGAUCCAAGAUGCAGCUUUUAUUUCCACCACGCACAACUUAUUAAAGACACUGAUAAAAUUGGUACAAGUUUUUUUUUUUUUUUUGAAUUCAAAGAAAAUUGAAGAAGAAAUCAACUUUACUUCAAAUGACUAAAAAAAAAAAAAGACUUCAAUUAUCCAUAGAUAUUAGGAAGUUCCGCUUGAAAUCUGUGUGGCCAAUUGUAACGACAGAAACUUUCAUCGAAAACUCCUUAAUUUCUUUGGAUUCUCUUUUAUCAUUAUUACUAUUUUCUCCUUUUAAAAUUAUUUAAAUGGUAUUGAUUUUUAUGAAAUUAAAAAAAUUAAUUUAAAUAUAUUUAAUAUUUAAUAUUAAAAUUUAAAAGUUUUUAUAAAAUUAAAAUUUUAUGAUUUUUAAUCUUUAAAAAUAAAAUAAUUUUAAAAUAUAAAAAUAAAAAUUUUAGAUAAAAAAAUAAUUUCCAGAUAUAUAAAAACAAAAAAAAGAAGGACUGAGGGAGUGUUAAUUUUUUUUCCCUAUUCAAAUCCUUAAAGAGGAAGACAGACAGCAAGACUGUGUCCCAAACAUCGUUUUCUUUUCUUGGGUCCUGGGAGCCACCACGGCUAUAAUAUUAAUGGAGUCUAGUGGUGAACAUUUAUAGUUGGAGUUCAAUUUCAAAUUCAAUGUUCGAAGUUUAAUUUAAAUUGGAAUGAAUUUUAAUUUUUAAAUAUAAAUUUAAUUUGAGAUAAAAAUUAAAUUAAAUUUAUUUAUUUAUUGAAUAAAAAUAAAUUUAAUUGUUUAAUUUUAAAUUCAAUUAUUUAUUUUCAAACAAAAUUUGAAUUCAAAUUAAUAUAUAUAAAUAAAAAAUAAUUUUUUAAUUAAAAUAAUAAAAAUAUAUAUUAAAUUAAUAUAAUAACUCAAUUAAACUCACAAAUUAUUCAAACUAAUUAUUAAAAUAAUAAACAUCUACUCUCUCAAUAUAUCAAAUUAUUUGCAUUCAAAAUCAACUCUAUAAUAAUUUUAUGAAAUUUGAAUUUUGUAGCCUACUAGCCUUUACGCACUUAGGAGCAAUAUUUUUUAAGUUCACACCUUUAACCAUUUGUGUUACUAUGAAUUUUUUAAGAAAUCAUACAUAUCACUAUCACGAUUGUCAGGUCUUCAUAGCUUUUGCUAGUGGGACAUGGCAUCAGUUAUAAACUUCUGAAUUAUUGAUCCCUUUUAUUUUUCUCUUUCUUCAAUUAUUUGUCAGCUAUAAUUUUCUCACCUACUCAGUUUUGUUGGUUUUCAUGGAUUGGAUUCUGUAUCAAAUUAUGCCCCAUGCAAUGCAAUUAUAUUUAAUGACCAAACAAACAAAAGAAAGGGUUAAUGAUUAUAAAUCUCUUUUUUUCUUCCUCCAUUGAUUCAUCCUAACACUUGAAAGAAGUAAAUUUUUAGAUUACCUUAGCUGAUAUGCUGCGAAGUAUCUUAAUAACUUUCGGAGCAACAUAUAGCUCUAUGAAAAUGAGAAGUAAAAGAGAACAAAUUGUUGAUGGAUCAACUUGGAAAUUAAAAAUAUUGCAGAUGGAAGAAAUUAUUCAGUGUUCAUGCGUAUAUUAAGAAUAUAUGUUACAUGUGUUAGAGUAAGGGCAUAGUAUAUGUUUUUAUCAUUAAUCUAUCUAAUAUUUUAUCAAAUUUUAAAUGAAUUUAUUUAUUUCACUUUUUUCCUUAUAAAUGCAGUUUUUUUUUUAAUAUGCCAGGGAAACAAAUAAGUAAACAACUUUUGAGCAUAUAAAAAAUUAUGGAAAUAAAAAUAAUUAUUUAAGCAUACCUAAUUGGGGAUGGAUCUUCUAAAUUAAACUGUGGACUUUUUACAUCACCAGCUCCAGAGAUCAUUAGGAAACGAGAAUUAAGGACCAACCUUAAUAGAUAUUAAAAGAAAAAGGUAAUAAAGAUUAGCAGCAAUAAAAUUAUAAGAAAAUUGAAUUAGUUUUUUUCUUUUUGCUGGAGUUAAAAGCAAAUCAGAAUAGGUAUAGCAUAAAACAAAAUAGAAAGCAAAGAAAGCCAUGAAAGCAAAAAAAAUUAUACAGCAACACUAUUUUCUUUCAUUGUAGAGACAAAAACACAGAAAACAAGGUAAAUAUACCUAGGAAACAUGAAUUAUCAGGAUCCACGCAGAUUUUUUUUUCUUUUGAGUUCAAAGAAAACUUAAGUAGAAACCAACCUUGUUUCAAAUGAACAAAGAGCUUCAAGUAUCCACAAAUAUUGAGACGUUGUGCUUGAAAUCUUUGUGACUGAUUGAAACUACAGAGAAAAGUUUGAUCAAAGAUUUUAAUUUCUUUGGAUUCUCUUUUAUCAUCAUUAUUAUCAUUAUGCUUGUUCAAAUCCUUAGUGGGACAUGGCAUCAUUGAUGCACUUAUGAAUUAUUGACCCCUUUAUUUUGUCUUUUUUCAAUUAUUUUUCAACAAUCACUUUCAACCCUACUUUAUUUUGUUAGUUUUCAUGGAUGAAAUUCAAUGCCUUGAAAGAUUUAAUGAUUCAAAAUCUUUUUUUUUCCUCCAUCGAUUUAUCCUAACGUAUAAAAAAGUAGUUUUUUAGAUUAUCUUAGUUGAUAUAUCGCGAAACUCCACUGCUUACAUAAAUUUAUCAAAAUUAAAAUAUUAUAAUAAGACUUUUUACUUUUUUUUAUAAGAUAAUAACUAUUUAAUAAUUGAUACUAUUCUUAUUUCAAAAUAUUUAUCAGGUAUUGAUUUUCACGGACUUUUAAAAGAAAUUUCGAUUUUUAUAUAUUUAAUAUUAAAUUUUAAUUUUUUAUAAAAUUAAAAUUUAAUAAUUUUUAAUGUAAAAAAAAAACAUAAAGUAAUUUUAAAAUAUAAAAAAAUAAAAAUUUUAAAUGUUAAAAAAAUAUAAGACAUAUUUGGAACAUCCCAAAGAAAUAACACAAAUAAAUAAAAAAAAAAGGAACAGAAGGAGUAGUUAUAAAUAGAUUUUUCACACAAAUGCAUAAUUCCUCAUCUCAAUUCUCUAUCCAUUUACUCUUUUAGCUAUACUUUUUAUUUUGUCUCAGGGAAAAAGAAUAAGUAAAAGAAAUGGAGAAAUGGACAGAAAAGAGGUACCUCAAGCUCACCCAUUUGUUUGGAAAAAUCAAAGACUUGCUCUAAUCCAUUACAGUAACAAACAGAAACAAUUGUUGAUGGAUCAACUUGGAAAUUGAAAAUUCUGCAGAUAGUAGAAAUCCUUCAGUGUACAUGCGCGUAUAUAUUAAGAAUAUAUCAUAAUGUUUUAGAGUUAAGGCAUAGUAUAAAUGCAGUUUUUAUUUAAAUUCGGUAGGGAAAGAAACAAGUAACGAACUUUGAAAUAACUAAAAAUUUAUGAAAAAUUUAAAAAAUAUAUUAUUUAAGCUUACCUAACUAGGAAUGGAUCUUCUAAAUUAAGGUACGUGGACGUUUUACAUCACCAACUCCACGGAUCAUUAGGAAGGGAAAAUUAAGGACCAACCUAGAUAGAAAUUAAAAAAAAAGGGUAAAAAAAUCAACAACAAUAAAAUUGUAAAAACAUGAAAUUAUUUUUUUUCUUUCUUUGGAGCUAAAAGCAAAUCAAAAUAUAUACAGCGUGAAACAGAAUAAUACAGUACUUUUUAUCAUUAAAAAAAAAAAAAAAAAAGAAAGCAAAGAAAGCCAAAAAGAUGCAGCAACAUUAUUUAAGUUAAUGUAUUUAUUAUUCCUCUUGCCUGUUUAAGUUAAUACUUUUACGAUAUUUUUAGUUUUAAAAUAUCAAUCUUUUUUGCGUUUUUAUCCUUAAAAGUAUUUUUAAGCCAUCUAUCUUAUCUAUCUUCUGGAAGAUAAUUAAUUUAAAUUUUCUGUAGCCUACUUUAUUCUAUUUUCAUUUAUAUUAAAAUUUUCUUAACUCAUUAUUAAAUGUUAUGAUAUUUUAAUUUAUUUUACGUUAAAUGAUAUUAAUUUUAUUAUAUUUUUUAUUUGUUUAUGUUAAUUUAAAUUUUACAUUACUAACUUAAUUAUUUAUAAUAAAAUAAUAUUUUCUUACACUUAUUCUUUCAUUUUAUUACGUUUAAAAUUUUUAUAACUUUUCUUAAAAUAUUACAAUACUUCUAAACUAUUUUAUAUCAAAUGAUAUGAAUUUUAUUACUCUUCUCACAUGUUUAUGUACAUAAUUUUAAAAAAAAAAUGUAUUUUCAAAUAUUAAUUUUUUAACAUUGUACUUUCUUUGUCAUUCUUUAAAGUAUUUUUUAGUCAUUAAUCUAAAAAUAUUUACAAAAAUAAUUAAUUUAAGUUUUACAUAUGUCAAUUUAAUUAUUUAUAUUAAAAUAAUAUCAUCUUAAGUUUGAUCUUAUCAUUAAUUGCAUUUAGAAUUUUAGUAGCUUUUUUCUUAAAGUGGUACGACGCUUUUAAUCAAUUUUAUAUCAAUAAUAUGAAUUUUAUUAUUAUUCUCACCUGUUUGUAUUUAUUUUUGUCUUCCAUUAGAUUUAAAAUUUUCAUAAGUUUUUCUUAAGGUGUUACAACAUUUUUAACCUAUUCAACUUCAAUUAAUACCACUUGUAUUAUUACUCUUAGCUUUUUAUGUUUAUUUUUAUCCCUUUUUUUUUUUACAUUUACAAUUUUCUUAACUGUUUUCUUAAGAUGUUAAGGCACUUUCAAUCCAUUUUACGUCUUACUAUUCAUUUGACAUAUUUAAGCUAAUAAUUUUUUAUUUUUAAAUAUUAAAUUUUAAAAUUGACUUUUUUUUUGCCUUUAAAGUAUUUUUUACCCACUAGCAUAAAAAUAUUUAUAAGAGAAAUAAUUAUUUAAAUUUUAAGUUGUCAAUAUAAUUAUUUACUGUAAAAUGAUAUAUUCUUUCACUUAUUCUUAUUUGCUAUUAUGUUUAAAAUUUUUAUAACUUUUUCUGAUAGCGUUAAGAUACUUCUAAUCCAUUUUAGACAAAUUGAUAUAAAUUUUAUUGUUACUCUCACCUAUUUACUUUUAUUCUUACCUUUAUGUUUGAAAGUUUCAUAAUUUUCUUAAUGUUACACGCAUUUAUAACUUAUUUUGCGUCCAUUAAUAUGAAUUUAAUAUUACUCUUACCUUUUAAUAUUUAUUCUUAACUUCUAUUACAUUUAAAAUUUUCAUAGCUCUUUCUUAACACGUUACAACAUUUCUAAUCUAUUUUACGUCAAAUGAGGCGAAUUUAAUUUUUCUUCUCACCUAUUCAUGCUAACUUUUUUUUGAAUUUUUUUAUUUUUAGAUAUUAAUUUUUAAAGCUAUAUUUUCUUUUAGCUUUUAAAAUAUUUUUUUAGCCAUGACCUAAAAAUAUUUAUAAGAAAAUUAAUUAAUUUAAAUUUAAGAUGCCAACUGAAUUAUUUAUGUCAAAAUAAUAUUUUUUUACGCUUACUCUUGCUUUCCAUUAUACUUAAAAUUUUUAUAAUUCUUUAUUAGGAUGUUACAAUAAUUGUAACUCAUUUUACUACAAAUGAUAUGCAUUUUAUUAUUUCUCUCACAUGUUUGUGUUAAUUUUUUUUUGAAGAUUAUUUCUCACAUAUGUUUAUAUUAAUGAUUUUUUAAUUUUUUUAUUUUCAAACAUUAAUUUUUUAACAUUGUCUUUUUUUACUUUUAAGUAUUAUUUAGUCAUUGGCCUAAAAGUAUUUAUAUGAAUAAUAAUUAAUUUAAAUUUUACGUAACAAUUUAAUUAUUUAUGUUAAAAAAUAUUUUUUUACAUUUAUUCUUUCCUUUCAUUAUAUUUAAAAGUUUUAUAAUUCUAUCUUAAAACAUUAUGUCACUUUUAACUUAUUUUAAACUAACUGAUAUGAAUUUUAUUAUUCUUCUCAAUUAUUUACGUUAAUAAUUGUUAAAAUAUAUUUUAAAAUAUUAACUUUUUAUGUUAUCUUUUUUGCCUUGGAAGGAUUUAUGUGGAGAAAAUGAUAGAAGACGAUGCUUGAUUGCUUCAAUAAAAACUGUUUGAAGAGAGAGCUAUAUGAGUAGGAUAAGGCAGCAACACAACAGAAUAAAAGAUAGAAAUAACAGAGAAAUUUGUAGUUUCAAGAUCCAACAACUUUGCUUCAAUUGAAUAAAAAAUUGAACCAUCAGAGACUUCGCUGAGCAAUUGAAACUACAGAGAAAAGUUUCACCAAAGACUUCUUUAAUUUUAUAAAUAAAAUUAAAAUGAUAAUAUAUCUUUUAUAUAUUUAAAAAUUUAAUUUAAAAAAUAAGAUAUGUAUUAUUAUUUUAAUCUAAUUUAUAAAAUUAAAAAUUUUCAUUAUUAAUUUAUCAAAUAAUUUUUUGAAAUAUAAUUUCAAAAGUUUGUAAAAAUUAUGAAUAAAUUAAUUUUAAAAAUUAAAAUCAACGUCAAAAUAAAUAACAUUAAAAACCUAUUAAUUUUCCUACAUUGUCAUUUCCAUUUUUCUUAUUCAAAUCCUUGUGAAAGACAGCAAGAGAAGGGCCCAGGCAUCUUUUUCUUUUACUAAAUUAUUUAACCAGUAAAUAAAAGUGCAAUGGCACAUGCAUUUAGCAACAAAUUGACCGCACAUGCAGGUCACGUGCGCUUUAACAGUGCCUUUAACUGGUUUGUUAAAGUUUUGUUUGUUUCUUUGUCGGUGGAAUCUUUUUCACUGUUUCUAAAAAAAAAAAAGGUGUUUUCCGUAUCAUCCACGGCGCAAACAGUGGUUUUCUGAAACGACGCUUUCAAGAGGCAUGGGAUCUGAAUUUUAUUCAUAUUUAAUAAACAAUAUAAUUUUUCAUCUGAACGAAAAUAAAAACAAAUAUUAUAUUAUAUAAAUAUAAAUAAAUAUAAUUUUAAAUUUUUAUAAAAUACGAAUAUGAAAACAAGUUUAAAAAAAAUAAUAUAACAUUUAUUUCAUAUUUAUAUCUUAUAUAUUUAUAUAUAAUUAAUAAAUAAUUUUUUGUUAAAUAAUUUAAAUUAUUAUUUAAAUUAAUUAGAAUAAAUAUAUUUUUAUUAAAAAAUAUCUUAAUAGAUAUUUAUUAAAAAUUAUCUAUAUAUUCAAAUUAAAAAUAAAAAUAAAAAAUAAUUUUUUAUUUUUUAAAGACUAAAAAAAUAAAAACUACUCAUAUCUAUUAAAUAUUUAUAAAAAUAAAAAUAAAUUUAAAAUAUUUAAAUAUAAAAAUAAAUAUAAUAUAAAACUAUAUAAAUAAAAAUAAAAAUUAUUUUUUCUUUCCCGUAUCCGAGUCAUUCACGUCACUAAAAGGAAACGUAUGAGAGACAGCAACCGAUUACGACCUGCGAGGCCAGCACAGGCUUGCCUUUGGUCUGCGUCGAGGACCACCCCCUCCCGCCGACAUUUUCCCUUAUCUUGAAAUCCACAUUUCCACGUUGAUUUGAUCUUUAGCUUUAACGAAAUGCCAUCCUCAAUUUCAAAUAUUAAACAGUGUAGCAUUAAUUUCGACACUAACUUGUUGGCUCAUUCGAUUCCGAUUUUUAAAUUCCCUUUUAAAUAAUUUAAGAGUCGAAUAUCACGUAAUUUUUUUGGAUUCUCUUUUGUUAUGAUUAUUACUAUUUUUUAUUAUUCAAAUCCUAGUGAAAGAGAGCUUGAUAAAGUCUAUGAACUAUUCUAAAGUAUAGACUUUAAUAUAUCUUAAAUUAUUAAGACAUAAUAUAUAUUUCAAUUAAAAGUAAAGUAUAAAUUAUCAAAGGGGAAAGAUAAAAGAAGAUAAAUAAUUAAAUUCAUCAUGUCUCAACGAAAAGAAGUAUUUCAACUAAAUAAUAUUCUUUCUUAGGAAAUAAAAAAGAAAAAGAUGAAGGUGCUUUGUCAAGAAGUGUAAUGGCAAAAGGGACGCGUUUUAUUCAUAUUUUUAUAAGGGAGAGUUUGAUUUAUAAAAUAUUAAAUUUAAAAAGAGAAAGUGAUUUUUGAGUAAGUAUAAAUUUUUAAUAAUAGAUGAUUUUUUAUGUUAUUUGAAUGUUAAAAUUUUUUUUUUGGUUAAAAAAAAGUUAGAUUACAUAAUAAAAAGUUUUUAUUAUAAUAACCUUUCAUUACAUGUGAAUAUCACAUGAUCAAUAUUUUAAUUGCUAUUAUGUUAUUAAAAUUAAAUUUGUGACAGUCAUUAAAUAACCAAAAUAUAAAAAGAUUUUUAUUUUUAUAAUGUUAAAAAUAAGCUAAUUUACUACAAACAAGGAAAAUAUAUUUUUUAAAAAAAUAUAUAUGAUAAAAUAAAAAACGUAAUGUCUAAUUGAAAAAAAAUACAAUUAAAAACGCAAUCUUUAGUUGAUGUUUAAAAAAAUAAUUAGCAAAAAUUAGUCUCUAAAAAUAUAAACGUAAUCUUUAAUUGAAAAAAAAAUCAUUAAAGAUUAUAUUUUUUUAAUUAGAUUAUCUUAACUUAUACGAAGUGAAACUCCACUAUUUAUAGUAAUUUACCAAAAUUAAAAUCUUUAGAGUAAAAUUUUCUAUUAUUUUCUAAGAUAAGAAUUGCUUGAUGAUUGAUAGUUGUACAUGAAGUUUUCACACAAAGAAGAAUUCCCCAACUCCAAAUCUCAAACCAUUUACUGUUUUUCCUUCUUAAAAUACAUGGACUCACGGUUGGGGAAGGGAUUUUCAUGAAACCAUUGAGAUCGUAAAACCAAUGAAUGGUGAACUAGGUUAAUUCUUUUUUUUCUUAAUUUAUACGAAAUUAAUUUCAAAAAAUUAUUUCAUCCAUUCUAAAUGGAACUCUGUUCUUUGCAAAGACAGAGACAGUUCUACUUAUGUUAGUUUGCUACUAAGCUAACUCCAUCGUUAACUAAUUAAAUAUUAAUUAUAGCCAUAUCUGCAUGCUUCAAACUUAAUUAGAACAAGAAGUGGAAAACAAUUUCAUCAACACAAUUUGAGAUUUAAUUAUUUCUAAUAAUUUCUAAUGAGAUUGAGAUAUGUGCUAUAUAAAUAUUCUCAUAUUAUCUAUGAAAACUAAUUUAAAGUAUCAAUUCCAAUUAUUUUAAUAAAAAAAUCUUUCAUAAAUUCUCUUUUAUCUAAUUUUUUAGUAUACACCUGAAAUCUUUGAAUUUGAGGUGCAAAAUUUGUGAACAAUUCUUUGAAGUAAAUCUUCUAAUGUUCGUUUAUCAUAACGGUUUUGAGACCGUUAGACGUAAAAUGAGUUUUAAAAUCGAAAAAAAUAAAAAAAAGAUGGAGUUGCCACCAAUCUUUGUUAGGGUGUGAUUGGUCACCCAAAAGCUUAUCCUUUUAAUAAAACUAUAAAAACAGAUUUAAAGUUUAUCAAAAAGAUAAAUUUCGAUCUACGAAAAAUCAGGUUGGAUCCGGGUGUCGGUUACGUGUGGGGAAGGAUUAGCACCCCCACAACGCCCAUAAAUUGGCAUCAUUUAAUUACGCGCUAUUUUCGGUGUUGGACAAAAAUGGUUUUAAUUUGAAAUUUAACACUAAUUCCCUUCAUUUGAAAAAAAUAAAAUUUUGCUAAAAUAUUUAUUUAGAACUAUUGAGAAAAUCUUUAAGUUAAAGAAUUAUCUUAAAAUUCUCCAUCAUCUAGGCAGAAUUUAAAAUAACUCUUUUCACCUAAGAUUUAACAUAAUAAUCCUUAAAAUGAAAUAACAAUCUUUAUAGAAAAUAAUUGUUAGUGACUGUCCAACAUCUAGGCAGAGUACCAAGAAUUAUUUCUUUUGGAAUGUUAUUUUUAAUUUAUUUUAUAAUACCACAAAAAUAUUUUUUUUUAAAAGUAUUAUUUCUUUUUUUUUACUAUAAAAUAUUUUAUCAUCAAACAACAAAUUAAAGAGAGAAUAAUGCAAUCAAUUAUCGAUGAUAACAUGCUAACAUAUUUAUGCUAAUGAAUGUCAUGUAAAAUGAAAUGUAAUUUAAAAGUUGUGUUCUUAAGUAUAAUGAGACCAUCCCGACUCUCCAACAUCUAGGCAGAGCUUUGGUGCGACUGUUUAUAUUUAAGAUCCUAAUUUACUAUUAUACCUUUUAUUUAUUAAUUUUAUUAUUAAUGUUAAUUAAGAACUCGUGUGAAAAGACUUAACAAAGUAAAAUUUCUUAAAUAUCCCAUCAUUUAGGCGGCAUUCGGGAACAAAUUGCUUCAAAUAGAAUUUUCACACGUAUCCUUAGAAUUUUUAGGACUUUGGAUUUUAAGAGGUUUUGAAUUUUAGGGGAUUUUGGAUUUUUAGGGGUUUUAAAAACUUAGGAUUUUGAAAAUUAAAAAUUAGUGUUUAAGGUUUAAGUAAAAUGCGAACAUCUCUAAAAAUUCCCUAUCAUCUAGGCGGACUUUCAGAGCAAGUUCAAUUUUUUAUAAUUUUUGAAAACUAAUUAAGAAUUUCUUAUGUGUUUUUUUUUUAUGAAAAUUUAUUCAUAAUAAUUUCCCAACAUCUAGAUGGAAUUAUUUUUUUGAAAAAAUAUUUUUUUACUCCCUCUAACAUCUAGGCAAGGAAAAUAAAAAGCUUACUCCAUUAUUAUUAUUAUUAUUUAAACAUUUUUAAUAUAUUUUUUUAGUUAUUAUUUUAUAUUUUUUUCAUUUUAUUAUUAUUAAUAACAAUUAGAUAUUUAUCCUAAUAAAUGUAAACAUUUAUCAUGCAUAAAUAUAAAAUAACAAAAAUAAUAAUAUAUAAAAAAUUAGAAAAAUUUUUUUACCUGAAUGGACCGGUUAAAGGUCUGGUCAACGUUGGUCCGGGCGGUCUAACCGGUUCGGUGGUUCGAUUGGCGGUUCGGGCGAUCAGCAGUUCAAACCGGUUCACUAGCGGUUCGUUUGAACUAGUUCAAGGCUGGCUGAAGCGGGUCGUUAGGUCGAGUUGAGCGAAUCUCGGGUCGGGUUCGAUCCAAGUGCGAAUCCUCUACGCUUGAAACGGUGCCGUUUUGGUCCUAUGCUCAAAACGACGUCGUUUUGGUCCUAUGUUUUCUAUAAAAAUUAAGUUUUAUUUUUUUCCUCAGUUUGUUUCGUUUGAUAGAAAAAAAGGCUCUGGGGGGAAGGGUUCUCUAGUCUCGCCAGAAUCCGGCAUCGUGCUUGCGCGAUCACCGUGUGAGUCGCCGCCGGUGAUGGUCAUCGGUGACCAAAAAAUGGUAAGAAAGUCACCAAAAUUUUUUUUGGUCGCCCUCUUUCCCAGAUCCAACCUUCACUUGGCCUGAAAGUGGCUUGACCGUCGUAAAUUUGUCUUUAAAGUUUCAGAUCUCUCAUCUUUUCUUUCUUUUUUUUUUGUUGUGAACAAAAACUUAUUUGUUUUCCUUCUUGCAGAUAGCUUGGCGUUGGGUUCCUCCCUACGGGAGGACUAUGUUUGUUUUUUUUUAUGUUUUGUGUAGAUCUGUUUCGUUUUCGAUUUGGGUGUUUUGGGGGGUUUGCGUGAAAUUUGGUUUCUUGUGUGUGGAAAUGGAGGUCUGUUUGGGGCUGUUGAGGGUGUUUUGAGGGGAGAAGAGUUCGUCUGAGCUCGAUGGUUUUCGUGGGUAGAUUGAAUGGGUCUUUUUUUCUUUUCAAUCAGAGAGCUGAGAGAGCUUGAAGGGGAAAUGGUUGGGGAUUUUAAAGGGCUUCAAUUAGGGGGAUUUGGGUGGCUGUAGGUGGGCUGAAAGGAAGCUGGUAAGAGGGCAUUAAGGGGUUGACAGGGGGCUGGUCGGGAGGCUGACAAGGGUGGCAACGACGUCGUACCAACCCCUGGUUUUUGUCUCAUUUCCUUUCUCCUUUUUUUUUAAUAAUUUUUUAAUUAUUAUAUAUUUUAAAUAUUUAUUUUUUUUAUUAUUAUUAUUAUUAUAAAACUGAAAUGGACAUAAUAGAGACAAAAUCGGUGUCUACAUCGUUAAAUUAGAAAGAUGAAAGAAUUAGUGAAAGACAGACAAAAGCCCAAUCAUCCUUUUCUUAUGGAGUUUCGCUUCACUUUUCUUUUAAUUUUUUCCUAAAUUAUUCAACCAAUAAAUAAUAGUGUAAUAGCAAGAGGAAUGCAUGGGUCUAAAAGAUGUAAAUUAGAUUUGAUAAUUUGUGUAUUUGUAUUAUAUAAAAUAUUAAUAUUUAUAUAUUUGUAUAAUUUUUUACAUAAAAAUUAUGUAUUAUAAUUCGUGUCAGAUAUGAAAAUAUGAAAUAUAUUUUUUUAAUUUUAUUAAAUUCAUAUGAGUUUUUGCUAAGAUUUUAAACUAUCUUAUUUUUCAUAUCUUUUAUUCGUAUCAUUUCAUAUUAUAUUAUUAUAUCAUAUUUUAAAUUAUUAAGUUUAAUAAACUUUAAUUUCUUUUGACUUAUUUUUUAUAAUUAUUUUAUUAUUUUAUUUUUUUAUUCAUAGUUCUGUUCUUAUUCAAGGGAUUAGAUUCUAAUCAAAUUAUGCCCCAUGAGAUACAAGAUUUAAUGACCAAACAAAGAAAGAGUUCACGAAUCAAAAUCCAUUUUUUCUCCUUCCUUUAUUUAUCCUAACAUAUAUAUAUAUAUAUAUAUAUAUAUAAAACCCUAAAAUUUCAGUAGAAUACAACAAAAUUUUUAUAUCAUAAUAAAUUUAGUACUUAAAUUUUUUAAAACUAAAAAUUUUAUAUUUACUUUUUUAAUAUUGAAUUUGUUCAAUUUGUCAAUGAGUACUUCAAUUAAAGUAUGAAAACAUUUCAUGCAAUUCUUGUGCAUAUUAUCUUUAGCAUAUUUGGAAGUUUAUUUAGACUCUAAAAUAUUUUGAUAAAAGACUAAAAAUCUGAACAUCUAUGAGUUUUCAUUUUUUUAUUAAUAUAUUUUUAUUUAUGCUUGUUGCAGGACUCUCCUUUUGAUUGAAGUUGUUGAAAAUGCUGUGAAAAGGUCUACUCUUUUCACUUUUCUUACCAGUAAUAUAUAGAAUUUUUAUUUAUUAUCUUUGGAAAAUUUUGUUUCAAUGGUUUUUGUAGUGCUUUAUUACUCUUUUGACUCAGAUAUUAGGUUUUUGUUGGGUUUUUUAUCCAACAUUUUUUCUCUUGGAUUUCCUCUAUGCUAUUGUAAUUGUGCAUGUAUUGCAUGUUUACAAUUUGUUGUUAUUAUUGAAUAAAGGUUCUUUUUUAUUAUUAUUAUUAUUUUAUAAUUAUGAUUUAGUUUUGUUAGUAAAUUAAUGUGCAGCUUGUCUCAUAGAUUGCAUGCAUGAGGUGAGUUUCUCUGUUUCAGUUGUAUAGAAAAUAUUGCAUGAAGCUUUAUUAUUAUUAAUUUUAUAUGAAAUCAGUGUUCAUAAAUCUUAGAAAAGAAACAUGUUAAUGGGGGGGUUUAUCUUUAGUCUUCAAUGAAUCCAAGGCUGGGGGGAGAUCUAUACCGUGUUGUUUUUAUCAAAAUAUGCCAUUUUAGUCGCGGAAAGUUUGAAUUGUUGGAACAAUUUUAAGAUUUUUUAUGGAAAUUCGAAGUGAUUCUUUCAUUGUUAGGAAAAAAAUUAGAGGCUAUUUUUUUUUCAUAGGAACACAAACAGAUAGAUUUGUAUUGAAAUAUGUUCAGCCAUGAUUUCUUGGUUUUUAUUCCUAUUGUAAUUAGCUAAUUCAACCUGUUGGCCAUGAUUUUGGGUCAUGUUGCUUUGCUGGAUUUAUACAUGUUGAAUGAGUAUUAUUGAUGUCCACAUUACCUAUGUUUGAUAAGAAACAUGAUUAUGACUGCCCCAUUUUCUCCGACAAUAGCUCGAUAGCUUCACUAAAUAAGAUACAUGAUUGUUGGCUGGGAUAUUCCUAAAGAGGAAGGGUGUUCAACAUGGCCUUAAUGACCUGCAGUGGUGUUGAGAAGGCAACAUUCUUGCUUGAUGAUUUAUGAAGUUGAAUAUUUGCCUUUUGACAUGUUUGUUAAACACGGUUGUGCUUUGUACCAACUUGGUUGUAUAGGGCUAUAAUGUACCUGCCCUUUUGUCUUCCAGGAAAGAAACAGUAUUAAAAUCUGUGAAAAAAGCAAUUUCUUUGCUGUAAAUUUGUGAUGGAUCAAGACAAUGACCAAGAGAAUAAAUCUGAUGCAUCAGCAGAUGUUUCGCUGAAGCGCAGACGUGGUCCCCUGAGGAAACAUCCGAAAUAUAAUCUAAAACAGGGGGAGAAUCCAAAUAUGAACUGUGCAGGGAAUACCCGUAUCCAACCUGGAUUUGAAGGGUUGAAUGAAAAUUAACCCCGUCAAGCAAAUUCAAUCAAUGAUGCAAAUGAUAUAAUGGUGGGUCAUUCUAUUUAUAGUAUUAUUGAGGCAGCAUUUGUUGCAGGAUAUUUGUUCACUGUUAGCAUUGGCAACUCUGACACCACUUUAAGGGGUGUGGUUUUCAAGCCUGACCAUUUUGUUCCUGCUUCAGUUGAGAAUGAUGUGGCACCAAAUGUUCAAAUGAUCAGAAGAAAUGAGAUUUCUUUCCCAAGGGAGAGGAAUGAGCAGCAUGUCAAUUCUCGUAGAAAUCGAUUUGCUCAUUCAUUCAAUGAACCAGCUGUUGUCAACCAGGUGCCUUCAACCUGGUUUUCAAAUCUUAAAGGCUCAAAAAGCAAACAUGCGCAGUCGGUGUCAACAUAAUCUGCUUCUCCACUAAUGACCAGAGACAUUGUGGUGCCUAUUGUGCUCCAAACUGCUAAUUUAUCAAACCGCGAAUCAGUUUCCAACCAACCAUCUCUGGUUGCAAGCCAACCAGCUUAUUUGGUGGCCUCUAAAGGUAAACAAGUGUCUGAAGCUGUUGAUACAUCAAAUGAGGGAAAACCCACCAACCAGAUGCCAACAGUUAGAAAUCAAAUAUUUCUUACUCAAUCUUUAAGUAGUAACCACAGCAUGCCAAAAGGCAUACAAAGUGAAACUGUUUCAUAUAAUCAACCUGCAACAGAGUUUUUGCUGGAGACAAAAGCCAUAUCAAUGAUUGGCAUGCCUUUUGAGAAACUAUUAACUGUAGUCAUGAAAAGAACUCAAGUACCCCCAUAACCAUCGGAGGCUCAAGGUGGUAAUUUUUUGGUCAAAAAUUUUGGACACAACCUGAAAGAUGAUCAGCCAUUCUUUAUUGAACCAAUGCAAGCUGUACAACCUGUUCAUUCUUCUUCUGUGCUCAAACAUUUGGAAAAUUUUUGAAUUGGAAAGAUGACUGAGUUGCUGAAGGUAUAAUAAUUUUGAACUAGAAUUUUAUUUCCAUUUGACUAAUCUAUUAUGCCCUGAGGUUUGACAUAGACUGAUACACUGCACUCCUCUUCAAGGCUGUUCAAAAAACAAGAGGGAAACCCAAGCAUCUCGCACUGAAGAGCCAGCCAUUAGAUUUGGAGAAACUUAGCAUGGAGAUAAAAAAAUGCAUGAUUCCAACAAGCAUUCACAGGUUUCGAGGGUCUAACUCAACAUGCAUUUUACUAGCAAGUUCUGGGCUAGCUCGCAUUUUGUAGAGUGUUUUAGUUGAAUCAGAUAAAUUCUGUAAAUUGUUUUAAAUCCUAAACUAGCCGAAAGAGCUAAAUGAUCCCAGGACGGUUAUGACCUUAAAGCAUAAAAUGCUGCACGAGAUCUUCUAUCCUUUAAGCUGAGGAUCAAAACUGAUACCAUUACUUGGAAUUAAAGCUUUUUUUUUUGUCACUUCACAGAUUUAUAGAAAAUCUAUUUUCAUUUUACUUUAUGCUUUGUCAUCAUUUAGCGUCCAUUUAAGAGUCCGACUAGAGGGCUCCCCAUAGCGAUUUUAUGGUUGGACACUUAGUAAACGGCCCUUACUAAAAUAUAUGUGACUUCCUUAUAUUAAGAUCAUCUAAACAUUUGUGGAACACAUGCUAAUGGGUAUAUGAUGGCCAGACAGAUUAUGAGAGCAGGUUACUAUUGGUCUACUAUAAAAAAUGAUUACAUCAAUUAUGCAAGAAAGUACCAUAAAUGCCAAAUUUAUGUAGAUAAAAUUCAUUCCUCUCCAGUCUCACUGCAUGUCUUGGCACCACCAUGACUCUUCUCUUUGUGAAGAAUGGAUGUGAUCGAACCCAUAAUCCCAAAAGCUUCAAAUGAGCAUUACUUUACCUUUGUGGUAAUCGAUUACUUUACCAAAUGGGUAGAAGCAGCUUCGUACGCUAGUAUAACAUGAUUAGUAGUGUGCAGAUUCAUAAAAAGAGAAAUAAUAUGUCGGUAUGUGCUCCAAUAAAGGAUCAUCUCAGAUAAUGCUAGCAAUUUAAAUAAUAAAAUGAUGAAAGAAUUGUGCGCACAGUUUAAGAUAAAGUAUCAUCAUUUAGCACUAUAUCGCUAAAAAAUGAAUGGUGCAGUGGAAGCUACGAAUAAGAACAUCAAAAGAAUAUUGAAAAAAUGAUUGAUACAUAUAGAGAUUGACAUGAAAAGUUACCUUUUGCCUUACUUGCCUAUAGAACAUCAAUUCGAACCUCUAUGAGGGUUACCCCAUUUUCGUUAGUGUAUGGGAUGGAAGUUGUACUACCGAUUGAAGUAAAAAUUCCUUCCCUAAGAGUUUUGAUGGAGGUAAAAUUAGAUGAAGCAGAUUGAGUUUGAGAUCGUUUCGAGCAACUGAACCUUAUUGAAGAGAAAAGGCUCUCGGCACUUUACCAUGGGCAAAUAUACCAAAAAAAAAUCACUCGAGCACAUGACAAGAAGAUACAACCUCGAUGCUUUUGUGAGGGUGAAUUGGUUUUAAAAAAAAAGAUUUUGCCAUAUCAACAUGACAAUAGAGGAAAAUGGAUGCCUAAUUGGGAAGGUCUAUAUGUGAUAAAAAAAAACAUUCUCUGAUGGAGCUCUGAUCAUUGCAGAAAUGGAUGGUGAUGAAUUAUCAAAUCUUAUGAAUUCAGACACUAUCAAGAAAUAUUUUGCUUAAAAAAAGAUGCAAAAAAAUGAAAAAAAACAAAAAAAAAAGAAAAGAAAAAAGGGAGAUGAGUUAAACUGAAAACCUGAAAAGAGUGGUUUGAACUAAAAAAGGGUCAUUUAAGCUGAAAACCUGAAAGGUAGCUUUAAUGAAAGUGAAGCUAGGAGAAAAUCCUUCAAAGAAUGAAGAAGUGGCACCAAAUGGACAAAUAUUUACCAGAAUUAAGAGAGAUGACUUUUAAAGGGCAAGUUUUCAUUAAUCACAGAUAUGGGGCAAUGAUUGGUUAUAUGAAAUCAAACGUGACAAGAUCGCAAAUGUAAUGAGUUUUUGGAAAAGACUUGGUCUGAGUAGGCCAAGGUCAUUCAAAUGUUCAUUAUCUAGAGAAUUGACAUUUGAUUUUCGAAAUACUUUUGAGUUAACUGUUCUUUGUGUCUCGAAAUACUUAUCUUUAUCUUUCUAAACCCAAAAUACCCCAUUACUAACCAUGUUUCAUACUCAACCUUGAACCUGAAAUCAUUGCAUUUGUCAUUUAAAAUUAAGAUAAUGAUUGAUAAAGUUCAUAAUAGACUGAUACAUCACUCGAAAAGAGAAUGCAAUAUAAGAAUGACAGAAAUAAUAAUACAGGGUUAAAAAGAAUGAAAUGAAAUUGAUUGAUCAUUAAAAAUAAAGAAAUGAGAUGAGAUAAAAAAAGAAUUCAAAGAAGAUUUUAGAGUAACUAAAAGCCAAAUAGGUCCAUCAGAAGAUGGAGAUUUCUAGAUAAAAAUCGAAAGACUUAGAAGGACGAGCUAUUGGAAAUGACUUUUAAAGUUUGAAAAAAUUAAACCAAAAAGUUGAAUUAACUUGGCUGGAAACGCAUGAUAUAAUUCUUUGAUUACAUCUUUGUCUUUUCAUUCAUCAUAAUUAUUGCAUAGAUCUCAUACCUCAUGAUAAGUUACAUAAAAGGUUCUUUAUGAGACAUCAGGAAGAAUCAGCAUUUUUUUUUUCAAAACAAAGAUGAUGGCCUUGAAGAUGAUAUGUUAUCUCUAGCACGAUUCUUAAAAUCGAAACUGUCAAUCUAUAGAGUGAGCAAUCCCCUAUUUUUCAACUUAUAGCUCAGUCUUGGUCACAUUUAUUCUCUCAACUCGUGGUUUAAUCCUGAUUGUCAUUAUUUUCUUAAGUCGUGGUUUAGUCCCAGUCGUCUUUAUCCUCUUGACUCAUGGUUUAGUCCCGGUUGUCUUUAUCUUAUUAACUUGUAGUUCAACCCCAAUCCUUGUGAUUUUUUGACUCGUGAUUUCAUCUCGAUCAUCAUUAUUUUCUUAACUCGUGGUUUAAUCUUAGUCUUUGUUAUUCCUCUAAACUCGCAGUUCAACCCCAAUCCUCAUUAAUCCUUGACUCGUAGUUUAAUAUCGAUCAUCAUUAUUUUCUUAACUCGUGGUUUAGUCCCAAUCGUCUUUAUCCUCUUGACUCGUGGUUCAGUCUCGGUCGUCUUUAUCCUUUUGACUUGUAGUUCAACCCUAGUCCUUGUGAUUCAUUGGCUCGCGAUUUAAUCCUGGUCGUAAUUAUUUUCUUGACCAUGGUUUAAUAUCAAUCAUCGUUAUUCCUUGACUUGUAGUUCAAUCUGGUCUUAUUAUUCUUUGACUCGCAGUCUAAUCCUGAUCAUAUUAUCUCUCUGACUUGCGGUUCAAUCUUGAUCUCAUUUUUUUUGACUCGUGGUUCAAUCCUGAUCUUUUUACUUCAAGUCACAACUUAAUUCCGAUCCUUAUUAUUUUUUCGACUUGCGGUUUAAUCCUAGUCUCUUUAUUUUCUUGACUCGUAGUUCAAUCCCGAUCUCUUUACUUCUAAGGCGUGGUUUAAUCUCAAUCCUCAUUAUUUCUUUGAGUUACGAUUUAAUCUUAGUCUCUUUAUUUUUGGACUUGCAGUUAAAUUUCGAUCUCGUUAUCCAUCGACUCACGAUUUAAUUUCGAUCAUCUUAACUUUUUGACUCAUGGUAACAAAGAAAAAAAUAACAAAAACAAAAAAAAAAACAAAGCAAAAUUUUUUAGUUUCAGAUAAAAUUGACGUCUUUAUCUUUAUCAUAUUACUGAUUCUUAGAAUGUGCAAAGAAAGGUAGCUGUAGACACCAAAUUUGUUCGAUUUUUAGUCAAGUCUCGUUUUAAAGUGCAUUGGGGUAUUGGAUUUUUAGGCUCAGGCCUAUUUCAAUUUGACUGGGCCCUAGUUUCGAUUUUGGCUCAACUAGGCUCCAAGGCCUGAUUUUGACUCAAUUGGGCUUCAGGCCCAAUUUGAUCCAAUUAAGCUCGAAACCCAAUCUCAUUCUUAAUCUCAAAACAUAUUUUAUUUUAUUUUUUACUUUAAUAUUUAUUAAUUAAACAAAAAUUACAAUUAAUUAAUAAAAAAAGAUAGAAAAUAGGGGAUUGGUAUACGGCACCGCUAUCCAGUCCCAUCAGGCCAACCACCCUAGUCCCAUCAGGCCAACCACCCUAGUCCCAUCAGACCAGCGACCCUUAUGACCUAACCAGACCAACUACUAGACCAGUCUCAUCAGACUAACUACACUUAUACCUAACUAGACCAACCACCCCUUCACCAAAGCUUUAUAGCCGCCCUACAAACACCUACAGCCACCCCCUACAGGCCCUAAACCACCCACUGUCCCGAACAUAUACCCGACCUUAUAAAGAACCCAGUUUCCUCCCCUUCCAAGCUUUGGGACACACCUCAAUUUCUAAAAACACAAAACCUUCCACACCUAGAAACUUAAAACCAUUCCUAGAAACCCAAACAUUUCCCCAUCCCCACUUAUAAAAAAAUAAAAAAACCCAAAAUAGAUCCAUAAAAAUGAAAAAAACAAAUAAAACAAAAACACAGUCCUCCUCGUAGGGAGGAGCUUCAGCGUUGAAGCCACCUGCAAAAAAAAUAUCAUCAGUUAAUUUUAAAAAAAAACAUAAAAAAUUUUAAACCCCGAUCUACGUCAAUCGAGGCUAUUUCUCGCAAAAAAGGAUAACGGAUCUGAGCUCAGAAGGUCGAAAGGAGCUUUUCGAUGAAUUUUAAAAUUUUUCGAUCAUUGGCGAUCACCAACAACGACCACCUAUGGUGACCCAUACGGCGACUAACAUGACAACAGUACACUAGACUUCGGUGAAGCCAGAGAAAGCUUUUGAACUGAAAACUUUUUUUUUUUUGGAAAAGUGAAAAAAUGUGUUAAAAAAAAGGUUGGCUUUUAUAUAAGAGAAACAAAGCCUAAAAUAACGUCGUAUUGGACCCAAGAGGAUUCAUGUGUUUACCUGAACCCGACCAGAGAUUUAAACAAUCGAUUUGGUGACCCGUCCCUCAACCAACCCUGAACCGACUCAGUCAAAUCAUUAGUCAAACCGCCACUCAACUGGCUUAACCGAACUGCUUGUCAACCACCUCUGUUUUUGGCUUAGCUGAACUGUCAUUGAUUGGACCGUUGACCGAUCCGGUUUAGGUAAAAAUUUUUUUAUAUAUUAUUUAUUUAUAUCAUUUCUAACAUUAUUAUUAUUAUUUUUUCUGCAUGCUUUAAAAUUUUUAGAGUUUAUUAAAAUAAAUACUUUUUUAUUUAUGGUAAUAAUUAACAAUAAUAAUAAUUAAAUGACCAUAACAAUAAUAAAAUUCAAAUGUUUUUUAAAAACUUUUAAUUCCUAUUAAUGUUUUUUUUAAUAAUCCAAGUAUUAAAUAAAAAACAAUAAAAUAUGCAUAGAAUAAUAAUAAUAAUAAUAAUAAUAAUAAUAAUAAUAAUAAUAACUUUUCCUUGCCUAGAUGUUGGAAGGAAUACAAUCGUGUUUUAAAUAAUGAUAAUUUUGCCUAGAUGUUGGAAAAUUAUUAUUAAAAAUAAUAAUUAAUAUUUUAACUAAGCAAAUUAAUAUUAACUCUUUAUAACAAAAAAUUAAUUUUUAAAAAUCAUAAAAAUCGAACUUGCUCCAAAAGUCCGUCUAGAUGUUGGAGAUUUUUAGAGAUGUUUACAUUUUCUUUAACCCUAAAAUCCAAAAUCCUAAACCCUAAGAGUCUGAACCCUAAAUUUAGCAUAUACCCCUUAAACAUUCCCUAAAAAUCGUGCAAGCCCUAAACCUAUACCCUAAAUCUAUUUCGAAACUUUAAGGAUACGUGUGAAAAUCUUAAAUGAAAUGAUUUGCUCCCGAAUAUACCCUAGAUGAUGGGGUAUUUAGGAAACUUUAUUUCAUUAAGUUUUUAUUUUUCACACGAAUUCUUAAUUCGCGUUAAUAAUGCAUUAAUAAAUAAAAAAUAUAAUAGUAAAUUAGGAUCUUAAAUAUAAACAAUCGCAUCUAAGCUCUGCCUAGAUGUCGGAGAGUUUAGGUGGUCUCAUUAUACUUAAGAACCCAAUUUUAAAAUUGUUUUUCAUCCUGCAUAAUAUUUAUUGGCAUAGAUACAUUAACAUGUUAUCGUUAGCAGUCAUUUGCAUUCUUUUGUCUUUAAUUUUUACUAUAGAAUGAUAAAGUGUCUUAUAAUAAAAAGAGACAAUACAUUCUUUUAAAAAAUAUAUUUGUGAUAUUAUAAAAUAAAACAAAAAUAACAUUUCGAAAGAAAAAAUUUUUGGUGCUCUGCCUAGAUGUUAUAGAAUUACCAACAAUUAUCUUCAAUAAAAGUGUUAUUUUAUUUUAAGGAUUUUUGUGUUAAAUUUUAAGUGAAAAGAGUUAUUUUAAAUUCUACUUAGAUGUUUGAAGAAUUUGAAGAUAAUUCAUUAAUUUAAAGAUUUUCUCAAUAUUCCUAAAUAAAAAGUUUUAACAAUUUUUUUUUCAAACGAAAUGGAUUAUUAUUCAAUUUCAAAUUAAAACUAUUCAUCCCACAUAGAAAAUAACACAUAAUUAAUUGGUACUAAUUUAUAGGCAUUGUGGGGGUGCUAAUCCUUCCUUAUACGUAAUCGACUCUUGAAUCCAACCUGAUUUUCGUAGAUCAAAAUUUAUCUUUUUGAUAAAUUUUAAACCCAUUUUUAUAGUUUUGUUAAAAAGAUAAACUUUUAGGUGAUUAAUCACACCUUAAAAAAGAUUGGUAGUGAUUCUUUUUAUUUUUUUCGAUUUUGAAAAUUCUUUACGUCCGACGAUCUCAAAAUCAUUUAUUUUUUUUUUUGGUGUUUAAAAGCAAAUCAUAAAAGAUAUAACAUGAAAUAAAAUAGAAAUUAGAAGUCAAAGAAAUCCAUAAAAUUAUAUAACAACAUUUUUUUCUUGGAGAGAGAUAAAAAUAGAAGAAUAAGAUAAAUAUUAUAAACAUUUCAUUUAGCUGGAGCUUUUAAAUUUAAUUUGAGUUCGUUAAUAAAAUUCUAAAUUUUAAUUGAUCCGUUUGAAAUUUAGUUUACAAUUUGUUUGAGUUUGAUUCAAAGGUCCAAUUCUAACUUUAUUUAUUUAUUUAUUUAUUUUCUUUAUUCAUUUUCAUUUAUUAAUUAUUAUAUUUUUUUAUUAAUUAUUUUGUUUGUGUCCCGUUGAAACUACAAAGAAAAGUUUCAUGAAAGACUCAUUUAAUUUAUUUGGAUUCUCUUUUAUCGUCAUUAUUACCAUUUUCCAAUUACUUACUGGAAGACAACGAAACGAGGGCCCAAGCAUCUUGUCCUUUUUCGGCAGUUGGGAGUUAUGCCUUUAAUUCACACCUCUUUUUUUUUUUUUUCUUUUGCUCGUACGAAUUUUUGAAGAAAACUGGCAACUGCGACAUGGCAACAUUAAUGCUAUUUUGAAUUAAAAGCAUUGCUCCCAACUGCCAGGAAAAGGACAAGAUGAUGCUAGUGGGACAUGGCAUCAUUAAUGCUAUUUUAAAUUAUUGAUCCUUUUAUUUUUAUUUUUAUUUUUUUUCAAUUAUUUUUUAACAAUAACUUUCUCAACUACUUUUUUUGUUUGUUUUAUGAAAUUAAAUUCUGUAUUGAAUUACGCCUCAUACGAUAAAAGAUGUAAAGUUAAAUUAUACUAGAGGAUUUUAUAUUUUAUGAAAAUUUAAAAUUUAAUUUUUAUAUUAUAAUUUAUAUAGUUUUAGUUUUUAUAUUAUUUUAAUUUAAUAAUUUUAGUUUAUUCAUUAAUUUUAUUAAAAUUUUUUAUUAAAAAUUGUUGACGUAGGUGUUAGCUUAACGAUGUAAACGUUAAUUUUGAUUAUGUAUUAGCAUGAUUUGCUGACAUGAUAAUUGAGAUAGAUAAAAUUAAUUAUUAAAUUAUACAAAUAAUUUUUAUAUUAAAAUAAAAUUUAAAAUUUAAUUUUUGUAUUAGCAUGAAAUUUGAAAUUUAAUUCAUAUACUCUAAUAAAAUAUGAAAUUUAAUUUCUCUAAGAUAAAAAUAUUUUGAAUUUUUUUUGAAUUUUUUUAAUUUUUUAAAGUAUUAAAUUCAAAAUAAAUGCCACAAUAUUAUGUUACAAUAUUCUAUUACAAUAUUGAAAAAUCUAUUAUAAUAUUCUAUCAUGAUUUUCAUAUAUUGUCAAUAAAUUUUAUCACAAAUUUUGUCACACCAUGCGAAAUACUAUUACUAAUUUCGUUAUUAUUUCUUAUUACAUUUUAUCUUCAAAAAAUUAAAACCUGUUAUUAAUAUUGUCACAAUUUUCUAUCAUAAUGAUAGUUUAGUGUGUGUGGUCAUAUGGAAAAAAAAAUUUACACAAAUUUAUUAAAAAUCUAUCACAAACUUAUCAACAUAUAAUACAAAUUUAUCAUUAACUAAUUUUAAUAAAAUAAUUUUUUAUUAAUUUAUUAAAUGAAAUAGAAUUAUAAUUCCAUCCCACAAAGGUAAAAUUAUCUAUCAAAUAAUUUUUAUAUUUUUUUCAUUAAAUCUUAUUUAAAUAAUUUUUAUAAUCAAAUCUAAGUUUAAGAUUUUAAAUACAUUAAAAUUAUUUAUUAAACUAAAUGUGUAUUAAUUUUUGAAUGAAACCUAUUAUUUAAUUUAACAUAAUUAUUUAGAUAAAUAACAAGUUUCGGUAGCUGAUCCACGUGCGACCUGGCACUUAGGAUUCAUGCACCCAAUUAGAGCUGAUCCAGAGCCAAGCCGGGCCUUUUCAAUUGUUUAUCCAAGUUGAUUGAUCUGUUAGUUGAGGUGUUGAUCAUUGACCGAGCUGUUGAUUAAGUUGAGUUGUUUUUUUGGGUAUUUUAUUUUUAUUUUUGUUUAUUCAUUUAUUUGUUUUUAUUUAUUUGCUAGUAUUUUUCAAGAAAUAAAAGAAAAAAAGAUAAGUAAACAUUAAUUUUAAAAAUUCAUUUUGAAACUAAAAUCCUACUAAUAUAUUGAAAAUUUUUUUAAAUUAAAAUUUUAAAAAUUCAUUUUAAAAUAAAAUCUUCCUAACAUGUCAAAAUAUUUUAUAAGUUUGUUUAUAAAAUUUUAGAAAGAAAAUCCAUAAAUUUCUACCAAUAGAUUGGAAGAUUUUUAUGAGUUUGAAAAUAAUUUUGUAAAAAUAAAUUUUAUCAAUAUAUUAAAAGAUUUUAUUGAUUUGAAAAUAAAUUUUAAAAAAUUAAAAUAUAAAAUUUUCCUUCAAAUUAAAUUGUUUUGAAAAUGUUAAGACAAGUUGAAAUAUUAAUUUUUUUAAGAUAAAAUUUUGAACAAUUAGAAAAAAGUUAAGAUAUUAAUUUUUUCUAAAAUUUUGAUUAAGGAUAAUUUUCAAUACAAAAAUAGUUUUGAAAAUUUUUUAGAUGUUUUGAAGGUUUAAUGGAUAACAUAAAAUUAAUUGGUAUCAUUUUUUAGAUAAACGUUAUAGGGAUGCUAUAUCUUUUCUUGUACGUAAUCGUAUUUUUGAAUUUGAUCUGAUUUUAUAAAAUAGAAUCUAUUAUUUUAAAGAGCCUGAAUUAAUUAAACUUAAAAUCUCUUUUAAAAAAAAUAAAUUUGAUUAAGGGAACAAUUGCAUUUAAAUAAAAAUUUUGAUGAUAAUUCCAUAUUUUAUAUUUAAUAAUCAAAUUUACUUACUUAUACCUUAUAAUAAAUAUACUAGAAAAUAUGAACUUUCAGACUCCAUGAGUUUUUAAUUCCGUCAUUUUUUUUAAUUAAAAGAAAAUUGAAGUAACAAUCUAACUUUCCUACACAUGAAAAAAAAAAAAAGAAAAACCUUAAAGUAUCCAUGAAUACCGGAAAAUUCUGCUUGAAAUCCUGUGACCAAUUGAAACUACUGAGAAAUGUGGCAUCAAAUACUUCCUUAAUUUCUUUGAACUGUAACUAUAACCAUUUUUCUUAUUCAAAUCCUUAAUGGAAGAGAACUAGAUGAGGGCCCAAGCAUCUUGUCCUUUUCUUAGGAGUUGGGAGUUGGGAGUUGGGAGUUGGAAGAUGGGAGUAAUGACUUUAUUUCACACCUUUAUUAUUAUAUUUUUUGCUUGUUCGAAAUUUUGAAGGAAACUGAUCUAUCAUUUAUCUCAAUUGCAUUAGAUUGCAAUUCACAGCUUUCGUUAGUGGGACAUGGCAUCAUUGAUGCACUUUUGAAUUGAUCUACCUAUAUAUAUAUAUUUUCAAUUAUUUUUCUGCAUUAUUUUAUUUUAUUUUUGAUUGACCUUUGCGGAUACAUCUAUUCAAGAAUCAAAAUAAUCAUUCACGGCUGAAAAUUAGUUCAAAGUUUGAAAGUGUUUACACAUAAAUAUUAAGUUUGCCAAAUGGAUCAAGAUUUAAAUUGAAUUUUUUUUUUUUUAAAUAGAUAAGCUUUUGUGAAUAACAUUUAUGGCCCAAGCCUAAUUUUAUAAUUUUUAUUUUUAUAAUAGUCGGACUUGAUAGUUAUAUAUAUAUUAUAUAAAAAUAAAUAAUACAUAUGUGUAUAUUAAUUUUUUUAUACCUACAUGUAUCAAUUUCAAUUAAAUAUUAAAUUAAUAAAAUCAUUUUUUAAGUUUUAUUUAUCAUAAUUAACAUUUAUUAUAAAAUUUAUUUUUGUUAUUUGAAAGAUUAAAAUCAAGAUCACUUUUUGAUUGAGUCGAGCUUAAUAAAUCUAAAAUUUAUUAUUAAUCUAGUUAUGCUCAAUCAGAAUUAAAUUCGAUCAUAAGCAUUUUUAAAUAGAAUAAAAACCCACUACUUUUAGUUUAUUUUAGAGAUUAAAUUCUGUAUCAGAUUAUACCCUCAUGCUAUUUAAUGACCAACCAUACAAGGGUCCAUGAUUAUUUUUUAGUAAUGUUAUACAGUGAUUAAAUAUUCAUUUUAAUUAUAGUACAAGGAUAAAUUUCAUUACUUGACAUUUCCUUUUUGUAUAAGACUAAAUAUCAUUUCAUUAUAUCUGUAAACACAACUAAAUUGCCACCUGCAAUUACAAUCUCAACUCUCACAUGUCGCACCUAUCCUUUAUUGUUCUGUCAUUUUCUGGUAGACAAUGAAAAGAAACAACUUAUUAUUUUAGAGUUAAAGCUCUGAACUUAAUUGAAAGAAACAAUGAUAAAUAAAUACAUAAAAAAAAAAUAGAAUACAAAAGAUGCACACAAAUUAUAGUGAUUUUCUCUUAACGUGAAAGUCAUGUUUAUUUGCAGAUGCUACAUAUCUUCAUUAUGAUAAAAGAGAGAUUACAAACAAACUCCAAUUGCACAUUUCACCAUCUCUCUAACGUUUUUUUUCUCUUUCUCUCUAAAAUAUACACCACCUCAAAUCGAAAGUCUUCAAAUAUAAGUAUAAUUAGAGCAACCAAAUUUUUUAUGAAAAAUCCCAAAACACCUUUAUUAAUAAUACUCUUACAUAUAAAAUUUGGUCUAGAAAAUUUUGUUAUCUACAGGCUCUAAGAAGAAAAUUUAUCAUCCCAUUCAACUCGAUUGAUCAUAUUUAAAAGUCGAUUCACGUAUUGAUUUUGGAUACAGACAAUGAACGUCAAAAUUAAUUAGAGUUAAUUAGAUUCCACACGUCUUUUAACACUUAAAAUGUUACCAAGUCUAACGUAUUGCAUAUAUGUUGCAAGGUCCUAUCUAAUGGUAGAAAAAUUUUCCAAACACAAUUAGUAUAUCUGCUUCAAAUACUUCAUAAAAUAAUUUUUUUUCUGUAUCCAAAUACCAUUUGAGGUUCGCUAACAGUAAAUUAGUUAAAAAAUUUUGAGAUUAAAGUCAAAUUUGUCUGUAUAUUAUGGUUUAAUACUCCUUCUAUCCCAAAAUAAUUAUAUUUUAUCGAUUUUCAUUCAAAUUAAUUCAAUUUUCAUCUUCAUUUUUUAAAAUAUUAUAUUAAAUUAAAACUUUAAAAAAUAUAUUUUGAAAAAAUUUGAAGUUCAAAAUUUGCAAAUCUUAUUUUUUAAAAUUUUAAAAUUUUAUUAAAAAUAAUGAUCAAAAUCAAAUUAAUUUAACCAAAAAAUCAAUUAGGGACGAUUAUUUUGAGAUGGGAGAAUAUUAAAUUUUAUCAUUAUAAUUUCAAUUUGUUAAUUUUUACACAAAAAAAUAGAAUUAAAAUAUUUAUAAAAUAUUUCAUUAAUGCAAGUGAUAAAUUUUUUUUUCGGAGUUCAAAGCAAUAGAAAUAAACUUUGCUUCAACCGAACAAAACCUUCAACUAUCCACAAAUAUUGAAAAUUUUUACUUGAAAUCUCAUUGACCAAUUGAAACUACGGAGAAAAGUUGCAUCAAAGACUUCUUUAUUUUAUUUAAUUUCUUUGGAGUCUCUUUUAUUAUGAUUGUUAGAUUUCAAGUUUGUGCUUGUUACGAAAGUAAAAUAAAAUUAUAUAUUUGUAAUUUAGCUACAAAAUUAAAAUAAAUUGAAAGUAUCUUCUAUCUUAGAACAACAAAUCGAACCCUAAACACUAUCUAUAUUGUGGGGCAUACAACACGUAGCAUUUUAGAACUAAAGUGAACAAAAAUUUUAGCUUAAGAGAACCAAGUUAUAUAUUCUUACUGUGACCUCAUUUACAAUGAUAUAUACUGCAAAGCGAGUGCCAUGAGCAAUACAAUCGACAUAAAUAUCUAUCGUUUUUUCAUAUGAUGAAAGAGAAUCGACUCAAAAGCAAGGUUUUAUAUAUUUAAGUGGUAAUAGCUAUUUCAAGAUAAACCUGGCACUUAGCAAGUUCUUCUCUCCCUGUAAAAUCCACUCGAAAUAAAGCAAUCACAGAAUCCACAAUUUGAAAAUAUGAGCGCAAACAACAUCGUCAAACAAAAUCCACGAUAUCAGCAUUAGACUCCCUCCUUGUUUGAUUGCUUACGAAUUUAGUCACAAAUCUCUAACCACCAUAGAGGAAAGUGUUGUUUUGUGCUCUAGAACCUUGUUGAUCAACAGGGACAUUAAGGACCACAAACAUGCCAAGCGAAGUGAGGAACAACAUGUAAGAGCAAGACAUACAGCAUCAAGGUUCGUGCUGUGUCAUAUAUAAAACAAGUUUGAAGUUUGGAAUGUCACUACAUACUUACUCUAGAAAUCUCAGUUAUAGGACUUGUCACGUUGUUUAAAGCCGAAAAGAAAAAGGGGCAUAUGCAUGUCAAAUACUAUACUAUUAUCAACCAGCUAUUUCAUUUUUAAUCAAUUAUAUAUUGAUGUAUGGAUUAAACUUGGAGAUUGGGACUAUUAGCUCAAUAAUUCCGUUGCUUUCUUCUUUUUAGCUUCAGAAUUUUUCUGGUUGGCCAGUUUCCUUUGUUUUUUCUUCUUCUGUUAUCUAAGUUGGCUUGUUUCUUUGGUCCUUUGUGUUUCUUGUCUGUAUUGCUCCUUUUCCUUCUACUCUAAUACCACAUUGCAGAAGUCUAUCCAAAUAAUUUGCAGAAAGCUUACAUUGUCAGACAAAUCCAAGUUUCCAAAAUAAUAAGAUUAAUUACUUUUCUCUACAAAUUACUUUUCUUUUCAACCCCACUUGUUAAAAAACAUGAACAUAAAACAAUCUAGAAGAUAUCAAUUUAUUCAUUUUGAAUGUCAGAAAGGAUACUAUAAAAAAUUGCAAAUGUUAAUUUAAUAGAAGAAUUAUCAAUGUUUUUAAUCCUAAAUACAAUACAAAAACAUUGAAGGUUUACAUGAUAUAGAUUUUUUUUUUUUUAAAAAAGGAAACACAAGAAAAAUAGUGCUAUAAACAAAAGAAUAUGAUUUUGGGAAGAUGAAAAAAUAUUGGAAACAAAACUUCAAAGCCAAACAAACUCCCAUGUAAAAUACCUUUUUGGAGACAUGGGGUUUUAACAUACAAUAAGAUACUCACCAAAAGUCUGAAUGGUUCUUCAGAGAUUUUUGCGGCCAAACCAAGAAGCAGAUUGUACUGAUGCUCAUAUGUGUAUACACGAGCAUAAACAAUCUUUGCCAUCAUAGAAAAUUACCAAUAAUUAACAUCUGUUUCUACAAAUUCAAUUAAAGUUCUACUGAUAUCGAUGCUUACAUUUGCAAAAACAGCUCCUGGGUCCAUCCCAAAUCUUUCAGCUAUGGGUAUAAUUCGAUCAGUGCAUGUAGUUGAAGAAAACACGGUAAAUGUAGUUUGGAAUUAUUGAAGAUAAUACUCUUAACUUCUCACACCAGAGAAACUAUAAUAGGUAAUUUGAAAAUUUAAAAGAAUAGAAAGGAUACUAAGUUCCUUCAGUAUCAAUGUAAGCCACUUUUCCAUUCCCACCUCGCAUGUUUGUAGGAAGCUGCAAAGGCAAGAUAAAUAUCUCAUCAACAAAGUUCAAUUUGAAUAUCGAAAUUAUGGUAAGCUAAUUGAACUAAAGCAAUACCAUCCACGAAACAUAAUGUUUUUACCACAUAAUCUAUGUUUUGAAUACCAACAAACAAUUCUUUUGAUUGACAGAUAAUAUUUCAAUUUAUGAUAGACUGAGGAGUCAUAUUAUAUAUACUCUCGCAGUCCUGCCUUUCACUAAAAACAAAUCCAAGGAUAAGUGAGCAAAAGUGAUUUGUUGUGCAUUUUUAUGAUUCAGACAUAGCAUAUCUAUCAUUACCCAUGUUAAACUUUUGCAAGGUUUUCUUAUUCAAAGAACCAAUAUGGGACAAAUGGAAUCUCCUCCAAAAUCAAGCAAAUAGCACAGGUUGUUUGGAGUUGAUUUAGCAGGGUUAACUCUCUUCUUUUUUCUUUCAUCCCUAAUUUCAAAGGAUUAAUAAAGAUCUCACAGUCAUGGAUCACAAAGGUGAGAAAGGAACCUGUGUAGAAACGCAGAGUAUGUGCCAGUUGUGUUUUGCCUGACCUAAAAUUGACAAUGAAGAUUAGCAGGCAAUUCAAUGAUGCAUCAGAGUAAGGAUCGAAAGCAGAAAGAUUUCAACAGGCAAAUAUUAUAUUAUAUUAUAUUAUCUUAUAGUAGUAGUCUAUUGAAGUAAAAUAUCACUGCCAUUGUCGCCUAAGUUAUCCAAAUGCUUCUGUGUGAUAGCCAGAGUUUCUAUGCCACCUUUAAAAGUUUAGGCAUAUAUAUUCAGAUUGUUUGACUCUCUAUUUAUACCAACAGUAAAACAAAUUGAUAUAUGAGGUUGAUAAUCCGCCAUUUACAUCACAUCUCAUCAAUCCAUCUUCAACAGGCAUUGUUAAAUUAUCAUUUGAAUUUUGCAGUCUUUUUCUAUUCAACCUUAUGGCAUUCAAUCUUUCAGUUCCUCUACCCUUGAACUGACCAAAAAGUCUAUCAUCCCUUGUUUAAGCAAUACCAGACCGAGUAAAGCUUAGUCUAAAAGCAUGACAGAAAUCUAAUUAACAGAUCUAAAAGCAUUCAAUCUACAAAUACAACCAUCAGAUCAAACAAAAAUCUAAGUAAAGCUACAAACUUUUCUUAACUCCAUUCCAAAUAAACCAAUAACUGUAGUGAAAAAUUACAACAAACAAAUUUGAUCCUAAAAAGUAAACCAAACAAUAAAAUUAUUUGCUCAUUCAAUGACAACUUCAACAUUUUCUAUCGCCAAUGAGAGUGAAAGUGAAAACCAUGACAGAAAUAUUAUGCAAAAAAUUACGCCUUGAAAUUCAUCUUCGUAGAAUCUGAGAUUUACAGCAAAAAAAUUAAUUACGAAAGCGAAUCACAGACAAUGUUAUACGUACUUCCUCUAUCAAAUUUUUUCUUUUUAAACUUUAUUUUAUUUUAAAUAUAUUAAUAUUUAAUAAUAUAAAAUUUUACCUUUGAAAAUUAAUUAAUAAAAGGCCCCUGUUUUAUUUACUAAACAUGAAAAGAAAAAAAAAAAGGAAAGGAUAAUUAUCGACAUACAGAGAAUUCUACUGUAGAAAACCCAGUUCCUUUUUAUUUUUGCUUACAUUUUUUACUGGAAAGACAAUAGAUUAUAUCAGUUUAUAGCACAUGCAAAGAAAUUCAUGCAUGAAAUAAAAACAACUUACAACAUAAACUCAAACCAAAUUUAUACUCAAAACACACCUCCUUCUACAUCAAACAAAAUGAUAAAAAAUAGUCAGACAAACAAAGCAAAUACAUUCAAACUCAAAACAAAUUUUCAUAUAUCUAUCACAAAAUCAUAAAGAAUAAACGAUUUAAAGAAUAAACAAUAUAUUAUAAAAAACCCAUCACAAGACUCAUAAUCAAAAAACACAAAAAAAAAAAAAGCAAAAACCGCAAUCCUCACAAAUUGUGAGAAACCCAGUAAAUUCGGCAAAGAUUUGGCUGGCAAAAGAGAAAAGGAGAAGAGAAAAGAGGUGACGAUCGGCGACCAAGCAAGGCCCAGAAUUGGCUAGGAGAUAAGAAAAAGACAACAAAAAAGAAAUAAGGAAAAAGAAGGGAGAAAAAGAAAAAGGAGAAGAAGAACAAAAAAAGAGGAGAAGCUUUGGAAUCUUUUUCUUCCCAUAUUUUUCCCAUAAUUUUUUUAAGCCAAUAAAGAGGUGUCUAGGCAAAUUGAAUCAGGGUAUAGAUGUUAUAUAUAGUUAUAGAUUACCAUUUUUCUUAUUCAAUUCCUUGGUGAAAUACAACGAGACAAGGGCUGGCUAAACAUAUUUCCUAGUAUUGGGAGCUAUACCUUUAAGAUUAUCAAAAUUUAAAUCUUAAUUUUUAAAAUAAAAAAUUUAUCGUUUUAUCAACAAAUCAUAUCGUUGACUGAUCCUUUUUUUUUUCAAUUAUUCUUUUUGUAUUUGUCACUGAACUCAACUGUUUAAGUAAUUUAUCAAAAUUAAAAUUUUAUAAUAAGAUUUUAUAUUCUUUUUAUCAGAUAACAAUUUUUUUGAUAAAUGAUAAUUACACAGAUUUUUCAUAUAAACGCAAAAUUCUCCAUCUCAACUCUUUAACCAUUUACUAUUUUCCCUUCUUAAAAUAUAUAGACUCUUUGUUAAGGAAGGGUAUUUUCAUGAAACCAUUAAGAGUACAAUUUGUUGGGAAAUUAACACACACAUGUAGCACCCACGGACAAAAUAGUAAGCUCAAAUCAAUAAUAAGAACACACAAAUAUAUUUGUUUUGGCCCAACUUAAAAUGGCAUACUUCAAACUUAACCACUAACAAAUUAAUCUUUACAACUAUGAGACUUUUAGAAUGAGAAAAAUCUCCAAAACUCCUUACUCAAAACCCAAUUACACCUUUUUAAUAGCUUACUCACCUAGCUAUUCUCUUGGUGUCUAGCUAUUUGAAAUUACCAAAUCAAAACCAAAACCAAAACAUCUUAUUUAUAAGGAUGAAACCCUUUAUACCUUUACUAAAUUUUCGAUGUGGGAUACAAGACAAACUCAAAACUCUUACAACUUUUGAUGUGGGAUUAUGAGAUUCAAGGUAAAUCCCAACAAAUCCUCCAAUGACUUGAAUCUCCAAACACUUCAAUAGUAUUUGCAAAGCUAACACGCUUACUUUUCUUCUUUUCUUUCAUCACAGGGAUCUUAGCAAGGCCCAGAAUUGGCUAGGAGAUAAGAAAAAGACAACAAAAAAGAAAUAAGGAAAAAGAAGGGAGAAAAAGAAAAAUGAGAAGAAGAACAAAAAAAGAGGAGAAGCUUUGGAAUUUUUUUCUUCCCAUAUUUUUCCCAUAAUUUUUUUAAGCCAAUAAAGAGGUGUCUAGGCAAAUUGAAUCAGGGUAUAGAUGUUAUAUAUAGUUAUAGAUUACCAUUUUUCUUAUUCAAUUCCUUGGUGAAAUACAACGAGACAAGGGCUGGCUAAACAUAUUUCCUAGUAUUGGGAGCUAUACCUUUAAGAUUAUCAAAAUUUAAAUCUUAAUUUUUAAAAUAAAAAAUUUAUCGUUUUAUCAACAAAUCAUAUCGUUGACUGAUCCUUUUUUUUUUCAAUUAUUCUUUUUGUAUUUGUCACUGAACUCAACUGUUUAAGUAAUUUAUCAAAAUUAAAAUUUUAUAAUAAGAUUUUAUAUUCUUUUUAUCAGAUAACAAUUUUUUUGAUAAAUGAUAGUUACAGAUAGAUUUUUCAUAUAAACGCAAAAUUCUCCAUCUCAACUCUUUAACCAUUUACUAUUUUCCCUUCUUAAAAUAUAUAGACUCUUUGUUAAGGAAGGGUAUUUUCAUGAAACCAUUAAGAGUACAAUUUGUUGGGAAAUUAACACACACAUGUAGCACUCACGAACAAAAUAGUAAGCUCAAAUCAAUAAUAAGAACACACAAAUAUAUUUGUUUUGGCCCAACUUAAAAUGGCAUACUUCAAACUUAACCACUAACAAAUUAAUCUUUACAACUAUGAGACUUUUAGAAUGAGAAAAGUCUCCAAAACUCCUUACUCAAAACCCAAUUACACCUUUUUAAUAGCUUACUCAGCUAGCUAUUCUCUUGGUGUCUAACUAUCUAAAAUUACCAAAUCAAAACCAAAACCAAAACAUCUUAUUUAUAAGGAUGAAACCCUUUAUACCUUUACUAAAUUUUUGAUGUGGGAUACAAGACAAACUCAAAACUCUUACAACUUUUGAUGUGGGAUUAUGAGAUUCAAGGUAAAUCCCAACAAAUCCUCCAAUGACUUGAAUCUCCAAACACUUUAAUAGUAUUUGCAAAGCUAACACGCUUACUUUUCUUCUUUUCUUUCAUCACGGAAAAAAAAAGAAAAAAAGGAGAAGAAGAAACAAAAAAGAGGAGAAGCUUUGGAAUCUUUUUCUUCCAUAUUUUCCCAUAAUUUUUUUAAGCCAAUAAGAGGGUGUCUAGGCAAAUUGAAUCAGGUAUAGAUGUUAUAUAUAGUUAUAGAUUACCAUUUUUCUUAUUCAAUUCCUUGGUGAAAUACAACGAGACAAGGGCUGGCUAAACAUAUUUCCUAGUAUUGGGAGCUAUACCUUUAAGAUUAUCAAAAUUUAAAUCUUAAUUUUUAAAAUAAAAAAUUUAUCGUUUUAUCAACAAAUCAUAUCGUGACUAUCCUUUUUUUUUUCAAUUAUUCUUUUGUAUUUGUCACUGAACUCAACUGUUUUAAGUAAUUUAUCAAAAUUAAAAUUUUAUAAUAAGAUUUUAUAUUCUUUUUAUCAGAUAACAAUUUUUUUGAUAAAUGAUAGUUACACAUAGAUUUUUCAUAUAAACGCAAAAUUCUCCAUCUCAACUCUUUAACCAUUUACUAUUUUCCCUUCUUAAAAUAUAUAGACUCUUUGUUAAGGAAGGGUAUUUUCAUGAAACCAUUAAGAGUACAAUUUGUUGGGAAAUUAACACACACAUGUAGCACCCACGAACAAAAUAGUAAGCUCAAAUCAAUAAUAAGAACACACAAAUAUAUUUGUUUUGGCCCAACUUAAAAUGGCAUACUUCAAACUUAACCACUAACAAAUUAAUCUUUACAACUAUGAGACUUUUAGAAUGAGAAAAGUCUCCAAAACUCCUGACUCAAAACCCAAUUACACCUUUUUAGUAGCUUACUCACCUAGCUAUUCUCUUGGUGUCUAACUAUCUGAAAUUACCAAAUCAAAACCAAAACCAAAACAUCUUAUUUAUAAGGAUGAAACCCUUUAUACCUUUACUAAAUUUUCGAUGUGGGAUACAAGACAAACUCAAAACUCUUACAACUUUUGAUGUGGGAUUAUGAGAUUCAAGGUAAAUCCCAACAAAUCCUCCAAUGACUUGAAUCUCCAAACACUUCAAUAGUAUUUGCAAAGCUAACACGUUUACUUUUCUUCUUUUCUUUCAUUACAGGGAUCUUAACAAUUGAGCUUUCAUCAAGCAUGUACAAGUGAUUUUUGAUCCUAUUCCCUUGUAGAAUCAUUCUACCAUUCUUGUACACUUUCAAUGAAUCAUUACUACCAUAGUAUGUGUACCCCUGAGAAGCUAACUCACCCAAAGCAAUUAAAUUAUAGCUAUAACUCGGUACAUACCUUACAUGAUGAAGCAUCCUAACAACACCAUUGUGAGAUGUAAGGUGAACACUCCCAAUGCCUUGAACUUGUACCUUUUCGUUCUUAGUAACCACAAUAUCCUUAUACUUCUCAUUCUCUUCAAAUUCCACAAAACAACUCCUAUAAUUGUAGAUAUGAACUGUAGCAGCUGAAUCUAAAACCCAACCUUUAUCACCUUUUAAAGUUUGAGUCUCAUCCAUAGAAGUCAUCAAAAUGACAUCAUCAUCAUCAGAUACAACAGCAAUAGUAGCACACUUUCCUUUAUCUGAUUUCUUUUCAUCAUUCACCCUUUUGAAAGCAGCCAUAUCCCUUCUUAGCUUCUUGCAGCGCACUUGAAUAUGUCCUUUUUUACCACAUGAAUAACAUUUUAUGUCAUUGUAAUCUCUAUCUUUUGACUUGGAUCUCCCUUUCGAUCCAUCAAUCAUCUUUUAAGUCUUCCCUCAAUCAAAACCCUCUACAGCUAGUAUACUAUCCACAAGUGAUAAAUUUUGUGCUCCUAUAAACCUUUCGUUCUCACGUAAUAGAACAGUCACAUCAUCUAACUUCAAAGUAGACCUACCCACCAACAAAGUCUAAACUAAAAUUCUAUAAGACUUGGACAAAGAUGACAGUAAAAUUAAAGCCUUCUCUUCAUCUUUUAACUUAUCAACAGAAAUCAUCAACAAUUGAGAAGCCAAUCUAUUAAACUCAUGUAAGUGAUUAUGAAGACUCGUACCUUCUUUCAUCUUCAGAGAAUACAGAUCCAUCUUCAAACAUAAUCUAUUAGUCAAUAACUUUGAAGCAUAAAUACCUUCAAGCUUAUCCCACAAACUCUUCAGAGUACUUUUAGUCAACACACUAUACUUUAGCUCUAGAGCUAGCGUCAAUCUAAUAGUACUAAUAGUUUUUUUCUGAAUUCUAUUUUAAUUAUUAUCAAACAUUUCUUAAGGCUUACUACUCUCUAAUGCCUGAUCCAACCUUUAUUGUACUAAUAGAUCUUGAAUUGUACUUUGUCAUAACUUAAAAUUACUCUUUCCAUCAAAUAACGAAAUCUCAAACUUAGGCAUAUGCAUACUAGACAUACCUUCUUUAGAUAUCUUGAAAUAUUUGCUUCACGAUUUUUUGGACUAGCUCUUCUUUUCAUGAACCUCAAGAUCACUGCAGCUUCGAUACCACUUGUUGAAAAGUCAACGCAUGCAGCACCCACAAACAAAAUAGCAAGCUCAAAUAAAAAAUAAGAACACACAAAUAUAUUUGUUUUGGCCUAACUCAAAAUGACCUACUUUAAAACUAAUCUACUAACAAAUAAAUCUUUACAACUGUGAGACUUUUAGAAUGAGAAAAGUUUCCUAAAAUUCCUUACUCAAAACUUAACCCAAAACCCAAUUAUACCCUUUUAAUACCCUACUCACCUAGCUAUUCUCUUGGUGCCUAACUAUUUGAGAUUACCAAACCAAAAUAAAAUAUCUUAUUUAUAAGAGUGAAACCCCUUAUACCUUUACUAAACUCCCGAUGUGGGAUACAAGACAAACUCAAAACUCUUAUAACUUUUGAUGUGGGAUUAUGAGAUUCAAGAAAAAUCCCAACAAAACCAAUGAAUGAUGAAGGAUAUCUAAAAAUUACAAAAUGGUAACUCAUAAAGAAAAAAUUGUUAAGUUUUGGACCUCUUGGUAAUUAAAGGAGAUCUAACAUCCAUAAUGUAGGGAGAACCAUUACUUUUAUUUGCUCUAGUUCAUAAGCACCAUCUACCAUAUUUUUUAUAAGCAUGGUAGAGCAAUACUAACUGAAAAGACAUUUUUCAACUUAUUGAACCUUCAGAUUUUGAUUUCAUGUAGUGAACAGAAGCAUAUAUGUUUAAAAAAACCCAUUGAUAAUAAUGAUGAUGGCGAUGACGACAAUGAUGACAUUUGAUCUUUUCCAUUACUAUCAUCAUUGGCAAUGAUUUGCUCCAAACCCUCACAUUCCUAAAUACUCAUAAGAUUAUUAUUCAAUCCACUAUCAGUGGAAACUAAAAACUUCAGAAGUGGCUCUUUUUACUUGCCAUGUAUCUUUAUAGAAAAAUUUUCUUUUUUGCCGUUAAUGUCAACUUUACACUCACUAUUGUUAAUUCCCAAACUUUUGCUAUCUCUCUCCACACCUCUCUCAUUCAUGCAUCUCCCAAACUUAAAAGCUUUCUUUCGACCUUCUAUCUCAGACCUUUUCUCUAUCAUAAUCCCUCAAUUCUCUCUUUCAAGCUUUCAUUGCAGACCUCUGUUCAUUUCAUUAAUUUCAAUUCUCUUUGCAAGGUAAUUUUUUUUUUUGUGUUUAUUCCACACAAGUAUUAAUUUUUAGUUUUCCUCUCUAAUAGGUUGAAUGCACAUUUUAUUAAAUUAUUUUUCAUAAUUUUAGAAUUGACAUGUGAAUGUUCCUCUAAUAAAUUAUGGGUUAGAUGUUUGAUUAGUUACCCCAGAAACGAUUCAUAAACUUUUAGUUUCCUUUCUUUUCUUUUGGUUGAAAACUAAUUUUGCUGAAAAGUAAUCUUUGGAUUAUUACUGAAACCAUUUUAGUUGUUUUUUACUUGACUUAAUGCAAAUUCAGUUCUUAUUUUUAAAUUGGGUUAGACUAGUUUAGUUCUAACGGCUACAACCUCAGGUUCUAUAAAUAAAAAAAAUGCACUUUACAAGCAUUAGAGCGAAGGUUUUUCAUCACUAAAGCCAAUUAUAUAUGAUAUUGCUAAUUAUAUCUUUUUUUUUUGUUGAUUAGUGAUUGUUUUGUUGUACCUACACUCACAUGUAUAUAUUCAUUUAUAUGGUGUAUGUUAGUAUAGCUUUCUGUAAAGAAAUACAAACUAUGAAGUUCUAUAACUUCAAAAAUAAAUGUCCUUGGACCAAGGAUGUAUGUUUCUCAUUGGUUGCCUAUUCUUCAUAUAUAGAGAGAGAUAAGGGGAGGGAGGAUACCUUUUUUAUUUAUGGUUAUCAUUUUGAGCAUCUAUGAUUUUUGACAGGGUUAGUAUGUACAAUUAUUAUAUUUAGAAUGUGUGAAAAUUUUUGCUAAAGGGUUCACCUUUGAACUUCUAGUUUCUUUUUCACAUGAAAUCUCACUUUAGAUAUAGCAAAUGGGAACAUUUGAAGUAUCGAUAUUUACUUAUUCAAGUGUGUGUUUUUGUAAUUUACCAAGAUCACAUCCAUGCCAUGGUUCAAAUUGUGGUCCUUUCAUACUAUUACUAUUAUUUUCUUAUACAAAUAAGUUUAUUCUUUUGCACCAAGAAGGUAUCAUUCUCGAAGCAAACACUAAAAUAUAAAUUAACUUACAAGAACAUUUUUAUUUUUCCUAAAGUUUGCAAUUUAUAGAAUUGUCUUAUAUCCUAUAUGUAUGACAUAUAACUUUUUAUGUUUUUUAUAUCCUAAUUAAACUGAAUAUUUAGAUUGUUUCUUUGCCUUUUUUUUGUCAACAUUAAAAUGUAAAAUAUGUCAAUAAAAGAGGUUGAUAUGAUGGAAAUGAAAGAAGUUGAGGAUGAUAAGAUUGAUAACAUGAAAAUAAAAUAAGUAUUUAGAGGUGAAAAUGUAAUGGAGCAUGUCAUCGAAGAAUCAAGGAUUGAGACAUUAUUAGAACCAUAAGUUUGCAUAGAAUUUGAGUCAUCAAAUGAUGCUCAAGAAUAUUAAAAUAAAUAUAUGAGAUCCAAAGGCUUUGGUAUAUGGAAAAAUCGUAUUACUAGAUCAAGAACUAAUCAAGCAAUGAUUGAUCAAGAAUUUGUUUGUUUAAAAGAAGGUGUGUGAGCAAAAAAAUGCUUAGAGAAAGAAGAUAGAUUGUGUGCAGAACCAUAUGAGAUAAGAGAAGGUUGUAAAGCAGUGCUUUAAAUAUCCAUGAAAGAAAAAAAAUGGAUUGUUUCCCAAUUUCAUGCAGAGCAUAAUCAUAUGCUAGCUUCACCAAAUAGCAUGCAAUUUAGUCGCUCACAUAGAGUACGAGCAAAAGUUCAAAGAGAUCUUAUAGAUGUUAUUGAUGAUUCCAAUAUUUAUCCAAGUAAAAUAGUUUCUAUUUUAUCUCAUAAGUUUGGUGGGAUUGGUAUUCUUAAUAUGACUAAGCAUGAUGUUUUUAACUAUUUAAGUUGUAGAAGGCGAAAGUAAUUGGAAAAAGAAGAUACUUAAAUAAUGUUAGAUUAUUUUCAUGAUUGCCAAUAAAAAACACCUAAGUUUUUUUUUAUGCAAUUCAAACUGAUAUCGAUGGUUGCCUUGCAAAUUGCUUUUGGGCAGAUGCGAGAUCUAGGAUGGCAUACAAACAUAUUGGUGAUGUGGUAGCAUUUGAUCCUACUUAUUUAACAAAUAAGUAUAAGAUGCCUUUUGUUCCCUUUGUCGAUGUGAAUCAUCAUUUUUAGUCCAUUUUAUUUGGAUAUGCUUUGUUAUGGGAUGAAACUGAAGAAACAUUUUUUUGGUUAUUGAGAACUUGGCUUGAAGCUAUGUAUGAAUGUCUACCAACAACAAUUAUCACAAAUCAAGAUGCUGCAAUUACUAAUGCAAUUACAAAAGUUUUACCUAAUGCAAAUCACCAUUUUUAUAUGUGGCAUAUUAAGAAGAAGUUUCCUGAAGUUUUGAGUCAUGUUUACCAUCAUAAUUAUGAUUUUAAGAAAGAGUUCAAUAGUUGUAUUCACAACACAAUUACACUUAAUGAGUUUGAAGCUGCUUGGAUGAGAGUUAUGGAAACCUAUAAAUUACAAGGUAUUUCUUUGUUGGAUAAAAUUUAUUCCAUUCAUGAGAAAUAGGUACUUGCUUUUUUAUGUAACACAUUUUGUGUUGGACUGUCAACAACUCAAAGAAAGCAAAAGUUUGAAUAAAAUUUUCAAUGACUAUGUUAAUGCUAGUACUUUCGUUAGUAAAUUUGUGGUGAAAUUUUAAGAGGCAUUGGCUGUUCGGUACAACAAAGAAUUUGAAAAAAGCUUGAAGACUAUAAUUCGAAAUCCAAUUUGAAGACAUUAUAUCUUAUGAAAGCUAAAACAUUUCUCAUAUAUAGAAAAAAGUUAUUUAGAAUGUUUCAGAAUGAAUUGAUUCAUGCUCAAGAGUAUGUUAUUGAUCAAAUUGAAGUCAAUGGUAAUUCAAAAAUAUACAAGGUGCAUGAGAUUGGUAAGGAGAAGCCUAUUUACAUGGUAACUUUUAUCGUGUUAUUGAAAGAUGCCAUGUGUAAUUGCCACAAGUUUGAACUUAUGAGAAUGUUGUGUUAACACAUUUUGGCAAUUUUCAUUAAAAAAUAGGUAUUUUCAUUACCUUUUCAAUACAUUUUAUGUAUGUGGACAUGAGAUGCUAAGAAAAAUGCUACUGUAGAAAUACGAUAAAAUAUGCUUGUUGAUAAGAUCAAUAAAUCAUCAUUAUGUGGUUUAACAGUGUUAUGUUACACUAUCUUGGUCUUUUUAAAAAGGCAACAAGAUGAAGUAAGCAUUAUGAUAAUGCAAUUUAAGAUAUCAAAAACUUAUGUGAAGAACUUAAUAAUUUGAUCAUUGAGAAUGCUGAAGUUGAUGAGGCUAGGAAGUUAAAUUUCAUUACGAAUUAUGUAGCUUUUCAGGGCAACAACGGUAAUGUUUCAUGUGCCGAAAUGACGUUACAAGAUCUUUUACAUGUUCUUACCAAAAGAUGCCCUCCUUUAGUAAGGAAAAAAGAUAGUAUUAAGAAAAGUGGUAAAAAGAGUAUGACAUGUUCAUCUUGUAAUCGCUAAGUCAUACAAAGCAUACUUGUGAUAAGUAUCAACAACUAAAGGAAGUAAUCAACUAAGCCCAUUUUUUUUACUUUGUUCUAUAUUUUUUAACUUUAAAAGAAGCAAUUUUUAUUUAUAUGGUUUUAUGAAUAUUGCAAUAAUGAGUUCAAUUCAAAGUUAACUUCUAGCACUAUUAAUGUGACGGAACUUUAAUAUUUUAUGGUAUGUUGAUCUUUUGUUUAUUUUAUAUUUUUUCAUGAUGUGCUUUAAUUAUUCGAGUGAUAUUUUAUUUUGUAUUAUGUAGGAUAUGUUGCUAGAUAUGCUUCCAUAAAAAGAUAAAAUUAAAUCUCAAGUCGCCACAUUCUAGAAGAAUUAGUAUAUAAGGAACUUUUUGUAAAUGGCUGCUACUUUUUUAACUUUUGUUUUUUGCCAACAUGAAAAAAUAAUUAAACAAAAGGUAAUUUUUUGGGAAAUUGUAAUGAUUAAAGCUUAAGUACUAUAUUAUUUAUUUGAUUAAUUAUUCUUUUUGUUGGUUAUCAGAUUAUUAUUUUGCUUGAUGAAGUGUGAAUUGGAGUGUUUUUGUUUUUAUCAUUCUAUUUGAUAGUGUCAUUUUCAGUUCUUGAUAUAACAGUCUUUUGUAUCCUCAUCUAUGUAGUGUAUUUUGUUUUGAUAUUUGUUGCAACUUCUACUACUAUCAAUGAUAGUUUACCUUUAUAAACUUAAAUACCUUUUUAUUGAUUUUUUUAAAAAAUAACAGCUUCAACUAAAUGAAUUACAAUUUGAAAUGACAUGCAUUAAAAUUAUUAAAAACUAGUUAAUUAAUCAUUCUUAGAAAGUUGGAGCAAAAGCUUUUUAUUUCGUUGUUAUGUUUGAACGGUUUACAUCUACAAAGUUUUCAUUUUAUCACUCUCAAACCACACUUGGUACAUUACAUAACUACCACUUAGGCAAAAAAAAAAAUGAAACAAAAAAACAUAGCAAAAAUAGAGGCAACACCAUUAAAUUUCAUAUGCAGAACAUCCUUUAAAAUCCCAUUGAUGAGACUUGAUAAUUUUUUAAUCUUUGGUCUAGUACCAGUACCACCAAACCCAGUUUUGCUAUAUCCACCAUUCUUUAACAUCUCAGCACUGUUGGAAAUAGUGAUUCAAAUCCCAUAAGAGAUUUAUUUAGGAUUGACUAAAUAUUACUUGAUAGACAAGGAAACUUUUAGAAGAAGAAUUCUAAUAGGAAAAAUGAUUUUUAAUAGGCAAGUUUGAUUUGCAAAAAAAAAAAAUUUAAACAGAAAGAGUUUUUUAAUAGGUAAGUUUGUAUGCUUUAUAAAUAGAUGGAGUCUCUAUGGAGUUAAGUAUGAGAAAAAGAUGUAAGAGAGUUGUAGAAUUUUAUAGGAUAGACACCUUAUAGGAGUACUGGGGAUUUAUAUCUUAUGGGUGUGUAUGUUUGAAUGUUUGAGAGUGGACUAAAUGAGACUAAGAGAGUCCACAUAGAUAUGAUGAAUGGGUACAUAUGGGUAUGUGUUUGUUUGUGUUGAAAAGGUGCACAUGGUUAUAUGUUUGUUUGGGUUGAGAAUACUCUAUAGGACUAGAGAAAAUUGAAAGUGUCUUAUGAGUAUUGAUUGUUGAGAGAGGUUGAUGAUUUGAAUUUUAUAUUUGUAAUUCUUUAUAACUAGUAGAUCUUUUUUCUCAUCUGUGGACUUAGGUCGAUUGGAUCGAACCAUGUUAAAUUGUUGUCUCUUAUGUGUUUAAUUAAUUAUUUGAUUAUGCUUCCACUGACAUAAAUUAGAUUGAGACUUUUGGCCUAAUAAGUGGUAUCAGAGCAUGGUUCAAGACAUAAGAAGAUGUAAGUCCAGAGGCGUUUAGUUUUAAAAAAGAGUUUGAGUUUAAAUUUUGAGGAUUGAUGAUCGGUUUACGUGAAACGUGAAGACACUUAAGAGAAGCUGAUUGUGAGACUUUCAUUGCAGGUGGAGCCAAGCAUAUCUAGCAUAAAGACAAAUGAUUUGAUGAAAUUUAAGUUAAGGUGGAGAUUGUUGGAUAUAGUAACUCAAAUCCCAUAAGAGAUUUAUUUGGGAUUGACUAGAUAUUGCUUGAUAGACAAGAAAACUUGUAGAAAAAGAAUUCUAAGAGGAAAAUAGAUUUUUAAUAGGCAAGUUUGACUUGUAUAAGAAGAAUUUUAAGAAAAAAAGAUUUCUUAAUAGGCAAGUUUGUAUGCUUAUAAAUAAAUGGAGUCUCUAUAGGGUUAGGUAUGAGAAAAAUAUGUAAGAGAGUUUUAAGGUUUUAUGGAAUAGAUACCCCAUAAGAGUAUCGAGGCUUUACGUCUUAUAGGUAUGUAUGUUUGAAUGUUUGAGAGUUGACUAGAGGAGAUUGAGAGGGUCCACAUAGAUAUGAUGAAUGGGUACAUAUGGGUAUGUAUUUUUUUGUGUUGAAAGGGUGCAUAUGGGUAUGUGUUUGUUUGGGUUGAGAAUAUUCAUAGGACUAGAAGAGAUUGAGAGUGUCUUAUGAGUAUUUAUUAUUGAGUGAGGUUGAUGAUUUGAUUUGUAUGUUUGUAAUUCUCUACAUCUAGUAGAUCUUUUUUUUCAUCCGUGGAUGUAGGUCGGUUGGACCAAACUACGUUAAAUUAUUAUCUCUUGUGUAUUUGAUUGAUUAUUUGAUUUUGCUUUCGCUGAUGUGAAUUAGAUUAGGACUUUUGACCUAACAAGCACCACUCAAGGGCACAUUUCCACCACCACCUUGAUACAUAUUUGCAAUGAUUGGAUUGCAUAACCCUUCUAAUUCCUUCAACUUAUCCUCAAAUUCAUCAAUUUUUGCUAAUUGGUUCCUAUCAAGCCAUUCAACAGUCUCAUUAAUGACCUUCUUGAUCUCCUGCUUGUCUGCCAGGUCAAGUUUUCCAAUAAACUUCUCAUCUUUCACGGUGUUCCUAAUAUUGUAUGCGUAGUUCUCAAGGGCAUUCUUGGUCUUCACCUUCUUUUUCACAUCCUCAUCCUCCACCUUGUAUCUCUCUGCCUUUUACACCAUUCUUUUCUUGGUCAUUCCAAAAAAAAAAAAAAAACUUACUUUGACAAUCGAAAACUCAUUGUUUACAACGUUAUCAACAAAAAAGAAUCAAUAUUUUAAAAGUAAUCUGUUAUUUAGUAUAUCAAAUUUGUUCUUUAUUUAUUUUUAUAGACCAUGAAAGGCAAUGGGAAAGUACCACUAGACAAUCUUCCAUAACUUUCAUGUAUGAUGCCAAAAGUUAUCAAGCAGGAAAAGGGCAAUUCUAUCUUCCUUUUAUUGGUAGGUAUAAUAAAACAUUUCCCAUUUGUAAGCUACAAUACUAAACUUGGUAGCAAAAAACUCAUUUCACAAGGGUGAUAAGUUGCUUUUCAAGCAUUCUUAAAAAGUUUUGAACUCUACAUUGUUCCAAUUUGAAUAUUUAUACACAAACUGAAUCAAUAAAGAAAUUUAAUAUUGUUAUCAUCUUAUAGCUUUAUAUUCUCAUAUUUACUUCUAGAUAGGGCAUAGCCAUCUAAAAGUUAAGAGUUUAUCCAGUUGAGGUUACUUAUAACUUGAUGCCUCGAUGGAGUUCCAAGAAAGAAAUAUAAUGCCAACUAGAAGUCAACAAGAAAAAAUUGCACAAAAACUGCCAAAGAGCAGAUUCUAAUAAAUAAGAUGACAAAGAAUGAUUACCAUUCACAUAGCUGAAAGCUUUUACAAAGAGCCAUUAGGAUAAUAUAGGUCUAUGGGAACAUGUGUAGACAAACUGCAAGUGGGCAAUGAUAAAGUCAUCCUUCAUAGGCAGCUACCAAAGAAAACAAUGAAAUCAAAUAUUAAGUGAGUAUCAUAGUUGCAUAAAAAAAGAUUCAAUAAAAAGAAAUAACUAAAUAGAUAUAAAAUAGCAUGUCUUCAUAAUUACAUCAUUACAUCUACUGCAUCUAAUUCUUUUAUCCAAUUCCAUUAUGCUUAAAGGAAUAGUAAAAAAAAUAAAGCUCUUUACAUAGCAUGUAGGGAAUCAGCCAAAUAAUGUGUCAAGAUGAGCUAACAAAAUAUCAACCAAUUAGUUCAUGAUGCUGGCAGUUAAGGGUCAAAAAACUAUAUGAAAGAGUGUAAAAUUUGGCAUGUCUCCUUCUGAAUGGGUAUCUACACCCCCACCUCAAACACACCAGAAAAAGAAAAGUUAAACUAUAAAGUUUAAUCCAUUUCUCGACGCAAAUAAUACUAACUACAAAAACUGAAAGAAAGUGAUCUAUCAAAUUCAUUCAUGUUUAGGUUUGAACAUUUAACUAUAAAAGCUACAGCCAACUCCAACAAGGUUCAUCAAUUUAUCCAUGGUUUUAAAAUAAAAUAUUUUUAAAAACCAUGGUUUUAAAACUCAGAAGCAACAACAGAAGAAAAAAUAAACCUAAAUGGAUGGAAACUCAUCUGCUAUGUUUUCAUUGAAGCAUUUUAUUGAACAAGUAACAAGCAUCAUAAAAAAUGCCUUAAUUCGAUAUGACAAAAAAUUGUAGAAAUGAUGCGAAGUACCAACAGCAAAAACUAAAGAUCUAUUCAAUACCAGUGAAUCAAUUACUAUUAUACAUAAUUGAACAUUAUUAGUAAAUGUAGACACCAAAUUUGUCUAGAUUUUAAUUAAUAGUUCUCGGGUUAUCAGAAUGAGACCUGAUUUCAAUUCAACUGGGCUUCAAGUCCGAUUUCAAUUCAAUUGGGCUUCAAGUCCAAUUUCAAUUCGACUGGGCCUAAAGUCUGAUUUCGAUCGGGCCUGAAGACCAUUUUGUUCUUUAUGCCCAACCUAUCUUUUAUUUUCUUUGUUUUAUUAAAUUAAACAAAAAUAUAAAAUACAAAAUAAAAAAAAAGGGGCUGAUGGUAGUGGUGCCUUGCAUGGCACCAUUGGCCACCCACCUCUCUGAUCACCCAUCCCUCACCCAUACCCUGCAAACCCUAUACUCUUAACCAUUGUACCCUACCACUGUCGAAUAAGAUAAAGGAAAUAAAAAGGGUGAGGAGCCCGUGCUUACACCCCUAUGUCGAGCACUAUGCCACCUACUCAGGCACAGGGCAUGGUCAAAGCUCUAUAAAUAGAGCUCCUAGCUGAACCCAAAAAAAAAGGGGGAGGAAGAGACUGCAAAAAAAAACUUUUUGCUAGAAAAACAACCAAAAAAAUAUAAAAAAAAUCACAGUCCUUGCCGAAUUGACGAGGAAUCCAGCACCAAGGAAGACCUGCAGAAACAAAAAAAAAUAGUUAGUUUUAGUUUAAAAAAAAAGAUCGAAACUUUAAACCUCGAUCUACGUUGAUCGAGGCUAUUUUUGGUGAAAAGGAGUUCAGAUCUGCUAGAGGGGGUUGACGAAAACGUUUUGGUGUUUUUGGGUAUUUUUUGACGAUCGAUCGACGACCACCGAUGGCAACAGGAGCAACGACAAUAGUUGCCGAACAUCGACUGGCCGACCCCCUCUACGCUUGGGUGAUAGGUUUUUUUUCUGAGAAGGGAGGAAAUGCCGAAAAAAAAUUUUGGGCUUUUUAUAGAAACUGCCAAAGCCAAAACGAUGUCGUUUCAAUAAAACCUCAAAACGACAUCAUUUUAAGACCCUAAGGAUCUGCGCGUCAACCUGUAACCCGACCUGAGGUCCACGCACCUGAUCCGUUGACCCAACUUCACCUUUAACUCUGACCAAUCCGAUUGAACUGAAAUCGAAUCGCUGAACGUGAUCGAAUCGUUACACCGAACCGCGCAUUGACCGGACUGUUGAUCGGUCUGGUUCAAGUAAAAAAAAUUUUAUUUUGAAUUCUUUUAGAUUUUUUUUAUAUAUUAUUUUUGUUAUUUUAAUUAUUAUUCUUAAUAUUUAUGCAUGUUAAAAUGUUUAAAUUUAUCAUAAUAAAUUUUUGUUGUUUUAUAAUAAUAAUUAAUAAAAAAUAUAUAUUAAAAUAUAUAAUAAAAAAAAUUUUAUUUGAUGAUGAGAUUCAAAAGUAUUCGGAGUAGUGAUACCUAUGAAAUCUCUAGGUGAGAAAAUUUUUUUUUUUAAAUACUACCAGUAUAUUGGAGUAUUUAUAAAAAAUUUUCAAUACAAUAAAAUUUUUUUAUAUAUAAAAUAAUAAAUAAAAAUUAAUUAAUAAAUUAAGAAUAAGUAAUAAAAAAUGAAAAAAAAGGAAAAUUUAUCCAAUGUUGGGAUUCUAAAAGUAUUCUGAGUAGAGAUGCUUUAAGAAAUCUCUAUGUGAGAAAAGAUAUUUUUUUAAAUAUUACCAGUGUAUUAGAAUAUUUAUAGAAAAUUUUCAAUAUAAUAAAAAUUUUUUUUUCUUCAUUUUUUAAAAAUGAAAAAUAUUAAUAAAAAUUAAUAAAAUUUUCUAAUAAAAAAUAAAUGUGUGCAUCAACAUGUUAUUAUUUGCAUUGCAUGCAUAACAUAUUUUUUAUGAAAAGUAAAUCUGAACCUUCAAGAAUGAGAUUCUAAGGUAUUCCAAGAAGUGAUGCCUAAGAAAUCUUUAGGUGAGAAAGAGUUCUUCUAAUGUUACCAACGUAAUGGAACAUUUUAAGAACUAUUUCAAUAAAAAAGGUCUUAAUUUAUUUUUCUUGAAUAAAUUUGAGUAUCAAUAAAAAAAAUCAAGAAAAUUAUUUUUUCAAACACUAAAAAUAAGACUGUUUUUAUCAAAAUCAAAGGAUAACACAUAAUUAAGUAGUACCAUUUUUAAACGGGCGCUGUGAGGUGCUAAUUCUUCCCUACAUGUAACUGACUCCUGAACCCAAAUUGUUAUGCAGACCCUAAAAUUAUCCUUUUAAUAAAUUUUAAUUAAUUUUAAGAUUUCGUUAAAAGGAUAUGUCUAAUAGGUGGUCAAUCGCACCUUGUCAAAAAAGUUUAGUGGUGACUCCGUUGUUAUUUUUUAUUUUGUUUUCAAAUUCAUCGGGCAGACAUAAAACUGUUACAACAGGCUUGGCGACUCCACUGGGGAUGCCUUUUAUUUUUGAGAGUCAAGCCAAAUUAACUACGUGUUAUCCUUAAAUUUUGAUUUAAAUAAUCCUACUCGGUUUCUUAGUUUUUUAUUUUUCACUUUCAAUAAAAAGGUAAAAAAAAAAAAACUAACAAACAAAUCAAAAAGAAAAAAUUCACACACGUUUCUUUACUAUGCCUCUUAUGCUUUAUUUAUUUAUUUUUUUACUCUCAAUAAAUUAGGAUAUAUUUGCACACACAAUGACAUGGUGCAUCUUAUGCAUGAGCUCUAUAUUGGGCUCCAUUUUUUAUAGGAGGAAGUAGAGUACCUAUGCCCUCAUGAGGUGAUAACCUCCGUAAUAGCAAGCAAAAUACUUCCAUUCAAAUUGAACCCUUUCCAUUCGUAGCCUAUAAUGGAUGAGGAUUGGGGUGCCUGACUAGUUCAGUGUGGAUGACAGUGAGGAACAAUUUGGGAACCUUUAGACACGUGUCAAUCCAAACCGAGCAUAUAAUAAGCUUAAGAAACCAGCCUUACGUACAGCCUCAUCCACCUUCUUGUAGGAAAUACCUAAGAAUAAAAGUUAUGUGUAAUACAAAACAAACAAAACAAAACAAAAAAUCUCAAAACUAAAAAAAAAAUGUUGUUUUCAAACCACAUCCUCACAUAACUCAAUUUUGUUUCAUUUUUUUCUUUUUUGCAUUAAUCAUAACAUACAGUUCUGCAUCAAGAUAUUUGCUCUAAGACAUAUUUCUUUCAAGAAGUUUUCAUGGAUCUCGUAAAACUACAGAUUUACUUAUCUUUAGUUAGUGUCCCAUGUGAGCCGUAUAAUGAAGUAUAUAUUUGGUCGAAAGAAGCCCAACAAAAGAAUAAAGAUUGCUUGCUUAUUGGCUAUGUGUUUGAGUUGCCUGAGAAAGUGCAUUUGAAUCUCACACAAAAUGAUUUAGAAGACUUAGCUACUAUUUGGAGUCAGUUAAGUGAAGAAAAAAAGAAAGCUUUUACAAGAAGUAUAGGUAGAUUGCAUCCCUCAUUCCAGUAGUGAUCGAUGAACAGCUGGUAAGGAUAGCUAUACAGUUUUGGGAUCCAUCCUAUAGAGGCUUCACUUUUAAUUAGGAAGAUUUGGUGCCAAUUAUUGAAGAGUAUUCGAUUUUGCUUGGAAUAAAACUAUAGUGUCCAGAUAAAGUAUUUACCUGAAAAUCGAAAUCAAGUUAUCAUAAAAAGUUGGCUAAGCUUAUGAGGGUUAAAGUAAAAACCAUUGAUUCUUUACGAAGCCUAAAGGUGAACAUUUUGGCGUCCGUUGGGACUUUCUUCGAAACUUCAUUCAGGGGCAUUUAAAUGAUGAUCAAGGUAUGGCUGUGUUUGUUCUAGCAUUAUAUGGCAUGGUAAUCUUUACAAAGACUUUGGGUUACAUUGAGAUAACUAUAGUAGACUUUUUUGAGCAAAUUGAAACCCAAACAAUUAAUCUCGCUUCAGCAGUCCUAGCUAAAACCAUCAAGUCAUUAAAUUUUUAUCGAUGAAAUAGAAAAAAUGAUUCAUAGGAUGUGCAUCGCUAUUAUAUGCAUAGGUUAGAAGUCAUUUCAAGUGCAGAAAGAAUGCUUUCUCAAAGCUGUAUCUUCGAAAUAAGACACCAAUUGAAGAGUUCUACAAAAGUUGAUGGCCAACAUUAAAACGAAGAAAAAUGGGUCAUUUUCUUACGAAGGCUUACCGGGGAUGAAAUUGAAUGGAUGGUACCUUGGAUGUCUCGUGUGCCUUUGUUGUAUCAUGGAGGAAACGAGCCAUGGAUACCAUUGUUAGGGCUAUAAGGUGUUGUAAGUUACGCUCCGUUGAUGGUGCUUAGGCAAUUUGGUGCAAAGCAGUUUGUUCCUACUACUCAUGGCUGGUUCAGGUAGAAUUAUUUAUGGGAACCAAAUCUACCAAGAACUUCAGAGCAAUUGAUCCAAGAAUGGAAGAAAAUGCAAAGAAUGAGAUUAAGACCUUUCAUCGACAAAGUCACUCCUGAUUAUCAGAUUUGAAAAGCAAAGCGGCCUAAAAACAUAGUACUUUCUCCUGAUGAUAACUCAUAUUAAUCAGCUAAUCUUUGACAAAAGUGCAAUUAUCAGAAGUUGAGCUAGUUAAAAAAGAAUUAGAAGCUAAAAAAGAAAAAAUAAUAAGAGAAAAUUUAAGACUUCGUGAAAAGGUGGGACAAUUGAAAUAUGAAGUAGAAAUACAAGGGAGUAGAUUGACAAAGAUCAUAAAAGAACGAGAUGUGGUCAACAAUGAUUUGAAAGAUCUACAUUAAGAAAAUAAGAGAUUACGAGUUCAAUUCAAAAUAAAAAAGUCACCAAGUCACCAAGUCUUACUUACUCAACAACGUGAAAUGGAUGAGCUCCGAGAGGAAAUGAACCAAUGGAAGGGUAAAGCUCAAGAAAAACAAGAAGAAACCACCAGAAUUUCUCAAGAAUGUCAGAAUUGGAAGGGGUUAUACUCUACAACCUCAGCAAGAUUGGUGGAAUACCAAAAAGAAAAGGAAAGGUUGAAAGCCAUGCUCGUAAAAGAAAGAAGAAAGCACUUUAAGGUAUUGAAUGAAAAAAAAUCACUUCACCAAGUGAUCCAAGGAUUAGAGAAGCAACUGCAAGACCAUAAGAGCCAUAGUUCAGCAAUAAUAGAUGAGUGACAUAGAAGGGAAAAAUAUUGGAUCUUCACAUGUGAUUCAGAAAGAGAUGCUCGCAUAAGAUGUAAAAUAAAAAGUUUAGGGAGGCAAUAGUACAUAGAGCACAUAACUAAUCAAGUUUGCAAGGCAGUGAAAAAAGCAUGGGAGAUGGUUGAAAAAGUAGAAGCAUUAAAAAGAGAAGUCAAUCCCAUAGGAGAAUAUGGACAGCGCCUAGUAAACUUUCUAGAUGAGGCAAAGGACCAUUAUGAACAAGUCAAGUGCUUAUAUAGAUAUAAUUCUAAAAUGGUAAAUCCCAUGUAAUAAAAGUUAUAUGAAAUCAAUAAAAAUUUCUAGUGUUGAAAAUCAUCCAAGAACAAAUAUCUCUCACUUGCAUUCAUGUAUCAUGUACAUCAUUUUCAUAAAAUAAGUGAAAAAAUAAAAUUUUCAACACAUAGCAUUAUGAUUUUUUUCUCUUUUUCAAAAAAAAUUAUGGUAAUAAAGAUUCAAGAAUAGCUCACCCAUCAAAAUUUUUGACCUAACCUACUCAUCAUUCAUACAAUACCAAGACUCAAAUAAGAAUCAUGGAGUGAGAACAGGCUAGUAGAUUUGAGAGAAUCGAGAAAGCUCAAGAAAAAUUAAGAGGGAUUCUCAGUACAAUAAUGGAUAUGCUUAAAAAACUUGACAAGGAAAAAGUAGUGGAAGAAAAUCCUAGCUUCAAGAGCAAUCGCCAGAUCUUGUUUGCCAUCCAGGGUUUAAGCCACGACUGAUCCACCCUUCUUAAGAAAUCAGAGUACAAAUUUCUACUCCCGGUGGAUAUCAUAAUCCUUAUCCAGGAAUGAUAUCCACACCUAUUCUAGGAUAAUUUCAAAAUUUUGUUAAUCCUGUUAUGAUGAAAAAACCACCCGAGCCAAUCUUGGUUCCUGACUUGGAUGAUCCUAAAAAGAGAGAAAUGCUAGGGAUGAAAAUACUUAAAAAAGUGGAAGAUAAUAGUGCCUAGGAAAAGAUGAAGCUAUUGGAAAAAAGGCUUAGGGUCGUAGAGGGAAUGAAUUUUUAUGGCUCCACGAAUGCAGCUAACAUUUGUUUGGUCCCAGACGUGGUCAUUCCACCUAAAUUCAAGUCCCUAAAUUUGAAAAAUAUAAUGGUACAAAAUGCUCGAUAACCCAUAUCACCAUGUAUUAUCGUAAGAUGGUAGCACAUGCUCGUGAUGAGAAGUUGUUAAUGCACGUAUUUCAAGAUAGCCUUACGGGAUCAACAGCCAAAUGGUAUGUUUAACUAGAUAAGACUCAUAUUCAUUCUUGGUAAAAACUCACAAGGGCAUUCUUUACACAAUAUCAGCAUGUCAUGGAUCUAAUUCUAGAUCGUCUAUCUCUACAAUGUAUGAAAAAAAAGGUAACAAAAAGUUUUAAAGAGUAUGCACAGAGAUGGAGAGAUGUGGCUGCACAAGUUUAACCUCCUUUGUCUUAUUUGUGAACAUUCUGAAGGCACCAUACUAUGAGUGAUUGAUAGGUAAUACAACCAAGAACUUUACAGAUAUGGUGAUAUCAGAUGAGAUUAUCGAAAGUGGCAUAAAGAAUGGCAAGCUUGAUAUAAGAGAGAUGAGUGGAGUAAAGAAAGGUGAAGUUCUCAAAAAGAAAGAGAAUGAAGCUCAAGUGGUGAACUACGUGAGGUAAUAGUCCAGAGGUUUCACGCCCUAUCCUACACCAAUCUACCAAACCCAUUACCCUUCCAUAAAUAAUAUUACAUCCACUUUUCAUCCAUAUCAGCCAUACCAAUCAUUACCACAACCAACUUAUUCACCUCAGUUUCAGCCAUCCUUUCGAACAUCCACCUACAAUCUCCUGUUGUACCUAUCAAACAAGAAUAGAGACCCAGUAAUGGUCCAAGAGCCUUAGAAAAUACUCAAGAAAAAUUCACCUUUAACCCCAUUCCCAUGACAUACAUAGAUUUAUAUCCCUGACUUAUUGAGAAACAUUUACUUGCUCUUGUUAUUGUUGAACCUCUAAACCUUCAUUUCCUAAAUGGUAUGAUCCCAAUGUAUAUUGUGAUUAUCAUUAUGGAAACUCAGGUCAUUUCACUGAGAACUGUACUGCUUUGAAGCGUAAAGUGCAGGGGUUAAUUAAUGAAUGAGUAUUAAACUUUGAGACCAGCCAAUGAAGGACUUCAAAUGUUAAUGGGAACCCUUUACUGAACCAUACUAGACCAUCAAUAAAUGCCUUAAUUGAUGGGCAAAGAAGCCACGUCAAGGAAAAAAUAGAUGAAGUUAAGACUCCAAUGGCUAAGGUGUUUGAAGUCUUGGUUAAGGUUGAUAUGUUAAAGUUAACAGAACCUCAGAAUUGCUCUGAAGCAAUUAACUUAACUGAAAGCUGUAAUUAUCACAAAGGUGCUUUGGGGCAUUCUAUCAAAGUUGUCAUGAAUUUCAUCAAAAGGUGAAGAAGUUAAUGGAUAUGGGUCGGAUAAAAUUUUACGAAAAAAAAAAGAGUAGAUAGAAGCUGAAGUGUCUACCAUUGAUUCAAAGAAUAAGUUUGUGCGUAGACCAAUAAUAAUUUAUUAUGAUGAGAAGUCAACACCGAGGCUAGAAAAACCCAUCUCCCAACCAAUAGUGACAAUUAAAGUUCCUGGCCCUUUUUCAUACCAGAAUGACAAAGUAGUGUCAUAGAAGUACGAUUGUAAUGUCAUAGUCAAUCCAAAAACUGCAAACAUAACGGGCAUGGAGGUAUAACUUGAAGUGGAAGGUGUUAUACUCUAGAAGCUCUAGAGAAAGCCAAAAAAAAGAAAGCAAAAAUGAGAGAAGAUGAGGGAAAUCAGAAUAAUCCUGUUACAGUCUAAAAAAAAAAAUGUCAAAAGCUAGUCUCUGAGAGUGAAACUUGUAAAUUUCUAAAGUUAAUAAAACAUAAUGAGUACUGUGUGGUAGAAUAGUGAACAAGAUGCCAGUAGAAUUUUACUAUUAUCAUUAUUGCUAAGCUUAGAGUCAUACCGUAAUGCUCUACUGAAAAUGCUCAAUCAAGCAUAUGUGUCUCACAAUGUUUCUACUAAGUAUGUAGAAUAGCUUGUUGGCAAUCCAAACAAUUUCAAAUUAUAUCUCUUUCAGUGAUGAAGAGAUUCUCCUUGAAGGUCGAAAAGUAUCAAAGCUCUUCAUAUUACUGUGAAAUGCAAGAGUUAUAUAAUGGCUAAGGUUUUAAUUGAUAAUGGCUUAUCCAUCAAUGUUAUGCCUAUGACUACUCUAGCAAAACUCUUUAUUGAUGGAUCUUAUAUAAAGUCUAGUCAUAUGAUAGUGUGUACCUUUGAUAGGACCUGAAGAGAGGUACUGAAAGAUAUAAAAAUGCCAUUACAGAUUGGCCUGUGCACUUUCAACAUGAAAUUUCAAGUUAUGGAUAUCUCUCUCGUACAGUUACUUAUUGGAUAGGCCAUGGAUUCAUAUGGUAGGUGCUGUUCCAUUUUCAUUACAUCAAAAAGUCAAAUUCAUUAUUGAUAGAAAAUUAACAUGUGUGACAAGGAAAAAGAUUUACUGGUAAUUCAACCAGUAAAUACUCUUUAUGUGAAAUCAGUAGAUGAAGCACUGGAGUAUUCUUAUAGAUCUUUCGAGAUUGCUAACAUAACCUAUAUGACUGAAAGAUCUAAAUUAUAUUCAUUGCACCUGUCUACGACUACUAAAAUGGUCAUUAAGCAGCUUAUUGAAAUGGGAUGGUAACCUGGAACUAGACUAGGAAAGAACCUACAAAGAAUCAUAGAGCCACUAGUAGUAUAUGACAAGAAAACAGAUUCGACUUAGGAUAUAAGCCAAUAAAAGAGGACAAAAUGAAAAUGGUGGAUGAAAAAAAGAUAAAAAAAUGGUAAUCUUGGGGGAUAUGAGCCAGAGUCAGAGCCUAUGGUCAUUUCAUACUUUCAUGAUUCUUUUUUUUCAAGAGGAUAUAUUUACCCAAAUUUGUCUGGGGCCCUAAAUGUAGGAUUCGUGGAAGAGUUUUCGGAGCUUGCCAUUCAAAUGAUAGAUGACAAAAAAAAGAAGAAUCAAGAUGGAAAGCUAUUCAUGUACCUUUAUUUUCUUGAUUUUGAGUUAGAUAAUUAACUAGUCAUAGAGCUGCCUGUUGUCUUUAAAACUCUUGAAAUGUAAUGUGAAACUUUAAAUCCCUAAUUGCUUUCUAUGAGCAUUGGGUGAUCUUUCAUGGUGUCUUUAUGUUUGUUGUUUUAAUAAAAGACUUAAAAGAUGUAUCCAUAUUUUUUUUAUUUUUUUCAUCUUCAUUUUGCUUUCCAUUUCUCUUUCCAUCAUUUUCUUGCCAUUCCAUUUUUGUGUGCCAAUAUUCUCUUCAUAUUACCUUUUGCAAGGUCCCAAAUAAUAAUCAUGGCAAUAAUCUCAGAUUUGAUUUUGAAAACUUAAUUCUUGUUGACGAACUUGAUAAUAAAAAAGAUUCAGAUAACUACACACUGUCUUAUUAUUUGUUACAAUUAAUAGAACAAGAAAACAAACCAAUUGAACCCUACUAGAAAAUUAUUGAGGUAGUGAAUUUGGGGACAAUGAAAACAGAAAAGAGGUUAAAGUUGGUAUAUCUCUUUUACCAGUUGAAAGAAAAAAGCUAGAAGAGCUACUUAAGAAUAUGUAGAUGUGUUUGCGUGGACUUACCAAGAUAUGCUAGGACUCAGUACUGAUAUUAUAAAGCACAAGUUACCUUUAAAACCAGAACGUAAGCUGGUGCAACAAAAGCUAAGACGUAUGAAGUUGAAGAUGCUAUUGAAAAUUAAAGAGGAAGUGAAGAAGCAAUUUGAUGCUAGAUUUUUGGAGGUGGUGAAAUAUCCCUAAUAGGUAGCCAACAUAGUGACAGUUCCCAAGAAUGAUGGAAAAGUGAGAAUGUGUGUCGAUUAUCGAGAUCUGAAUAGGGUGAGUCCUAAGGAUAAUUUUCCUUUGCCUCACAUUGAUACUCUAGGGGAUAAUACUGCUAAGCAUUCCACAUUUUCCUUUUUGGAUGGCUUCUCAGGUUGCAAUCAGAUCAAGAUGGCCUAAGAUGAUAUAGAAAAAACUACAUUUGUGACCAUGUGAGGGACAUUCUGUUACAAAGUCAUGCCUUUUGGGUUAAAAAAUGCUAGUGUCACUUAUCAAAAAGCAAUGGCGACUCUUUUUCAUGACAUGAUGCAUAAAGAGAUAGAAGUUUAUGUGGAUGAUAUGAUUGCAAAAUCUCGUGAAUGAGAGAAUUAUGUAGUCAAUCUCAAAAAGUUAUUUGAUAGGUUGAAAAGAUUUUAGCUGAAGUCGAAUUCUGCUAAAUGUACACUCGGUGCCAAAUUAAAAAAAUUAUUGGGCUUUGUCCAGAACUUAUCUCCUCUUUAUACCCCAAAAGAAGUAUAAGGUUUCCUAAAGAGAUUAAACUAUAUUGCUCGUUUCAUCUCUCAACUCACCUAUAAGUGCGAUCCUAUUUUCAAGCUUCUUAGAAAACAUGAUCCAAGAGAAUAGAAUGAUGAAUGCCAAGAAGCUUUUGAUAAGAUUAAAGAAUACUUGUCAAAUCCACCUCUGUUGGUACCGCCAAUCUUGGGAAACCUUUGAUUUUGUACUUAACAGUGCAUGAAAAUUCAAUGGGAUGUGUGCUAGGGCAAAGAGAUGAAACUGACAAGAAAAAAUGAGCAAUUUACUAUUUGAGUAAGAAGUUUACUAAUUAUGAGUCCAAGUACUCACCAUUAGAAAAGAUAUGUUAUGGAUUGGCUUGAACAGCUCAACAGCUUAGACAAUACAUGCUCUAUCACACUACUUGGCUCAUAGCAAAGUUAGAUCCCAUUAAGUAUAUCUUCAAGAAGGCAUCAUUGAUAGGAAGAAUAGCACAAUGGCAAGUUAUGCUUUCAGAAUAUGAUAUUAUUUAUGUGACUCAAAAGACUAUUAAAAGAAGUGUAAUAGCCGAGUUUCUUAUCGAUCAUGCAAUCAAAAAUUAUGAGCCAAUGAAACUGGAUUUUUCUGAUGAAGAUGUGAUGGCCAUUGAAGAAAAUAAACCUAUUGGGAAAUCUUAGAAUAUGUAUUUUGAUGGAGCAGUUAAUGUUUUAGGCUAUGGUAUUAGGGCAAUUUUAAUAUCUCCCAAUGAACAUUAUUAUCCAAUCACAGCUAGGUUAAAUUUCAAUUGCACAAACAAUGUGGCUGAAUACGAGGCUUAUGCUAUAAGUCUACAGCAGCAAUUGAAAAGAAGGUCAAAGUGUUGGACGUGUUUGAAGAUUUAGCUCUAGUCAUCUAUCAGUUAAGAGAAGAAUGGGAAAUAAGAGAUUCUAAGUUGAUCUAGUAUCAUAAAUACAUCUUUGAGUUGGUCAAACAAUUUGAAAAAGUUCAAUUUGAGCAUCUGCAUGGAGAGGAGAACCAAAUUACUGAUGCAUUAGCUACCCUAACUGCAAUGAUUAAAAUAGAUGCAAAUACUGAAAUUCAACCCAUUAAGCUGAAUGUGAAGGAUGAACUAGCACAUUGUUCAGGUGUCGAAGAAGAAGUUAAUGAAAAGCCAUAGUAUCAUGAUCUUAUACAAUACAUUAAAAGCCAGCAAUACCUAGAACAUGUAACAGAAAAUGAUAAGAUGACUAUCAGAAGGUUGGCUAUGAGUUUUUUCUUAGAUGGAGAUAUCCUCUAUAAAAAGGGUCAAGAUCAAGUGUUCUUAAGAUGUGUGAAUGCAGCUGAGCGAAGAUGAUUAUUGAAAAAAUGUAUGAUGGAGCUUGUGGGGCAUAUGCAAAUGGUCAUAUGAUGGACAAAUUAUGAGGGUCGAUUAUUUUUUGUUGACAAUGGAGAGUGACUGUAUUGAUUAUGCUAGAAGAUGCCAUAAGUGCCAAAUCUAUGCUGAUAAGAUCCACGUUCUUCCAUCAGCAUUACAUGUUUUGGCUCCUCCAUGGCCAUUCUCUAUGUGGGGCAUGGAUGUCAUUGGGCCUAUUACCCUGAAAAGCUUCGAAUGGGCAUAGAUUUAUCUUUGUGAAUAUUGAUUAUUUCACGAAGUGGGUAGAAGCUGCAUCGUACACUAGUGUGACCUAAUCUGUGGUAUGCAAGUUCAUAAAAAAAGAGAUAAUAUACAGAUAUGGGCUUUCAGAGAGUUAUUUUUGAUAAUGCCAAAAACUUGAAUAGCAAAAUGAUGAAUGAAGUGCGUACUCAAUUCAAAACCCAUCAUCGUAAUUCGGCACCAUAUCAUCCAAAGAUGAAUAAGGCAGUGGAGGUUGCAAACAAGAAUAUUAAAAGAAUCUUGGAGAAAAUGACUGAUACUUACAAAGAUUAGCAUGAAAAAUUGCCUUUUACUUUGCAUGCUUAUAGAACAUCAGUCCAAACAUCUACUAGGGCCACCUUAUUCUCUUUGGUAUAUGGAAUGAAAGUUAUGUUACCGGUUGAAGUGGAAAUUCCCUCGCUAAGAGUCUUGAUAGAGGUAGAGUUAGAGGAAGCAGAAUGGGUUCGAAAUUGCUAUGAACAAUUGAACCUCAUUGAAGAGAAAAGACUUACAGCGCUUUGUCAUGGUCAAUUAUAUCAAAAGAGGAUGAUGAGAGCACAUGAUAAGAAAUCCAUCCCCGUCGCUUUAGGGAAAGAGAUUUAGUGCUGAAAAAGAUCAUGCCAAAUCAACAUGACAAUCGAGAAAAAUGGAUAUCAAAUUAGGAGGGUUCGUAUAUGGUGAAAAAGGCUCUUUCCGGUGAGGCAUUGAUUUUGGUAGAAAUGGACGGAAAUGAUUUACCUACUCCAAUAAAUUUAGAUUCUGUGAACAAAUAUUUUGCUUAAAAAAAAGAAAAAAAGGAAAAAGAAAAAAGUAAAAAUGAAAUGAAAAUUAAUGAUUCAUCUAAGCUGAAAACCUGAAAAGACAGCUUAGAUGUACUAAUAACAUAGGGGACAAGUGAGUUUGAUGAAUUCUGAAGAAUUAAGAAAGUCAUCUGAUUUAGUUUUAGAAAAAGAAUCUAGGAAUAUUUUGUUCAUGACUAUCUUGUGAUCAUUACUUGGACAUCUUUGCUUCGACUUAAACACUUUUGUUGUCAUGUACUUAUUAUCAAUCUAAUGAAACAUGCUAGCUUUCCUUUGGAAAUAAUGCCUAUCCAUUCUUUUACCUCAUUUGAUAUCUUUGUUCACCUUACAAAUGAAUGAGAGAACUGUGUGAUUGUAUUUUGCUUGUCUUGACCUUAAAAUGAUGAAAAAAACAAACACGAAAGAUCUUAAGCAUUACUUUUUAAAAGUUAACAAAGGCAGAUGAAAAAGGAUGAGAAAAGCAUGACGAGACAUUGAUGUUGUAGACUUUUAAAGAAGAAAAAUAUUGUUAAGGAAGAAUACAAUGGUCAGAUGUUAAGAAUAGAUUGGUUAUAUGGUAAUUUAUGAAGAAUUAUGAUAAAAGAAGCUAAAAAGCAAAAGAUUUCAAGAAUUUUUUUACUAUAAUAAUUUUGAUUGCAUUACACUCAUUACAUUUAGAGCACUCAGUACAUGCAAUAGUUAUAAUAAGGAUAGAGACUUUUCAUUUUCUAAUGAAAAACAAGAUUUUGAUAUUCGGAUGAAGAUAAUGAUCAAACAUAAGAUUUCAAAAAAGAAAAAUUUACUUGUUCAAAGAUGAGAACUCGAUUUUGAGAAUAAAAGAUAGAUUUUUAAAGUUGUUGAGUCUCUGCUGAGAUGAGCUUUUUCCAGAUGAGAUCUUUAAAGUUGUUGAGCCUCUGCUAAGAGAAGCUUUUCAGAUUUUAAAUUUUUAAAAAUUGUUGAGCAUCUACUGAAAUGAGCUUUUCCAAAUGAGAUUUUUAACCUUUGCUGAGAUGAGCCUUUUUCAGAUUUUAAAUUUUUAAAAGUUGUUGAGCCUAUGCUAAAAGUCGCUUUUUCAAGAUGAGAAUUUCUUUUUAAGUUGUUGAGCCUCAAAUGAGAGGAGCAUUUUUGAUUUGAUGAGAAAAACUUUCUAAGUAGUUUAUGUUCAAAAACAAAAAAAGAAAAGAAAAGAAAAAUCCCUUUGAAUUCUAGACAAAAUUGUUAUCUUUGUCUUUGCCCUAUUCCUAAUUCUCAACAAUGCGCAAAGAGGGGCAACUAUAGACACUAAAUUUGUCCAUAUUUUAUUUAAUAGUUCUCGGGUUAUCGGACCGAGACCUAAUUUCAAUUCAACUGGACUUCAGGCCUGAUUUCAAUUCAAUUGGGCUUCAGGCCCAAUUUCAAUUCGACUGGGCCUAAAGUCUGAUUUCAAUCGAGCUCGAAGCCCAUUUUGUUCUUCAAGCCCAGCCUGCCUUUUAUUUUCUUUGUUUUAUUAAAUUAAACAAAAAUACAAAAAAAUAUACAAAAAUACAAAAUACAAAAAAAUAUUAAAAAAUUAAAAAAAGGGGGGGGCUGAUGGCAGUGGUGCCUUGCACGGCACCACUGGCCACCCACCCCUCUGAUCACCCAUCCUUCAACCAUACCCUGCAAACCCUAUACUUAUAACCAUUGUACCUUACCACUGUCGGAUAAGAUAAAGAAAAUAAAAGAGUGAGGAGCUCGUGCUUACACCCCUAUGCAGAGCACUGUGCCACCUAUUCAGGCAUAGGGAAUGGCCGGUGCUCUAUAAAUAGAACUCUUGGUCGAACCCAAAAAAAAAAGGGGAGGAGAAGAUUGCCCAAAAAAAAGAAAAGCUUUCUACCAAAAAAAAAUUACAAUCCUCGUUGAAUUGGCGAAGAACCCAGUGCUAAGUAAGACUUGCAGAAACAAAAAAAAAAGUUAGUUUUAGUUUAAAAAAAAAGGAGACUGAAACUUUAAACUCUGAUCUACAUCAAUUGGGGCUGUUUUUGGUGAAAAGGAGUUUGAAUCCGAAAAGAGGGGGUUGAGGGGAACGUUUUGGUGUUUUUGGGUAUUUUUUUACGACCGGUCAGUGACCACCGACGACGACGGCUGUCGGUCCCCUGCGCUUAGGCUAAAAGAUUUUUUUUUCUGAAAAGGGAGGAAAUGACAAAAAAAAUUGGGCCUUUUAUAGAAACUACCAAAGCCAAAAUGAUGCCGUUUCAAUAAAACCCCAAAAUGACAUCGUUUUAAGACCCUAAGGAUCCGUGUGUCAACCUAUGACUCGACCCAAGGUCCGUGCACCUGACUUGCUAACCCGACUUCACCUUUAACUCUGAUCGAUCCGACUGAACUGGAACCGAACCAUUGAACCCGAUCUAGAUCGAAACCAAACAGUUGAAUGCGGUUGAAUCAUCGAACAGAACCGCUGAAUGCAAUCGAACUGCUAGAUUAAACAGCGCAUUGACCAGUCUAAAUUAGGUAAAAAAAAAUUUUUUUGAAUUUUUUUUAUAUAUUAUUUUUGUUAUUUUAAUUAUUAUUCUUAAUAUUUAUGCAUGUUAAAAUGUUUAAAUUUACUAGAAUAAAUUUUUUGUUAUUUUAUAAUAAUAAUUAAUAAAAAAGAAAAUUUUAUCCGAUGAUGAGAUUCAAAAAUAUUCUGAGUAGUGAUAACUAUGAAAUCUCUAAGUGAGAAGAUUUUUUUAAAAAUACUACCGGUGUAUUAGAGUAUUUAUAAAAAAUUUUCAAUACAAUAAAAUUUAUAUAUAUAAAAUAAUAAAUAAAAAUGAAUUAAUAAAUUAAGAAUAAGUAAUAAAAAAUGAGAAAAAAGGAAAAUUUAUCCAAUGAUGGGAUUCUAAAAGUAUUUCGAGUAAAGAUGCUUUAAGAAAUCCCUAUGUGAAAGAUAUUUUUUUUAAAUAUUACCAGUGUAUUGGAAUAUCUAUAGAAAAUAUUCAAUAUAAUAAAAAUUCUUUUUUUCUUCAUUUUUUUAAAACGAAAAAUAUUAAUAAAAAUUAAUAAAUUUUUUUAAUAAAAAAAUAAAAUGUGUGCAUCAACAUGUUAUUAUUUGCAUUGCAUGCAUGACAUAUUUUUUACGAAAAGUAAAUUCGGACAUCCAAGGAUGGGAUUCUAAGAUAUUCCAAGAACCAAUGCCUAAGAAAUCUAUAAGUGAGAAAGAGUUCUUCUAAUGUUACCAAUGUAAUGGAACAUUUUAAGAACUAUUUCAAUAAAAAAGGUCUUAAUUUAUUUUCCUUGAAUAAAAUUUGAGUAUCAAUAAAAAAAUCGAGAAAAUUAUUUUUUUCAAACAUUAAAAAUAAGACUGUUUUUAUCAAAAUCAAAUGAUAACACAGAGUUAAGUGAUACCGUUUUUAAGCGGGCACUGUGGAGGUGCUAAUUUUUCUUCACGUGUAACUGACUACCGAACUCAGACUGUUAUGCAAAUCCUAAAAUUAUCCUUUUAAUAAAUUUUAAUAUUUCAUUAAAAGGAUAUGUUUUAAUAGGUGACCAAUCGCACCUUGCCAAAAAAGAUUAGUGGUGACUCCGUUGUUAUUUUUUAUUUUGUUUUCAAAUUCAUUGGGCAGACAUAAAAUGUUACAACAGUAAAAAAAAAAAAAACACUAAUGACUUAAAGUAAUGGUAAGUGGAUUACAGAGAAUUAACACACAUGGCAGGAAAAUGUGACAAUAUACAAUCAUUAAUCUAUUCAAUACCUUGAAGUAAUUCUCCACAAAAGUGGGAUCCCUAAGAGUUGAAUGCCGCUUACAAUCUCUUACAAUUGGACAGUUUGUGUUUUAAAUUGAUUGCAAUUCUGUUUCUAUUUGAAGACUUCUUUAAAAACAAUAUUACAUUUCAUUAGAUCUGUAAGCAAUACUAAGUUGCCCCCUGCAAUUACAAUCCCAACUCUCCCGACCCCCACAUGCCACACCCAUCCUUUAAUUUUUUUCUGUCAUUUUCGUUUAGACAAAGAAAAGAAACAAGACCAAGCCAAACGUAUUGCCUUUAUACUUUACAGCUUUGUUACAAAGGUUCCAACUAAUGGUAGAAAUUUUUCUUUAAACAGAAUUAUAAUUAGUAUAUACGCAUCAAAUACUCUGAAUAUCAUUUGAGGCUUGCUAACAGUAAAUUAAUAAAAAACUUUGGGAUUAAGAUCAAAUUUGUCACUACAUUUUGAUUUAAUAUUAAAAUUUGUCAUUAUACUAUCAAUUUAUUGAUUUUUGGACAACAUCCUCUUCAAUUUCUUCAGUUUGCCUGAUGGCGUCAUUGACAUCAUGUUGCAAACGCCCUUGUGCCAUUGUCUCUUACCUGAGGUCUUCAACAUAACUGGCAAAACAGAAAACAUAACUAAGAUGAGGAAUUGCAUGCUGGUGUCACCAGAAGCAGAGGUGGAUCCAUGCUUUGAAAUAGGGUGUCCGUGGAUUGGAAAACAAGAUUGUUUGACAGAAAAACUUUUCUUGCACACCUCCAAAAUUUUCUGUUGCCACCUUUUCAAUCAGCAAAAUUGAUAAAUCCGUCAUAUAUAUAUAUAUAUAUAUAUAUAUAAGUGGACACUCCCGAUAAAAAAAAAAUUUGGAUUCGGCACAAAUGUCACAGAUAGACCAAAAUUAGCCAUGCCUGAGAAUUGAAAUUUAAAAGACAUGCUGAAUUAGUACAUGGAAUAUCAUUGACAAAUCAAUAAUUGAAGGAGAACCUCUGAAACUUCGCUGAGCACCUGAACUCUUAGCAAUUCCGAUCUGAAACUGCCCACAACAGGUGAACAAGUCACUGAAAAAUCAACUUGAUAUCUAGAAGGGGAAAGAAAACAGAGCCUACAUAUUUAAUCACUAUUUCUGUAUCUGCAAAAGAAUUAAGACAGAACCAUGUAGUUAGACAAAAUCAUAUUUUUUACAGAAAGCUCAAUUACGAUAGAACCAUAGUUUUUUUAGCAAGCUCUCAGCAAAAUCACUUCUUCCCUAGUUCCUACAUGUUGUUGCCCUUUGACCAGAACUUGCAAUUGAUGUCCUUAUUACAAAAAAUUUUGAAUUUUAAAAUGGAAAAUAUAGGGAAAAUGAUUUUCUCAAACAAUGAUAUACAGAAAUCAACAUCUGCUCUUUGCAGAAACAAUAUUCUGAAAAAAGCAAGCAAAUUUUUGGAGUAUCCUUCGAGUCUUUGUCUAUUUUGUGAGCUUUAAACAGCCUUUACCACCAAUAAAAAUAAUUACAUAUGGAUCCAUUCACUGAUUAAUGAGAAACAAACUAAUUUUCAGAUUAAAAAGAAAUGAUCUUAGUGGAGAUACGUUAGCCAAAAUCAACACAUAAGUCAUAUUAUGAGAUAAGCAAUACUGAAGUUGAUCAUAGCAAUGCUUUGUUUCAUGUUGGAUAAGUUUCAUUUCUCUUUCAAAAUCCGCGGCGUCACAUGCGCAAAAUACAUAAUUCCUUUCUCUGUCCAGAUGAAUGCUUGUCAACACAGCCUUGGUAUUUUCUCCACUCCCUCAAGAUUUACAAAAAUCUGCUUUGUCAGCCAUGGUUACAUUCAUCCAUCCUGCCUCGGUUAGCGUAUACUUGAAUGAGCAACUUCAUUCAGGACCUUUUUUUCUUCUAAUUGUUGCAGAAACUCUUGCCAAAGAGGGUAUGAGGAGGAUGUAUAGAACAGUAUUCCACCUUCAACUUCCAUGCUUGAACACUAUUCAAUUAUGGCAAUUAUGGUAACAAAGUCAAAACUAUACACAAUCUGUUUAAAAAAUGCACUUGAUUAGGAGUCUGCAUUUAUUUAUAUACCAAUAUCCUUAAUGCCCCACAAUUUAUUAGAUUACAGAGAAAAUGUCAUAAUUAACAUAAGAAAUGACAUAAGUAAACACGAAUGCAACCAACAUUAUUCAUUUAUUUAUUUAUUUUUGUUUUUGCAAACUUUUUUUUUUGUUUUUAAAAAUACAAAUAAAGGAAUAACUAUUAAAUAUUAAUUAAACCACUAAAUUAAAACUUAGGAUAACACAUAAUUCAUUUUUGACUUGACUCUAAAAAAAUAUCCCCAUUGGUGUCAUUAAGCUAUUAUAGCAUGCAGGUUCAAGAACCAGACCACUUGACAAAAUUUUAAAAUUAAAACAAGGAGUCGUUAUCAAUCUUUUUGGAUUACGUAUGAAUGGUUACCUAAAAAAAUUUUUAAUAAAAAUUUUAAUUUGAUUAAAACUUAUUAGAAAGAUAUUUUUUUUUAUAUGAAAAUGACAUCUAGGUUCAUGAAUUAUGGUUAUGUGUGAUGAAUGAUUAGCAUUCCACAAAACCCAUUAAAAAAUGGUACCAAUUAAUAACAUAAUAUCCUUUAUUAUUGAUAAAAGAUGUCCUUAAUUUUAAAAUUUAAAAAUAAUUUCUUAAAUCCCAUUUAUUAUUAUAAAACCCCCCUUUUGUCAAUUUUUUUAGAAUCGCUUUAAAAAUUUAAAUUUAACUAAAACUUAUUAAAAAUAUAUUUUUUGUAUGUGAAAACACAUCUAAGUUUAGAAGUACAAUUGCAUGUGGAUAAGGAUUAGCAUCCCAUAAUACCCAUUAAAAAACAAUACCAAUUAAUAGCAUGUUAUUCUUUAUUAUUGAUAAAAAAAUUACCUUAAUUUUAAAAUUUAAAAAUAAUUUCUUAAAUCCCAUUUAUUAUCUUAAAACAUUUUUUUUCCAUCCUUUUUAGAAUUGCUUUAUUUAGGAAUCAAAUGAAAAUUUUUUGUUUCGAAACAUUUUUAAAUUCCUCAAUAACUAGAUGAAAUUUAGAAAAAUGUUUUUUCAUUUGGGUAUUUUCAUGAUAAUCCUUAAAACCAAAGAUAAUAUUCUUUGGUAAAGAAUAAUUGUUGAGAAUUUCUCCAAAAUCUAAGUAGGAUCUCAAGAAAUAUUUUACUUAGGAUAUUAUUUUAUUUUAUUUCUAAAAAAUAAUUUUUUUCAAAAGCAUCUUUUACUUCUUUAUCUAUUUUUUGAGAAUAGUAAAACGCAUGUGAUGUAACAUGAAGCAAAUUAACGAUGCAAAUAUAAACUAAAAGAUACAAAUGAUCAAUUUAAUUUAUCUUAUAAAUCUUUAAUUUUAUCACUUUUUAUUUUUUUCAUGGUUUUUUUUUUAAAUAGUUAGUGAUAAAACGAAAUAUUUUUAUAUUUUUGGAAGUUACCUUUAUGCAUUAUCAACUUUAUAAUAUUUAUAAAUCUGAUAAUAUUAAAAUUUUAAAUUAAUUUCUCAUCAUAUAUGAAUUUAAUUUAAUUUUUUAUUAAAUUUAUUAAAUUAUUUGUUGAUUUAUUUGUUUGAUUUAAUUCAAUGAUUUUCUUAUAGGAAUAUAAUACUUCCUUAUACUAUUAAGUUCAUAAAAAAAAAUUAGUAAGUAAAGAAUUUCCUCAAAUUUCCAUUGACAUGCAUUUUUUUGGAACUCAUGAACGCUUUGCAAUGAGACUAGCUUUUUUGCUUUCUAAUAACCAAAAGAAGUCAUAUAUAAUCUUAACUAGAAAUAAGGAGAAUGAUUUUCUGGCUUUAAUUUGAAAUUUAAAACUAGAAAUUAAAAAUCUCCCCUCCCCAUGACUUAUAUACCAUAAUCACUACUUAUGAUAAGCAUGGUUAAUCGAAUUCUUUUUAAUUAUAUUAAGAAAAAACGAAAAUGAAAAGAAUAUAAAAAAAAGUAUGUAAGUGUUAAGCCGUUAGUUGUACAUUAUUGGCCUAUCACGUGAGUUCAUAUAACGUAACGUAUAAAUAACUUAUCAUUGAAUUAAUUAUUAAAUCACCACAAUAAAAACAAGCAUAGAAAACUAUCUAUGACAUGCAAGUAGACAUAACUAUGUAUUACUCAUCCAUUCAAGCUGCUACAAGCAACUAAUAAAGAACCAGCAAACUAAACUGAACACAAAAAACCAUGUUUCUUAAGAGUACAUGAAUUUCGCCACCAAUCUCUCGGCCAAGUGAUAAGAAGAGGAUUUAUGAGAUAUGCAAGCUUGAGUUCCAGUCCAAAUAUUAAAAAAAAUAUAUAUAUAUAUAUAUAUAUAUAUACAUGAAGUUUGUCUUAAAUGAAUGGCUAAAUAUGGCUUUAUUUCACAAUAUCAAACAAGCAAAUGCAAUGCAACAUAGAAUAAAUUACUUCUUCAUUGCAAAGUAAAGCUGAAAAAGCAGAGAUCCAAUCAGUUGACGGUACCAUAAAACAGAAAAGCUCAAAUGAUAAUGAGCACAAUCAAGUAUCAAUCACCUACAUUGAGGCAAAGAAUCAAUAAGAAUUUAAACAAGAAGCUUGAUUAAGGAAAUCAUAAAUACAUGGACAAUGGUGGAUUCAAGAUUUUUGUCAAAAAAUGUUCACUUAUAAUAUAUAAAAUACCGUCGAUGGGUUUAUUAAUUUUAUCCAUUAAAAUCAUGUUUAGAAGAAAUUUUUGGAUGUUCAUGGAAAAAUUUCCUUUAAAUUUUCUUAUUUUUUUAAUUUUUAGGAGUCUCCAAAAAAAUUUUAUGGGUAUCCAACACAAAAUUUUAUUUAAAUUUUCUUUUAUUUUUCAAGGGACACCCCACAAUACCAUGUAAAUCCACCACAGUACAUGGAAAAAAAAAUCCCUAUUUACCUGCUUAGCUAACAAGUUUCUCCUGAAGUUUUCACUUCCUUGUGUAACGUUAUCCUUGUUUGUCCCACAGUCAUAUAUUGUGGUACUUGAUCUUCACAGCUUCUCCAAAUUAUAUCAUUGCAAGUGGUUUGAUUAUCAACUAUUUCUUCCAUUGUGGUGAAACCUUCUGUUGUAUUAUUCUGAACUUGUUGGGGUUCCUUCACAACAAAUUACCCAAAAAAGUGACAUAAAGUACUAAAUUUCCGUUUUCUUGUCACGAGGAUACACAAAAAAUAAAGACAAUUCUUAUUAAGUAAAUAAUGCUAGAAGUAAUUAAUUAAUUAAUUAUGCAUAUGACUUGUGUGUAUAUAAAAGAAUCAUCCAAUUCAUAAUAAUAUGUAGUUAUUUACUAACAUAACUUUUGUUUCAAUGCAUCAUCAUUUCAUCAUUAGUAUCAAUAUGAUCAAGAACAACAAAUUAAUUAAUUAAGCAUAAUAGUUAGAAAAAAAAGUCGGUUAGGUACCUCUGUUAUGGCAGGCAUAGGAUGUUUUGAAUCCAUGAUGACACUUCUGGUCAACUUGGGAGAUUUGGUUAUUUUAAAAUGAAACAAAGAAGGGAAUCGGAAAUGAUAACCCAUUGGAGCAAAACUCUUUAGGCUUGAUAGCUCAUGAAGAUUCAAAAUUUGUAAUUUAGGGAGCACCAUUCCCUUUUGAUCAUCUUCAAUGUUUAGUUCACCUUGAUACCCGAAGACUUGCUCUAGUUUAGAAGCCCCUUCAAUUUGGAUUCUCUCGAGGUUGGCAAAAGAACGGGCGACACUAAUAGGAAACAAGCUUUUCAAAUUGCUACACCCAGAAAUAGAUAUAAAUUGAAGAAUAGGGAAGGAUAUAGGUUGGAGAUGACUCUGUGAUGAUGAUGCUAUUGAAGUUUGGUCCAUUUCAAUGAUUUCUUCCAACUCCUCACAACACUUUAUUUUCAAAACUUUCAAUUGCGGCAUAUUUGGAGCAAGCAUAGAAGAGAAGAGAGAUUUCAGCCUUUUACAACUUGACACUUUUAAGUCUUUAAGAUAAGGAAGGCUUGCAACUUGGAUGGGACUCUGCAACUGAUGUAUACCCUUUAGAUUUAAAAUCUCUAUCUUUGAGAACAAGUGUCCGCCUUGAAUUUGAAAUAUAUUCUCCCAAUUAAUAGUGUCACACACAUUGUCUUGUCCCAACUCAGAGAAUCGUAACUCCUGUAUAAAUAUAAAAAUAUCAUAAUUUCAUUAAAAUUUGAAUAAAUUACAAUGGUCAAAUAAUAUAUGACUUCAAAAGUACAAAAUCUAAUAUAUAUAUAUAUAUAUAAGUACAUUUAUGUGAAUAACUUCUCUUUAUGACAUGUAGGAUGAUGUUUAUAUUAUUAUAUUAUUUAUCAAAUAACUCCAUUUAAUAAAUUAUUCAAAUUUAAUAUUUUUGAAUAAUUAUUUAAAUUAAAAUCAAAAUCUAUAAAAAAAAUUUUGCAUAAAUUUUAAAUUCAAAUAUAUUAAAUUAUAAUUUAUUUUUUCUUUUUACAUUAAUCAUAGUUCCAAAAAUAUAUGUAUUUAUAUGGUUAAUAUAUUUUUAUCUACCAUCAAAUAAUUCUAUUUAAUAAAUUAUUUAAAUUUAAUAUUUUUGCAUAAUUAUUUAAAUUCAAACCAAACUCUAUCAAAGGUUGAAAAUAUUACAUAAGUUUCAAAUUUAAAUAUACUAAAUCAUAAUUUAUCUUUUUUUUUUAAAAUUUAAUCAUAAUUCCAAAUAUAUAUAUUUAUUAAAUUUUUAUUUGAUGAAAUCAGAAUCUAAAAUUGAAAAUAAAGAGUUUAUAAAAUGAGAGGUCACCUUCUAGCCAAGCUUAUUUUAUUUGUUGUUAUUAGAAUUAAAAAUUGAAAAAUACAAGCCUUUUUUUUACUUGACAGUUAUGAUUUAUUAGUUUUGACGGGAAUGGACAAAUGUUAGAAAGAAGAGUAAACCACAUCAUACUAUGAACAAGUAAGUCCAUUUUUGCCUUUAUUAUUCUUUUUUUUUAUUUGCAAAAAUAAGUAUGUGAUGGUGUUGGAUUGUUUUAUUUUUAUAUAAUUUUUGCUUAAAUGACAUUGAUUUUUUUUUUUAUCAAAUUUCAAUAAUGGAAAGAAAACGAAAGUACAUUUGGAUUAGUUUCAACUCGGUAAUAGGUAUGGUUCAUUACUUUUCUUUUUCAUAUUUUAUUUCUUUUUUAUUUUUUUAUUUCCUCCAUUUGUUUGUUUCUUCAAACUGUUUAUUUGGUCUUAUUUCUAUUAUAUGAUAUAUGCAUUUGAUUUGAUUUAUCCUAAAAAAAUUCAUUUAUAUAUUUAUAUAUAUAUUUAGUUAAGUUGGAUAUUUGUUAUGCAUAAGUUCAAGAGAUUUCAACUGUAUAUGCGUCCUCAAUUCGUAUAUUUGGUUUUUUGGAUACAUGUAUAUUUGACUUAUGUUUUAAUAAAAAGCAAAUAUAUAUGUUGAAGUAUGUAAAAAAUAAUAAUUAAUAAAAAGCAAAUGGUUAUGAACAAAUUAAUAAUUAUAUAUGCUUGAUUGUUCAAUCAAAUAUAUAUAGAAAAAGAAAUUAUUAUUAUUUUAUGUUUUAUUUUUGGUUCAACUUUAUAAGAUUUAAUAGUUUAUGAAUAUUCUAUUAAUAUAAAUGUCUUAUAAUUUAACAAAAUGAUAUCUUUUUUAUAUCCAUAUUAACAUUAUCAUAAAAAUAAUUAUUAAUUUUUUACUAUUAAAAGAUUGACCCUUUCUUUUUUUUAUCAAAAAAUAAAUAAUUAGUAACAAAAUUUUUUAUAUUUAGCUAAAUAACAAAAUAUUUUUUGUUAAAAAAGAAAGCAUUUGCAUAAUUCUUUGAAAUUUUGUAAAAGAUUAUACUUUAAAUGAUAAUAAGUGAAUGCUAUCAUUUAAUCGUACCUUAAAAUUUAUAAAUGUAUGAUUAUAUAGUUGAUUAAUAAAAGUUUGCAUAUUCUUUUAUUGAGGAAAUAUAAAAAAUUAAAGUUAAAAAAUAAAUUUAAAUUAAGAAAAUAAUAACACGAUUAAAAAAGCUAGUAUGUAUGUAAAACAAAUACCAAAGGCAAAAUCUCGAACUACAAUUGAAGGAAAAGAGUGUAACAAUACCUUUGGUUGAAGCUGUUUGUGGACUUGUAGUUGAAUAAUGAAAUUUUCCAAUCGAGGACAGACCACAAUGAUUAACUUCUUCAAGGUUGGUGACAUAAUGGGAUAGUUUUCUGAACAGAAGCUACUCAAAUUUUCCAAGUUUUCAAGUCGUAGAUGUUGCAGGCGACGGAGAGCAAUGGCAUGAUCAACUCCAUUCUUUUCUUCUGCGACAUUGAAGACAUACUGCAGUCGUGGACAACCAUGUAUUUCAAGAGAUGCCAAUUUUGGCAAGGGCGGAGGAUGGAGAAGGCCACUGUCUGAUUCUAUACUAUCAUCGCUUUCCAACUCUGUGGCAAUGUGUUCCAGUUCAUCGCAGUCUUCUAUCUUGAGUUGUUCUAGCAUCACCAAGCUUUGAACAAGUGAUGGUGAGAAGAGAUAUUUCAAUUUAUUGCAGCCACUAAUUACUGCAACCUUCAGGCUUUGGAGGCAGACAUGAUGGCUGGGCCCUUUCCAUAUCCACUUCAAUUCUGGUAAUGACUUCAGCUUCAAAUUUGUUAAAUUUGGCAGCAGUGGAAUGGUUGAGACAUGGCCUUGAUCUGUUGUAUCAAUCAAGCAUUCCAGCUCUUUACCAUCUUCAAGUGUAAGAAAAGUUAAUUCAUGUAGACCCCGUGAAUCGACGUUUGGAAUGAGAUUUUUGUGAUGCAUGAUUCCAUCCGUGGUAAGUUUUUGACAUUGCAUAAUAAUUCCUUGAAACCAUUUAAUGGAACAUCCUGAUAGAUUCACAAUAUAAAGGAAAACAGCAACAAAAUUCGAAACAUAUAAUGAGAUUUCUCUUAUUAGGAAAAAGAAAGAUUUGAGCUAAAAGAAUAUUUUUAUCCUUCACUUUUCACUGAAAGUUCAUUACUGUAAAAAUUUAAACAAUUUAAAUUAAACUGAGUAUAACUAAUAUAGGUAUGACACUACAUGGACACAAUAACACAAUAAUUUUAAAAAUAGAGGACAUGGAUACGAUAAAACAUGACAAUAAAAAAAUAUUUAUAUAUAUAUUUUUAUCCAUAAAUUUUUAUAUGAAUAUAAAUUGAACACAAUUAUAACAUAAUUAAUGGUGUGUGUAAAACUAAUAUAAAAUUCUAUUAUUGCUAUGCGUAAAAGUAAAAAAUAGUCGAUAUAAUUAUAAUUUUAUUAAUUUAAUUUUUAAUACUAAUAGAUUAUAAAAUUUUAAACUUUUUAAAUAAUUUUAUUUUUCCUUAUUUUUCAUUUCUUUUCUUUUACUUCCUACAUUUUCUUCUUUCAUUUCUUUUUUUUUCUUUCUUUUUUCCUUUUUUUCCCUUCCCCAAAUCGUACGAUUUAAAAGCUUUAUCAAUUCAAUAAUAAUAGUUAUUGAAUAAUAUUUUAUUAUAUAAAGAAUAAAAAAAAUGAGAAUAAACAUACAAAGAUUUUAUAAAGUGUGUUAAUAAAGAGAAAAAAGAUACAUAGUGUUAGUUUUCUCAACCUGCAAGACAUGUAAUAAAUAUACAUUUAAUAAAACUUUUUUCUUUUAAACUUCAACAAAAGCUAAUUAUGUAUAAUACAUUUACAUGUAGAUGUGAAUGUACUAAAUUUGGACAUUUGUGUUAUGAGAUAAAUAAUUCAAUUAAUUAUUACUAAAAUAAACAAAAUUGAGACAAAAUGACAGUAUAAGAGAAGUACCUUUAAAUGGGACUGCAACGUCUUAAGCUCAGUUAAUUGGGGACAAUUGAGAACUUUGACCUCCUUCAAAGAUAGUGACAUGACAACAUUUUCUGAACAAAAACUACUCAACUUCUCUAAAUUUUCAAGUCUUAAAAUUUGUAGUCUCUGUAGCAAACUUUGACCCUCAUUUUCUCCUUCUCCGAAGAUUACAUGUUCCAAAGAGCCACAAUCUUUUAUUUCGAGUUCUUCUAGAUGCACCAAACUUUGAGCAAGGGGAGUCAGAUAGAGAUAUGCCAGUUUCGCACACUCCCUUAUUCUCAUAGUCUUAAGACUUUGGAGGUUAACACGAUGGGUGGGCCCUUUCCAUAUCCACUUCAAUUCUGGUAAAAAAUCUAGCUCCAAAAUAGUUAAAUUAGAAAGUGGCGGUAGCUGACAUGAAUUCAUUGAUUGAAAAUGUAAAUAAAUAUAUGGACAAGACAUACAUACAAAGGUAAUAAUAGUAGUUAUUAAAUAAUAUAUUAUUUAAAUAAACAACAAAAAAAAGGAGAAAAAAUACAAUGAUUUUGUAAAGUGUGUUAAUAAAGACAAAAAAAGAUAUAUAGUGUUUGUUUUCUCAACCUGCAAGCCAUGUAAUAAAUAUACAUGUAGAUUAGUUAUUAAUAUAAUUUAAUUAAACUUUCUUUCUUUUAAACUUCAACAAAAGUUAAUUAUAUGAUCAAUAUAUAAAAUUUAGUAAUUUCUCAUUAUUCAUUGAAGGAGAAAUGGAAAGAGAAAAGGUACCUGAAGCUCAACCAUUUCUUGGGGAAAAUCAAAGACUUGCUCUAAUCUAUCGCAGUCAGAUAUUACGAGUUCUUGUAAGUGCAACAAACUUUGAGCAAGGCAAGGCGGGAAGAUGGAUUUCAAUUCACUGCAUUCCCCAAUGUUUACAUCCUUUAGACUUUGGAGGCUUGCAUGACAUUGAUGGGCUGAUUGUAAUUUCCAUAUACUCUCCAAUUCUGGUAAGAAUGAUAGAUUCAAGCUUGUUAAAUUUGAGAGUAACGGUGUCUGACUAAUUUCUCCCUUUCUAAGAAGACUAUUCGUUUCAAAUACCACUUUCAACCGCUUACAAUCUUCAACGGUCACAUCUUUUAACUUUUGUAAGAAGCUAAUCGGAGGCGGACCAUGGCACAACUCUUUCAAACGAGUCAUUUUCACCAUUCUCAAUUUCACCAAAUUAGAGAACGCAGUGGUUGCUCCUUUCUCUCGUGUUGUAUCCAUUAAGCAUUCCAUAUUAUUGCAAUCUUCAAGCUCAAGAGAAGUUAAUUCUUCUAGGCCCUUUGGAUCUAUGUUUGGGACAAUAUUUUUGUGUUUCAUGACAACAUUCUUCAGAGCCAACUCUUCCACAUUGCAAAACAACUCCUUGAAUGCACUUAAUGAAGACGAGAAUUCAGUAAUUUCCAAGGUUCUAAAGUUUAGCCCCUGCAUAAAUGGAUGAUAUUCAUUUACAGCAAUAAUGAAACUUUGUAGUUUAGGGAACACAAAAUUUUCUGGAAAACAUUGAGCUGUAGAAACACUCAAUGACAGUGCAGUCAAACGAGAUAAUGAAUUCAGCUCCGAUAAGUUAACAUUGUUUUCACAUCCGACGUGUAGCUCUUGGAGUGAUGUCAACCUGUUUGUUACACAAAUACAAAAAACCAUUAUCAAACACUUCAAGUGAAUCAUAAAAAUAGAAGUAAACAUAAGUUAAUUUUAAUUAUCUCAGCAAAUACAUCAUGAUUUUUCAGCACCUUUUCUUAUUAAAAAGGUUUGAGCAUUUUUUACUAUUUCGUAAUUCAUGUGACAAUCCUCUUAUAUACUAGCAUUUUUUUUAAAUGGAAAGACUACAGCUUCGAAUGUUUCAUAAAAAUGGAAGUGACCAAAAGCUUAUGGUAGAUAUAUUUCCUAUAGUCUAAAAUCAAAUUACUUAUAAUAAAGUAAAUAAAAGAAAAAUAAAUAACAUAAAACUAAAUACUUAAUUUUCAGCAAUAUAAUAAAAAAUAAUUGACAUCUACUAUUACCUUGAUAGCAAAUUAGGGGGAAAAUCGAUCUGUUUCUUUCUAGAGAUAGAAAAAUAAGAAAAACGUAGCGAUUUUAGUCUACGCAAUGCCACUAAUUCUUCAGGUAGCUUAUAAAUAUUAGUAUUAGAAAAUGCAAGAAUCUCAAGUUUUUCCAUACUACUCAAUGAUGAGAUGUUCUCCAGCCCGCAAUUUAGAAAGCAUAGACUUCGAAGAUUUGAUACGAAUUGAAGUACUUCUAGUGAGAAAAUGACAUUUUCGAGAUACAAAGAAGGGCUUUCAUUCCUUUAACAAAUGCAUUCGGAACUUUCACUGUAGUCUUUCCUGCAAAAAUCAAAAUUUUGAGUUCAGGAAAUUCCAAAUUUUCAGGAAAAAUAUUUAUGUUGCUGCUCCAAAAGGAGAUUGCUGUAUGGGAUCCACAACUUUUACUUAGAGGCCAUUCCAUCAACCCCCCUCUUUUACCAUGAAUAUAUGUUUCCCUGUAGGUGCUAUCCAAUGAGCAAAAUCACGAACCAUCAUGCAUUCUUACGUUUAAUUCAUCAUCAUCAUCAUCAGUUCUCAGUAACAAACCAGACUCUUGGAGUUUUCUUAGUGCUUCACGAAUUUCCCUCCGUAAGUCGUCAAUUAAUAAGUCUUUAGGUAAGUCAAUAUCAGAAAAUAAUCCAUGACCAAUUGCAAACAUAACCAAUAACUCAAUAUCAAUAUCCCUAUCUUCUGGAAAAAGGGAACACAGCAAGAAACAUGUUCGAAUAUUAUCUCCCUUCAAAUAAUCAUAACUCAGCUUAAGGCAGUUGUAGAUACCUUGAGAAACCUCUUCAUUGUCUAAAUCUCUUGAGUCCUUGAGUCGCUUGUUUGCCACUUUCCAGCCAUCUAGACUUGCACCUUUUAAAGCUUUUCCGAUUGUCACAAUUGCAAGAGGCAAACCCAUGCAUUCACGAGCAACCUCCUGGGCUACAUCAUUCAAUCUCGAAGAAACAUCUUUUAGACCAGCAGUAUCUUUGAACAAAGCCCAUGCUUCAUCUUUGGAUAAGAUGUCCAGUUGAAAUUUCUUUUGACAAUUCAUACGAACACAGACUUGUUGAAGACGUGUGGUCAGAAGAAUUUUGCAACCCUCGUGUUCAACACCGAAUGGAAUACCUACAGUCUGCAAUUCAAAUUCAUUCCAAACAUCAUCAAUAAUUAUGAGGAUCUUCUUCACGUUUUUCAAUCUCCGCAAUAACUCUUCUGCUUUUCCUGCUUCCGUACUUGCUUCAAAUUUGAAGCGUAAUAAUUCUGCAAUUUUGUCAUGAAUAUUGCUGAUGUUUGGAGUUUGGGACAUUGUAACCAUCACAACAUUAUCAAAGAGCUUUUGUUCUUUAGCAUGCUUCCCAACUUCUUUUGCCAAAGUUGUUUUGCCCACCCCUGGCAUUCCAUACAAUCCAAUCAUGUUCACACCAUCAGUGUUUAGAGCCUUGAUGAUGUCAUUUAAAGUUGAAUUUGAAGACUCAUUAGGCAUGAAAUCUUUAGAGGUGAAGAAUUCUAUUCCUUCUAGAGGAGCACGGUGGCCCACCCGUGGAAAGUUACAACUCACAAGAAGUUUAUCGAUAGAGAUCGUCUUCUUUGCCACUUUCUUACUUAAGCAAUAUCGCCAACCCCAACUUGGACACCAGUUGAAACACUUCAUACGUUCUAUUUCAGCUUCCAAACACUGGGUUUCUUCCAGUUCUUUCUGUGCCCUUUUUCGCCAGUCUUGGACAUCCUUCUCAAUUACCUCAUUUUGCCUUAUAGCCUCUUCGACAUCAUUUUUUACCCGAUCACUUUUCAAUUCAAGUUCAUUUCUCCGAUUCUUGAAUUCUUCAACAAUUUUCCCAAAUCGGAAAAAGUAACUAACAUAAGGUGAUGCAUAUUCUGUUGUGAGGUUUCCUACAGCAUUGGCAGCAGCAGAGGCAGCAAAUUCAGCAGCCAUUCUUUGAUGAUCUGAGAUUGGAAAACAACUUUAAUGAUUAGUAAACAUAAAAACAGCUAGAGAGACGAAUGCAAUUGUGAAUGUUUGCAAUGUACCUUACUUGCUUUGGGAGCCAAUUGUGAAGUAGAAGAGAAAUCAACUCUAAAAUUGAAAAUUCUGCAAAUGGAAGAAAUUAUUUAGUGUUCAUGCGUAUACUAAGAAUAUAUGUUACAUGUGUUAGAGUAAGGGAAUAGUAUAUAUUUUGAUCAUUAAUCUAUCUAAUAUUUUCUCAAUUUUUAAAUGAAUCUAUUUAUUUAACUUUUUUCCUUAUAAAUGCAGUUUUUUUUUUUUUUUUGUUUAAAUAUGCCAGGGAAACAAACAAGUAAACAACUUUUGAGCAUAUAAGAAAAUUAUGGAAAUAAAAAUAAUUAUUGAAGCAUACGUAAUUGGGGAUGGACCUUCUAAAUUAAACUGUGAGAACUUUUUACAUCACCAACUCCAGAGAGAAAGGAUAAUUAAGGACCAAACUUAAUAGAAAUUAAAAGAAAAAGGAAACAAUAUUUUUUUUCUUUUUUGGAGUUAAAAACAAAUCAGAAUGGAUAUAGCAUAAAAAAAAUAGAAAAUAGAAAUAAAAGAAAGAAAAAAUUAUACAGCAACACUAUUUUUGUUGCUUUUAUUGUAGAGUGAUAAAAACAAGAAAAAAAAGAUAAAUAUUCCUUGGAAAUAUGAAUUUUCAUUAUUAUCAUUGAUGCACUUUUGAAUUAUUGACCCCUUUAUUUUGUCUUUUUUCAAUUAUUUUUCAACAAUCACUUUCACCCCUACUUUAUUUUGUUGGUUUUCAUGGAUUAAAUUCAAGGCGUUGAAAGAUUUAAUGAUUCAAAUCUUUUUUUUUUCCCUCCAUUGAUUCAUCCUAACGUAUAAAAGUAGUUUUUUAGAUUAUCUUAGUUGAUAUACUGCAAAACUUCACUGCUUACACAAAUUUAUUAAAAUUAAAAUCUUAUAAUAAGAUAUUUUAUUUUUUUAUAAGGUAAUAAUUAUUUAAUAAUUGAUACUAUUUACAUUUCAAAAUAUUUAUCUGAAUUGACUUUCACAAAAUUUUUAAAAAAAAUUGAUUUUAAUAUAUUUAAUAUUAAAAUUUUAUAAUUUUUAUUGUUAAAAGGUAAAAAAUACAUGAAAAAUAAUUUUAAAGUAUAAAAAAAGAAUUUUAAAUGUUAAAAAAAUAUAGGACAUAUUUGGGACAUCCCAAAAAAAUAACAAAAAAAAAAAAAGGAACAGAAGGAGUAGUUAUAAAUAGAUUUUCACACACCUAAAUAUAUUCAAUUAUGUGAUCAAUUACACUUAAAUAAAAAAGAUUAGUGACGACUCCUUAAAGUCAGAUCUAAUUAUAAGUUUAUGGAUCUAUACGUUAUUAUACCAUACAUGUGUUAGAGUAAAGGCAUAGUAUAUAUUUCCAUGAAUAUUCUAUCAAAUAUUUUCUCAAUUUUCAAAUAAAUCUAUUCAUUCUACUUUUAAUUUUGGUAUUUAAAUAUGGAGUUAAAAGCUAAUAAGAACAGAUACAGAAACAAAAUAAUACAGUUAUUUUUCAUAUACAAAUACAGCAAAACUUUUUUUCUCUUAUUGUAGAGAGAUAAACACAGAAGAUAAAGAAACUGAAGAAGUGGAGCAUUGCAAAAAUUUUGGGGAAUAAAAUGGAAAUGUUUUAUUGGAGCAUACCUCACUUGUGAUGGAUCUUCAAGAGCUAUAUGGACUUUUUACUUCACCAACUCCAUAGAUCAGUGAACGAAAUUCAAGGACCAGCCUAUGUAUGGAUUUCAUAUACAUGUUAGUAAAAUUAAAAUAAAAACUGAUGAGAUAAGUAUAGAAUAAACCAAUGAAAAAAAAAAGAAUUGAAACAAAAAAAAGUACCUAAUUUUUGUUUUUUAGUUGAGUUAUAGAAAGAAGAGCAAUGCAGAAAUGAAACAAAAGUGUCUGGUACUGUAGCUAGCCCCAAGAUGUUGGGAUGAUAGAAGACGAUGCUUUGCUUCAAUGGAAACUGUUUGACGACAGACGAGAAAGAAGUAUGAUUAAGGUAGGUCAGCAACGCAGAAGAAAGACAAAAAUAUAACAAGGAAAUAUGAAUUUUCAGGAUCCAAGAUGGAGCUUUUUUUUCCAUCAUGCACAAUCUAUUAUAGACAUUGAUAAAGUUGGUGCACAGUUUUGUAUUUUUUUUUUUUUUGAAUUCCAAGAAACGUUAAGUAGAAAUCAACUUUACUAUAGAGAAAAUUUUCGUCAAAGACUUUUUUUAAUUUCUUUGGAUUCUCUUUUAUCAUGUUACUAUUUUCCUUUUUUAAAAUUGUUUAAAUGUAUUGAUUUUUAUAUAAAAAAUAAUUAAUUUAAAAUUUAUGUUACUAGCAUAAUUAUUUACAAUAAAAUAACAUUUGCUUGCAUUUAUUCUUACAUUUUAUUACAUUUAGAAUUUUUAUAACUAUUUUUUAAAGUGUUACAACACUUCUAAAUUAUUUUAAUCAAAUGAUACGCAAAUUUUAUUACUCUUGUCACAUGUUUAUGUACAUAAUUUUUUUAAAAAAAAUUAUUUUCAAAUAUUAAUUUUAACAUUGUAUUUUCUUUGUCAUUCUUUAAAGUAUUUUUUAGUAAUUAGCCUAAAAAAAUUACAAAAAAUAAAUAAUUUAAAUUUUAUAUUAUCAACUUAAUUAUUUAUGUUAAAAUAAUAUCUUCUUAGGUUUAGUCUUCUUAUCAAUUGCAUUUAGAAUUUUAAUAACUUUUUUCUUAAAGUAAUACGUUGCUUUUAAUCAAUUUUACAGCAAUUAGUACGAAUUUCAUUAUUACUCUAAUCUGUUUACAUUUAUUCUUACUUUCCAUUACAUUUAGAAUUUUCAUAACUCUUCCUCAAUGUGUUACGGCACUUUUAACCUAUUCUACUCCAAUUAAUAUAAAUUGUAUUAUUACUCUUAGAUUUUUACAUUAGUUUUACCUUUUUAUAUUAAAAUUUUCAUAACUUUUUUCUUAGGAUAUUAAGGCACUUUUAAUCAAUUUUACGUCAAAUUAUAUCCCUAACAUUUUGUCCCUCCAUUGAGCAAUCUAAAAUGUCAAACUGAUGACAAUAAGGUCGACCAAUCUAUCCUUAGUUGGAUCAGGCUGCUAAAUGAGCACAGAUAUUUUUUUGGAGAUUCUAUAUAAUGGUUGUCCCGACCUCAUUUUUGCCAAGGUGAUGAACGAGAGUACCAACGUGAGUAAGAUGGUAGCACUAUUUAGGUUUGAGGUGAAGUAGCUAACUUGUAUUGUUGUGGUUGAUGUCAUGCUUGUGAUACUCACAAUUCGUUCAUUGUUUCCUUUUUUUGAUAAUCAAAGGGACACUUGUAAAAUUUUUUGCAAUGGGUCACAAAGGUCUGAUGUAUUGUGAAUACAUUGCUAAAAUGAUACUAAUGGGUUUUAUAUGGUGAGUUUUGCAUGGUGAAAGGACCAAUGUAUAACUUAUGUAGAUUCAUUUGAAUUUGCAUCUAUUGAAGAAAGAAAUUUUGGCAGUUCAACGAAUUAAGGCUAAGAAUGUGAAGGGUUAUCAUCGGUAACCAUUAUAGUGAUGUGGCUUAAUCUAAGAUGUUUAUCUUAUAUGGGACUUGGCUAUAUAAAGGGCCCUCUAAAGUCCCAUUUUUUGACUACCAAGACAUUUAAGCUCUCAAGCCAACUAGAUUUAAGCAACCUCUAAAUCUUCUAGCCUUUUUACGUUCAAUCUUUUUCUUCUCAAACUCUUCGAUAUGUUUCAUUUCCUUUUUAUUAUGUCUUCUGAGUCUAGCAUGUUUGAUAACUUUAGGGUAAAAGUAAUGAGAGGUCAACUCAAUCAUAAGGCUUUCUAUCUGGAUGAUCCCUUAUGUCAUUACAAAAAAGAACUAUCACCAAGCUACCUAUUGCUUAAACUCAAUGUUUGCUGAGGACUAAAAAUAGAUCGAGGACAACGCUUGAGCAAGGGGAAAGGGUUUAUCAUGGAUGGACGAGCUUUUGGCCCCAAUUUAUUCCAACUUCCAAAACCCUUAAGUUCACAUAGCUGUGGUUAGUUUAACUCCUCCAUAUAACCCUCUUUUUUCUUUUUCUGUUCCCGCCUCAACUAUCCUUACCUUUCUUAUUCUUUUCACCUUUCUUCUUUUUCCCAACCUGUCAAUAAUCCAAGCUCAGAGUCUAGCUCUAACUUGACCUCUGAGUCUAAGGAGUCUUCUAAUUCUUCCUUAACUUCUUCUUCCUUUGACGUGGUGGUCUUAGCUCUUAUUCAGCUUAAGGGUCUGCUCACUCUUCUAAAGUCAAACUGAUGAGUAGUGAGGCUUCUAAUGAUGAUCAGGUUCAGAGUUGAAUAGAUCAAAAGGUCCAGCCAAAUUGAAGAGAAAACGAAGGUGAAGAGGAAGCAGAAGCUAUUGAUGUUGAUAAUAAUGAAAACCUCACCCUAUUCUACACCCCCUGCCCUUAGAUAUAACCCCCGAGAAGGUGAUGAAGAGCUUAAAGGGUAGAGCCAAUCCUAGAAUCACCCUAAUUUGUGCUCUAUUCAUCAUGUCUUUGUAGUGAAAAUUAGGUUUUAUUUUUCUAAGAAGAGGUACUGUAUCAUAGUGCCAACCUCCGAUGAUAGGGUUAUUAUCCCUUUAAAGUCCAGUCAAAUUUAGGUAUGCUGAGACUUUAUAAUAGUUGACCUCAUACUUUUUUUAUACUUUUUUAUUAUAGAGCUUCUUUUAUCUUACAAUUUAACUAUCACUUAACUCAUCUCAAAUUCUUUUAGUUACAUAGUAAGAUUCAUUAUUCUUUAUAGAGAAUUAAGUCUUGUCUUUUCUAUCCCCUUUUUCCAGGGAAUUUUUUGUGGUGAAAAAAAUCCUCAAGAAAUAAGCUAGUUUUAUAUAACAACUCGACCCUCAAAAAAGAUUUUUUCCAAUUUCUUGAGCUCAAUAAAAACUUGAAAAGUCAUCUUCCUUUGUAUAAAAAAAGUUAAGAAGAUUUGAAAAAUAAAUAAUGGCUCGACCAUUUUUUAAAAAGCCAAGGUCAACCCCCUAACCAUAGACAAAUUUGGUGGUUGGGAUACAAUCAAUGACUUCCUAAGGGGGAAAGUUAGUAAUUGAUGCCUACGGUCUAAUUUCCCUUAGUGUUAUUAAGACACUAAGUCAAAUACUGUGGUAGGUGUUCAUUAAUUUCAUGUACCCAAUUUAUUUUAUCAAUUUCAUUUCAACUCUCAGCUUGCUUUUGUUUUGCAGACAUGGUAAGUCGAGGUGGAGCUUUUGACAUGUCCCGUUUUGUACAAUCUCCUAGAUGGAAAGAGAGGGGUACAGCCCUUCCUCAACAUGGUGCCCUCUCUAGAGGAAUAAAAAUAACCAACCCACCACCUCCUUAAUCAGGCCAAAUCAGUGGCAAAAGCCCAACCAUGCUUCAGAAGCUGAAGCAGAAAAACGUGGCUCAAAAGCCUUAAAAGAGGCCAAUGACUGAGGCCUCUCUUUUUGAGCUCAUGGUCGAGCUCUAGCCCAUCUCAGAGAGGGUUGCUGUCAACAUAAAGUUCAACUCCACAAAGAAUGCCAAUACAGAUCUCGAGAUGGUGAGGAAAAUCACGCCAGUCAUCAUGUCCAAAAAAAAAUUGUGCAUCUUUAAGCUCAAUUCGAUUCAUAAAUUAAUAUUUUUUUAUUUAUUAUCACUGAGCUCGGGUUUUUGUUUCAGUUUUUGAACGACUCCUAACCUGUCUCACAAAACACAGGACAGGGCCUGCUACCGAGCUUUGCAAAUUACCUUAAUUACAUUGGGGGAAAUAUGUAGCUCUAUGAAAUUGUGAAUUAAAAGAGAUAAAAUUGUUGAUGGAUCAACUUGGAAAUUGAAAAUUCUGCAGAUAUUAGAAAUUAUUCAGCGUUCAUGUGUGUGUUAAGAAUAUAUGUUACAUGUGUUAAGAGUAAAGGCAUAGUAUAUAUUUUGAUCAUUAGUCUAUCUAAUAAUUUCUCAAUUUUUAAAUAAAUCUAGUUAUUUCACUUUUUGCUUUAUAAAUGCAGUUUUUUUUUAAACAAGGUAGGGAAACAAACAAGUAAACAACUUUUGAGCAUAUAAAAAAUCAUGGAAAUAAAAACAGUUAUUUAAGCCUACCUAAUUGGAGAUGGACCUUCUAAAUUAAAGUCUGAGAACUUUUUACAUCACCAACUUCAGAGAUCAUUAGGAAAGGAGAAUCAAGGACCAACCUUAAUAGAAAUUAAAAGAAAAAAAAAGAAAUAAAGAUUAGCAGUAAUAAAAUUAUAAGAACAUUGAAAAAAUUUUUUUUGAGUCAAAAGCAAAUCAAAAUAGAUAUAGCAUGAAACAAAAUAGAAAUCAAAGAAAGCAAAAAAUUAUACAGCAACACUAUUUUUGUUACUUUCAUUGUAGAGAGACAAACACAGAAAAAGAUAAAAGAUAAAUAUACCCAGGAAAUAUGAAUUUUCAGGAUCCAAGAUGGAGCUUUUUAUUUCGAUUCACGUAAAAAAAAAAAAUUGAGUUUAAAGAUAACUGAGGUAGAAACCAACUUUGUUUCAAAUGAAUAAAGAGCUUCACGUAUCCACAAAUACUGAUAAGUUCUGCUUAAAGUCUUCGUGACCUAUUGAAACUACAAAGAAAAGUUUGAUGAAAGACUCGUUUAAUUUAUUUGGAUUCUCUUUAUCGUCAUUAUUACCAUUUUCUUUGUUCAAAUACUUACUGGUAGACAACUAAACAAGGGCCCAAGCAUCUUGUCCUUUUUGGGUAGUUCGGAGUUGUGCCUUUAAUAUACGCUUUUUUUUUUCUCAUACGAAUUUUUUAAGAAAACUGAUCUAUUGAAGCUACUGGGACAUGGCAUCAUUAAUGCUAUUUUGAAUUAAAAGCAUUGCUCCCAACUGCCAAAAAAAAGGAUAAGAUGAUACUAAUGGGACAUAACAUCAUUAGUGCUAUUUUAAAUUAUUGAUCCCUUUAUUUUUAUUUUUUUUCAAUUAUUUUUCAAGAAUAACUUUUUUACCGACUUUAUUUUGUUUGUUAUAUGGGAUUAGAUUCUGUAUUUAAUUAUGCCUCAUACGAUAAAAGAUGUAAAGUUAAAUUAUAUUAGAGGGUUUUAUAUUUUGUGAAAAUUUAAAUGUAAAUUUUUAUAUUGUAAUUUAUAUAAUUUUAGUUUUUGUAUUAUUUUAAUUUAAUAAUUUUAGUUCAAUCAUUAAUUUUGUUAAAUUUUUUAUUAAAAAUUAUUAAUGUGUGCAAUAACUUAAUGAUGUAGGUGUUAAUUUUGAUUAUGUGAUAUUGAUUUAUUGAUAUGAUAAUUGAUAUAAAUGAAAUCAAUUAUUAAAUUAUACAAAUGAUCUAUGUAUUUAUAUAAAAUUUAAAAUUUAAUUUUUAUACUAGCACGAAAUUUGAAAUUUAAUCCAUAUACUCUCAUAAAUUUUGAAAUUUAAUUCCUCUAAUAUAAAAAAUAUUUUAAAUUUUUUAGAAAUUUUUUAAUUUUUUAAAAUUUAAAUUUUAAAAAUUGUCAUAUUAUUAUGUUACAAUAUUUUAUCACAAUAUUGACAAAUCUAUCAUAAUAUUCUGCUAUGCUUUUCAUGUAUUGUCACUAAAUUUGUCAUAAUUUUUUAUCAUAUUAUGCGAAAUAUUGUUACUAAUUCUAUCAAUAUUUCUUGUUACAUUUCGUCAUAAAAUAUAAAAUUUGUUAUUAAUAUUGUCACACUUUUCUAUCAUAAUGAUAGUAUAGUGUGGUCAUAUAAAAAAAAAAAAUCUUACACAAAUCUACUAAAACUCUAUCAUAAAUUUAUCAAUAUAUGAUAUCUAAUUCUAAUAAAGCUAUUUUUUAAUUUAUUAAAUGAAAUAAAAUUAUAAUUCCAUCCUAUAAAGGUGAAAUUAUCCAUCAAAUAAUUUUUCUAUUCCUUUAAAUUAAACCCUAUUUAAAUGAUUUUUUAUAAUUAAAUAUAGGUUUAAGAUUUUAAAUAUAUUAAAGUAAUUUACUAAACUAAAUGUGUAUUGAUUUUAGAAUGAAACCUAUUAUUUAAUUUAGCAUAAUUAUUUAGAUAAUUUUUUUGUGAAGACCUCAAAAAAAUUGAAAGUUUUUAUUAUUAUAUACGAUAUUUAUGUUUCAAUUAUCAAAUAAAUUAUUUUCUCAUUUCAUUUUGUUAAGAUUCAAAAUUUGUCUUUCAAAUGGAUAAGAAGUCAUCUCUCGUAAGAAUCUAGAUUUGAAUCUUUUAUUUUGUUUAGUUGGAUGGAAUUGUCAUUCCAUUCAUAAUUUAUUUCGAGUUCAUUUCAAGUGCAGCACUAUUCAAUAGUUUAGUUUAUUAUAUAUUUUGUUAUAUUAUAUAUUUAAGUUAAUUAAAAUAAUAUUAACUUUAAUAUAUUAAUUUAAAUUAUUAAUUUUAUAAUUAAUUAAUAUAAAUGAUAAUAAUAAUAUUAUUAAUAUGAUAUUAUUAAUAAUUAAUUAUAUAUAAUAAAAACAUAAAUUUCUAAACAUAUUUUUUAUAUUGUAAGGACUUAAUUUCAGAUUUUAUGUGAAUAUAGGAACCAUUUGCAAAAUUUAAUUAAUGAUUUCAUCCAUCCAAGUUGUUAUGUCUCCAAGUCAAUGCUAUAGCAGCAUUUUUAACAUUGAAAAAAAAAAGAUAUUAGUGAUUAGACUAAGAUUAUCAUAUCAAAAUAGUACGAGAACUAAAUUUAUAUGAAUUAUAAUAUAGAGACUAAAUUCUAAAUUUUCACUAAACAUAAACAUCCAUAAUUUGACAAAGAUUUAAUGGUUUAAAAUCAUUCUUUCCUCCAUUGAUUUAUCCUAACGUAUGAAAAAAAGUAGUUUUUCAAAUUAUCUUAACUUAUAUAUUUAGAAACUCCACUACUUAUAGUAAUUUAUCAUAAUUAAAAUCUUAUAAUAAGAUUUUCUAUUCUUUUAUAAGGUAAAAAUUAUUUGAUAAUUGAUAGUUGUACAUAAAUUUUUCACACAAAUGCAGAAUUCUCCAUCUCAACUCUCUAACCAUUUGCUCUUUUAGCUAUAUCUUUUACUUUGUUUGAUAGGGAAAAAAUAAGUAAAAGAAAUCUAAUCAUGAAAAAGCAUAUAUUGUUGGGACUUGCCUUGAAUCUCAUAAUUUCACAUCGAAAGUUAUAAGAGUUUUGAGUGUCUUGUAUCCCACAUCGAGAGUUUAGUAAAGGUAUAAGGAGUUUCACCCUUAUAAAUAAGAUGUUUUGGUUUUAGUUUGGUAGUCUCAAAUAAUUAGACACCAAGAGAAUAGUUAGGUGAGUAGGCUAUUAAAAGGGCGUAAUUGGAUUUUGGGUUAAGUUUUGAGUAAGGAGUUUUAAGAGACUUUUUUCAUUUUAAAAGUCUCACAAUUGUAAAGAUUUAUUUGAUAGUGGAUUAGGUUUGGAAUAGGACAUUUUAAGUUGAGCUGAAAUAAAUAUAUUUGUGUGUUCUUAUUCUUGAUUUGAGCUUGCUAUUUUGUAUAUGGGUUCUGCAUGUGCGUGUUGAAUUUUUCAACAAGUGGUAUCAAAGCUAUGGUGAUCCCCAACAAAUGGUAUAGAUUGUUGGGAAUAAUGACUUAAAUUCCAUAAGAGAUUUUUUUGGGAUUGGCCAGAUAUUGCUUGAUGGAUAAGAAAACUUACAAAAGAAGAAUUCUAAGAGAAAGAGGAUUCUUAAUAGGUAAGUUUGACUUACAAGAGAAGAAUUCUAAGAGGAAAAUGAUUCUUAGUAGGUAAGUUUGACUUGCAGAAAAAGAAUUUUAAGAGGAAAAGAAUUCUUAAUGGGUAAGUUUGUAUGGUUAUAAAUAGGUGAAGUCUCUACAAGGUUAGGCAUGAGAAAAAGAUGUAAGAGAGUUAUAGGGUUUUGUGGGAUAGAUAUCCCAUAAGAGUACUGAAGUUUUACAUCUUAUGGGUGUGUAUGUUUGUUUAUGAGUAGAUUAGAGGAGAAUGAAAAGGUCCACAUAGGUAUGAUGUAUGGGUAUAUGGAUAUGUGUUUGGUUGUGUUGAAAGGGUGCACAUGGGUAUGUAUUUGUUUGGGUUGAGAAUACUCUAUAGGACUAGAGGAGAUUGAAAGUUUCUUAUGAGUAUUAAUUAUUGAGUGUGAUUGUUUGGAUAUAUGUUUGUAAUUCUCUACAACUAGUGGAUCUUAUUUUUCAUCCGUAGACAUAGGUUGAUUGAAUCGAACCAUGUUAAAUUAUUGUCUUUUGUAUGUUUGAUUUAUUGUUUAAUUUCAUUUUUAUUGGUAUGAUUAGAUUGGAGGCUUUUAGCCUAACAAGUGGUAUCAGAGCUGAAGGUUCGAGAUGUGAAAAGAGCUGAAGGUUCAAGAUGUAGAAAGAGCUGAAGCUUCGAGAUAUAGGAAGAGCAUGGUUUAAGCUAUGGAAAGAGGUAAGUCCAGAGGAGCUCAAUUCAAGAUAAGAAUUCAAGUUCAAAUUUUGAAGAUUAAGGAUCGGUUUAUGUGAUAUGUAAAGGCACACAAAAGAAGAUGAUUAUGAGACUUUUAUUGUAAGUGGAGCCAAGCAUGUCUAGCAUUAAAAUAGAUGAUUUGAUGGAAUUUGAGUCAAGGUGGAGAUUGUUGAGAAUAAUGACUCAAAUCCUAUAAGAGAUUUUUUUGGAAUUGGUCAGAUAUUGCUUGAUGGAUAAGAAAACUUACAAAAGAAAAAUUUUAAGAGAAUGAAGAUUCUUAAUAGGUAAGUUUGACUUACAAAAAAAGAAUUUUAAGAUGAAAAAGAUUCUUAAUAGGGAAGUUUGACUUACAGGAGAAGAAUUCUAAAAGGAAAGGAAUUUUUAAUGGGCAAGUUUGUAUGGUUAUAAAUAGGUAAAAUCUCUAUAGGGUUAGGCAUGAGAAAAAAAUGUAAGAAAGUUGUAAGAUUUUGUGGGAUAGAUACCUCGUAGGAGUACUAGAGCUUUACAUCUUAUGGUUGUGUAUGUUUGUUUGUAAGUGAACUAGAGGAGAAUGAGAAGGUCUACAUAGGUAUGAUGUAUGGGUAUAUGGGUAUGUGUUUGGUUAUGUUGAAAGGGUGCACAUGGGUAUGUAUUUGUUUAGGUUGAGAAUACUCCAUAAGACUAGAGGAGAUUGAGAGUGUCUUAUAAGUAUUGAUUGUUGAGUGUGAUUGUCUGGAUAUAUGUUUGUAAUUCUCUACAACUAGUAGAUCUUAUUUUUCAUCCGUGGACAUAGGUUGAUUGAACCGAAUCACGUUAAAUUGUUGUCUCUUGUGUGUUUGAUUUAUUGUUUAAUUUCGCUUUCGUUGGUGUGAUUGGAUUGGAGGCUUUUAGCCCAACAUAUAUGACAAUACCAAGAAAUUACAAAACAUAUUUGUUGUAAAUAUGAAUUCAAAAUUUAAAAGAUUUCAUAAUAGAUUUGUUCAAAAAUUUUUUGAGAUUAACUAAAUAUUACUUAAUGAACAAAAAAACUUGAAAGUUAAUAAUUCUAAGAGGAAAUUUAUUUUUGGUAAUAAGUUAGAAGUCUUAUAAAUAUUAGGGAUCCCAAUAUAGUUAAGUAUAGGAGAAAGCUAUAAAAAAAAUUAUAUGGUUUAUCAAGUAGACAUCCCAUAACAUUAGUGGAUAUUAAAAGGGUCCAAAUAAAUAUGCAUGUUUGAAUGGACUAGAGGAGAUUGAGAGAGUUUAAUGGUAUGUAUAUUUGAUUGGACUAGAGGAGAUUAAGAGUAUUCAUAUAUGUGUAAUUUAGUUUAUUUAGAUUGAGAAUACUUCAUAAGAUUAGAGUUAAAUGAGAGGGUCCAUGGGUAUUAAUUAUAAGUGUUGAUUUGUUUGAUUGUAUGUUUAUAAUUAUCUAUAAGUAGUUAAUCUUUUCUCUCAUAUGUACAUGUAGACUCCUCUAGGUUAGAUUAAACAGUGUUAAAUUAUUAUUUCUUAUGUGGAUGAUUUAUAAUUUGAUUUUGUUUCUGCUUACUUAAAUGUCAAAAAUGUUUGAACAACUAGUAAAAUUUUCUUUCAGCCAUGGAUAUAAGCCUCUUUGGAUUGGAUUGAACUAUGUUAAAUUAUUGUCUUUUCUAUGAAUGAUUUAUGGUUUGAUUUUGGUUCAACUCGCUUGAAUGUCGAACAUGUUUGAACAACUAAUGGAUUUUUUUCUCUCAUUCGUGGAUGUAAGCCACUUUGGAUUAGGUUGAACUAAGUUAAAUUAUUAUCUCUUAUGUAAAUAACUUAUAGCUUGAUUUUGCUUCUGUUCACUUGGAUGUUGAAUAUGUGCAAACAAUUAGUGGUUUUUUUUUAUACAUGGAGUAAGCCAUUUUAGAUUGGAUUAAACUAAAUUUAAUUAUUCUCUUGUAUAAAUGAUUUAUAAUUUGAUCAUACUUUCGCUUACUUGUAUGAAUAAUUGAAUUGAGGUUCUUAUGCGUAAAUUAAAAUGUGUGGACUUUUUGUAGCACCAGCUCCAAAGACCAUUAGAAAAUGAAAAUUGAGGACCAACCUUAAUAAAGAGUGAAAAAAAAGGAAAUAAAUAUCAGCAGCAAUAAAAUUACAAGAACGUGGAUUUUAUUUUUCUUUGGAGUUUCAAAGCAAAUCAUAAUAGAUAUAGCAUAAAAUAAAAUAGAAAAUAGAAAUCAAAGAAACCCAAAAAAUUAUAUAGCAACACUUUUUUUUUUUAUUGUAAAGAGAUAAACAUAAAAGAAUAAGGUAAAUAUUAUAAACAUUUCAUUUAGUUGGAGCUUUUAAAUUCAAUUUGAGUUCGUUAAUAAGAUUCUAAAUUUUAAUUGGUCCGUUUGAAAUCUAAUUUACAAUUUGUUUGAGUUUGAUUCAAAGGUCCAAUUCUAACCUUUUUUUUUGGUUUAUUUAUUUUCAUUUAUUAAUUAAUUAUUUUUUUAUUAAUUAUUGCAUUUGUGACCUAUUGAAACUACAAAGAAAAGUUUGAUGAAAGACUCAUUUAAUUUAUUUGGAUUUUCUGUUAUCAUCGUUAUUACCAUUUUCAAUCACUUACUGGAAGACAACUAAACAAGGGCCCACGCAUCUUGUCUUUUUUGGGUAGUUGGGUAGGGAUGGCAACGGGUCGGGUUGGGGUGGGUUUUUGCUCGCCCCGAACCCGACCCGACUUUAAACAUGCAAAACUCGAAUCCGAUUUGAUCCGAUAAUUUUUUUAUUAUUUUUAUACCCGAAUCCGACCCGAUCCGACAUUGUAUAAAAUCAUAUCCGACCCGACCCGAAAUUAAUAAAAUAUUAUUUUUAAUAUAAAUAUAAAAUUAAAUAUAUAUAAAUAAAUAUAUAAAUAAUUAUAAAAUUAAAUAAAUAAUUUAUAUUUUUAAAUUGUAAUUUAUAUAAUUUUAGUUUUUGUAUUAUUUUAAUUUAAUAAUUUUAGUUUAAUCAUUAAUUUUGUUAAAAUUUUUUAUUCAAAAUUAUCGAUGUGAGUAUUAACUUAAUAAUGUAGGUGCUAAUUUUGAUUAUGUGAUAUUGACUUAUUGACAUGAUGAUUGAGAUAAAUAAAAUCAGUUAUUAAAUUAUAUAAAUGAUCCCUAUACUUGUUGGGAUUUACUUUGAAUCUUAUAAUCCCAUAUCGAAAGUUAUAAGAGUUUUGAGUUUGUCUUAUAUCUCACAUCAGAAUUUAGUAAAGGUAUAAGAGGUUUCACCCUUAUAAAUAAGAUAUUUUUGUUUUGGUUUGAUAGUCCCAGAUAAUUAGACACCAAUAGAAUAGCUAUGUGAGUAGGCUAUUAAAAUGGUGUAAUUGAGUUUUGGGUUAAGUUUUGAGUAAGGAGUUUUGAAGACUUUUCUCAUUUUAAAAGUCUCACAGUUGUAAAGAUUUAUUUAUUAAUGAAUUAGGUUUGGAAUAGGUCAUUUUAAGUUGGGCCAAAACAAAUAUAUUUGUGUGUUCUUAUUCUUGAUUUGAGCUUGCUAUUUUGUGUAUGGGUACUACAUAUGCGUGUUGAUUUCCUAACAAGUGGUAUCAAAACUAUAGUGAUCCCUAACAAAUGGUAUUAGAGCUGAAGGUUCGAGAUGUGAAAAAAACUGAUGGUUCAAGCUAUGAAAAUAGGCAAGCUUAGAGGAGCUCAAUUUAAAAGAAGAGUUUAAGUUCAUAUUUUGAAUAUUUAGGAUCGAUUUGUUUGAAGUGUAAAGGCACACAAGAGAAGAUGAUCAUGAGACUUCUAUUAUAGGUGGAGCCAAGCAUGUUUAGCAUGAAGAUAGAUGAUUGAUGAAAUUUAAGUCAAUGUGAAGAUUGUUAGGAAUAAUGACUCAAAUCUCAUAAAAUAUUUGUUUGAGAUUUUGUUAGAUAUUAUUUGAUGGACAAGAAGACUUGCAAAAAAAGAAUUUUAAGGGAAAGGAGAUUCUCAAUAGAUAAGUUUGACUUGCAGAAGAAGAUUUCUAAAAGGAAAAAGAUUCUUAAUAGGCAAGUGUGCAUAGUUCUAAAUAAAUGAAGUCUCUGCAAGAUUAAGUAUGAGAAAAAGAUGUAAGAGAGUUGUAGGAUUUUGUAGGAUAGACACCUUAUAGGAGCACUAAGAAUUUAUGUCUUAUGGGUGUGUAUGUUUGAAUGUUUGAGAAUGGACUAGAAAAGAUUGAAAGGGUCCACAUAGAUAUGAUAAAUUGGUACAUAUAGAUAUGUGUUUGUUUGUGUUAAAAGGGUGCACAAGGGUUUGUGUUUGUUUGGGUUGAGAAUACUCCAUAGGAUUAAAAAAGAUUGAGAGUAUUUUAUGAGUAUUAAUUGUUAAAAGGUUGAUGAUUUGAUUUAUAUGUUUGUAAUUCUCUACAACUAGUAGAUUUUUUUCUUAUCCGUGAACGUAGGUUGGUUAGACCAAACAAAAUAUUUGUUUAGGAUUUGUUAGAGAUUUGUUUAGGAUUUGUUAGAUAUUGCUUGAUGGAUAAGAAGACUUGUAAAAAAAGAAUUCUAAGGGAAAAUAGAUUCUUAAUAAGCAAUUUGACUUGUAGAAAAAGAAUUUUAAAAGGAAAAGGAUUCUUAAUAGGCAAGUUUGUAUGGUUAGAAAUAAGUGAAGUCUCUACAAGAUUAAGUAUGAGAAAAAAAUAUAAGAAAAUUAUAGGGUUUUAUGGGAUAGACACCUUAUAAGAGUACUAAAAAUUUACGUUUUAUGGGUGUGUAUGUUUGAAUAUUUGAGAGUGGACUAGAAAAGAUUGAAAAGGUCCACAUAAGUAUGAUGAAUGGGUACAUAUAGGUAUGUAUUUGUUUGUGUUGAAAUGGUGCACAAGGUUUUGUGUUUAUAUGAGUUAAGAAUACUCCAUAGGACUAGAAGAGAUUAAGAGCAUUUUAUGAGUAUUGAUUGUUGAAAUAUUGAUGAUUUGAUUUGUAUGUUUGUAAUUCUCUACAACUAGUGGAUCUUGUUUCUCAUCUAUAGACAUAGGUUGAUUGGACCAAACCACGUUAAAUUAUUAUCUUUUGUGUGAUUGAUUGAUUAUUUAAUUUCACUUCCACUGUGAUUAGAUUGAGGCCUUUUGACCUAACAAGUGGUAUCAGAGCUGAGGUAAUCCCUAAUAAUACUUACAUAAAAUUUAAAUUUUAGUUGUUAUUGUAGACAUCAAAUUUGUCCAGAUUUUACUUAGGUCUUAGUUAUCAAAUUUUAAUUCUCGGGCUAUCGGGUCAAAACCCGAUUUUAAUUCAAUUAGGCUUCAAGCUCGAUUUCAAUUUGAUUGGGCCUAAAGUCUAAUUUUGAUUGGGCUCAAAGCCCUUUUUUUUUUAAGCCCAGCCUGCCUUUUAUUAUUUUUUUAUUAAAUUAAACAAAAAUGCAGAAUACAAAAAAUAUAAAAUACAAAAAAAAGAACAAAAAAAAUAAAAAAAUAGGGGAUGGUAGUGGUGCUUUCCCUGGCACCACUGCCACCAUGCCCUACCCACCAUAUCCUAUCCCUCUCUCAUACCCUGUAAAUUUUAUCCUAGCUAUCCUACCCUACCAUUGAAUAAAACAGAAGAAAUAAAAGGGAUGAAGAGCUUGUGCUCACCCCCAUGUCGAGCCCUGUGCCACCUACUCAGGCACAGGACAUGGCUGGAGCCCUAUAAAUAGAGCUAUUGGCCGAACAAAAAGGAAAGGGGAAGGAUCCUGCCAAAAAAAAAGAAAAGAAAAAUCUUUCUACAAAAAAAUCAACACAAUCCUUGCCAUUCGACGAAGAACCCAGCGCCAAGUGAGAGCCUCUACACAAAAAAAUAAUAAUAAAGUCAGUUUAAAAAAAAAAAGAUGACACAAAAAAAAAUUUGUGGCCGAAACUUCCAGGCCAGAUCUACGUCGUUUGGAGCAUUUUUAGGUGAAACGGAAACUGGAUCUAUGUUUAAGGUGGUGAAGGGAACAUUUUGGAAAAUUUUAAAAUUUUUCGACAUCAGCGACAGCGGUCGGAGCUCAUCACCAGCGAGGACUACGGCUGUCGUCACGACUAAUAGCCAUCGACCCCAGGUCGGCUUGAAAAAAAAAGAGAGAGAGAGAGAUUUUUUUUUUAGAGAGGGAAAAAUGAUCGAAAAUUUUUUUAGACUUUUAUAUAAGCUAUCAAUAGCCAAAACGAUGUUGUUUUAAGCACCCAAGAUUUACGUGUCAACCUGUGACCCAACUAAGGGUCUACGUACCCGACUCGUGACCUGCUUCUCCAUCAGCCUCUGAUCGGUCUGACUGAACUGGAAUCGAACCGCUGAACUCUAUCCGAACCAGAACCGAACCACUAAACGCGAUCGAACCGCUGAAUCGAACAACUAGACCGAAUCAUGUGUUGACUGAACAGUUGACCAGUUUGGUUCAGGUAAAAAAUUUUUUUUUGAAUUUUUUAUAUUUUAUAUAUAUUAUUUUUGUUAUUUUAAUUAUUAUGCUUAAUAUUUACGCAUGUAAAAAUGUUUAAAUUUACCAAAAUAAAUUUUUAUUAUUUUAUAAUAUUAAUUAAUAAAUAAUAAAUAAUAAAAUAUAUGAUAAAAGUUUUUUUAUAAUUAUACUAACUUUAAAAUAAAUCUUUUAAAAUAAUAAAAAUAAGAAAAAAAAAUUUUUUAUCCGACGAUGAGAUUCAGAGGUACUCUGAGUAGUGUUACCUACGAAAUUUCUAGGUGAGAAGAUUUUUUUAAAUACUACCAGGGUAUUGGAGUAUUUAUAAAAAAUUUUCAAUACAAUAAAUUUUUUCUUUUUUUUUUAUAAAAUAAUAAAUAAAAAUUAAUGAAUAUAUUAAAAUAAUAAUAAUAUAAAUAAGGAAAAGAAAAAUUUAUCCAAUGAUGGGAUUCUAAAAGUAUUCCGAGUAGUGAUGCUUUACGAAAUCUCUAUGUGAGAAGAUUUUUUUUAAAAUAUUACCAAUGUAUUGGAAUAUUUAUAAAAAAUCUUCAAUAUAAUAAAUUUUUUUUUCAAAAUUUUAAUUAAAAUUAAAAAAAUCAAAUAAAAUUAAUUAAUAAAUUUUUUUUUAAAAAAUAAAAUGUAUGCAUCAACAUGAUAACAUUCUGCAUUGCAUGCAUGACAUAAUUUUUACGAAAAGUAAAUUUGGACCUCUAAAGAUGGGAUUCUAAGAUAUUCCGAGAAGUGAUACCUAAGAAAUCUUUAGGUGAGAAAAAGUUCUUCAAAUAUUACCAAUGUACUGAAAUAUUUUAAGAAUUAUUUAGAUAAAAAAUGUUCUAAUUUAUUUUUCUCGAAUAAAAAUGAAACAAUAAUAAAUAAUAAAUAAUUUCUAAUAAAUCAAAAAAUAAAAAAAAAUUAUUUUUCAAGCACAAAAAAUGGGAUUGUUUUUUAUCAAAAUCAAAGGAUAAUAUGUAGUUAAUUAGUAUUGUUUUUAAAUGGGCGUUGUAAGGAUGCUAAUCCUUCCCCACGCAUAACCGACUCUCAAACUCAGACUAUUACGCAGACCCUAAAAUUAUCCUUUUAAUAAAUUUUAAUUAAUUUUAAGAUUUCAUUAAAAUGAUAUAUUUUAAUAGGUGGUCAAUUACACCUAGACAAAAAAGAUUGUUCGUGACUCCAUUUUUCGUUCUUUUAUUUUCGUUUCCAAAUUUGUCAGACAAACACAAAACUGUUACGACAGCUUGGCGACUCCACUGGGGAUGCCAUUUGAGAGUCAAGCCAAAAUUAACUAUAUGUUAUCCUUAAAUUUUGAUUCAAAUAGUCCUAAUUUUUUUUAAUUUUUUAUUUUCAAUAAGAAAAAAAGUAAAAAAAAAACAAAUCAAAAUCAAAAAGAAAAAAAAUUCCCUAACAUUUUUUUACUAUGCCUCUUAUGCUUUAUUUUUUGUAUAUAUUACUCUCAAUAAAUUAGGAUAUAUUUGCACACACAAUGAUACGAUGCAUCUCAUGCAUGAGCUCUAUACUCGAGCUCCGUCAUUAAUAGGAGGAAGUAGAGUACCUAUGCCCUCGUGAGGUGAUAACCUCCGCAAUGGUAAGCGAAAUACUUCCACUCAAAUUGAACUUUUUUCGUUUGUAGCCUGUAAUGGGCGAGGAUCGGGGUGCCUUACUAGUCUAACAUGAACUAUAGUGAGGAACACUUUGGGAACCUUUAGACACGUGUCAAUCCAAACCCAGCAUAUAAUAAGCCUAGAAAAUUAGCCUUAGGUAGAGCUUCAUCCACCUUCUUGUAGGAAAUAUCUAAAAAUAAAAGUUAUGUUUAAUACAAAACAAAACAAAACAAACAAAAAAAUCUCAAAACUAAAAAAAAAACAUAAAAAAUGUUUUUUUUCUCAAACCUCACACUAACUCAAUUUUGUUUCAUUUUUUUCUUUUUUGCAUUAAUCAUAUCAUACAGUUCUAUAUCAAGAUAUUUGCUCUAGAACAUAUUUCUCCCAAGAAGUUUUCAUGGAUUUACUCAUCCUCAGUUAGUGUCUCAUAUGAGCCAUAUAAUAAGGUACAUAUUUGGUUAAAAGAAGCUUAACAAAAGAGUGAAGAUUGUUUGCCUACCGAUUAUGUGUCUGAAUUACCCAAAAAAGUGCAUUUAGAUCUCACACAAAAUGAUUUAGAAAACUUAGCCACCAUUUGAGGUCAGUUAAAUGAAGAAAGAAAAGAAAGCUUUUACAAGAAGUACGGAUAGAUUGCAUCCUUCAUUUCAGUAGUGAUUGAUGAACAGUUGAUCAGAACAGCUAUAUAGUUUUGGGAUCCAGCUUAUAGAUGCUUUACUUUUAAUAAAAGGAUUUAGUGCUAACUAUUGAGGAGUGCUCGAUUUUACUUGGAUAGAACUAUAGUGUCCAGAUAAAGUAUUCACCCGAAAGUCAAAAUUAGGUUAUCAUAAAAAGUUGGCCAAGCUUAUGGGGGUUAAAGUGGAAACCAUUGAUUCCUUUGCAAAGACUAAAGGUGAACUUAUCGGCAUUCAUUAGGACUUUCUCUGAAACUCCAUUCAGGAGCAUUUAAAUGAUGAUCAAGGUAUGGCAGUGUUUGCUCUAGCAUUGUAUGGCAUGGUAAUCUUUUCGAAGACUUUUGGGUUACAUUGAGAUAACUAUGGUAGGUUUUUUAAGCAAAUUGAGACCCAAGCAAUUAAUCUCACUCUAGCAAUCCUACUGAAACCAUCAAGUCAUUGAAUUUCUGUCGACGAAAUAGAAAAUAACGGUUCAUAAGAUGUGCAUCGCUAUUAUAUGUGUGGGUUAGAAGUCAUUUCAAGUGCAAGAAUAGUGCUUUCUCAAAGCCGUAUCUAUGAAAUAAAGCACUAAUUGAAGAGUUUUGCAAAAGCCAAUGGCCAACAUUGAAGACUAAGAAAGAGUGGAUCCUUUUCUUACGAAGGGUUAUCGUGGAUGAAAUUGAAUGGAUGGCGCCUUGGAUGCCUCAGGAUGCCCUUGUUGUAUCGUGGAGGAGACGAGCCAUGGAUAUCGUUAUUAGGGCUAUGGGGCAUUGUAAGUUAUGCUCCAUUAAUGGUGCUUAGGAAAUUUGGUGCAAAGCAGUUUAUUCCUGUUAUUCAUGGCCUGGUCCAAGUAGAAUUCAUUUAUGGGGAACUGAAUCCUUCAAGAACCUCGAAGCAGUUGAUCCAAGCAUGAAAAAAACACGAAAAAUGAGGUUAGGGCCUCUUAUCGACAAAGUCACCCAUGAUUAUCAAAUUUGCAAAGCAAAGCAACUUAGAGACUUAAUUCUUCCUCCUGAUGACAGCUUAUAUCAAUUGGUUAAUCUUUCAGAAGAGGUGCAAUUAUCAAAAGUUAAGCUUGUCAAGAAAGAAUUAGAAACUGAAAAAAAAAAUAAAAAGAGAAAAUUUGAGACUUCGUAAGAAAGUAGGAUAAUUGAAAUAUGAAACAAAGACACAAUGGAGUAGAUUAGAAAAAGUCAUAAAAGAACGGGAUGUGGUCAAUAGUGAUUUGAAAGAUUUACACCAGGAAAACAAUAGGUUACGAGUCCAAUUCAAAACUAAAAAAGUCACCAAGUCUUAUUUUAGUCAACAACGUGAAAUGGAUGAGCUCCGAGAGAAAAUGAACCAAUGGAAAGGCAAAGCUCAAGAAAAGCAAGAUGAGACCAUCGAUAUUUUUCAAGAAUGUCAGAAUUGGAAGGGAUUAUACUCUACAACCUGAACAAGAUUGGUGGAAUGCCAAAAAGAAAAGGAAAGGUUGAAAGUCAUGCUUGCAAAAGAGAGAAGAAACCACUUUGAAGUACUGAAUGAAAAAGAAUCACUUCAUUAAGUGAUCCAAAGGUUGAACACGCAACUGUAAGACCAAAAGAGCCAUAUUUCAACAAUAAUAGAUGAGUGGCAUAGAAGGGAAAAAGAUUGGAUCUUCAAAUGCGAUUCAAAAAGAAAUGCUUGCAUAAGGUGGAAAGCAGAAAGCUUAGGGAGGCAACAGUACAUAGAGUACCUGACUAAUCAAGUUUGCAAGGCAAUAAAGAAAGCAUGAGAGAUGGUUGAAAAGGUAAAAGUGUUAAGAAGAGAAGUCAAUCCCAUAGGAGAAUGUGGACAACGCUUAGUGAACUUUUUAGACGAGGUGAAAGACCAUUAUGAACAAGUCAAACGCUUCUACCGAUAUAACUCUAGGAUGGUAAAUCCCAUGCAAUAAAAGUUGUAUGGAAUCAAUAAAAAAUUUUUAUGUUGAAAUUCAUAUAAGAGCAAAUAUUUCUCACUUGCAUUCAUGCAUCAUGUACAUCAUUUUUCAUAAAAUAAGUGAAAAAUUAAAAUUUUCAACACAUAGCAUUCUAAUUUUAUUUUAAAAAAAAAUUUAUGGUAAAAAAGGUUUAAAAAUAGCUUGCCCAUCAAAAAUUUUAACCUAAACCUACUUAUCAUUCAUACAAUACCAAGACUCAAACAAGAAUCAUAGAGCAAGAACAAGCCAGUCGAUUUGAAAGAAUUGAGAAAACUUAAGAAAAACUAAGAGAGGAUCUUAGUACAAUAAUGGAUAUGCUUAAAAAACUUGACAAGAGAAAAGUAGUGGAAAAAAAUCCUAGCUUUCAAGAGCAAUCACCAGUAUGGUAGAUCCUGUCUACCCUAUAGGGUUUGAGUCAUGACCAACCCAACAUUUUCAAAGAACUAGAGUACUAAUUCUUACUAUUGGUGAAUAUCCCAAUCCUUAUUCAGGAAUGACAUCUACACCUAUUCUAGGAUAAUUUUAAAAUUUUGUUAAUCUCGUUAUGAUGGAAAAACCACCUGAGCCAAUCUUAGUUCCUGAUUUAGAUAAUCCUAAAGAGAGAGAAAAAGCUAGAGAUAAAGACACCUGACAAAGUGAAAGAUACCAGUGCUCGAGAGAAGAUGAAUUUAUUGAAAAAAAAGUUUAAGACUGUAGAGGGAAUAAACUUUUAUGGCUCUACAGAUGCAGCUGACCUUUGUUUAGUCCCAGAUAUGGUCAUUCCACCAAAAUUUAAGGUCCUUGAAUUUGAAAAAUACUAUGGCACGAAAUGUCCAAUGACUCAUAUCACUAUAUGUUAUCGUAAGAUGGCAGCACAUACUCGUGAUAAGAAGUUAUUGAUGCACGUAUUUCAAGAUAACCUUACUGGAUCUACAGCUUGAUGAUAUGUUUAACUAGAUAAAACUCGUAUUCAUUCCUAGCAAAAGCUCAUAAGGACAUUUCUUACACAAUAUCAUCAUGUCUGAGAUUUAGCUCCUAAUCAUAUAUAUCUUUACAAGGUAUAGAAAAAAAAGCAACUGAGAGCUUUAAAGAAUAUACGCAAAGAUGAAAAAACAUGGCUGCACAAGUUCAACCUCUCCUCACUAAAAAAAAAUAGUUGUUUUAUUUGUGAAUACCCUGAAAGCACUAUACUAUGAGAAAUUGAUAGGCAAUGUAACCAAGAACUUUACAGAUAUGGUGAUAUCAAUGAGAUCAUUGAAAAUGUCAUAAAAAAUGGCAAGCUUGAUACAAGAGAGACAAGUAGAGCAAAAAAAGGCAGAGCUCUUAAAAAAGAGAGAAUGAAGCUCAAUUAGUGAACUAUGUGGGGCAAUAGUUCAGAGGUUUCACACCCUAUUCUACACCAAUCUACCAGACCCAUUACCUUUUUGUAAACCAUGUUACAUUUAUCCCUCAUCCAUAUUAACUAUACUAGUCAUUACCACAACCAGCUUAUCCAUCUUAUUUUCAGUCAUCCUUUCGAACACCCACCUAAAAUUAUCCUACUGUACCUAUAAGAUCAGAAUGGAGACCUAGUCCUAAUAGUGGUCCAAGAGCUUCAAGAAAUACCAAAAAAAAACUCAUCUUCGAUCCCAUUCCUAUGACAUAUACAGAUUUGUAUCUUUGACUUGUUGAGAAACAUUGACUUGCACCUGUUAUUGUUGAACCCUUGAAACCUCCGUUUCUCAAAUGGUAUGACCCCAAUGUGCAUUAUGAUUAUCACUAUAGAAAUCUAGGUCAUUCUACUAAGAACUAUACUGCUUUGAAAUGUAAAAUGCAAAGGUUAAUCAAUGAAGGGGUAUUAAACUUUGAUACCGACCAAUAAAGGACUCCAAAUAUUAAUAAGAACCCUUUACCAAACCAUACCAGAUCAUCAAUAAAUACCUUAAUUGAUGGGCAAAGAAGCCAUGUAAAUGAAAGAAUAGAUGAAGUUAAGACUCCGAUGGCUAGUGUGUUUAAAGUCUUUGUCAAAGUUGACAUGUUGAAGUCAAUAGAACCUCAGAAUUACUCUAAAAAGAUUAACUCAAUGAGAGCUAUAAUUAUCAUAGAGGUACUUUGGGACAUUCUACCGAAAAUUGUCAUCAAUUCCAUCAAAAGGUGUAAAAAAUUGAUGGAUAUGGGUCGGAUAGAGUUUUACGAAGAAAGUGAAGAGUUAGUGAAAGCUGAAAUGUUUACCGUUGAUUCAAAGAAUAAGUUUGUGCAUAGACUGAUAACUAUCUAUUAUAAUGAGAAACAUACAUUGAAGCUAAAAAAGUCUGUCUCCUGACCAGUGGUGACAAUUAAAGUUUUUGACCCUUUUCCAUACCAAAAUAAUAAAGUAGUAUCGUGGAAAUAUGAUUGUGAUAUCAUAAUCAAUUCAAAUACUAUAAACAUAAUGGGUGUAAGAGGUAUAACUCUAAGUGAAAGAUGUUAUACUCCAAAAGCUUUAGAGAAAGUCAGAAAAGAAAAAACAAAGAUAGGAGAAAAAGUGGAAAGUUAGAAUAAUCCUUUUGUAGUCUCAAAAGAGAAUGUCAGAAGCCAGUCUCUAAGCAUGAAACUUGUGAAUUCUUAAAGUUGAUAAAACAUAGUGAGUAUAGCAUGAUAGAAUAGCUCAACAAGAUGCCAGCUAGAAUUUCAUUAUUAUCAUUAUUGCUCAGCUCAGAGUCACACCGUAAUGCUUUGCUGAAGGUGCUAAAUCAAGUAUAUAUGUCUCACAAUGCUUCUAUUGAAUAUAUGGAAUAGCUUGUUGGUAAUCUGACAAUUUCAAAUUAUAUCUCUUUCAGUGAUGAAAAGAUUCUUCCUGAAGGUCGAAAAAGUACCAAGGCUCUUCACAUUACUAUAAAGUGUAAGAGUCAUAUAAUGGCUAAGGUUUUGAUUGAUAAUGGCUCAUCCAUCAAUGUUAUGCCUAUGAUUACUCUGGUAAAACUCUCUGUUGAUGGAUCUUCUAUAAAGCCUAGUCAUACGAUAGUUCGAGCCUUUAAUGAGACCCGAAGAGAGGUGUUAGGAGAUAUAAAAAUAUCAUUGCAGAUUGGCCCAUGCACUUUCAGCGUAAAAUUUUAAGUUAUAGAUAUCUCUCCUUCAUACAAUUAUUUAUUAGGUAGGCUAUGGAUCCAUAUGACAGGUGCUAUUCCAUCCUUAUUAUAUCAUAAAGUCAAAUUCAUUAUUGAAGAAAAGCUAACAUGUGUUAUAAGAGAAUAAGAUUUAUUGGUAACUCAAUCGGUAAAUACUCUUUAUGUGAAAUCAGUAGAUAAAGUGCUAAAAUGCUCUUAUAGAUCCUUCAAGAUUGCCAAUGCCACAUAUGUGGCUGAAGGAUCUAAACUAUGUUUGCCACACCUAUAUACGACUACUAAAAUGGUCGUUAAGCAACUUACUAGGAUGAGAUGGCAACUUGGAACUGAACUAUGGAAGAACUUGCAAGGAAUCAUAAAGCCACCAGCAAUAUAUGACAAUAAAGAUAUAUUCAACUUGGGAUAUAAGCCAAUAAAAUGGGACAGAAUGAGAAUGGUGAAUGAAAAAAAAUAAAAAGAUAGCAAAUCUUGAAGCAUAUAAACCGAAGUCAGAGCCUAUGAUCAUUUCAUACCUCUAUGAUUCUUUUGUUCAGAAGGAUAUAUUUACCCAGAUUUGCUUGGAGCCUUAAGUGCAGGAUUUGUAGAAGAAUUUUUAGAGCUGACCAUUUAAAUGAUGGAUGACAAAGAAAAAGAAAGUCAAGAUAAAGAGCUGUUCGUGCACCCUUAUCCUUUAGAUUUCGAGCUAGACAAUUAGAAGGUUGUAGAGCUACUUAUUGUCUUUAAAACUUUUGAAAAGUAAUGUUUUGUGGAACUUUAAAUCCCUAAUUACUUUUAUGAGCAUUGGAUGAUUUUUUAUGGUGUCUUUAUGUUUGUCGUUUUAAUAAAAGACUUAAAAGAUGCAUCACAUUUCUUCUAUUUUUUCAUAUUCAUAUUACUUUUCAUUUCUUUUUCUAUCAUUUUCUUACCAUUUCCAUUUUUGUGUGCCAAUAUUCUCUUCAUCUUACCCUUUGCAGGGUCCUAAAUAAUAAACAUGAACAUAAUCAUGGCAAUAAUCUCAGAUUUGAUUUUGAAAACUUAAUUCAUGUUGAUGAACUUGAUAAUGAGGAAGAUUCAGAUAACUACACACUACCUCUUGAUUUGUUAAAAUUAAUACAACAUGAAGAUAAGCCAAUUGAACCCCACCAGAAAAUUAUCAAAUUAGUGAAUUUGAGAGAUGAUGAAAACAAAGAGAGGUCAAAGUUGGUACAUCCCUUUUACCAGUUAAAAGGCAGAAGCUAAAAGAACUACUCCAAGAAUAUGUGGAUGUGUUCGCGUGGACUUACCAGGAUAUGCCAGGACUCAACACUGAUAUUGUAGAGCAUAAGUUACCUUUAAAACCAGAAUGUAAGCCAGUGUAGCAAAAGCUAAGGCGUAUGAAGCCAGAGGUGCUACUAAAAAUUAAAGAGAAAAUGAAAAAGCAAUUUGAUGCUGGAUUUUUGGAGGUGACAAAAUAUCCCAAAUGGGUAAUCAACAUAGUACUAGUUUUCAAGAAUGAUGGAAAAGUGAGAAUGUGUGUUGAUUAUCAAGAUCUAAAUAAGGCAAGCCCUAAGGAUAAUUUUUCUCUACCUCACAUCGAUACUCUAGCGGAUAAUACUACUAGGCAUUCCAUAUUUUUCUUUAUGGAUGGCUUCUCAAGCUACAAUCAAAUUAAGAUAGCUCGAGAUGAUACAGAGAAAAGCUACAUUUGUGAUCAUAUAGGGAACAUUCUAUUACAAAGUCAUGCCUUUUGGGUUGAAAAAUACUGGUGCUACUUGUCAAAGAGAAAUAGUGACUCUUUUUCAUGACAUGAUGCAUAAAGAAAUAGAGGUAUAUGUGGAUGAUAUGAUUACAAAAUCUCAUGAAAGAGCAGAUCAUGUAGUUAACCUCAAAAAGUUGUUUGACAGAUUGAGAAGAUUUCAACUGAAGUUGAAUCCUGCUAAAUGUACAUUUGGUGCCAAAUCAUGAAAACUAUUGGGCUUUGUGGUUAGUGAAAGAGGAAUCAAGGUAGACCCGGAUAAGAUACAAGCCAUCUAGAACUUAUCUCCCCCUCAUACCCUAAAAGAAGUGCAAGGUUUCUUAAGGAGAUUGAACUACAUUGCUCGCUUCAUCUCUUAACUCACCUACAAGUGUGAUCCUAUUUUCAAGCUUUUUAAAAAAAAUGUUCCAGGAGAAUAGAAUGAUAAAUGUCAAGAGGCUUUUGAUAAGAUCAAAAAAUACUUGUCAAAUCCACCUGUGUUGGUGCCGCCAAUCCCAGAAAAACCUUUGAUUUUGUACUUAACAGUACAUGAAAAUUCAAUGGGAUGUGUGCUGGGUCAAAAAGAUGAAAUUGACAAAAAAGAACGAGCGAUUUACUACUUGAGCAAGAAAUUCACUGAUUAUGAGUCUAAGUAUUCACCAUUAGAGAAGAUAUGUUGUGCAAUGGCCUUGGACAGCUAAAAGACUCUGACAAUAUAUGUUUUAUCACACUACUUGGCUCAUAGCAAAGUUGGAUCCUAUUAAGUACAUCUUCGAGAAGCCCUCAUUGACAGAAAGGAUAGCACGGUGGCAAGUUAUGCUUUCAGAAUAUGAUAUUAUUUAUGUGACUCAAAAGGUUAUUAAAGAAAGUGCGAUAGCCAAGUUUCUUACUGAUCGUGCAACCGAAGAUUAUGAGCCAAUGAAACUGAAUUUUUUUGAUGAAAAUGUGAUGGCCAUUGAAGAAAAUAAAUUUGUUGAGAAGUUUUGGAAGAUGUAUUUUGAUAGAGCCGUUAAUGCUUUAGGCCAUGGUUUUAGGGCAAUUUUAAUAUCUUUCGAUGAACAUUAUUAUCCAAUCAUAGCCAGGUUGAAUUUCAAUUACACAAACAAUGUGACUGAAUACGAGGCUUGUGUUAUGGGUCUACGCGUAACGAUUGAAAAGAAGAUCAAAAUAUUAGAUGUGUUUGGAGAUUUAGCUCUAGUCAUCUAUCAGUUAUAAGGAGAAUAGAAAAUGAGAGAUUCUAAGUUGUUAUGGUACCGUAAAUACAUCUCUGAGUUGGUUAAGCAAUUCGAAUAAGUUCAGUUUGAACAUUUGCCUAGAGAAGAAAACCAAAUUGCUGAUGCAUUAGCAACUCUAGCUGUAAUGAUUAAAAUAAAUGCAAAUAUUGAAAUCCAACCCAUCAAGCUGGAUGUGAAAGAUGAACCAGCACAUUGUUUUAGUGUCGAAGAAAAAGUAUAUGGGAAGCCAUGGUAUCAUGACAUUAUGCGAUACAUUAAAAGCCAGCAAUAUCCAGAACAUGCAACAAAAAAUGAUAAGAGGACUAUUAGAAUGUUAGCUAUGAGUUUUUUCCUGGAUAGAGAUAUUUUCUACAAAAAGGUCGAGAUCAAGUGCUCUUAAGAUGUAUGAAUAUAGCUGAAGUGAAGAGAAUAAUUAAAGAAGUGCAUGAUGGAGUUUAUGGAGCACAUGCAAAUGGUCAUAUGAUGGCUAGGCAAAUUAUGAGGGCCGAUUACAUUGGUUGACAAUGAAAAGUGAUUGUAUUAAUUAUGCUAAAAAAUGCCAUAAGUGUCAGAUCUACGUUGAUAAGAUCCACGUUUCUCCAACAACAUUGCAUGUUUGGCCUCUUCACGGCCAUUCUCUAUGUGGGGCAUGGAUGUCAUUGGUCCCAUCACUCUAAAAGCUUUGAAUGGGCAUAGAUUUAUUUUUGUGAUGAUUGAUUACUUCACUGAGUGGGUAAAAGCUGUAUAAUAUGCUAGUGUGACCCGUCAAUGGUAUACAAGUUCAUAAGAAAAGAGAUAAUAUGCAGAUAUGAGCUUCCAAAGAUAAUUAUUUCUAAUAAUGCCAAAAACUUGAACAGCAAAAUGAUGAAUGAAGUGUGCACUCAAUUCAAGAUCCAUUAUCGUAAUUCAGCACUAUAUCGUCCAAAAUGAAUAGGGCAUUAAAGGCUGAGAAAAAGAAUAUCAAAAAAAUUUUAUAGAAAAUGAUUGAUACUUAUAAAGAUUGGCAUGAGAAGUUACAUUUUACUUUGCAUGCUUAUAGAACAUCAGUCCAAAAAUCUACUGGGGCCACCCUGUUCUCCUUGGUAUAUGGAAUGAAAGCUGUGCUACUGAUUAAAGUGAAAAUUCCUUCAUUGAGAGUCCUGAUGGAGGUAGAGUUAGAAAAAACAAAAUUGGUUCGAAAUCGUUAUGAAUAGUUGAACCUCAUUGAAGAAAAAUGACUUAUAGCACUUUGUCAUGGUCAAUUAUAUCAAAAGAGGAUGAUGAGAGCAUAUGACAAGAAAAUUCAUCGCCUGUCACUUUAGAGAAGGAGACUUAGUGUUAAAAAAGAUCAUUCCAAAUUAACAUGAUAAUCGAAAAAAAUAGACACCAAAUUGGGAGGGCCCGUACGUGGUGAAAAAGGCCUUUUCUGGUAGGGCAUUGAUUUUGACAAAGAUGGACGGAGGUGAUUUGUCUACUCUAAUAAAUUCAGAUGCUGUAAAAAAAUAUUUUACUUAAAAAAAUGAUGACUUAUCUAGGCUGAAAACCUAAAAAAGAUAGCUUGGAUAUGAAGGAAAAGCAUCAUUAAGAGAAGAUCCCAUGACUCCAGGGCAAGUGUAGUUUGACUAACUCUGAAGAAUUAAGGAAAUCAUCUGAUUUAGUUUUAGAAAAAGAAUCUGGAAAUAUUUUGCUCAUGAUUAUUUUGUGAUCAUUACUUGGGCACCUUUGUUUUGACUCAAAUACUUUUGUUGCCAUGCACUUAUUAUCAGUUUAAUGAAAUAUGUUAUCUUUCUUUUGGAAAUAAUACCUAUCCAUUUCUUUAUUCUCAUUUGAUAUUUUUGUUCAUCGUACAAAAAAGAGAAAUAAGUGAUUGCAUUUUGUUUGUCUUGAACUUAAAAUGAUGAAAAGAAACAUAAACAUAAAAGAUCUUAGUAUUAUUUUUUUAAAAAAGUUAACAAAGGUAGAUGAAAAAGGAUGAAAAAAGCAUGACAAGACAUUGAUAUUAUAGACUUUUGGAGAAGAAAAAUAUUGUUAAGAAAUAAUACAAUGGUCAGAUGUUAAGAAUAGAUUAGUUAUGUGGCAAUUCUAAUAAAAGAAACUAAAAAGCAAGAGAUUUCGAGAACCUUUUUACUAUAAUGAAUAAUUUUGAUUGCAUUACAUGCAUUGCAUUUAGAGUACUAAGUACAUGCAUCAUGAAUAAUAAGGACAGAGACUUUUCAUUUCCCAAUGAAAAAUAAGAUCAAACAAAAGAUUUCAAAAGAGAAAAAUUUACUUGUUCAAAGAUGAGAACUCGAUUUGGAGAACAGAUUAAAAUUUAAAGUUGUUGAGCCUCUGCUGAGAUGAACCCUUUUCAAGAUAAGAAUUUUUAAAGUUGUUGAGCUUCUGUUGAGAAGAGCUUUUUCAAAAUGAGAUUUUUAAAAUUGUUGAGCCUCUGCUGAGAGAAACCCUUUUAAAGAUGAGAAUUUUUAAAGUAGUUGAACCUCUGCUGAGAUGAGCUUUUUUCAUAUGAGAUUUUUAAAGUUGUCAAACCUUUGCUGAGAGGAACUUUUUCUAGAUGAGAUCUUUAAAGUUGUUAAGCCUUUGAGAGAAGCUUUUUCAGAUGAGAUUUUUAAAGUUGUUAAGCCUCUGCUGAGAAAAGCUUUUUUCAGAUGAGAUUUUUAAAGUUGUCGAGCUUUUGUUGAGAGGAACUUUUUCCAAAUAAGAUCUUUAAAGUUAUCGAGCCUCUGCUGAGAAGAGCUUUUUCAAGAUAAAAUUUUAAAAUUGUUGAGCCUCUGCUAAGAGGAGCCUUUUUCAAAUUUUAAAAUUUUCAAAAGUUGUCAAGCUUCAAGUGAGAAGAGCAUUUUUUAUUUGAUGAGAAAAACUUUCUGAGUAGUUUAUGUUCAAAAAAAAAGGAAAAAAAAAGAAAAGAAAUAUCCCUUUAGAUUUCGGACAAAAUUAUUGUCUUUGUCUUUGCCCUAUUCUUGAUCUUCAGCAAUGUGCAAAGAGGGGCAGCUGUAGACACCAAAUUUGUUCGAAUUUUAAUUAAGUCUUAGUUAUCAAAUUUUAAUUCUUGGGCUAUCGGGUUAAGACCCGAUUUUAAUUCAAUUAGGCUUUAGGUUCGAUUUCAAUUCAACUAGGCCUAAAGUCUGAUUUUGAUUGGGCUCGAAGCCCAUUUUAUUUUUUUUAAGCCCAGCCAGCCUUUUAUUAUUUUUUUAUUAAAUUAAACAAAAAUACAUAAUACAAAUAAUACAAAAUACAAAAAAUACCAAAACAAAAUACCAAAAAAUAUAAAAUACAAAAAAAAUAGAGAAAAAUAAAAAAUGAGGGAUGGCAGUGGUGCCUUCCCCAACACCAUUGCCACCAUGCCCUACCCACCAUACCCUAUCCCUCUCUCAUACCCUGUAAAUUUUAUUCUAGCUAUCCUACCCUACCACUGAAUAAAAAAAAAAGAAAUAAAAGGGUGAGGAGCUCGUGCUCACCCCCAUGCUGAGUCCUAUGCCACUUACUUAGGCACAAGGCAUGGUCAGAGCUCUAUAAAUAGAGCUACUGGCCAAACAAAAAGGGAAGGGGAGGGAUCCUGCCAAAAAAAAAAAGGAAAAAUCUUUCUACCAAAAAAAAUCAACACAGUCCUCACCAUUCGACGAGGAAACCGACAACAAGUGAGAGCCUCUGCACAAAAAAUAAUAAUAAAGUCAGUUUCAAAAAAAAAAAGAUAACACAAAAAAAUUUGUGCCCUAAACUUUUCAGGUCAGAUCUACGAUGUUUAAAGUAUUUUCAGGUGAAAUAGAGGCUGGAUUUGUGUUUAGGGUGUUGAGGGAAACAUUUUGGAAAAUUUUAAAAAUUUUUGACACCGAUGAUGGUGGUCAGAGCUCGCCACUGGUGAGGACUAUGGCGAUCGUCACGAUAGACAGCCACCGGCCCCAAGUGGGCUAGAAAAAAAAAAGAAAGAGAGAGAGCGAUUUUUUUUAAAGAGGGAGAAAUGAUCGAAAAAAAAAUUAGGCUUUUAUAUAAGCUGUCAAUAGCCAAAACGACAUCGUUUUAAGCACUUAGGAUCCGUGCAUUAACCCGUGACAUGACUAGCGCAUCCGACUCGAGACCUGCUUCUACAUCAACCUUGGAUCGAUCUGAUUGAACCGGAACCGAAUAGCUAAACUCGAUCCGGAUCAAAAAUGAACUGUUAUAUGUGAUCGAACUGUCAAACCGAACUGCCAGACCGAACCACAUGUUGACCGGUCUGGUUCAGGUAAAAAAAAAUUUUUUUGAAUUUUUUUAUAUUUUAUAUAUAUUAUUUUUUAUUUUAAUUAUUAUUCUUAAUAUUUAUUCAUGUAAAAAUAUUUAAAUUUACCAAAAUAAAUUUUCAUUGUUUUAUAAUAUUAAUUAAUAAAUAAUAAAUAAUAAAAUAUAUGAUAAAAGUUUUUUAUAAUUAUACUAACUUUAAAAUAAAUCUUUUAAAAUAAUAAAAAAUAAGAAAAAAGAAAUUUUUUAUCCGAUGAUGAGAUUCAGAGGUACUUCGAGUAGUGAUACUUAUGAAAUCUCUAGGUGAGAUGAUUUUUUUUAAAUACUACCAGUAUAUUGGAGUAUUUAUAAAAAAUUUUGAAUACAAUAAAAAUUUUCUUUUUUUCUUAUAAAAUAAUAAAUAAAAAUUAAUCAAUAUAUUAAAAAAUAAUAAUAUAAAUAAGGAAAAAAGAAAUUUUAUCCAAUGAUGGGAUUCUAAAAGUAUUCUGAGUAGCGAUACUUUACGAAAUCUCUAGGUGAGAAGAUUCUUUUUAAAUAUUACCAGUGUAUUGAAAUAUUUAUAGAAAAUCUUUAAUAUAAUAAAAUUCUUUUUUCUUCAAAAUUUUAAUUAAAAAUAAAAAAAUCAAAUAAAAUUAAUUAAUAAAUUUUUAAAAAAAAAAAAAUAAAAUGUGUGCAUCAACAUGAUAACAUUCUGCAUUACAUGCAUGAUAUAAUUUUUACGAAAAUUAAAUUUAGACCUUUAAGGAUGGGAUUUUAAGGUAUUCCGAGAAGUGAUGCCUAAGAAAUCUCUAGGUGAGAAAAAGUUCUUCUAAUGUUACCAACGUACUGGAAUAUUUUAAGAAUUUUUUCGAUAAAAAAGGUUUUAAUUUAUUUUUCUCGAAUAAAAAUGAAACAAUAAUUAAUAAAUCAAAAAUCAAAAAAAUUAUUUUUCAAGCAUAAAAAAUGGGACUGUUUUUAUCAAAAUCAAAAGAUAAUAUGUAGUUAAUUGGUACCUUUUUUAAACGGGUACUAUUAGGGAAGGCAAAAAAAUCCGUACCCGACGGGUUCCGGUCCGACCCGAUUUUUUAAGGUCGAUUUUUUUUUUUUGAAAAUCGGGGGUCGGGUCGGGGUCGGGUUUUAGGCAAACCCGACCCUACCCGACCCGAUAUAUAUAUAUAAAAAUAAUUUUUUUAAUUAAUUUUUUAAUUUUUUAAUUCUAUAUAUAUUUAUAUAAUGAUAUUUUUAAAUAUUUAUAUUUAAAAAAUAAUAUUUUAUUAAUUUCGGGUCGGGUCGGGUCAGGUACGAUUUAUAUAGUGUCGGGUCGAGUUCGGGUAUGAAAAAAUAAAAAAAAUUUCGGGUAGGGUCGGGUUCGGGUUUUUUAAGCAUUAAGUCGGGUCGGGUUCGGGGCGAGCAAAACCCGCCCCGAACCCGACCUGAUGCCAACCCUAGGUGCUAUGGGGAUUCUAAUCCUUCCUCAUGUGUAACCGACUCCCGAACUCAGACUGUUAGGUAGACCCUAAAAUUAUAUUUUUAAUAAAUUUUAAUUAAUUUUAAGAUUUAAUUAAAAGGAUAUAUUUUAAUAGGUAGCCAAUCACACAUAGCUAAAAAAGAUUAGUGGCAACUCCGUUUUUCAUUUUUUAACUUUCGUUUCCAAAUUCGUUAAGUGGAUACAAAACCGUUACGACAGUUAUAAUAGCAUAAAAUUUGAAAUUUAGUCUUUAUACUCUCAUAAACUUUGAAAUUUAAUUCCUUUAAUAUAAAAAAAUAUUUUGAAAUUUUUAGAAAUUUUUUAAUGUUUUAAAAUAUUAAAUUUUAAAAAUUGCCAUAAUAUUAUGUUAUAAUAUUCUAUCACAAUAUUAAAAAAUCUAUCAUAAUAUUCUAUUAUGCUUUUCAUAUAUUGUCACUAAAUCUAUUACAAUUUUUUGUCACACUAUGCAAAAUACUAUUACUAAUUCCAUCACUAAUUUUUGUUACAUUCUGUCAUAAAAUAUAAAAUUUGUUAUUAAUAUUGUCACACUUUUCUGUCAUAAUGAUAGUAUAGUGUGAUCAUAUGAAAAAAAAAAGUCCUACACAAAUCUAUUAAAAAUCUAUCACAAGUUUAUCAAUAUAUGAUACAAAUUUGUCAUUAUCUAAUUUUAAUAAAGCUAUUUUUUAUUAAUUUACUAAAUGAAAUAGAAUUAUAAUUCCAUCCCAUAAUGGUAAAAUUAUCCAUCAAAUAAUUUUUCUAUUCCUUUAAAUUAAACCCUAUUUAAAUGAUUUUUUAUAAUAAAAUCUAGGUUUAAGAUUUUAAAUACAAUAAAGUAAUUUAUUAAACUAAAUGUGUAUUGAUUUUAGAAUGAAACCUAUUAUUUCAUUUAACGUAAUUUUUUUUGUGAACAGCCCAAAAAAAUUAAAAGUUUUCAUUUUUGUACACGAUAUUUAUGUUUCAAUUAUCAAAUAAAUUAUUUUCUCCUUUCAUUUUGUUAAGAUUCAAAAUUUAUCCAUUAAACGGAUAAGAACUCAUCUCUGGUAAGAAUCUAGAUUUGAAUAUCUUAUUUUGUUUAGUUGGAUGGAACUAUCGUUCUAUUCAUAAUUUAUUUUGAGUUCAUUUCAAAUGCAGCAUUAUUCAAUAGUUUACUUCAUUAUAUAUUUUGUUAUAUUCUAUAUUUAAGCUAAUUAAAAUAAUAUUAAGUUUAAUAUAUUAAUUUAAAUUAUUAAUGUUAUAAUUAAUUAAUAUAAAAAAUAAUAAUAUUGUUAUUACUAUGAUAUUAUUAAUAAUUAGUUAUAUAUAAUAAAAAUAUAUUUCUAAAAAUAUUUUUUAUAUUAGAGGGACUAAAUUUCAAAUUUUAUGUGAAUAUAGAGAUCAUUUGCAUAAUUUAACUCAUGAUUUCAUCUAUCCAAGUUGUCACGUUUGUAAGUCAAUGCUACAAUAGCACUUUUAACAUUAAAAAAAAAGAUAUUAGUGAUUGGAUUAAGAUUAUCAAAUCAAAAUAGUAUGAGAACUAAAUUUGUAUAAAUUAUAAUAUAGAGACUAAAUUCUAAAUUUUUGCUAAGUAUAAGCAUCCAUAAUUUGACAAAGAUUUAAUGGUUCAAAAUCAUUUUUUUCCUCCAUUGAUUUAUCCUAACAUAUGAAAAAAGUAGUUUUUUAGAUUAUCUUAACUUAUAUAUUUAGAAACUACACCACUUAUAGUAAUUUAUCAUAAUUAAAAUCUUCCAAUAAGAUUUUCUAUUCUUUUAUAAGGUAACAAUUAUUUGAUAAUUGAUAGUUGUACAUAAAUUUUUCACGCAAAUGCAUAAUUCCCCAUGAACUCUCUAACCAUUUUCUCUUUUAGUUAUUCCUUUUACUUUGUUUGAUAGGGAAAAAUUAAGUAAAAGAAAUCUAAUCAUGAAAAGGUAUAUAUGACUAUACCAAGAAAUUACAAAACAUAUUUGUUGUAAACAUUAUUUCAGAAUUUAAAAGAUUUUGUAAUAGAUUUGUUCUAAAUUUUUUUGAGAUUGAUUAAAUAUUACUUAAUGGACAAAAAGACUUGAAAAUUAACAAAUCUAAGAGGAAAUUAUUUUUGGUAAUAAGUUAGAAGUCUUAUAAAUAUUAGGGAUCCCAAUAUAGUUUAGUAUAGGAGAAAGCUAUAAAAAAAAUUAUAUGGUUUAUUAAGUAGACAUCCCAUAGUAUUAGUGAAUAUUGAGAUGGACCAUAUAAGUAUGUAUGUUUGAAUGGACUAGAGGAGAUUGAGAGGGUUCAAUGGUAUGUAAGUUUGAAUGGUGGACAUUGAGGGCGUCCAUAUAUGUGUAAUUUAGUUUAUUUGGAUUAAGAAUGCUCCAUAAGAUUAGAGUUAAAUGAAAAGGUUCAUGAGCAUUAAUUUUAAGUGUUGAUUUAUUUGAUUGUAUAUUUAUAAUUCUCUACAAAUAGUUAAUCUUUUCUCUCAUUUGUAGAUGUAAACUUCUUUAGGUUAGACUAAAUUACGUUAAAUUGUUAUUUCUUAUGUGAAUGAUUUAUAAUUUGAUUUUGUUUUUGCUUAUUUAAAUGUCAAAAAUGUUUGAACAAUUAGUAGAUUUUUCUUUCAACCAUGGAUAUAGGCCAUUUUGGAUUGGGUUGAAUCACGUUAAAUUGUUAUCUUUUUGUGUGGAUGAUUUAUGGUUUGAUUUUGGUUUAGCUCACUUGAAUGUCAAACAUGUUUGAAUAAUUAUUGGAUUUUUUCUCUCAUUUGUGGAUGUAGGCCACUUUGGAUUAAAUUGAACAAAGUUAAAUUGUUAUUUCUUAUAUAAAUAACACAAGACUUGAUUUUACUUCCGCUCGCUUAGAUAUUAAAUAUGUUCAAACAAUUAGUGAAUUAUAUAUAUAUAUAUAUAUAUAUAUAAAGUAAGCCAUUUCGGGUUGGAUUAAACUACAUUUAAUUAUUCUCUUAUAUAAAUGAUUUAUGAUUUGAUCAUAUUUUUGCUUACUUGUUUGAGUGAUUGAAUUAAAGUUAUUGAGCGUAAAUUAAAAUGAAUGGACUUAUUGCAGCACCAGCUCCAAAGACCAUUAGAAAAUGAAAAUUGAGGACCAACCUUAAUAAAGUGAAAAAAAAAAAAAAGGAAAUAAAGAUCAGCAGCAAUAAAAUUAUAAGGACAUGAAUUUUUUUUUUUUUUGGAGUUUAAAGCCAAAUCGUAAUAGAUAUAGCAUGAAAUAAAAUAGAAAAUAGAAGUCUAAGAAACCCAAAAAAUUAUAUAGCAACAAUUCUUUUUUUUUUUUUUGGUAGAAAGAUAAACAUAGAAGAAUAGGAUAAAUAUUAUAAACAUUUCAUUUAGUUGGAGCUUUUAAAUUCAAUUUGACUUCGUUAACAAGAUUCUAAAUUUUAAUUGGUCUGUUUAAAAUCUCGUUUGCAAUUUGUUUGAGUUUGAUCCAAAGGUCUAACUCUAACUUUAUUUACUUUUCCUUUUCUUUAUUUAUUUUCAUUUAUUAAUUAUUUUAUUUGUGACCUGUUGAAACUACAUUUAAUUAUUCUUUUAUAUAAAUGAUUUAUGAUUUAAUCAUCCUUUAGCUUACUUGUAUGAGUAAUUGAAUUGAGGUCUUUGUGCGUAAAUUAAAAUGUGUGGACCUACUGCAGCACCAGCUCCAAAGACCAUUAGAAAAUUAAAAUUGAGGACCAACCUUAAUAAAAAGUGAAAAAAAAGAAAAAGAAAUAAAGAUCAGCCGCAAUAAACUUAUUAGAACAUGGAUUUUAUUUUUCUUUGGUGUUUAAAAGCAAAUCAUAAAAGAUAUAACGUGAAAUAAACUAGAAAAUAGAAGUCAAAGAAAUCCAAAAAAUUAUAUAACAACAUUUUUUUUUUAUUGUAGAGAGAUAAAAAUAGAAGAAUAAGAUAAAUAUUAUAAACAUUUCGUUUAGUUGGAGCUUUUAAAUUUAAUUUAAGUUCGUUAAUAAUUCUAAAUAGUAAUUGAUCCGUUUGAAAUUUAGUUUACAAUUUGUUUGAGUUUGGAAUAUAGUUUACAAUUUGUUUGAGUUUGAUUCAAAGCUCCAAUUCUAACUUUAUUUAUUUUUCUUUUUGCUUUUUCACUUUCAUUUAUUAAUUAUUGUAUUUUUUUAUUAAUUAUUUUAUUUGUGACCUGUUGAAAAGUUUGAUGAAAGACUCAUUUAAUUUAUUUGGAUUCUCUUUUAUCGUUAUUAUUACAAUUUUCCAAUUACUUACCGGAAGACAACGAAACAAGGGCCCAAGCAUCUUCCCCUUUUCAGCAGUUGGGAGCUAUGCCUUUAAUUCACACCUUUUUUUUUUAUUUUUGCUCGUACGAAUUUUUGAAGAAAACUGAUCAAUUGAUGCUACUGGAACAUGGCAUCGUUAAUGCUAUUUUGAAUUAAAAGUAUUCCUCCCAACUGCCAACAAAAGGACAAGAUGAUGCUAGUGGGACAUGGUAUUAUUAAUGCUAUUUUAAAUUAUUGAUCCUUUUAUUUUUACUUUUUUUCAAUUAUUUUUUAACAAUAACUUUCUCAACUACUUGAUUUUGUUUGUUUUAUGAAAUUAAAUUCUGUAUUGAAUUACGCCUCAUACGAUAAAAGAUGUAAAGUUAAAUUAUACUGGAGGGUUUUAUAUUUUAUGAAAAUUUGAAAUUUAAUUUUUAUAUUGUAAUUUAUAUAAUUUUAGUUUUUACUAUUUUAAUUUAAUAAUUUAAUUUAAUCAUUAAUUUUGUUAAACAUUUUUAUUAAAAAUUAUUGACAUGAGUGUUAGCUUAAUGACAUCGGCAUUAAUUUUGAUUAUAUAAUAUUGAUUUCCUGAUAAUUGAUAUAGAUAAAAUUAAUUAUUAAAUUAUAUAAAUAAUUUUUAUACUUAAAUAAAAUUUAAAAUUUAAUUACUGUAUUAGCACAAAAUUUAAAAUUUAGUUCAUAUACUCUCAUAAAAUUUGAAAUUUAAUUCUUCUAAUAUAAAAAUAUUAUGAAUUUUUUAAUUUUUUAAAAUAUUAAAUUUUAAUAAUUGCCACAAUAUUAUGUUACAAUAUUCUAUCACAAUAUUGAAAAAUCUAUUAUAAUAUUUUGUCAUAAUUUUCAUAUAUUGUCACUAAAUUUAUCAUAAUUUUUUGUCACAUCAUAGAAAUACUGUUACUAAUUUUGUUACUAUUUUUUGUUACAUUCUGUCAUUAAAUGUAAAAUCUAUUAUUAAUAUUAUUGUCACAAUUUUCUAUCAUAAUGAUAGUAUAGUGUGUGGUCAUAUGAAAAAAAAAAUUUACACAAAUUUAUUAAAAAUUUAUCAAAAAUUUAUCAAUAUAUGAUACAAGUUUGUCAUUAUCUAAUUUUAACAAAGUGAUUUUUUUAUUAAUUUAUUAAAUAAAAUAGAAUUAUAAUUCUAUCCCAUAAAGGUCAAAUUAUUCAUCAAAUAAUUUUUUUAUUCUUUUACAUUAAACCUUAUUUAAAUAAUUUUUCAUAAUCAAAUCUAAGUUUAAGAUUUUAAAUACAUUAAAGUAAUUUACUAAAUUAAAUGUGUAUUAAUUUUUGAAUGAAACCUAUUAUUUAAUUUAACAUAAUUAUUUAAAUAAAUGACAAAAUUCAGUAGCUGAUCCAUGUGCGACCUGGAACUUAGGAUUCAUGCACCCAACUAGAGCUGAUCCAGAGCCAAGCCGGGCCUUUUCAAUUGUUUUUCGAAGUUGAUCGAUCUGCUAGCUGAGCUGUUGAUCAUUGACCAAGCUGUUGAUUAAGUUGAGUUGUUUUUUGGGCAUUUUUUUAUUUUUUUUUUAUUUUUGUUUUUAUUUAUUCGUGUGUAUUUUUCAAAAAAAAAAAAAAGGAAAAAGGAAACGUAAACAUUAAUUUUGAUAAUUCAUUUUGAAACUAAAAUCCUACUAAUAUAUUGAAAAUUUUUUUAAAUUAAAAUUUUAAAAAUUCAUUUUAAAAUAAAAUCUUACUAACGUAACAAAAUACUUUAUAAGUUUGUUUAUAAAAUUUUAGAAAGAAAAUCCAUAAAUUUCUACUAAUAAAUUGGAAGAUUUUAUGAGUUUGAAAAUAAUUUUGUAAAAAUAAAUUUUACCAAUAUAUUAAAAGAUUUUAUUGAUUUGAAAAUAAAUUUAAGAAAAAAUUAAAAUAUCAAAUUUCCUUCAAAUUAAGUUGUUUUGAAAAUGUUAAGACAAGUUGAAAUAUUAAUUUUUUUAAGAUAAAAUUUUGAACAAUUAGAAAACAGUUAAGAUAUUAAUUUUUUCUAAAAUUUUGAAAAUUGAAGGAAUUUAAGAAUAAUUUUCAUUAGAAAAAUUGUUUUGAAAAUUUUUUAAAUGUUUUGAAGGUUUAAUGGAUAACAUAAAAUUAAUUGGUAUCGUUUUUUGGAUAGGUGUUAUAAGGAUGCUAUAUCUUUUCUUGCAUGUAAUCGUAUUUUCGAAUGUAAUCUAAUUUCAUAAAAUAGAAUCUAUUAUUUUAAGGAGCCUAAAUUAAUUAAAAUUAAAAUCUCUUUUAAAAAAUAAAUUUAAUUAAGUAAACAACUACAUUUAAAUAAAAAUUUUUAUGAUAAUUCCAUAAUUUAUAUUUAAUAAACAAAUUUACUUACUUAUAUCUUAUAAUAAAUAUACUAGAAAUUAAAUAUACUAGAAAAUAUGAACUUUCAGACUCCAUGAGUUUUUAAUUCCAUCCAUUUUUUUUAAUUAAAAGAAAACUGAAGUAACAAUCUAACUUUGCUACACAUGAAAAAAAAAAAAAAAAAAAACUUAAAGUAUCAAUGAAUACCUGAAAAUUCUGCUUGAAAUCCUGUGACCAAUUGAAACUACUGAGAAAUGUAGCAUCAAAUACUUCCUUAAUUUCUUUGAACUCUAACUAUAACCAUUUUUCUUAUUCAAAUCCUUAAUGGAAGAGAACUAGACGAGGGCCCAAGCAUCUUGUCCUUUUCUUAGGAGUUGGGAGUUGGGAGUAAUGACUUUAUUUCACACCUUUAUUAUUAUAUUUUUUGCUCGUUCGAAAUUUUGAAGGAAACUGAUCUAUCAUUUAUCACAAUUGCAUUAGAUUGCAAUUCACAGCUUUCGUUAGUGGGACAUGGCAUCAUUGAUGCACUUUUGAAUUGAUCUACCUAUAUAUAUAUAUAUAAUUAUUUUUCUGCAUUUAUUUUAUUUUAUUUUUGAUUGACCUUUGCGGAUAAAUCUAUUCAAGAAUCAAAAUAAUCAUUCACGGCUGAAAAUUAAUUCAAAGUUUGAAAGUGUUUAGACAUAAAUAUUAAGUUUGCCAAAUGGAUCAAGAUUUAAAUUGAAUUUAAAAAAAAAAAUAGAUAAGCUUUUGUGAAUAACAUUUAUGGCUCAAGCCUAAUUUUAUAAUUUUUUUUUUAUAAUAGUCGGACUUGAUAGUUAUAUAUAUUAUAUUUAUAAUUAUAUUAUAUAAAAAUAAACAAUAUGUAUGUGUAUAUUAAUUUUUUUAUACCUACAUGUAUCAAUUUCAAUUAAAUAUUAAAGUAAAUUAAUAAAAUCAUUUUUUAAGUUUUAUUUAUCAUAAUUAACAUUUAUUAUAAAAUUUAUUUUUAUUAUUUAAAAGAUUAAAAUCAAGAUCAUUUUUUGAUUGAGUUGAGCUUAAUAAAUCUAAAAUUUAUUAUUAAUCUAGUUAUGCUCAAUCCAAAUUCAAUUCGAUCAUAAACAUUUUUAUAUUAAAUAAAAACCCACUACUUUUAGUUUAUUUUAGAGAUUAAAUUCUGUAUCAAAUUAUACCCUCAUGCUGUUUAAUGACCAAGCAUACAAGGGUCCAUGAUUAUUUUUUAGUAAUGUUAUACAGUUAUUAAAUAUUCAUUUUAAUUAUAGUACACGGAUAAAUUUCAUUACUUUACAUUUCCUUUCUGUAUAGGACUAAAUAUCAUUUCAUUAUAUCUGUAAGCACAACUAAAUUAAUAAUUUUUUAUGAUAAAUAACAAUUUCAAUUUCUUUUUCACCAGAGAGAAUAUGAUAGACGUUGUUUAUUAGUUAAAUUUUCAUGUUAAAAAUAAUUACAAAACGAGUGUAAGAUUAAAUAUUAAAUUUUAUUUAAAGAAUUUAUUUUUUUAAUUUUUCUUUUUGUUUUAAAGAGUGAGAGUUGUGUACUUGUGUAACAACACGACUCUCAAAUGUACAUAAGCCGAGAACAACAAAUUUAUUUUCUAGCACUUUUUGUUGGAACAAAUUUUUAAUAGAGGAAACAAAUUCUCCAAAUUGCAAUUUUGGGGUCAGACUGAACAAAAUGAAAAUGCAGAAACAACUAUGGAAAUUAUAGCAGAGGUAUGAAUGAUUAUAAGAAUUUAGCAACAAAUUGACCGAACAUGCAGGUCACGUGCGCUUUAACAGUCCCUAACUGGUUUGUUAAAGUUUUGUUUGUUUCUUUGUAGGUGCAAUCUUUUCCACUGUUUCUGAUAUUUCACAGCGGAAAUUGAAAAGAAAAAGAAGGAAAAAAAAAAAAAAAAGAAAGAAAGGUGUUUUCCUUAUCAUUCACGGCGUAAACAGUGGUUUAAUGAUAUUAAUUUUAUUCAUAUUUAAUAAAAAAAUUAAUUUUUUAUUAAAACAAAGAUAAAAAUAAAUCUUAUAUUAUGUGAAUAAAAAUAAAAAAAAAUUUAAAUUUUUAUUAAAUAUGAAUAUAAAAAUAGAUAAUAUACUCAUAUUAUAUAUAUUUAUACAUAAUAAAUAAAUAAAUAUUUUAUUAAAUAGUAUAAAUUAUUAUUUUAGAUUAAUUAGAAUAAAUAUAUUUUUAUUAAAUAUAUAUUAAUAAAUAUUUAUUAAAAUAUCUAUAUAUACAAAUUAAAAAUAAAAAAUAAAAAAUAAUUUUUUAUUUUUAUUUUUUUAAACACUAUAAAUAUAAAAUUAUUCAUAUUUAUUAAAUAUCUAUAAAAAUAAAAAAUAAAUUUAAAAUGCUUAUUAAAUAUAAAUAUAAAAAUAAUUAUAAAUAUAAUAUAAAAAUUCAUAAAUAAAAUUAAAAAAUAUUUUAUCCGUUCCGUAUCUUAGUCGUUUACGUCCCUAAAAGAAAUCGUACGAGAGACAACGACCAAUUAGGAGGAAAGCAAGGGCUUGUCUUUGGUCUGCGUCGGGGAGCACCCCCCCCUCUCCCCCGACAUAUUCCCUUAUCCUUAAAUCCACAUUUCCACGUUGAUUUGAUCUUUAGCUUUGACGAAAUGCCGUCCUCAAUUUCAAAUAUUAAACAAUGUAGCAUUAAUUUCGACACCAACUUGUUGGUUCAUGCAAUUCCGAUAUUUAAAUUCCCUUUUAAAUAAUUUAAGAGUCGAAUAUCACGUAAUUUUUUUGGAUUUUCUUUUAUUUAAUUUCUUUGGAUUCUCUUUUAUUAUGAUUAUCAUUAUUUUUUUGUUUCAAAAGGAUAGAAUUCUACAUUAAAGAAAAAGGAAGAGACUAGGAUCAAACUUUAACUUUAUGUCUUUUUAAAGUAUUUUUAACUACUAGAUCAAGAAGUUAAAAAUUUUUUAUUUUUUAUUAUUCAAAUAUUAAUAAAAGAGAGCUAGCUAAAGUCCAUACACUACUUUAAAGCUUAGACUGUAAUAUAUCUUAUAUUAUGUAAAUAAAAAUAAAUAUAAUUUUAUAUUUUUAUUAAAUAUGAGUAUAAAAAUGAGUAAUAUAGCACUCUUUUCGUAUUUAUAUCUUAUAUAUAUUUAUAUAUAAUUAAUAAAUAAAUUUUUUGUUAAAUAAAAUAAAUUAUUAUUUUAGUUUAAUUAAAAUAAAUAUAUUUUUAUUAAAAAUAUAUAUUAAUAGAUAUUUAUUAAAAAUUAUCUAUAUAUAAAUUAAAAAUAAAAAUAAAAUUUUUAUUUUUAUUAAAAACUAUAAAAUAAAAAUUACUCAAAUCUAUUAAAUAUUUAUAAAAAUAAAAAUAAAAAUAAAAUAUCUAUUAAAUAUAAAUACAAAAAUAAAUAUAAUAUAAAAACUCAUAAAUAAAAUUAAAAAAUAUUUUGUUUUUCCCGUAUCCUAAUCAUUCACGUCCCUAAAAAUAAACGUGUGAGAGACAGCAAAUAAUUACGACUUACGAGGAGAGCAAGGGCUAGUCUUUGGUCCGCGUCGGGGACCACCCCCUUUCCCCUGAAAAAUCCCCUUAUCCACAGUCUUUUUCAAAGAAAAAUCGUUUUAAGAAAAAACGAAAAUAUUUUAAAAAAAAUGAAAACCCAUUAUCAGUUUCAAGCCUAAAAAAAAUAAAUUUAUUAUUAAAAAAAAAAUCUUCUAAACAAACUUGUAAAUGUUUUCUUUGUAAUCAAGAAAGUCAUUAUACAAACAACUACCCUAACAAAAGAAAAAGUGUAAGAAAAUGAUCAAAAAACUUGAUGAAAAUUUUCUUCAAAUUUAUUUUACAGAUAAAUUAUUUGACGAAAAAAUUUAUUAUGAAGUUUUCUCAAAAACUAAUUAUGAUUCUUCUGAAGAUGAAUCUGAUUUUAUUUUUAUGCUGAAUACUAAAUCUAACCCAGAUAAUGUUUCAAUUGCCUUUUUAACAGGUACAACAACUACUGAAAGAGACGGUAUGAUUAAACUCAAAAAUAUUAUGAGAAAAACUCAUCAUAUUUUUGAGGAUAAAGUUAAAGAAUUACAACUCAUGAAACCAUAUGAGAUUUACAAAACAAGUUGGUUUAAUAAAUUUCAACCUUGGUAUAAACACCAUAUAGAAAAACUAUCUGGUGAGACAGUUGCUAACGAUUCUAAACAAGGAUCGGUAAAAAUUUCACUUUUUACUAAAAAGAAAACAAACCAUUUUCUUUCUAAAUAUCCAAAGGUCAAAUACAUCCACAUAGAAAUGAUUUUGAUCACCAUUAAACCGGUAUUUUUGUCUACUAAAGAUAUUACCAUCAUAGCCGUUUUAAUGGACAACCAUUUUAAAAAUCUCGUUAUGCUGUAAUUGGUGGAAUCCAAUCCAAUUUAGUAGCAAGAGUAAUUUUAUUUAAAGUUAAACCAAACUAUUUUAUUUCUAUUUUUGACGAAAACAUAGAAAAAUGUUUAUGUCUUCGUAUUAAAAUCAUAAACCAUGAUUUUGAAGUUAACUCGCAUGAUCUUUCAAUCAACAGGUCUGCUUGUUAUAAAUUCACAAACACUUCUAUCAAACUGAUAGAUUCUAAUAUUAUAGAGAUUUUUGAACCAAAUGGUUUUGAUUCAGAAAUCAAACCAAAAUUGGUUAACAUCUCAGACUUAUCUAUCCUAAAAAGAUGGUGUCUCAAAGAUAUUUCAAGUAUUUUUGAAAAUUAGAAAGUACCAAGUUUAGAAUUUUUCUCAUCAGAAAAAAACUUUACUUCAAAAAUCCACAUGCAUCAAUCAGUUUUAAUCCAAACCUAGUUUUACCCUCUACUACUACUUUUGAUCACCAACAAGAUGAUGACAUAGAGACUAUAACUAGUAAUCAAUCUUUUUGUACUCCUUAUCGAAGUUUUUUUUUUUCAGGAUUUCCUAGUACAAACAGUACAAAACCUUACGACAUACAAACAGCAUGCGUCAAGACCAUAAUACAGGUAAAAUUCUUAUAUUUGCAAGAGAUAAUCCAUCUUAGCAAGGUACAAGUGAUAACCAAUUCUUUUAUCAUUAUGUUAAUUCUGUUUUAAAUACACACACUUCUUCUUAUAGAAACACUAGAACUAAAAGAUAUCAAAAUGUUUCAUUUUAUCAAUAAUUUUCGUGUUUCUAUACCAGAAACAAUAUUGUUCACUAAAAAGAUACGUUAUUAUACUUAUGUUCAAGGAUAUUUUUAUUUUCAAAACUAUAAACCAUAUGGUUUAGAUGUUUUGAUUAACACAGGAGCAACAAUAUCUAGUUGUCGAUCGAAUGCUUUGCCUUCAACCAGUUGGCAACCCAUGAAACAUCCUAUAAUAAUAGUAGGUAUUAAUGGUAAAGAAACCAUUGUUAACCUAAAAGCUAAAAAUAUUCCUAUUGAUUUAAACGAUAGGAAGUUUAUAAUACCAAAAAUAUUAUGUUUUCCUAAUAUGCAUGGAGACAUUCUGUUAGGAAAUAAUUUUAUUUAUAAAUAUUUAUCAUUUUUUAUUUUUAUAGAUCAUCUUACUUUUACUAUUGAUAAAAAAAUCAAUGGAUGUUCCUCUUUUAUCUAAACAUAAACAUGUUUGUGAUAAUGGCUUUCACCUAGAAAUAACGCAUAUUUCUGAAAUUAAAGCUAUCAAUGAAAGACAUUGACUUUAUAGGAUUUUGCAGGAAAACUUUAGUGAAGCACCAUUGAAGCUAUGGAAGCAAAGUCCAAGAUAUGUGAAGCUACUCUCUAUGAUCCAAAAAGAGAUCAUUCGAGUAAAACCUAUGAUUUAUACCAAGUAAGAUAUAGAUGAAUUAGAAAUUCAAAUUUCAGAAUUGCUUGACAAAUGUCUGAUAGAACCAACUACCGGUCCACAUUCUUGUCCAGCAUUUUUGGUAAGAAAUCAUGCUGAAAUUAAAUGAGGUAAACCUAGAAUGGUUAUCAAUUAUAAUAAAUUAAAUCAAAAUCUUGUUUUUAAUGGCUAUUUUAUCAUCGAAAAGAUGUUUUAAUAAAUUUAGCUAAAAAUGCUAAAUAUUUUUUUAAGUUUGACUGUAAAUCUAGUUUUUGGCAAAUCAUACUCACAGAUUUCUCAAAACCUUUAACUACUUUUAGUGUAUCAACAGGCCAUUACCAAUGGACUGUUAUGUCUUUCGCUCUGUGCAACACCCCUCAAAUCUUUUAGCGUUGGAUGGACAGUAUUUUCAGCAAACAUAAAUAAUUUUGUUAUGUUUACAUUGAUGAUAUUUUAGUAUUCUCCAAUACAUUAGAUGAGCACAUGAAACACCUGAAUAUUAUAGCUCAAGAAUUUAUUUUACAUGAUAUUAUUUUGAAUCCCAAAAAGGUCUAACUCAAAAAAAUAGAAAUUGAAUUUCUUGGAUUAAAUCUAUCUACUAAUGGACCAACUUUGCAGGAUCAUAUCAUAUCCAAGAUCAAAGAGUUUUCAAAAAAAUUGAAAAAUGCCAAACAGUUAUAAUAGCUGUUAGGUAUACUCAAUAAUGGCAAACACUUCUUCAAAAACCUUUCUAAAAAAGAAAACAAUCUUUUGCGUAAAUUACGUAAAGAUAAUGAUUUUGUCUGGACACUAGUCGAUUCUAACAUAAUUAGACAAAUUAAGUUAGAAUUACAGUAUAUUCCUAAAGUCUAUUUGCCCAAACAUGGAGAUCUACUCAUACUAGAGACAGAUGCCAGUGAUAAACAUUAAGGAUAUGUCUUAAAUGCAAAAAAUCUUCAUCAAAAAGAUGAAUUGAUUUGUGGCUACAAUUCUGAUAAAUUCAAAUCGAAUAAAAUAUAUUAUAUUAUCUUUGAAAAAGAAUUAUUAGCCAUAAAAAAUAGUGUACUAUGUUUUCACAUCUAUUUAGCUUUUGAGAUCUUUGUUAUUAGAAUAGAUAACCUAGCAGUAAAAAAACUUCCUCUCUAAUAAAAAGCUUUCUGAUAACCCAAGACAAAUUUGGUGGUAUAAUUUUCUUUGCUCUUAUCAUUUUCAAGUAGAAUUUAUCAACGGAGAUAAAAACUUCCUUGCAAACUAUCUGAGUUGACCUUAUAGAUUGAGGAAACUAGCCUUUCUAGGACAUAAGAGAAUGGAGAACAAUCAAGAAGAAAAUAGGUAAAAAAUCUUUUUCAUCUUCUUCUUCUUACCCUCUCUUCUCCACAAACUCCUGUUUUCUUUACAAAUCCUAAAUAAGGAUUUAGUUUCUACAAUAAUCCUAACCAAGGAUUAUAUCUUUACCAACCACCACCAUAUAGCCCUCAUUUAAUGGGAAUUUAACCAAGAUUCUCUCAGUUUGCUUAGGACCUAAACGAAUGGACUCCUAUGAGUUAUUCACAAAUAGUUUCUUCAGAAAAAAAAUUGCUUGAACAAAUAAAACUCUAAUACCAUUUACAAGGGAGGUGCGAAAAGGAUCUAUGUAUAAAGAUUUACAAAGCUAAUUUACAAAUGAAAGAUGGAGGAUAGUAAGAGAGAAAGGUAAGAAAAUAAAAAAAGUAAAGGAAAAUGUUCUCCAAAAAAGUGCCUCUCCGAACUUAGAUACAAUGAGGCUUUAAAUAGAAAAAUUUUAACCUAUAAAUUGUAAUUCUGUACANNNNNNNNNNNNNNNNNNNNNNNNNNNNNNNNNNNNNNNNNNNNNNNNNNNNNNNNNNNNNNNNNNNNNNNNNNNNNNNNNNNNNNNNNNNNNNNNNNNNNNNNNNNNNNNNNNNNNNNNNNNNNNNNNNNNNNNNNNNNNNNNNNNNNNNNNNNNNNNNNNNNNNNNNNNNNNNNNNNNNNNNNNNNNNNNNNNNNNNNNNNNNNNNNNNNNNNNNNNNNNNNNNNNNNNNNNNNNNNNNNNNNNNNNNNNNNNNNNNNNNNNNNNNNNNNNNNNNNNNNNNNNNNNNNNNNNNNNNNNNNNNNNNNNNNNNNNNNNNNNNNNNNNNNNNNNNNNNNNNNNNNNNNNNNNNNNNNNNNNNNNNNNNNNNNNNNNNNNNNNNNNNNNNNNNNNNNNNNNNNNNNNNNNNNNNNNNNNNNNNNNNNNNNNNNNNNNNNNNNNNNNNNNNNNNNNNNNNNNNNNNNNNNNNNNNNNNNNNNNNNNNNNNNNNNNNNNNNNNNNNNNNNNNNNNNNNNNNNNNNNNNNNNNNNNNNNNNNNNNNNNNNNNNNNNNNNNNNNNNNNNNNNNNNNNNNNNNNNNNNNNNNNNNNNNNNNNNNNNNNNNNNNNNNNNNNNNNNNNNNNNNNNNNNNNNNNNNNNNNNNNNNNNNNNNNNNNNNNNNNNNNNNNNNNNNNNNNNNNNNNNNNNNNNNNNNNNNNNNNNNNNNNNNNNNNNNNNNNNNNNNNNNNNNNNNNNNNNNNNNNNNNNNNNNNNNNNNNNNNNNNNNNNNNNNNNNNNNNNNNNNNNNNNNNNNNNNNNNNNNNNNNNNNNNNNNNNNNNNNNNNNNNNNNNNNNNNNNNNNNNNNNNNNNNNNNNNNNNNNNNNNNNNNNNNNNNNNNNNNNNNNNNNNNNNNNNNNNNNNNNNNNNNNNNNNNNNNNNNNNNNNNNNNNNNNNNNNNNNNNNNNNNNNNNNNNNNNNNNNNNNNNNNNNNNNNNNNNNNNNNNNNNNNNNNNNNNNNNNNUUGAUAAAAAAACAUCACGAGCUUUAUAAAAACAUGAAAGUUAAUGACGUAUUUAAGUGAAACGUCAUUAAAAAAAUUACCACUGAUUUUUUAUUUUCUUGUAGUGACUUCACUUGAAUAAUUUUAUCUAAAUCUUUUACAUAGACAAUAAUGUAAUAUUAAUAGAAGCCGCAUAUAUAUAAUCGUUCAAAAAGCUGAAUUUGAAUUUUCUUAGCUCAAAAUCCAAAACAUUUGUCCUCGAAGGCACAACUGAAUUACAAACAUUUUGUGUUUGAAAAACCAGCCUCGGAGCUUCACUGCUGAAGAGCCAAAGCUGUUCUUUACCUUUCAGUUUCUGCUUGUGUUUGAGCUGAGAAUGCAAAGGAAGAAGAACUGAAGAAUGACAAUGGAGGCACCUCAUGGGAACAUUAUAUUUUGUUAAAAAAUUUCUCGUGGCCUAAACAGAAUGAAAAGAAACACUUGCUGGGUUUAGGUCAGCUUAUACAUAACUUGGAUUCAAUAUCUCAAAGUUCAAAAUCUUGCCCCAAUUCAAAGGCAUAUGCCCAACUUUUUGCACAUAAAGUAUUGAUGUUUUGUUUUUUUAAAGAUGUCAAUUUUAUCCAAAUCUAAUUAGAAAUUUGAUUUUUUUACUUGAAUGAGAAUGAAUAUGGAUAUUAAAUUUUGAGAUGAGGAUGAGAUAGAUAUGAUUUUAAAUUUUUAUUGGAUACAAAAAUAGAGACGAAUAAUAUAGCAUUUGUUCUGUACCUAUUCUCAUACUUUAUAUAUAUAUAUAUAUAUAUUUAGUAAAUAAGUUUUUGUUAAUAAUAUAAAUUUAUUUUAAAUUCAUUAAAAUUAAUAUAUUUCUAUUUAAAAAUAUAUUAUUAUAUAUUUAUAAAAAAUUAUGUGCUCAAAAUACAAAAUAAAAAAAAAAACUAAAAAAUUGCCCCAUUCAGGCUCAUCAAGCAAUGGCCAACUUUUUGCGCUAAAAUGUUUCUUUUUUUUUUUUUUUUGGAGAGGUCAAUUUUAUACAAAUUCGAUAGAAGAUUUGAUUUUUUACUCGAAUGAAGAUAAAAAUAGGUAAUAAAUUUUGGAAUGAUAAUAUAAGUAUAGUUUUGAUCUUUUAUUGGAUAUAAAAAUGAAAAAGAAUAAUAUAAUAUCUAUCAUGUAUCCAUAUCCAUAUUAUAUAUAUUUUUAUAUAUGUGUAUUUAGUAAAUAGAUUUAAUAAUAUAAAAUUUAUUUUAGAUUACAGGUGGGUUUUGAGGAUGAGAAAAACCUAUUUCAUGUCGACCGAGAUUGGAUGGUGGCUUAGGAGGGUUAAAAAAUCAAUGAAUUAAAUCAAAUAAACAAUGAAAGUUAUUCAAAUAAUUGGGUAGAAAAGAAUAUAUAAUGUUCAAUAAAAAAAACAAUGAUUACAUUGAUUGGAACAAUCAUUAGCAAAAUGUUAGAUAAGGUUUUGGACGUCAAGCUGUUAUCUUGAUUUGUCAGUCGUGAGCAUGGAAUGGAAUUAAUACAGCCAGCGAGUUGAAAGCAGAAGAAUAACUGGAAAAGUAGGUGACAAUUAAACACAAAUAAUUUAUCUGAAAGUUGUGGAUAACAUAUUGAUUAGUGAGAGCUGUUUGAUUAUUAAUGGAAGGGUCAGUUGUCUUGAAGUUUUGCUUCAGUUUAGGCUGGCACAGGUAGAUGAAAAUUGUAAUGAACCAUAUUCAAUGGAAAAGCAAUUUUUCUAAUCAGUAAGAUCCAUUCAAAUAAUAAAUGAAAUUUAUUCUAGUGAAAUUAAAAAUAAUAGUGAUCAUAAAAUUAGUUAUUAUAGUAGUUAGAAUGAAUAUUAAUAAAAUUAAAAUUAAUGAUGAAAAUAUGUUUUUAUUAUAAAUAUAAUGUUGACGAUGAAAUUAAAUAUGAUAAUCGAUUGUCAGAUUAAAGAUAAUCAAUUAUAAUAUUUAAAAACUAGGCAGUUAAAUGCCCAACAAAAAAUAAUAGAUUGUUAUAAUUGAAAAAUAUCUUUUGUUUUAAUUUUACACUAAAGACAGUCAAAUAUCUUAGAUAAAAAAAUUAAAAUUAAGGUUAAGAAAUAAGAAAGUGGCUGAAAAUGGAAGAUUGGAGGUGGGAUUUUUGGCCUUUUCCAAAUUCGGAUCAAAGUAAAUGGGUCUUGAAAUCAUAUUUCACCUGGUGAACCUAGCUGUAAAGGGUGAGGUUUAAAGUUCUAGCAACUGUCAGUAAAGAAUGUUGGCACUGACAAGCUGAGAGAGUCUAAACAAUAAGAGACUCUCCCACUAUUCUCAAUCAAAAAAAGGCAAAGGUUGGAACUUAGAAGGGAAUUUGGGUUGAAAUUAGAAAUGGGAUUUCAAGAAAAAAUUGCCUUUCACAGUAUGGAAUUGCUUGAUCUUCACUCAAAUGUUUCAUCCAAAUCCUAAAAAUCGGUCAUCAACCUCUCACUCAAGCUCACUUUCCAGUCCAGACUAGGAAAAAUAGUUGUCACUCUGAGUUCGAAACUCAAUUGCUUCAUGUAAUUACCCGAUGACAUCCAGUAAUUUAAGAAUUCAAAUACUAAUAUUUAUAAUCUCUAUUCUUAUUCCUAAACUAUGACUUUUUUUGUAAAAAAAAAAAAAUGAUGACUCUUUUUAACUUCUAAUUUUUUUCAUAUAGGUUGCAGCCCCUUUUGUUGGCUUGUUUACUUUUCUUUGAUUCCUCCAAUCAAUAGGCCAACUCUGCAGUUUCAUGGCCAUUGGAGCAAACAUGUUCUUUACGGCAAAAGCUUUUGUUGAUUUCACAUUGCAAAGAAUGGGUGUGGAUUCAAUUUCUCCUUACCUAUACCUAAAGGAUUACACGUUUUAAUGACGUACAAAAGGAGUUCACAGUUUGCACAACAUUAAGAUUACUCCAAUAUGUCUAAAUUACCAAAAAGAUGUUUUUUUUUUUACAAAAUAUGAUAAAAUUGCAUACAUUUUCAAAUUACAUUAAUUUUAGAUUAAAUCGAAUUAUCGUUUUUGAAAUGAUUGAAUAAAUCAAUUGAAUUAAACUUAAAUAUUUCUUCCUUGUAUUGACAGCUUGAAAACUAAGAUAAAACAAAAAUACAAAACCAGCUCGGUUCACACUGUCAAGUGUUGAUUAAUCACCUUUGCGCCGCAAAAUCACAACCUUAAUUAAGGAUUAAUUAACCAAUAAUAUGUCAUUAACACAGCAAUCUCGGCACGUGCUAAUGUAUCGUCAUGUGAAUGGCUUUAUUACAAGCUAAAGCAACCGCCGACCAUUGGAGGACAGAGCUGUCAAACAAGGCAAUGACAUCUUACCACGUGGCACAUUCUUGCUGUAUGAACUCAAAAACCAAGUCUAACAAAGUAAGAAAGAGAUUUUUGUCUGUAAGAAUCUUCCUAAGUUGUUGCAUAUGCUUUGGAUUAAGUCACCAAAAUCAAAGGUACCCCCAAAGUUUAUAUAUAAUAUACGUUAUCUUAUAUGCCAUGGCAUCAAUAUUAAACCCAACAAAUUUUUUUUUUUUGUUUUUCUUGUUUCUUGUGUUCCUCUAAUGAGGUGGAUUAGAGGACCUGCCAUAGGCCGUGGCGCCACAGCUACCGUAUCGCUCGCCACCGCAAACCCUUCUGGUGAGCUUUUGGCCGUUAAGUCCACUGAGUUAUGUCACUCAAUGUUCUUACAAAGAGAGCAUUAUUUCUUGUCCAAAUUAAGUUGUCCUCGUAUUGCUAAAUACAUAGGCUAUAAUGUUACAAAUGGAACAAAUAACAAGCCUAUGUACAAUCUUUGCAUGGAGUAUGUCCCCGGUGGCACGCUUUUCGAGGAAAUUCAAAGGGUAGGAGGGAGAUUGGAUGAAGAGAAAGUUAGAUUGUGCAGUCAGCAGAUUUUACAAGGUUUGAAUUAUCUUCAUGAUAAUGGGGUGGUACAUUGUGACAUCAAGAGCCAAAAUAUUUUGAUAGGUAAAGAAAGGUGCAAAGAUUGGUGAUCUUGGUUGUGCUAAAUUGAUGGGAAAAGUUGGUUCUAAUGGAGGUUUUGACACGUCAGCAUUUUCCGGUACACCGUCUUUCAUGGCACGUGAGGAUCAGGGUUUUGAAGCUGAUAUAUGGGCUCUUGGAUGCACAAUUAUAGAGAUAAGCACUGGGAAUUCCCCAUGGCCAGAGCUGAAUGAUCUGGUUUCAGCUCUUUAUAAGAUUGGAUUUUCGGGUGAAAUACCUGAGAUUCCAAAGUGGUUAUCUGAGAAAGCCAAGGAUUUUCUGAGAAAGUGUUUGAAAAGGGAUUCAAAAGACAGAUGGACAGCUAAAGAAUUGCUUCAACAUCCAUUUCUAGAAGAACUGGAUACACUUUUAAAGGAAGUAAAGGAAUCUACCAUCAAUUCUCCAAGUUCUGUGCUAGAUCAUGGUUUCUGAGAUUCACUGGAUGUGGUGGAAAGUCCUGAGAACUCGAUUGCUCAAGAGAUUUCCUUGAAGUCUCCGACUGACACCAUCAAGAAAUUGCUUCAAGGCACUCUGUCACCGUCUUCCAAUGCUUCUUGUUGGACGUGGAGUGAAGAUUGGAUAACAGUUAGAAGCAGUGGCAAUGACAUGGUAGAAGAUGAUUUUGCAUUUGCAACUCCAUCAUUCCUGGAUCCUUUGAAGAAGAACUUGAAAUUGAAAGCUCAAUCUUAGGUGGGGAUUUUUUGUUAGAAAAUUCUAUAGAAAAUAUUAUUGAUUUUAGCAGUAUUUUGGCAUUUGAUAGUGUAACAGAUGAUUUUUUGUAUCAGACAAAUCUCAAUUUUGAGACAGUAUUCAAUGAAAUUUCUGUUCUAUUCCAAUCCAUCUUCCAUAUUUGAUUUCUCCAAAAUUCCUUCGCAGGCAGACAUGACCGGCCGGGAUCAACUUGGCUGAUGAUAAUGAAGGAUUGGUGCUUGAGAGAGACUGGAAGAGGGGUUGACUCCAUUUUUCAAUCUAUCAGGCAAUGACUUUUAACAAAGUCAAGUCUUCUCUGAUGUGCAACAAGUUGGAGAAAACCAACAUGUUUCAGUUUGCCAACUUUGUUUGAGUCAACUGAUGAGAAAUGAAGACUCAGCAGCAUUAGCGUUUUACAAUGUCAUCAUUUCUAUCAUUGGUAGGCGAAUACUUGUUUAAGACCAAGUAUUAGCCUUUCACAUUCAGAAAAGAAAAAUUUUGUUAGAUAAUUAUAUGAGCAAUGAAACUAUGAAAAAGUUUGGCAAUUGUCAAACGGGGUUGGUUGAGUUGGUAAAGUUGGAAUAUUUUGUUUAUAGAGCCUAGAUUCAAAUCCCGUUGCCAGUAAUUUUUCUUUAUGGAAAAUCUGUAAAUCUAAUUCAAGUUCUCUCUGCGGUUUAUCCUGACCUUGAAAUGGGAAGCCUCCUCUUACCUUGAACUUUUAUGUCCAUAAAAAAGCCUGGUAAUUUAUAAUCGAGGCUAUGAAAAUUGAAGAUUCUCAUCUUUUGAAAACCAUCAACUGCAGGUUAAUCAUUCUUCCAGUACUAUUCAUGAAUUGAUUAAUUGUAUAUAUCCAAUAGUAGCCUUCUGGUUUGGGUCCAGUUCGUGCCAUUUUUCCAGUUUCAGGUUAAAAUUCAUUCAAAUUCUGAGAAAGGUCUGGUCUGGUUUAUUCUCUCAUGAAUCAAAGAAAAAAAAAAAUUUUUUUGAUUCAAGAAAUGUUUGGUUGGCAAAAGUUAGCAGGAUAAUUCGACAACAGAAAAACUGUGUAUAGCCAUUUAAUUUGAGCAAUUAGAUGAUGUUAAGGCAGUGAAGGACAGAUAUUGAAAACUUAAGCCAACGCCAUGUAUCAAAUUGCAGAUUUGCAGAAGUUCAUUCUUCUCAUUUUUUAUCUUAUUACAACAUAUGACCCUGUCUGAGGUAUGUUUAUGAUUCUGUUUACUUCUAAGUUCUAACAUCAAUUUUUCAUCUUGAAGCUGUUGCCCUCUUUGGAUGUUCUUUCAGAUCAUGAUGCUUUACAUCAGGCUUUAAUUUCAUUUCUUCAGCUGCCUCCAAUCUCUUUGUUUUUGGAAGCUCUUUGAUAUAGUAGUGUAAUCUAUACGUAACCAGUGCAAGGAAUAGAGCAAACCCUGAAAUAUAAUCCUUUAAUAUGAAUGUUAGAAGACUUCUUUUAAAAGGUAAUUGGAACUAUUUCAAAACAUACACCAUUGAGCUGAUAAUUUGAUAUUAGAUCUGAUAAUUUUUGUAUUCAUAUUGUGUUUUAUAUAAAAAUUACGUGUAAUAAUUCGUAUUAACGUAAAAUAUAAAAUACAUUUUUGGUUUCUGUUAAACUAAUCCAGGAUUUUAGUCCUAAUUGAAAUUUAAUCCCGAUUGCUAGCUAACAUUUUAAAUUUGUGUUAGAUAGUGUAAUUUUAAAUCAGAUUUUGUGUUUGACACAAUAUGAAUUGUAAUACAAUAAUUUUUAUAUUUUAUACAUAUUUAACAUGAAAUAAAUAGACACAGAAAUAGGAAUUGCUAGUAUAUAUAGUUAAACCUUAAAACUCAUACACCUUAGGAACUUCAAAUGAAGUUAAUGAUGGUAAGUUACCCAUUAGAGAUGCUUCCAAAAUUUGAUUUGCCAUUAGAACCUCAUCGGUUGGAUUGAGAACACCACCUUCCAAUGAACGUUUCUGGAUCUCAAUAAUAUUGUAUGAGAUAGAGAUAAAAACAACAAACAAAGUUCCUGCAACAGUCUUUGCAAUCACAGGGCCUCUCCCUUCCUUCAUCUUGUCCAAUACCUUGGUCACCAGGUUUCUUAGAGGAGACCUGAACAGAAGCACCAGAACAAGAGCCAUUUCAGCAGAAACAGAGCAAUCAAGAGAUGAAUCAUCUCAAUCAAGUAUUCAAAAAACUACUGCAAUGGUUUCUGAGAAAAUUAUAAUACAAUUUAUGGGGUUAAAAUGGAGUCAAAACCCAAGUCUACAAUAGAAAAUGUUAACAACAUGUUUAAAAUUUUGGUAUCUGCUUCAAAACUUCAGUUUUGGUUCAAUUAAGGAAUUACACUUUACAUUUCUAUCGGAAGAAUAGAAUAUAUCUUCACUAACAGGAAUGGACACAACAUGUAUUAACAAGGAGAAACAGAAUAACUUGCAGGCUCAGUUUUGAAGCAGCAAAAGUGCUUUCUCUAUUUUUUUAUUUUCCUACAUUCCCAUGUCAAAAUAUAGUGAAUUUAAGUAAACGAUUUAUCAGGUUGAUGAAUAGCAAAUGAGUUCGUUGUGAGAUAACUUGGGCUAAAACUGGGCUUGGGCAUCAUAAUCCAUCUCUCCUUAUCUUUUCCUUGUCUUAAGUUCGAAAAUAGACAUAGUAAUUUAAAACACAAUAUAAUCAUAUAAUAUGAAAAUAACACCAAAAAAAAAAAACACUAAAAUAACAUGACCUAAAAUUUUAAUAAAAUUCAUAUAUAAGUUUAACAAAAACUAAAAAAUAUAUUUUAUGUUUUUUUAUAUUAAUAUUACUUAUGAUACAUAAUUUUAUAUAAAAUAUUACCUUUUUUUAUGCUGAUAUUACUUAUGAUACAUAAUUUUUAUAUAACACAUAAUAAGAAUAUAUAAAUUAUAUGUAUUUUACAUAAAAAUGUGAAUUAUUAUCAUGUUUACUCAAAAGAAAACCUAGGAAUUAGGAAAUCCAUAAAGCUAAUUGGUUUGAAAAUGUUUAAACUCCAUUUUGGGCUGAAGCAUAAGUUCUUUACAAAAAAGAGAAAGUAUUAGAAGCCUCAUGAAUGAUCUAUUUGGGGUGAAACUUAACCAACUAUGGUUACAUUUGGGCAUGGCCCAUAUCUCCCCAAUCCUUUCCCUUCUAGAUAGGAACAGUUGGGCUGGUAACAAAUCCACAAAGCUCAUUAGUCCAAACAAUCCAGAAAUGGUGGUAAAGAGAGGCAGACAAUGGUUACUUGAGGUCAAUGGAACAAUAAAUAUUGAACUAGAUAGGUUAUUUUGUGAUUUUUUUUCUUUGUUUUUAUUUAUUAUCUUAAGGAAAUUAAUAAAUCAUGAGAAUUUCAGAUCAAAUCGGAUAAUACUGUUGUUAAUAUCAUUACAUGAAAUGAACUGGUUGACCAGAGAUUCAUGUCAUCCAAUUUCUAACAAUACAAAAUCCAUCGAAGAUAAAAUUGAUUCAAAUAAGAAUCAAAAGAGUUUGCUUGCAAACUCUUCUUCAUCCUCUUCUUGUGUUGAAGAAUGAGGAUGGGAUGCAUCAUCUGCAAGGUCUCUGAGCUCUGACAAACUUCUUCCAAGCUGAAGAGCUGCUUUCACUUCAAACAAUUCUCCAUUUUCCCUGUCAUCAGCUUCUCCUUCCUCCAAGGUUAAUUCUAUUAGUCUCCCCCUUAAGCCUGAAGAAUCCAGCAGAGCUCCUAUACAUUUCAAACCCCGUACCAAUCUGCCCACCAUGCUCAAAACUUUUAACAACAAUUGCCAUAGUUCCAAAAACCACACUAAAAAUCACAGCAAAUAAGCCACAGAAAGAUGAUCCCAUCAAGGCAGAACAAACUGCAGCCAUGCCGGUGAACAAGGGGCCACAAAUAGCGAGAAUUUUAUUGAUUUUCAACACUACUUUGCUUAGUCUGAUAUAUUUUUUAGUGUCUUUUCUCUUCAAAACCAUAACAAUUUCUUUCAUUUCUUCUUUAAGAUUUUCAUCCCACCCAUUUGUUUGUAGUUUCGAAUGUGAUGCAUAUCACGUUAGAUAAAAAAAAUUUAAUUAUUGAAGAAUAAAAUUAAUUUUUAUAUUAAUUUUAUUUAUAUUUUAAAUAAUUAUGUUUGAAUAAAAAUAAUUAUCAUAUGAUAAAUUAUCAUAAUUAUUUAAAUAUAAAUAAAAUAUUAUUCAUAUAAGUUUUAAUUAUACAGAAGCUCAUAAUUAUAUGAAUAAAAAUUUAUAUUUAUUUAUUCAUUAUAAAUAAAUAUUUCAAUAUAAUUAUUUUUACUACUUCUAAUUAUAGUAUUUGAGGCUUUAAAGUUUUAUUGUAUCUUAAAAAUACAAUUACCUUUAAAAAAAUAUUUUACUCGUUUCAAAGCUAAAAUUUUUUUAUAUUAUUUCUUUUCUCUUAUUUAUUUUUUAUAACACUUUCCUGUUGAGCUUUUCGUGUUGAGUCUUGGCUUCUGGCCACCACAUAGCUGGUUUUACCAGUGAAGGAAACUUACCAAGCAUGGUUCCAAACAAGGGAAGUGGAUAAGCUUCGUCUAAUGCCAAGACUUUCUCCAUUGCGUCUUUCACAUCAUCUGAAUCUGGGUUUCCAAGAGCAAUGAUUGUAUUUAUCUCCUCAUGAAGCUGCUUAAACAAUCUUGAAGCAUUUCUUUGUUCUUCAGCCAACUGACACGGCUGUAUCUUAUUCAUAACCAGCAAAACCCCGGUUGAUGCAAUGUAAAGCAAACUGGAAGAUAGUUUCAGAACCAAAAAUGAUGCUCCACCUCCAACGACAGCUGCAAUUCCAGCCAUUGUCGCCACUGUGACUGUCAUUUCAUUGACAGAAUUCAACAGAAGCCAGUUCCAGUUAUCACGCUGUGCUCCAAUAGUCCAAUGUUCUUGCGCAUUUCAACUAUUUCUGCUACAAUAUCCAUAAUAGCAUACAUCUCUUGCAACACCAUUGAAUUAGAGAUUUCUGCCUUGUUUACGCUGUUAUUUCCAAGUUCAGGCUUAAUUUCUAUCAGGGGAUUGGUUGUUUUCAAGGUUUUCAACCCUUUUCUUCUGUUAAACUCAUCAUUCAGGAAUUUGGAAACUGAAAUAUUUGGGUUAUAAAGAUUGGCUUUGGUUUUUCCAAAGGAACUUGAGGAAGAACUACAAGAGAAAAUUGGUGAAAAAGCUUGAAGAAUAGCCAUGAUCACUUUGCUUGGGAUUCAAAGGCUUUUUGCAGUAAUACGAGUGAGAAUCUGAUGUAUUUAUGCCAGAAUAAUUGGAGGAUUUUCUACAGAACUUGUCCAUGGUUUCAUUUUCAACGUAAUUGAAUUUGACUUUCCUUUACGGUUAUGGAAGUGUAGAGCGGGUUAAAGACUUCACUUGAUUGGUUCACUUGACAUUAUUUGCUUCUUGAUGGGUAUUUUCACUUGACAUUUUACUUUUACAUUUUCAUUGCUAAAGAAAGGUGUGAAUCAAUGCGAUCCCAAUACUUUAACAUUAUAAAAAGUACAGAGGAAGUAGGAACUUGAAGAGAUCAUCACGUUAAGAAUUAAGUAUUAGAAUAAUCAAUCCCAAGUUUAAGUUUAUUUAUACAGAUAUCCUCAGAAAAUUAAAUUUAAUUGUAAAAAUUUCACCGUCUACGACCAUUUUUUAUUCGAAGAGUUAUUGGAAAGAGUUAAAAAUAUUAGAUUUAUGGUGUUUAAUUUUUUGUUCUAUCCAGACUGUUACUUUCUUUAUUUUUUUUAAUUGAUAAUUCAUAUAUUUAUUUCAUAUAAAAUUUAAUAAUUUAAUAAUUUAUAUUAUAUUUUAUAUAAAAAAUUACAUAUUAUAAUUUAGGAUAAUAAAAAAAUACGAAAUAUAUUUUUUUGAUUUUAUUAAAUUUAUUUAUAAUUUUUAUUAAAAUUUUAAAUCAUAUCAUUUUUAUAUAUUUUUUUUAUUAUUUUUAUAUCAUAUUAUUAUAUCAUGAUUUAAAUUAUUGACGAAAACAAUAAAGUUUGAUUUAUGACAUCCACGGGUAAAUCUUGAUUUCUUUUUCCAUAGAGCAAGCAAAUUUCCCGUUCUUUUUCAAUUUUCGGAUGGUCACGAAACAAAACAGGUAAAUGUGAACCCCAAUUCCUAACCUUUUUCACCCUUUGAAGCCCAGAGUUCUACGCUUCAAGGAGACCAGAAUUACUCAGUUUAAGACUGAAAGGAGGAAAGUCGACGCGCAUUCACUACAUAACGACGAUGAAAUAUGACCAACCAUACCAAUAAUAUUCUUCAGUCUUCAUUCCUCGAGCAACAUGUGUUGUCUUUGUCAGUGCAACAAUCUUUGAAUCUAGGCGAGCAUUAUUCGGUUUAAAUCAAUUAAACCAAUUUAAAAUUGAUAAUCCAAUUAAAUCGUGAUAUUUUUUUAUUGGAUUAUUUGGUUUUUUCAAUUUAAAUGAUUUAAUCGGUUCAUUUUUUAUUUUAAAUUUUAUAAAUCGAAUCAAUAAAAAAAAACUAAUUUUUAUAAUUAAAAUUUAAUAAAAUAUCCAUUUACCUUAAUUCGACUAAAUUAAUUAAAUUGAUUCGAUUUUUAUAUAAAUUAAAUUGAUUAAGUCAGUUAUUCAUUUUUUACAACUAAAUUUUACAAACGAAUGUUUGCUCUCCCCUAAGCCCCGGGUUCUUUCAUUCGAUAUUAUUACAAAUUUAACUCGUUGCUGUCUAUGCCUAGACGGCAGUCACCGCGCCGGCCAGGCGAGGGCGGUGAUGAUUAGAAACGAGUUUUCACUCUCAUGAGUCAAUAUAAAACUUCUACAUAUAUUUUAAUCAACUAAGAAACUUUGAAUUACCCCAAUGGCAUCCAUGCCAUGUGUGAACUGUGAAGCUAGAACUCAGAUCCGAGCAGCAUAAGAAUACGGUACCGAUCAACUGCAUCACAAGGGAACCAGCCUUCUCUUGACAAAUUGUGGGAAAAAAAAAUUGUAAAACAUCAAUACAAAUACUAUUACAAAUAAAGUCUUAACCAGUCAACCUACUUAUGAAUUAUUCUAACUCGAUUAAAAAAAACUCAAAUAACAAAUGAAAUCGAGUUUGAAUAAUUUAAUAUCAAUAUUUAUAAUUUUACCGAAUUAAAUAGAGCAUACUAAAUUGAAUUCAAAUGAUUCAAUUAAAUUAUGAAUCAAAUUCAAGCAUGAAAAAUGAAGCUUGAUCAAAUUCAAGCAGUGUUAUAUAAUCCCCAAAUGAAGAAUUUAGGAGAGAAUAAGCACCCACAACCAGGAAACAGAAUUUUCAUGUUAGAGACUGAAUGAAUCUAAGAAGAAACCAACCUGUCCAUGUCUGAUUUUCACAUUCAAAGUGUCAUAAAAAUGUGUACCCUUUAAACCAGAAUUUAAAGAACUUAGUGUAAAAUAAAAGUAAAAACCGUAUUUGCACAACAGAAACUGGAAAUAUGUAUUUAUUCUUGUUCAACAAUGGCCAGCUGUAAUUUCAGAACUCGUUAAAGGGUGAAUCAACAAAUGAAACCCUACAAAACUUCAGGAACUUAUUCUUGCUCAUUUAAAUAGGAAGUAUAUAUCCAAUGCUAAGCGUACCAGCAAACCAUGAAAAUAUCACAGCAGUUGCUACUAGGCCUUCAUACAUCAAGUAGCAGCCUGCGAGGGUCUUCCACAACAUCUUUGAUUCGAUGCAAGAAGAAGACAGCCUCUCUUCCAUCAAUCAGCCUAUGGUCAUAAGUAAGGGCAAUGUACAUCAUUGGUCUUGGGACUAUGUUACCUCCGACAACCAUUGGUCGGGACACUAUUGAGUGCAUACCCAAGAUAGCCGACUGCCAAAAAAUUGUUUAAUCACGUGAGAUUCUCUUUCUGGUCUCAAACAAAAGCUGAAGAUUAGAAACACAGUAGAGCGAGCGCAAACAUCUCUAUUAAUAUGGAUGUCACAAGUGUAUGGAACCCUCAUACAUAAACAAGCAUGCACAAUUAUUCAGUUUGUGACCACUAACCUGAGGAGGGUUGAUAAUUGGGGUACUCAACAAACUUCCAUAAACACCACCAUUGGAUAUUGUAAACUAGCCUCCAGCCAUUUCAUCAAUUGAUAUGGUCCCAUCAUUUGCCUUCUUUGCGAGGCUGUUGAUUGUCUUCUCUAUCUCAGCAAAAUUCAUCUUAUCAGCAUCUCGAAUAACUGGAACGACAAGCCCCUGACAGGAAAGAUAAAGAAACAAAAAGCUUAACAUAGAAACAUGAAUCACAUUCUUCUUUUUCUUUUUCUUAACUUUCAGUGCCCAUGAAGGGUGAGGUGAUCUAUGCAUAUAUUUAUCAAUAGAGGCCUAUUUGAUUGGUGGGGAAACUUUGAAGAUUAGCAACAAACCAAAAUGAGAAAAGACUUGAUAUAAUCUUCUAGAUACCUCAUUUUCUCAUUUGUCAUGAAAUAAAAUAAAGCAACUUCAGCUCAGCAAAUAAAGAAAACAAGUAAAAAAAAAAAACCCUUCAAAAAAUCUAUAAUGUUUAAUUGUCAAAGGACACAGUUUUGAACCUAUUGAUUACUCAUUUCAACUUUAGAAACUGCUCUAAGUUCAUAGGUAAUUCUUAAAUUCAAUACAUUUUUACAUGAUGUUUAAAUUUCUUUCAAAACAAGCCAAGAAAGAAUGCUGAGAGAAACACUAACAAUCCAAGUGUCAGCAAGCCAUUAAAUGGAUAAAUUGCAAUUUGGCAAAUCAAUCACAAAAAAGAUUACCUUCGGAGUACCAACAGCAAUGCUGAUAUCAAUAUAAUCUCUAUAAAUAAUAUCAUCCCCAUCAAUUGGCAAAUCAAUCACAAAAAAGAUUACCUUCGGAGUACCAACAGCAAUGCUGAUAUCAAUAUAAUCUCUAUAAAUAAUAUCAUCCCCGUCAAUUACAGCAUUUACUAUAGGCUGAUGCUGAAGUGCACUAACAGCAGCCUGAAACAAAUAAAAUAGAAGAAAUGAUAAGGGAAAAAAGAGAAAGCAAAGUUAGUGAAGACAGGCCAUGAGUGCAUAUGUGACCAUUUCAAGAACAAAUUUUGCAUACUUCAACAAAUCCUGACAUAAAUCCCAACUUGACACCAUGUCUCUCAACAAAAGCAUCCUUGAAAUCAGAGCGGAGCUUCAUCAAAUUAGUCCUGCAAUGAGAAGCAAAUCAAAAAGAAAAGGAAACAAAUCAGCAUAGCCUUCAUAAAGUAAAAUGAUCUGGUUAAUUUCACAGAAAACUUGUAUCAGAAAAGGGAAGCAAGUAGUUAGGUACAGUCAAAGAAUCAUCUGAACCUAAAAAAAACCAAAAUAUAAAUGUUUAGAAAGUGAAGUAGCACAGACGGCAGGAUGCCAAACACCUGAUGCAAAGAACUAAAAUAUGAAGAUAACUGAACUCACAUGUCAACUUCAUUGAAUGUUGUCAACAUCGCAAAAGUAUUCUGAGAAUCUUUCAAUCGUGUAGCAACCCGUUUCCUAAGCCUUGUCAUAGGAACCUGUAAUCAUGAAGCCAUACACUCAGGAUAUUUUCUAAGAUGCUAACAUCAUUUUUCACAAUAGGCAUCAGAAAAUUCUAAGCAUACCCUUUGGAUAACAUUUGGAUGCAAACAGCAAAUGAAAAGACUUACUCUUCUUUCCCUUUCCUUGGGUGGUAGUAUAGGUUCAGUAGCAGUUCGUUUUGGAGGUGGUGGAGAAGGAGCUUUAGGCUUCUCCCCAGCAGGACAGACUUCGACUUUAGCUUUUGGCUUAUCCUCCUUUACAGUUUCAGCUGGAGGAGAUGGCUUGGAAGCAGCUUUUUCUGAUUUCUUUUCAGAGGGGGCAGCACGUGCAACACCAUCAGUGGACUUUGAAAUGACAGCAAUCUUGGUACGUGGUUCCACAGUAUCUCCUUCCUUGGCUAUAUACUGGCAAGAAUUAUGACAUUAAUAUUUCAGGAUCCAAUCCACUUCCCUUCCUCCCAGAAAUGAGAAGGGAGGAGUCUAGGAAUGACCAACAAGCUAGAUACAUGCGUGCAUGCAUGUUUGACCCAAAGAUCCAGAUUUAUUGAUAUAUUACCUCUUGUAUCACACCAUCUUGGGGGCUGACAACAUCAAUUGUUACCUGAUGGAAAUAAACACCACAGGUAUGAAGGGUAUAAUAUCUUCUUGAUAGAGGAAAAGGAGAAGAAUGGUACCUUAUCUGUUUCUAUCUGAGCGAUUGGUUCGUCAGCUGCUACUCUAUCACCGGGUUCUGCUCUCAAAUUUCAGAUACAUACACAAUCAAACACUUACAACCCUGAAAACGAAUAUUUCUAGUGAAUGAAUGGAAAUUACAAUAGCGGAAAACAUACUUUUCAAGAAUGUUGCCAAAGUGCCAUCAGUAAUUGAUUCUCCCAUAAAAGGGACCACAGCAUCAACCAGAUCCCCUUCAUCACAAGUUAAGUAAAAUAGGAAAGUCAAAAUCUUUAAAUUUAACAUAAUUACAUCAUAAAAGGGAAUUCAUCUUUAUUUUCAAGCAGACCUGUUCCUAAUCAGUAUGUACUUUUUGAAAGUGAAAAAUGCACUAAAAAUGCCAAAAUGGCGGAGGUGCAAGUCUAGUACCACCAAAGUUUACACCAAAUCAUUAUACAACUAAAUUGCAGCCAAAGUUUUGAAACUAUUGCAUUCACACUUUUCCAGAGAAAGAUUUUAAAAGAAAUUUUGAACUAAAACUAUUUUCUUCUUUUGACAUAUUGCCUGACGUAGUACCUCUUGGGCGGCCCAACUGCUAACUGAAAAUUGGGUUUGACAAUUGUUAGAUGUUAGUGGUCUACCCCAGAUAAGUGGUGAUUCAAAUGAACAAUUAUAAUGCACAGGAUCUAAAUUCUAGCAAAAACCAAAAACACACAUCCCUAUGUUAAUACCAUUCAAAAAAGACCAAAAAGAGAAAAAAUGCUAAUAAACCUUAGGCCAAAUAAAUAUCAUUAAGGAAAUUAUUCAAUAACAUACCAUCUCCAGAAGAGAAAGCCCUGCACGACUUUUGCAUGAUAGCCUCUGACUGAAUGCUAGAAAUGACAUCCUGCCCACAAGCAAAGCUUUCAGGGGAAAGAAGUAAAGAAGUGCUAAGGAGCAGCAAACUGAUUUAAAGAAUUAUAUAUAUAUAUAUAUAUAUCAUGGAAAGAGAAUUUCCUUUACUAGUUACCCUAAGUAAUCUAGUUCCUGAUAAACAAAUAAGAGAUGGACUAUGCAUUGAAAUGGGCCUGCUAUUAAAGUUAGAUAUACAAUUGUCAGAAUAAUCCAGUAGUCAACUCAUACCCUGUGACAGUUUAAUUCCUAACAGUGAUGUGCAUUACAAAGCUCAGAACCAACUAACCUUGUCUCUGUUAAACCAGCUGAACAGCCUAUAAUAAUAAUUUAAUAUUUCAUUAAUAAUAAAGAAAAUCAACAAAAUUAUGCCAACGAAAGAAGAAAAACCACCCAAAAGAUAUACCUGGCAGAACAAGAUGAGAGAAGUUUCGGACAUGGGCAAUUCCUCUCGGUUGAAGUAAUAGUAUCUGUUCAAGCACUUGAAAUUUCAAUCUCAUGAGAAUAUUUACCAAUGGAUGACAAAAAUUCAAACUCAAAAUGAUUAAAAUGAAAAAAAAGUAACAUUAUUUCUAAAUUAACUAAAGAUUAAAAUUUCAAAUUUUAUGGACAAUAAAACGUGCGAUUUUUUACUUUAAAUCAAAGGACUAAGUUUGAAUUAUUUUUGAAAAAAAAAAAAAGAGAAUAUUUUACCAUAUGAUCUUGCGCUUCUUUUACUUUAUAUCAACAUUUUAAUAUUGCAAGGCCUAAAUAAAUCAACCAUCUUCGACAUCAGUUAUAGAUUUAAUAGCAUCAAGAUCAAUUGAAAUUCAAAGAAACUGAACUAAGUUCAUGAUUACCAAAUCUAAUUCAUUUUCAACUGAAUUAUUUACCUCUUUUCCAGCAUUACAAGAAACUCUAGAUACUGAAACACCCGAUCGAAUCGCCAGCAAUGACUUCCCUAAUAUCUGAAAAAUCACAAAAAAAAUGAAAAAACAUAACAAAAUCCUAUGCUUUAGCUAAAUAAAUUACAAUUUAAACAAUAAAAAGUUCUAACCAAAGAUGAUGAGCCUCCGCUCGCGACUUUUCUCCUUAAAGCGCCCAACAUCACCGAUAUUCAAUCCCUACUCUUUUUUCAAAAUCAGAAGCAAAAAAUAAAAAACCAAUAAUUUUAAACGCAAAAAAUCAAAUAAAAAUCAAUAAAUUAUAACGUAACUUACCAGAUUUCAGUGUAUAAGCAGUAUAUGAAUGAGACGUGAAGCAAAGUAAUAUCGAAGAGAGAGCAGUUUGACUUGAUUGCUGCAGACAAAAUUGAGAGUCGUCGAAUAGAGUAUAAUUUAAAAAAGACGGUUUUUAAGAGAGAUUUGGCUUUUCUUUCUUUUGUUUGGUUUGAGAGAAAAUGAGAGAGAGAAACCGCGAAGAUGCCGGUUUUGCGGGUCUGUUGUAUCCGCAAUGGCAAGCUGAUUUGAGCUCUCUUACCUGGCGUCGUUUUAUUGAUAGAUACAAGUGAGGAUUCUUUUCUUCCUUUUAACCGGGAAAGGAAGGAAAAGUCGUUACGGCGCCGUUUCGAAAAUGACACUUUCAGCUUUGUUUGGGUUCGAAAAUCUAGAUUUUGGCUUCGUUUGGGCUCAAAAAUCUAAUGUUUAGGCUUCGUUUGGCUUUUAUUUGGAUUUGGAAAUUUAAAACUUUUAAGACCGGCAUCUCAUAAUUUAUUAUGAAAAACUUUUAUUUCUUCCAUCUUAAUUUCUAUGUUCAUAUUUAUUUAUAUCUUAAAAUUAUAUAUAUUUUUAUAUUUUUAAAACUCUUACAUUUUAUAUUUUGAAAUUAUUAUUUUUAUAUAUUUUUUACAUUUUAACAUUAAAAAUUAUAAAAUUUUAAUUUUAUAAAAAAUUUAAAAUUUAAUAUUAAAUACAUAAAAUCAAAGUUUUUUUUCUUUUUUUUAAACUCCAUGAAAGUUAAUAACACCCAAACAAUUUGAAGUAGAGGGAAUAUAAGUUAAGCUUUUAAUAUAUCUUAAGAAUGGUGAAAAUAUUAAAAAAUUUAUUAUAAAAAUUUCCUUAUUACUAUUAUAUGUAUACAUGGUACUAAUAAAAAGUGAUUUUAUGAGAAAUCAAGGAUUAACAUAGUCUUCGUGUGUUGACUUGAUAAUUAAUAUGUUAAUUAAUUUGCCAAAGAAAAAUAUUAUUUCAAUAGUACUAAAAUUGCUUUUAAAUUGAAGGUUUUGAGUUUGAACUUUAGUGUAAUUAAAAAAAAAAAAGAAAAAUGUUCUUUUGUUUUCAUUAAUUGUUGGAUUAAAUUCUCUCAACUGGUAAUUAAGGUUAAAGACACAAGAUUUGUAUUUAUCAUGAAAGUGAACCUUGGGGUAUCUUCAAUUUUAGUGAUAGAAAUGCAAAAUAAGUUUUUUUUAACUUUAUUAAAAAUCUAAGAGUAGGAUUCAAAGCUUCACUUAGUUCAUGUAGUCACUUGUAAUAGGUAGCAUCUAGUAAAUUUAGGUUUGGAAUCUCAACCUUUGCACUUCCUUCCUUUAUCUCCAAGUUACGAUCUCAUAAAAAAAAUUACUAAGAAUGGGUUAAAACUGAAGUUUUAAAUAUAGAGCACAUUACUAGAAAAAUGGGUUUUAUUGGUGAAAAUUUUCAUUGGUAAAAGCCAAAUUUCUGUCAAUGAUAACAUUAUUGACUGAUUUAUAGACAAAAAAAUUCCAUCGGUAUUAACUAAGUUUGUAAUGUUAUUCUGUUCAUAAUAAACAAAUCCAUUAUAGGGCCUGCUAACGUAGGCCAGUUUGUUGGUUGGCUGGCUGGCUUAGGUUUUAUUCUAGCUAUGGCAGUUGGUUUUACUUCCUUGACAACUUUCUUGCUUGGUGGCAUGGUGUUUUAGCUCAGUUAGAAAAAGAAAUUCCCCUACCUGGUGCAUCAAAUGCUUGUGUCAAGCUAAGUUGGAGAGGUAAGACUCUAAAAUCACAAAGGAAAGAAAGAAAGCGAUUACGAUUAAAUACUAUGAGUGUCCUUAAAGUUUGUGCUUUGAUGCUCAAGUCAAAGAUUAGCCAAAGAGGAAAAUAGAAAAGAGAAUAGAGAAGAUAGAAAGACAUGUCAUGUCUAGAUAGUACUUGCAUGACUUUAGUUAUAAUUUGAAAGUAAGGGUUUAGGGCAACUUAGGCUACCAAAGGUUAGUCACAUGGUUAAAGAUGACCUAAAGUAUCAAGUUAACUUAGAUAUUGAUUGUCCACCAAGAGGACGACAAGUCAACAUUGAAGGGAGCUCGUUGGGCAGAUUAGUAAGGUGGUUGAGCUAACGUAGUACUAUAACCUUAAGUCAAUCAAACAUGUAAGGUUAGUUUAAAAGUCUAAAAUAUCCCUGGCUAUCUGUUGGUAGUCUCUAAUGAGAAAAGAUGACCAAAAUAACCUUUGGACCUAAAAAUACCCAUAAUAGUUAGAUUUUUAAUUUAAUUAAUUAGAUUUAAUAUUUGACAGCUUCAAUUAAAAAAAAAUAUAUUAGUUAAUUAAUUGAUUCUAUAUAACUAGGUGAUGGACUGAACAUUUCAUGUGUGUAUAUAUUCAAGUAUUCCAUUAAGAACAAAAAAAUAGAUAUGACUUUUGUUUUCAUUAAGAAUAAGAACACUUCAUUUUGAUAAUUAAAACCAUCAAGAACAAGAAAUUAAGCAUAAGUAAAGAAAAAGUUGGUUAGGUACCAUUUUUAUGGCAUGAAAAUGUGUUUUGAGUCUUUACUAAAACUUGUACUCAAAUUGGGACAUCCUUUUUACUCCAAAAUAACACAAAGAAGGGAAUCCAAAAUGAUAACCUAUUUGGAUGAAGGUAUUUAAGCUUAAAAGCUCUAAAAGUUUCAAUCUUUUUAAUUUAAGGAAUACUAUUCCUUUUCUAUUAUCUCAAGUUUAAUUCACUUUGAUACCCAAAAACUUGCUUUGAUUUGGAAGCCAAAUUACUUUCGAUAUUUUUUAGUUUUGAAAGAGAAUAGGCAACAAUAAUUGGAAACAAGCCUUGAAAUUGUUACACCCAUAAAUCCAUAUAUGUUUAAGACAAGGGAAGGAUAUAGGUUGGAUAUGACUUUAUAAUAAUGAUGCUAUUGAAGUUUAGUUUAUUUCAAUGAUUUCAUUUGACUCUUCACAACACUCUAUAUCCAAAUAGUUCAUGUGUGGCAAAUUUCUAGCCAGCAUAAAAGAGAAGAUAGAUUUCAACCUAUUACAAUUUGACACAUUUAACUCUCUAAGACAUUGAAGGCUUGCAACUUGGAAAGGACCUUAUAACUAAUUUAUACGCUUUAAAUUUAUAACCUUUAUUCUUGAGAGAAAAUAUCUAGCUUAUUUGAAGUAUCCUUUCCCAAUUAAUUAUGUUGCACGCGUUGUUAGGUCUUAACUCAGAAAGUUAUAGUUCAUAUAAAUAUAAAAAAAAUCAUAAUUUCAUUAAAAAUUGAAUAAAUUACAAAGGUUGAAGAAUGUAUAACUUUAAACAUAUGUUUAAUUAGUUUUCAACUGUUAAUUAAUUUUUUCCACAUAGUGCAAUGUCAUUAAAGUUUGCCUAUAUAUAUAUAUAUGUCAUCAAUUUGAAUUAAUAGGAUCAUCACUAGAAUUUCCCAUCCAAAUUAGGUUUCAUUAAACUCAAAUAGUUUGACAUAAUCACAUGAUAACAAAGUAAGGGCUUAAGUGAAAAUUUGAUUAAAUAUAGUUAGAUAGUUUAUUUUAUUGUUAUGCCAUUACUAAACAAAACAAAAAAAAAAAUUUUUGGCUUUCAUUGGAUCUGAUCUUUUCAUCUUUUAAUUAAGCUUUUAACCUCUGAUUUUUCUUAUGCAAGCUUUAAGGUAACCACGAUUUACAUCUUUAUCCUUGGUAACUUUCUCCAAUUGUCUUUCCUGUACAAUGGCUUAAUAAUUCAAUUGUCUCAAUGUUUCUUAAAGUCUGAGAUUCUCUUUUUGUGUCCUUGCUUUUUCUGCCUCAAAUUCCAAUCUUGUGAUUUUGAUUUCCAACAUCAGCGCCUUUGCCCAUAAAUCAACUAGUUGAGCAAACCAUCAUAUGGAGGGUACCAUAUUAUUAACCCAUUUUGCUCUCCAUACUAAGUAUCCUGGAGUGACAUCAUAAGUACAUCUUUUCAGCUGUGAUCAAUAGGUUUAUUUUUAUGCUUUAGUGAUAUUGUGUGGUCUAACCACAUAGUUAGAUUUUCCAUAAUCAAACUCUAACUGGUUUAACCCAUGAGUCAUCUGAACAAACUGUUUAGACUUAUACUAUCUCCUGACCAUAAAAGGGUACAUAACUCAUAACUCCCGAAAUUCAUAAAAGUGGACCCAUGUUUUAUCACUUCAACUAUACAAUGUAGAUGUAUGAAGCAUCCAAAGUGCUCUCCAAAUCAAAUAUUCCAUAUUAAGAUUUUGAAAGAAUGCAACACAUUGCUCUUUAAUGAGGUCUUUCUACGGAUGUCAAUAGGUAAGGUAUAAGGUGGAUAGAGCAUUCCCUAUCCCAUUCCCAAAUUUUUAUAUUAUACCUAUCCCGGUAUCCAUAUCAAGUAGGUAUUUCAAAUCUAUCCUCACCCCUAUCCUCCUAAGUAUUUAAUAAGUAUAGGUAAUCCUUAUAUCCAUAGCUUUUUUUUUUUAAAUAAAAACUAUAAUUUAUUUUUUUAGCUUAUUUUUAUUUUUAUAUUAUAUAUUUAGGUAAUGUUUUCAUAAAUAUAUAUUAAUAUAUAUUUUUCAAUAAAAAUAUAUUAAUUCUAAUUAAUCUAAAAUAAUAAUUUAUAUCAUUUAACAAAAAAUCUAUUUACUAAGUAUAUAUAAAUAUAUAUGUAAAGUACAAAUAUGGGUUAGGUGUUAUAUUACCCAUCCCCAUCCCUAUACCUAAUAAAAAUUUAAAAUCAUAUAUAUCUUUAUCCCUAUACCCACAAUGUAAUACCCUUUUUCAUUUUCAUUUAGGUAAAAAAUUAGAUUCUCCAUUAGAUAUAGGUAUUUUUAGGUCCUUUAGCCAUUUUUUUUUAUAGAACUUUGUGUUAAGGACUAGGAUUUCUUGUAUGGUUUAGAGGAACUUUAUCUUUGCCCUAAAAAUGGCUUUGAAGCAAGAUGUAUAAAAGCUGCACACAUCCCAAAAAAUGCCAUUCUCCUUUUCUUCGACAACAAUUCAAUGAUUUAAUUAUCUUUGGUAAGAUAACCAUUAAGGGAUUGAAAUAUUUAUGCAGGUAUGCUGAAAAAUCUACCAUUUAUACCUUGACAUGCCCUAAUACCCUAAAAAAGAUUAGCAACCAUAAAUUGCCAAGGAAAAUAUUUCAAUAACUUGCUUUUCAUUAUGGUUCUUAAAUUUAAGAUUAUGUAAGAAAGCCUAUGGGAUACCAUCAAUGACUCUUUUCUUCUUAUUGAUCACUUUGACAUCCACACCAGUUAUCUUAUAAAGCUUCUUUUGAUAACUUGAUUUCUUUUAUUCUUUCUAGUAUAUCCUAUACUUGGAAACUUUAUUGAAGCAAAGUGGAAUAUUCUUCAAUAGUUAAUGUCAUAUCUUUUUUGUUGAAAGUUAAACAACGGUAUGAUGAGGCUCCAAAAUCAUAUUAUCACCUUAAUUUACUUUUCAUUUGUCUUUACCAAAAUAAGUAGCACAAUAUUUAUGUACUUCUUAAUAAAAGCAUUUUUUCUUUUUGCCUCCAUUAAUUCCAAAUGUUUUCCAACUUAUUCAAGUCAUUCUAACAUAGGUUUAAAUGGACUAUUACAAGACAUGUCCUUUAAUUAAACAAUCCUCAUCCUUUUGUUGCCCAUUCUCAAAUUGAUCAUUAAUUUCCCAAUAUGUCUUACUAAUAGUAAAUACUGAAAGUGAAUUAUGAGAUUUCACGAUCACAAUAGUAGUUCUCUUGGCUAGACAUUAUCUAAAAUAAAAAUACACCUCAAUGCAACUAUUUUAUAUUUUUGAUGAUGCAUGCAAAAAGAAAAAACACAAAAAUAAAAAAGUUAGUAAAAAUAGAUUUAUAAUGAAUAAAUUUUCAAAAUAGGAAAAGAAAUUGGUUUCAUUAUUUUGAAAACAUUUGCCUUUUUACUUAUCAAAGAAAAUUCCUUUUUUUUUUAAGAAAAUAUAUACAUUUAGGCUUUCAUCAGGUAUUGCAAAAGCCUCGAAAUGGUGGUGUCAUCCUAUUAUAGAUAUCGAGAUGCUAUUAAACUUCUCCUAUUCUACGAUCCAUGUAUUUGUCUAAAAUCAAGUAAAGGGUAAGAACUGUUUUUUCAUGUGUUCUAAUUUGGGUGCAUUCUAUGCAGAAGGUUCUGCAUGGCUCUACCUACAUGGUAGUUCUUUAUGAUUUUCUAUAUGCUUGACUAGGAUUUCUACGUAUCUAAAGAUUCUCAAAUUGCUCUUCACUAUUGCCCAUGCUAGUCUAGCAAGGUGCCUUGAUCUUCAACUAUUAUAGAAAACAAAUGAAAAAGGUUUAAUUUGAAUAAGCGUAUUUCACCAGCAAUUGUAGAUGUAUUCAUCUCACAAGAGUGUAAGUACUUUACUCCCUCCUAAAAAGUAUUUUAUACCCCAUAGUACCGGUUAAAAAAAAGUCUCAAUUAAUAACAUAUAUUCCUUUAAUAUUGAUAAAAAAUGGCCUAAAUUUUAAAUUUUAAAAUUAAUGUCUUAAAUCCCAUUUAUUAUCAUAAAACCCCUUUUUUUGCCAUCCUUUUUAGAGUCAUUUUAUUUAGAAUAAAAUAAAAAUUUCGUGUUUCAAAUUUCUCAAUAUCUAGAUAAAAUUUAGAAAAAUGUUUUUGACUUAGUUAUUUUCAUGAUAAUCCAUAAAACCAAAGAUAAUAUUAUUUUCAUAAGAAAUAAUUAUUAAGAAUUCCUCCAAUAUUUAGGUAAAGUCUCAAGAAAUAUUUACUUAACAUAUUAUCUUAUUUUGUUUUUAAAAAAAUAAUUUCUUUUAUAGUCAUCUUUUACUACAUUAUAUAUUUUUAAAGAAUAGUAAAAUGUAUGUGAUGCAACAUGAAGCAAAUUAAUGAUACAAAUAUAAACUAAAAGAUAAAAAUGACCAAUUUAAUUCAUAUUAUAAAUCUUUAACUUUAUCACUUUAUAUUUUUUCAUUGUUGUUUUUUUUUUUUUAAAUAUUUAGUGAUUAAAUGAAAAUAUUUUUGUGUUUUUAAAUGUAACCUUUGUGCAUUAUCAACAUUAUAAUAUUUAUAAAUCUGAUAAUAUUAAAUUUUUAAGUUCAAUUCUCAUCAUAUGUGAAUUUAAUUUAAUUUUAUAUUAAAUUUAUUUAAUUAUGUGUUGAUUUAUUUAUUGAUUUAAUUCAAUGUUUUUCUUAUAUAAUACUUUCUUAUACUAUUAAGUUCAUAAAAAAAUUAAUAACUAAAGAAUUUCCUAAAAUUUUCAUUGACAUAGCAAUUUUUUUUUGGAACUCUUGAAGGCUUGGCAACAAGACUAGCUUUUUUGCUUUAUAAUAACCAGAAAAAAUCAUAUAUAAUCCUAACUAGAAAUAAGGAGAAUGACUUUCUUGUUUUAAUUUGAAAUUCAAAACUAGCAAUUAAAAAUCCCCCCUCCCCAUGACUCGAAUACCAUAAUCACUUCUUAUGAUUAGACUUGACAAUUUAAAAUAUGACAUGAUUAUAUAAUAUGAAUAUAAUAUAAAAAUAGAAUACGAAAGUGAUAGAAUUUAAAAUUAUAAUAAUAACUAUAUAUAAGUUUAAUAAAAUCAAAAUUUUUUUUUUAUAUUUUUAUAUCGAUACGAAAUAUGACAUAAUUUUUGUGUAAAACACGAAACGAAUAUAUGAAUUUUAUUAUAUCACACUUUAUGAAUAGGUGAAUCGUUAGGUUUACUUAUGAUAAACAUGGUUAAUCAAAUUCUUUUUAAUUAUAUUAAGAAAAAAUGAAAAAAAAAAGUAUGUAAACAUUAAGCAGCUAGCUAUAAAUUAUCAGCCUAAAACAUGAAUGAUUUAUAUUUUGAAUUUUUUGUCUAUGGAAAUGCAUUUUUUUAAUAAUAAAUAAUAAAUCAAUCAAUCAAUCUAGUAAUGAAAUAAUUCAAAAUUUAAAACUAGAGAAAAUAUUCACAUGUAUGCAAAUGCAUCUUCAUUAAUUAAUUUCAUUUCACACUGUUCAAAAAGAAUGAUAUUCGAUAUAUAGCUAGAUCAAGACACGAGAAUAUGGAUGAAAUAUGGACAAUCUUCAAUUAAUUAACAAAUCAGUGAAAAUAUGUUUAUAUUGCCGAAAUCAAUAAAAACUAAAAGAAAAUAUAAUAAAAAAGGCCAAAACCUUUGGUCCCUUUUCAUAAUGAUGCUCCUUCCAACAAUAUUUUAUCCCUUGGCCUUUGAGGAAAGUGAUGGCCUUAGGGUAGCAUGCUGUCUUCUUCCAAAUUAACCACCCAAAAAUUCCCACUAAUUAGAUGAAUAAUAAAAAAUUAUAAAGAUCUCAGUGGAAUUUAAAAAAUUAUAUGAUGUAAAAGUUGAAUUACGUAAUAGUAUUUUUUCCAUUUACAUGUUUUGAUUUGGUUUAUAUUUUUAAUUUUUCUUUUUAAAUGUCAUGAAUUCAUCAUCAUUAUUGCAUGGUAUCUUUUGGUAUUAUUGUUGGGGCUGCUUCUACAAAUUUUGCUACAACAAAUAAUCUCCACAAAGUAUAUUGUAUGUAAAUUUGUGGGAUAAUUAACUUCCAAUUCAAUUUGGCUCCGUCUGAGCCUUGAUAUUUUUUGAACACUUUACUGUUCAUAUGUAUAGGAUACUUGUCAAAACAAAAUUUAUUCAUGUUUGAUGUCUUAUCACACGAGUUCAUAUAACAUAGUGUAUAAAUGACAUAUCAUUGAAUUAAUUAUUAAAUCACCACAAUAAAAACAAGCAUGGAGAACUAUCUAUGACAUGCAAGUAGACAUAACUACAUACUGCUCAUACAUACAAGCUGCUAUAAGGAACUAAUAAAGAACCAGCAAACCAAACUGAACACAAAAAACCAUGUUUCUUUAGAGUACAUGAAUUUUGCGAACAAUGUCUUGGCCAAGCGAUAAGAAGAGGAUUUAGGAGACAUGUAAGCUUGAGUUCGAGUCCAAGUAAAAAAAUAGAUGAAAUUUGUCUUACAUGAAUGGCUAAACAUAACUUUAUUCACAAUAUCAAACAUGCAAAUUCUAUGAAAUGUAGAGUAAACUAGUUCUUCACUGCAAAGUAAAACUGAAAAAAUAGAGAUCCAACCAGUUGACGGCGCCAUAAAACAGAAAGCUCCAACGAUGAUAAGCAUAAUCAAGUAUCAAUCACCUAUCAUUGAGGCAAAGAAUGAAUAAGAAUUUAAACAAGAAACUUGAUUAAGGAAAUCAUAAAUACAUGGACAGAGGCAGAUUCAAGAUUUUUGUUGGGAAGUAAUAUUAUCCAUGAAAAUAGUGUUUAAAAGAAAAUUUUGAAUGUUUAUGGAAAAUUUUCUUUUAAAAUUUCUUAUUUUCUAAUUUUUAACAGUGUCCCAAAAAAGAUAUUGAGGGUAUCCAACACAAAAUUUUUCUUUAAAUUUUUUUUAUUUUCAAUGUACACCCCACAAUGCCAUGUAAAUCCACCACUAGACAUGGAAAAAAGCCAUAUUUACCUGUUUAGCUAACAAGUUUCUCCUUAAAUUUCACUUCCUUGCAUAACAUUAUCCUUGUUUCUCCCACAGUCAUAUAUAGAGGUAUUUGAUCAUUCGAAAUAUCCCAAAAUAUAUCAUUGCAGGUGGAUUGAUUAUCAACUAUUUCUUCCAUUGUGGUGAAACCUUCUGUUGUAUUAUUCUGAACUUGUUGGGGUUCCUUCACAACAAAAGACAAUUCUCAUUAAGUAAGUUAUUCUAGAAGUAAUUAAUAAAUUAAUUAUGCAUAUGACUUGUGUAUGUAUAUAAAAGAGUCAUCCAUUUCAUAAUAAUAUGUUGUUAUAUACUAACAUAACUUUUGUUUCCAUCAUCGUUUCAUCAUUAGUAUCAAUAUGAUCAAGAACAACAAAUUAAUUAAUUCAGCACAAUAGUUAGAAAAAAAAGUCGGUUAGGUACCUCUGUUACCUCUGUUAUGGUCAACUUGGGAGAUUUGGUUAUUCUAAGAACCGACAUAGAAGGGAAUCGGAAAUGACAACCAGUUGGAGCAAAACUCUUUAGGUCUGAUAGCUCAGAAAGAUCCACUAUUUCUAAUUGAGGGAGCACUAUUCCCUUUUGAUCAUCUUCAAUGUCUAGUUCACCUUGAUACCCAAAGACUUGCUCUAGUUUAGAAGCCCCUUCAAUUUGGAUUCUCUCGAGGUUGGCAAAAGAACGGGCGACACUAAUAGGAAACAAGCUUUUCAAAUUGCUGCACCCAGAAAUAGAUAUAAAUUGAAGACUAGGGAAGGAUAUAGGUUGGAGAUGACUCUGUGAUGAUGAUGCUAUUGAAGUUUGGUCCAUUUCAAUGAUUUCUUCCAACUCCUCACAACACUUUAUUUUCAAAACUUUCAAUUGCGGCAUAUUUGGAGCAAGCAUAGAAGAGAAGAGAGAUUUCAGCCUUUUACAACUUGACACUUUUAAGUCUUUAAGAUAAGGAAGGCUUGCAACUUGUAUGGGACCCUGCAACUGAUGUAUACCCUUUAGAUUUAAAAUCUCUAUCUUUGAGAACAAGUGUCCGCCUUGAAUUUGAAAUAUAUUCUCCCAAUUAAUAGUGUCACACACAUUGUCUUGUCCCAACUCAGAGAAUCGUAACUCCUGUAUAAAUAUAAAAAUAUCAUAAUUUCAUUAAAAUUUGAAUAAAUUACAAUGGUCAAAUAAUAUAUGACUUCAAAAGUACAAAAUCUAAUAUAUAUAUAAGUACGUUUAUGUGAGUAACUUCUAUUUAUGACAUGUAGGAUAAUGUUUAUAUUAUUAUAUUAUUUAUCAAAUAACUCUAUUUAAUAAAUUAUUUAAAUUUAAUAUUUUUGAAUAAUUAUUUAAAUUCAAAUCAAAAUCUAUAGAAAAAAUUUUUGCAUAAAUUUUAAAUUCAAAUAUAUUAAAUUAUAAUUUAUUUUUUCUUUUUAAAUUAAUCAUAGUUCCAAAAAUAUAUAUGUAUUUAUAUGGUUAAUAUAUUUUUAUCUACCAUCAAAUAAUUCUAUUUAAUAAAUUAUCUAAAUUUAAUAUUUUUGGAUAACUAUUUAAAUUCAAAUCAAACUCUAACAAAAGUUGAAAAUUUUGCAUAAGUUUUGCAUUUAAAUGUAUUAAAUCAUAAUUUUUUUUUAAAAUUUAAUCAUAAUAUAUAUAUAUAUAUAUAUACACACACUUAAUACAUUUUUAUUUGAUGAAAUCAGAAUCUAAAAUUGAAAAUAAAGAGUUUAUAAAGUGAGAGGUCACCUUCUAACCAAGCUUAUUUUAUUUAUUGUUAUUAGAAUUGGAAAUUGAAGAAUACAAGCCUUUUUUUUUUUACUUGACAGUUAUGAUUUAUUGGUUUUGAUGGGAAUGGACAAAAGUUGGAAAGAAGAGUAAACCACAUCAUACCGUGAACAAGUUCAUUUUUGCCUUUAUUAUUCUCUUUUUUCUUUUAUUUUCUUUUUUAUUUGCAAAAAUCAAUAUGUGAUGGUGUUGGAUUGUUUUUACUUUUGUAUAUUUUUUGCUUAAAUGACAUUGAUUUUUUUUAUGAAAUUUCAAUAAUGGAAAGAAAACAUACGUACAUUUGGAUUGAUUUCAACUUGGUAAUAGGUAUAGUUCAUUACUUUUUUUCGUAUUUUAUUUUUUUUUAUUUCCUCCAUUUGUUUGUUCCUUCAAAUUAUUUAUUUGGUCUUAUUUCUAUUAUAUGAUAUAUACAUUUGAUUUGAUUUAUUCUAAAAAAAUUUUUAUUUAUAUAUUUUUAUAUAUUUAGUUAAGUUGGAUAUUUGUUACACAUAAGUUCAAGAGAUUUCAAUUGUAUAUGCAUUCUCAAUUUGUAUAUUUGAUUUUUUAUUAUAAACGUAUCUUUGACUUAUGUUUUAAUAAAAGCAAAUAUAUGUGUUGAAGUAUGUAAAAAAUAAAAACUAAUAAAAAGCAAAUGGCUAUGAACAAAUUAAUAAUUAUAUAUGCUUUAUUGUUCAAUCAAAUAUAUAUAUAAAAGAAAUUAUUAUUAUUUGAUGUUUUAUUUUUGGUUCGGGUUUAUAAGAUUUAAUAGUUUAUGAAUAUUCUAUUAAUAUAAAUGUCUUUUACAAUUUAAUAAAAUGAUUUUUUUUAUAUCCAUAUUAAUAUUAUCAUAAAAAAAUUAUUAAUUUUGACUAUUAAAAGACUUACCCUUGCUUUUUUUAUCAAAAAAUAAAUAAUUAGUAACAAAAUUUUUGGUGUUUAGCAAAUAAAUAAAAAAAUUAAUAUUUUGAUAAAAAAGAAAGGAUUUUUGAAAUUUUGUAAAAAAUUAAACUUAAAACGACAAUAUGUGAAUGCUAUCAUUUAAUCGUAUCUUAAAAUUUAUGAAUGUAUGAUUAUAUAUAGUUGAUUAAUAAAAGUUUAAAUAUUCUUUUAUUAAGGAAAUAUAAAAAAUUAAAGUUAAUUAAAAAAUAAAUUUCAAUUAUGAAAAUAAUAACACGGUUAAAAAAGCUAGUAUAUAUGUAAAACAAAUACCAUUCUCAAGAUUUUAUUAUAAUGUACAAAUUAAAUAUGUUUAAUUGAUUUUCAAAUUCUAUUUAUUUUAUAAGCAAGUGAAAUGUUAUCUAAAAGUUCUCUAUGAGUGCCAUGUCAUCAAAGUUUGCCUAUAUGUAUGCAUGCCAGCAGUUUGAAUUCCCAUCCAAAUUGGAUUUCAUUAAAUUAAAAUAGUAGGAUGGCUAAAUUACACACAAUAAUAAUGUAAGGGCUUAAGUGAAAAUUUGAUUAUAAUAUGGUUAGAGAGCUUAUUUUAUUAUUUUGCCAUUACUUAACAAGGUUUUUUUUUUUUUUUAAAUAACAAACAAGUUAACUCAGUCUUGAAUGAGUUGAACAUAAAAUAUUGUUAAAGAUGAGAGUUCAACAUAAGUCUUGAAUGAUUUAUUUUAAUUUUUCUAAUAUAAAACUUACAUAAGAACCCCUUUUUGAAAAGAGAUUCAAAACAUUGAUUAUUUUAUGAGUAUAGAAAAGAUUUGGGCCAAAGGUAAAAUCUCAAACCAUAAUGUAAGGAAAGGAGUAUAAAGUUACCUUUAGUUGAAGCCGUUUGUGGACUACUUGUUGAAUAAUGAACUUUGCAAAUCGAGGACAAACCACUAUGGUUAACUUAUCCAAUGAUGGUGGCAGAAUGGCAUUAUCAACUCCAUUAUUUUCUUUUGCCACAUUGAAGACAUAUUGUAGUCUUGGACAACCAUGUAUUUCAAGAGAUGUCAAUUUUGGCAAGGGCGGAGGAUGGAGAAAGCCACUGUCUGAUUCUAUAUUAUCAUCAAUUUCCAACUCAGUGGCAAUAUGUUCCAGUUCAUCGCAGUACCCUAUCUGGAGUUGUUCUAGCAUCACCAAGCUUUGAACAAGUGAUUGUGAGAAGAGAUAUUUCAAUUUAUUGCAGCCACUAAUUACUGCAACCUUCAGACUUUGGAGGCAGACAGAAUGGUUGGGCCCUUUACAUAUCCACUUCAAUUCUGGUAAUAGCUCUAGCUCCAAACUUGUUAAAUUUGGCAGCAGCGGAACGGUUGAGACAUGGCCUUGGUCUGUUGUAUCAAUCAAGCAUUCCAGCUCUUUCUCAUCUCUAAGUGUAAGAAAAGUUAAUUCAUUUAGUCCCUGUGGAUCUACGCUUGGAAUGAGAUUUUUGUGAUACAUGAUUCCAUCCAUGGCAAGUUUUCUGACAUCCUGAUAAAUUCACAAUAUAAUGAAAAAUAGCAGCAACAUUAGAAACAUAUAAUUAGAUUUCUUUUAUUAGGAAAGAGAAAGAUUUGAGUUAAAAGAAUAUUUUUAUUCCUCGCUUUUCACUAAAAGUUUGUUAUUGUAGAAAUUUAAAUAAUUCAAAUUAAACUAAAUGUAACUACUGCUUAAAAAGCAAGGAUAGUGACAAAUAAUACAAGUACGAUACGACAUGGAUAUGACAAAUAAACAAUUUUAAAAAUAGAAAACACUGAUAUGGUAAAACAUGACAAUAAAAUACAUUUUUUAUCCAUAAAUUUUUUAUAAUAAUAUAAAUUGAACACAAUUAUAAAAUAAUUAAUGGUAUGUGUAAAAGUAAAAUAAAAUAAAUUUAUAAACAAGAUUAAAAUUAUAUAGGAAAAAAUAAUGAAUAUAAUUAUAAUUUUUUAAUUUAAUUUUUAAUACUAAUAAAUUAUAAAAUUUUAAACCUUUUAAAUAGUUUCAUUUUUCCUUUUUUUCUUUUCUUUUCUUUUUUUUCCUUCUUUUUCUUUUUCUUCGUACAUUUUCUUCUUUUUCUUUUCUCUCUUUUUCAUCCCAUUUCUUCUUUUUUUUUUCUUUCAUUUUUCCCUUUUUCCCUUCCCCAAAUCAUACGAUUUAUAAGCUUUAUAAAUUCAAUAAUAGUAGUUAUUGAGUAAUAUUUUAUUAUGUACAGAAUUAAAAAGAGAAAAAAAUACAAAGAUUUUAUAAAGUGUGUUAAUAGAGAAAAAAAUAUGUAGUGCUAGUUUUUCUCAACCUGCAAACCAUGUAAUAAGUAUACAUUUAAUCAACCUUUUUUCUUUUAAACAUCAACAGAAGCUAAUUAUAUAUAAUACUUUUACAUUUAAGUGUGAAUGUACUGAAUUUUGAUGUUUGUGUUAUAAGAUAAGUAAUUCAAUUAAUUAUUACCAAAAUAAACAAAAUUAAAACAAAAUUAUAGUAUAAGAGAAGUACCUUUAAAUUGGCCUGCAACGUCUUAAACUCAGUUAAUUGGGGACAACUGAAAACUUCGAACAUCUUCAAAGAUAAUGACAUGACAAAAUUUUCUGGACAAAAACUACUCAACUUCUCUAAAUUUUUAAGCCUUAAAAAUUGCAAUCUCUGUAGCACAAUGUCUUGUGGUGGACGUCCACCCUUGUCCUUUGUCAUAUUGAAGACCUGCUUUAGUUGAGAACAAUCAGUUAUCUCAACAGAUUCCAAAUAAGGAAGUCCUUGAGCCAAAGUGAUUGGAAACACAUAAUUCAAUCUUUCGCAAUUAAUUAUCUUGAGAGUUCUCAACUUAGGCCAGCGGAGAGGAUAGCCAUCCACGUUUGAAACUAUUUGAUCCUCAUUUUCUGCUUCUCCGAAGAUUACAUGUUCCAAAAAGCCGCAAUCUUUUAUGUCGAGUUCUUCUAGAUGCUCCAAACUUUGAGCAAGGGGAGUUGAAAAGAGAUAUGCCAGUUUCGCACAUUCCCAUAUUCUCAUAGUCUUAAGACUUUGGAGGUUAACAAGAUGGGUGGGCCCUUUCCAUAUCCACUGUAGUUCUGGUAAUAACUUUAGCUCCAAAAAGGUUAAAUUAGAGAGUGGUCGUACCUGACAUGAAUUAAUUGAUUGAAAAGGUAAAUAAAUAUAGAAAAAGCAUUACGUACAAAGGCAAUAAUAGUAGUUAUUGAAUAAUAUAUUUUUACAUAAAGAACAAAAAAAGAGAAAAAAAUACAAAUAUUUUAUAAAUUGUGUUAAUAAAAAGAAAAAAAGGUAUAUAAUAUUAGCUUUUUCAACUUACAAGUCAUGUAAUAAGUAUAAAUUUAAUUUAUUUACUAAUAUAAUUUAAUUAAACUUUAUUUCUUUUAAACUUCAAUAGAGGUUAAUUAUAUGAUAAUAUAUAAAGUUUAAUUAUUUCUCAUUAUUCAUUAAAGGAGAAAUGGAGAGAGAACAAGUACCUCAAGCUCAUCCAUUUCAUGGGGAAAAUCAAUGAUUUGCUCUAAUCCCUCACAGGCACAUAUAGAGAGUUCUUGUAGAUGCAACAAACUCUGAGCAAGGCAAGGCGGGAAGAUCGCUUUCAAUUCAUCACACCUCCGAAUGUUUACAACCUUCAGACUUCGGAGGCUUGCAUGAUAUUGAUGGGUUGAUUGUGAUUUCCAUAUACUCUCCAAUUCUGGUAAAGAAGAUAGAUCCAAACUUGUUAAAUUUGAGAGUAGCGGCGUCUGACUAAUUUCUUCCUUUUCAAGAAGCCCAUCCAUUUCAAAUACCACUUUCAACCGCUUACAAUAUCGAAUGGUCAAAUCUUUUAACUUUUGUAAGAACCUAAUAUGCCCAUGUAUUUCAAGAGAUGUCAAUUUUGGCAAGGGCGGAUGAUGGAGAAGGCCACUGUCUGAUUCUACAUUAGUAUCAAUUUCCAACUCAGUGGCAAUGUGUUCCAGUUCAUCGCAGUGUUUUAUCUUGAGUUUUUCUAGCAUUACCAAGCUUUGAACAAGUGAUGGUGAGAAGAGAUGUUUCAAAUUGUGAUACAUGAAUCCAUCCAUGGUAAGUUCUUUGACAUUGCAUAACAAUUCCUUGAAACCAUAUGAUGGGACAUCCUGAUAAAUUCACAAUAUAAUGGAAACUAUUAGCAGAAUUAGAAACAUAUAAUUGGAUUUCUUUUAUUAGGAAAAAGAAAGAUUUGAGUUAAAAGAAUAUUUUUAUCUUUCGCUUUUCAUUAAAAAUUCAUUAUUAUAGAAAUUUUAACAAUCCAAAUUAAAUUGAGUAUAACUAGAACCUAGAAAGCAUGAAUAGUGACAAAUAAUAUAGUUAAGACACGACAUGGACACGGCAACACAACAAUUAUAAAAAGAGAGGACACGGGUAGGUAAGACACUACAAUAAAAUAUAUUUUUAUAUAUUUUUUAUCCAUAAAUUUUUUAUAUGAAUAUAAAUUGAAUACAAUUACAAUGUAAUGAAUGAUGUGUGUAAAAGUAAAAUAAAUUAAAUUUAUAAACAAGAUUAAAAUUAUGUAGGAAAAAAUAAUCAAUAUAAUUAAUUUUAUUAAUUUAAUUUUUAAUACAAUAGAUUAUAAAAUUAUAAACUUUUUAAAUAAUUUCAUUUUCCUUUUUUUUUCUUUUCUUUUUUUUUCCUUCUUUUCCUUUCUCUUUCUACAUUUUCUUUUUUUUUCCUUGUCUUUCUCUUUCUCCUUCCUGUUUCCUUUUUUAAUUUUUAAUUUUUUUUUGUUUUUUCGUUUUUACCCUUUAUCAAAUUGUACGAUUUAAGAUCUUUAUAAAUUCAAUACUAGUUGUUGUAGAAUAUUAUUUUAUUAUAUAAAGAAUAAAAAAGAGAAAAAAAUACAAAGAUUUUAUAAUGUGUGUUAAUAAAGAGAAAAAAAGAUACAGUGUUAGUUUUCUCAACCUGCAAGUCAUGUAAUAAAUAUACAUUGAAUUAAACUUUUUUCUUUUAAACAUCAACAGAAGCUAAUUAUAUAUAAAUACUAUAUAAUACUUUUACAUGUAGAUGUGAAUGUACUAAAUUUUGAUGUUUGUGUUAUAAGAUAAAUAAUUCAAUUAAUUAUUACCAAAAUAAACAAAAUUAAAACAAAAAUAUAGUAUAAGAAAAGUACCUUUAAAUGGGCCUGCAACGUCUUGAACUCUGUUAAUUGAGGACAAUUGCAAACUUCGAACGCCUUCAAAGAUAAUGACAUGACAAAAUUUUCUGGACAAAAACUACUCAACUUCUCUAAAUUUUUAAGUCUUAAAAUUUGCAAUCUCUGUAGCACAAUGUCUUGCGGUGGACGUCCAUCCUUAUCCUUUGUCAUAUUGAAGACCUCAUUUUCUGCUUCAUCAAAGAUUACAUGUUCCAAAGAAUCGCAAUGGCUUAUUUGGAGUACUUCCAGAUGCAUCAAACUUUGAGCCAGGGGAGUCGAAAAUAGAUAAGCCAGUUUCAAACACCCCUCUAUUCUCAUAGUCUUAAGACUUUGGAGGUUAACAAGAUGGGUGGGCCCUUUCCAUAUCCACUUCAAUUCGGGUAAUGACUUUAGCUCCAAAGAAGUUAAAUUAGAGAGUGGUCGUACCUGACAUGAAUUCAUUGAUUGAAAAUGCAAAUAAAUAUGGACAAAACAUUAUAUACAAAGGUAAUAAUAGUAGUUAUUGAAUAAUAUAUAAUUUAAUAAAGAAUAAAAAAAGGACAAAAAAUACAAUGAUUUUAUAAAGAGAAAAAAAAUAUAUAUAAUGUUAGUUUUCUCAACUUGCAAGUCAUGUAAUAAAUAUACAUUUAGAUUAGUUACUAAUAUAAUUUAAUUAAACUUUAUCUCUUCUAAUCUUCAAUAGAAGUUAAUUAUAUGAGCAAUAUAUAAAGUUUAGCAAUUUCUCAUUAUCCAUUAAAGGAAAAAUGGAGAGAAAACAGAUACCUCAAGCUCUCCCACUUCUUGGGGAGGAAAAUCAAAGACUUGUUCUAUUCUAUCGCACUCAGAUAUUUCAAGUACUUGUAGAUGCAACAAACUUUGAGCAAGGCAAGGCGGGAAGAUGGAUUUCAAUUCACUGCACUUCCGAAUGGUUGCAAUCUUUAGACUUUGGAGGCUUGCAUUUAGACCCUCGGGAUCUACGAUGUGGACAAUAUUUUUGUGUCCCAUGGCAUUCUCCAGAGCAAAAAUUUCCACAUUGCAAAACAACUCCUUGUAUGCACUAAAUGAAGUUGGGUCAAUAAUUUGCAAGGCUCUAAAGUUUGGCCCCCGCAUAAAUUCAACACUUGCAUCUACAAAUAUAAUGUAGCUUUGUAGUUUAGGGAACACAAAGUUUUCUGGAAAACAUCGAGUAGGAGAAACCUUCAGUGACAGCACAGUCAAACGAGACAAUGAAUUCAGCUCCGAUAAGUUGACAUUGUUUUCACAUAUCACGUAUAGUUCUUGGAGUGAUGUCAACCUAUUUGUUACACACAAAUACGAAAAAGUAUUAUCAAACACUUAAAAGUGAAUCAUAAAAAUAGAAGUAAACAUAAAUUAAUUUUAAUUAUCUCAGCAAAUAUAGCAUGAUUCUUCAGCCCCUUUUCUUAUAAAAAAAGGUUUGAGCAUUUUUUUGCUGUUUUGUAAUUCAUGUGACAAUCAUGUUAUAUAAUAGCAUUUCUUUUUAAUGGAAAUGACUACAGCUCUGAAUGCUUCAUGAUAACGGGAGUGACCAAAAGCUUAAGGUAGAUAUUUUUCCCAUAGUCUAAAGUCAAAUUAUUUAAUAAAGUAAAUAAAAGAAAAAUAAAUAACAUAAAACUAAAUUCUUAAUUUUUGGCAAUAUGAUUAAAUAAAAUAAUUGACAUCUACUAUUACCUUGACAGUAAAUUAGGGGGAAAAUUGAUCUCUUUUCUUCCAGAGGAAAAAAAAUGUAGCGAUUUUAGGCCACGCAAUGCCGCUAAUUCUUCAGGUAGCUCAUAAAUAUUAGUAUUAGAGAAUGCAAGAAUCUCAAGGUUUUUCAAAUUUCCCACUGAUGAGAUGUUCUCCAACUCGCAAUUUACAAGGCACAGAGUUCGAAGAUUUGUUACCAAAUUAAGUACUUCUAGUGAGAAAAUGACAUUUUCGAGAUGCAAAACUCGGAGGGCUUUCAUUCCUUCAACAAAUGCAAUCGGAACUUUCACUAAAGUCUUUCCUGUAAAAAUCAAAAUUUUGAGUUCUGGAAAUUCUAAUUUUUCAGGAAAAAUAUUUAUGUUGCUGUUCCUAAAGGAGAUUGCUGUAUGAGAUCCACAACUUUCACUUGGAGGCCAUUCCAUCAACCACUCUUUUACCAUGAAUAUAUUUUUCCCUGUAGAUGUUAUCCAAUGAGCAAAAUCACGAACCACGUCAUGCAUCCUUACAUAUCUUUCAUCAUCAUCAUCAUCAGUUCUCAAUAACAAACCAGACUUCUGGAGGCUUCUUAGUGCUUGACGAAUUUCUCUCCGCAAGUCUUCAAUUAAGAAAAUAUGAGAAAAUAAUCCAUGACCAAUUGCAAACAUAACCAACUCCUCAAUCUCGAUACCCCAAUCUUCUGGAAAAAGGGAACACAGCAAGAAACAUGUUCGAAUAUUAUCUCUCUUCAAAUAAUCAUAACUCAGCUUAAGGCAGUUGUAGAUGUCUUCAGAAACGUCUUCAUUGUCUAAAUGUCUUGAGUCCUUGAGUCGCUUAUUUGCUGCUUGCCACCCAUCUAGAUUUGCUCCUUUUAAAGCUUUUCCGAUUGUUUCAAUUGCAAGAGGCAAACCCUUGCAUUCACUAGCAACCUCCUUGGCUACAUCAUUCAAUUCCGAAGAAACAUCAUUUAGACCAGCAGUAUCUUUGAACAAAACCCAUGCUUCACUUUCGGAUAAGAUGUGAAGUUCAAAUUUCUGUUGACAAUUCAUACGAACACAGACUUGUUCAAGACGUGUGGUCAGAAGAACUUUGCAACCUCCGCGUUCAACUCCGAAUGGAAUACCUACAGUCUGCAAUUUAAACUCCUUCCAAACAUCAUCGAUAAUUAUGAGGAUCUUCUCCGCGCCUUGCAAUCUCUGGCAUAGCUCUCCUGCUUUUCCUUCUUCCGUGCUUGCUUUAAAUUUCAAACCUAAUAAUUCUGCAAAUUUAUCUUGAAUUUUGUUGAUGUUUGGCGUUUGGGACAUUGUAGCCAUCACAACUCUGUCAAAGAGCUCUUUCACUUCAGCAUGCUUCCCAACUUCUUUUGCCAAAGUUGUUUUGCCCACCCCUGGCAUUCCAUACAAUCCAAUCAUGUUCACACCAUUAGUGUUUAGAGCCUUGAUGAUGUCAUUUAACGUUGAAUUUGAAGAUUUAGAAGGCAUGAAAUCCUCAGAUGGGAAGAAUUCUAUCCCCUGAAGAGGUUCAAAGUGGCCCACCCGUGGAAAGUUACAACUCUCAAGAAGUUUAUUGAUAGAGAUCGUCUUCUUUGCCACUUUCUUACUUAAGCAUAAUCGCCAACCCCAACUUGGACACCAAUUGAAACACUUCAUACGUUCUAUUUCAGCUUCCAAACACUGGGUUUCUUCAAGUUCUUUCUCUGCCCUUUUUCGCCAGUCUUGGACAUCCUUCUCAAUUACCUCAUUUUGCCUUGUAGCCUCUUCGACAUCAUUUUUUAUCCGAUCACUUUUCAAUUCAAGUUCAUUUCUCCGAUUCUUGAAUUCUUCAACAAUUUUCCCAAAUCGGAAAAAGUAACUAACAUAAGGUGAUGCAUAUUCUGUUGUAAGGUUUCCUACAGCAUUGGCAGCAGCAGAGGCAGCAAAUUCAGCAGCCAUUCUUUGAUGAUCUGAGAUUGAAAAACAACUUUAAUGAUUAGUAAACAUAUAAACUGUUGGAAAAAUCAACACGCACACGCAAAACCUAUACACAAAAUAGCAAGCUCAAAUUAAGAAUAAAAAUACACAAAUAUAUUUGUUUCAGUCCAACUCAAGAUCGUCUACUCCAAACCUAAUUUACUAACAAAUAAAAAAAAAUCUAUAGGUAUUGAUUGUUGAGUAAUUGAUAUGUUAUGAUGUAUGUUUGUAAUUCUCUAUAACUAGUAAAUUUUGUGUCUUAUCCAUGAACGUAAAUCAGUUGGAUCGAACUACGUUAAAUUAUUAUAUUAAAUUAUUAUCUUUUGUGUAUUUAAUUAAUUAUUUGAUUUCGUUUCUGCUGACGUGAUUAGAUUGAGACCUUUUGGCCUAACAUAAACAGCUAGAGAGACAAAAGAAAUUGUGAAUGUUUGCAAAGUACCUUAAUUACUUUGAGAGCUAAUUGUAAAGUAGAAGAGAAAAUUUGUUGAUGGAUCAACUUGGAAAUUGAAAAUUCUGCAAAUGGAAGAAAUUAUUCAGUGUUCAUGCGUAUAUUAAGAAUAUAUGUUACAUGUGUUAAGAGUAAAGGCAGUAUAUAUUUUGAUCAUUAAUCCAUCUAAUAUUUUCUCAAUUUUUAAAUAAAUCCAUUUAUUUCUUUUUUUUUUGCCUUAUAAGUGCAGUCUUUUAUUUAAAUAAGGUAGGGAAACAAACAAGUAAACAACUUUUGAGCAUAUAAAAAAUUAUGGAAAUAAAAAUAAUUAUUCAAGCAUGCCAAAUUGGGGAUGGGCAUUCUAAAUUAAGCUGUGAGAAUUUUUUACAUCAUCAACCUUAAUAGAAAUUAAAAGAAAAAGGAAAUAAAGAUUAGUAACAAUAAGAUUAUAAGAACAUGGAAUUUUUUUUCUAUUUUUUUGAAGUUAAACGCAAAUGAGAAUAGAUAUAGCAUGAAAUAAAAUAGAAAAUAGAACUCAAGGAAACCACAAAAUUAUACGGCAAUACUAUUUUUGCUUCUUUUAUUGUAGAGAGAAAAACACAAGAAAAAAAAAAAAAGAGACAAAUAUACCUAGGACAUAUGAAUUUUCAGGAUUCAAGAUCGAGCUUUUUAUUUCUAUCCACACAGUUUUUAUUUUAUUUUAUUUUAUUUUUUUGAGUUCAAAGAAAACUUAAGUAGAAACCAACCUUAUUUGAAAUGAGCAAAAGAGUUUCAAAGUUGUGCUUGAAAUUUUCGUGACUGAUUGAAACCACAGAGAAAAGUUUGAUCAAAGACUUGUUUAAUUUCUUUGGAUUCUCUUUUAUCACCGUUAUUAUCAUUUUACUUGCUCAAAUCCUUAGUGAAAGACAGCUGGACAAGGGCCCAAGCAUCUUUUCCUUUUGUUGGGAGUCGGGUGCAAUGCCUUCAAGUCACACGUUUACUUUUUCUUUUUUGUGCUCGGUUAAUUUUUUUUUUCCUCGAAGAAAACUGAUCUAUUGAUGGUAGUGGGACAUGGCGUCAUUGAUGCACUUUUGAAUUAUGGACCCUUGUUUUUGUCUUUUUUCAAUUAUUUUUCAACAAUCACUUUCUCACCUACUUUAUUUUGUUGGUUUUCAUGGAUUAAAUUUAUUUUUCAACAAUAAUUUUCUCACUUACUCAGUUUUGUUGGUUUUCAUGGAUUGGAUUCUGUAUCAAAUUAUGCCCCAUGCAAUGCAAUUAGAUUUUAUGACCAAACAAACAAAAGAAAGGGUUAAUGAUUCUAAAUCUCUUGGUUUUUUUUUUUUUCCUCCAUUGAUUCAUCCUACCACUUGAAAGAAGUAAAUUUUUAGAUUAUAUUAGCUGAUAUGCUGCGCAGCAUCUUAAUUACUUUGGGAGCAAUAUAUCGCUCCAUGAAAAUGAAAAUAAAAGAGAACAAAUGGUUGAUGGAUCAAUUUGGAAAUAAAAAUUCUGCAGAUGGAAGAAAUUAUUCAGUGUUCAUGCAUAUAUUAAGAAUAUACGUUACAUGUAUUAGAUUAAGGGCAUAGUAUAUAUUUUUAUCAUUAAUCUAUCUAAUAUUUUCUCAAUUUUUAAAUGAAUCUAUUUAUUUCACUUUUUUCCUUAUAAAUGCAGUUUUUUUUUUUUUUAAUAUGCCAGGGAAACAAAUAAGUAAACAACUUUUGAGCAUAUAAAAAACAAUGGAAAUAAAAAUAAUUAUUUAAGCAUACCUAAUUGGGGAUGGAUCUUCUAAAUUAAACUGUGUGGACUCUUUACAUCACCAACUCCAGAUAUCAUUAGGAAAGGAGAAUUAAGGACCAACCUAAAUAGAAAUUAAAAGAAAAAGGUAAUAAAGAUUAGCAGCAAUAAAAUUAUAAGAACAUUGAAUUAUUUUUUUUUCUUGUUUCUGAAGUUAAAAGCAAAUCAAAAUAGAUAUAGCAUAAAACAAAAUAGAAAAUAGAAAGCAAAGAAAGCAAAAUAUAUAGAUACAGCAACACUAUUUUCUUUCAUUCUAGAGAGAAAAACACAGCAAACAAGAUAAAUAUACCUAGGAAACAUGAAUUCUCAGGAUCCACGCAGUUUUUUUUUUUUUGAGUUCAAAGAAAACUUAAGUAGAAACCAACCUUGUUUCAAAUGAACAAAGAGCUUCAAGUAUCCACCAAUAUUGAUAAGUUGUGCUGGAAAUCCUUGUGACCGAUUGAACCUACAAAGAAAAGUUUGAUCAAAGACUUUUUUAAUUUCUUUUGAUUCUCUUUUAUCAUCAUUAUUACCAUUUUCCUUGUUCAAAUCCUUAGUGUAAGACAACUAGAAAACGGCUUAUAAAAAGAUUUUCUAUUCUUUUAUAAGGUACCAAUUAUUUGAUAAUUGAUAGUUGCAAAUAAAUUAUUCACACAAAUGCAGAAUUCCCUAUCUUAACUCUUUGACCAUUUACCCUUUUAACUAUUUUGUCUGAUAGGAAAAAAAAUUAAGUUAAAGAAAUAGAGAAAUGGAGAGAGAAGAGGUACCUCAAGCUCACCCAUUUCUUUGGGAAAAUCAAAGAAAUUUAAAAAGAAAGGGUAAAAAAAUCAACAACAAUAAAAUUAUAAGUACAUGAAAUUAUGUUUUUCUUUCUUUGGAGCUAAAAGCAAAGCAAAAUAGAUAUAGCAUGAAACAAAAUAAUACAGCACUUUUUUAUCAUUAAAAAUGAAAAAGAAAGUAGAAAGCAAUGAAAGCCAAAAAGAUAUAGCAACAUUAUUUAAGUUAAUGUCUUUAUUAUUCCUCUUACCUGUUUAAGUUAAUACUUUUUAUGAAAUUUUGAAUUUUAAAAAUAUCAAAUUUUUUACGUUUUUUAUCCUUAAAAGUAUUUCUUAGCCAUUUAUCUUAACUAUUUACUGGAAAAUAAUUAAUUUAAAUUUUAUGUUGCCUACUUUAUUCUUAUUUUCAUUUAUCAUUUUUAAGGUGUUAUAACACUUUUAAUUCAUUUUACGUCAAAUGAUAUUAAUAUUAUCAUCUUUUUUAUUUGUUUAUGUUAUUAAGUUUUUUUAAAGAAGUUUGUUUUUAUUUUCAAAUAUUAAUUUUUUACAUUUUCUUUUUUAGACCUUAAAAUAUUUUUUAGCGAUUAACCUAAAAAUAUUUAUAAAAAAAUAAUUAAUUUAAAUUUUACAUUACCAAUUUAAUUAUAUAUAUUAAAAUAAUAUUGUCUAACAUCUACUCUUAUAUUAUAUUAUGAUUAUAAUUUUUAUAGCCAUUUCUUAAUCCAUUACGAUAUUUUAAACAUAUUUUACAUCAAUAUGAAUUUUAUUACUCUUACAUGUUUAUGUUUAUUCUUUAUCUUUUAUUAUGUUUAAAAUUUUCAUAACUCUUUUUUAUGAUGUUAUGAUACUUCUAAAUCAUUUUAUACUAAUUGAUAUGAAUUUUAUUAUUCUUCUCGUUUAUUUACACUAGUAAUUUUUUGAAAAAAAAAUAUUUCUAACUCCUUUAAACUUAAUUGAUAUCAAUUUUAUCAUUAUUCUCAAAUAUUUAUGUUUAUUCUUACUUUUUAUUACAUUUUAAAUUUUUAUAAAUGUUUAUUUUAAUGUUACGACACUUCUAUUUAAGUUAUUUUUAAAUUUUUAAAAUUUAAAAUUUUUUAAUAUUAAUUUUUUAACAUUAACUUUUUAGCCUUUAAAGUAUUUUUAGCCAUUGGCUUAAAAAAUUUACAAAAAAAAUAAUUAUUAAUUUAAAUUUUACAUUUCAAACUUAAUUAUUUAUGUUAAAAUAAUAAUUUUUACACUUAUUUUUUUCUUAAUUAUUUAUGUUAAAAUAAUAUAUUUUUAUACUUUUUUUCUUAAUUAUUUAUGUUAAAAGAUUUAUAACUUUUUUUUAUAAUACUUAUGACCUAUUUUACAACAAAUUAUACUAAUUUUAUAAUUUUUCACACAUGUUUACAUUAAUAAUUUUUUUGAUAUUUUAUUUUCAAAAAUUAAUUUUUUAACUUUUAAGUAUUUUUUAGUCAUUGCCCAAAAAAAUAUUUACAUGAAUAUAAUUAAUUUAAAUUUUACAUAACAACUUAAUCAUUUAUGUUAAAAAAUAUCUUUUUACGAUUUAUUUUUAUCUUUCUAUCAUAUUUAAAAUUUUUAUAAUUUUAUCUUAAGUUAUUACGUCACUUUUAACCUAUUUUAAACUAACUGCUAUAAAUUUUAUUAUUCUUCUCAAUUAUUUACAUUAAUAAUUUUUUACAAUAAAUUUUAAAAUAUUAACUUUUUAUGUUAUCAUUUUAGCCUUGAAAGUAUUUGUUUAGCCAUUGAUGUUAUAUAUCUAUUAAUUAAAAAAAUAAUUAAUUUAAAUUUUACAUUACUAAUGUAAUUAUUUAUGUUAAAAUAAUAUCUUUCAACACUUAAAUUUUGCUUGGUUAAAAUUAAAGAUAAAAAAAAAUCAUGAGUGAAAAACUAAUUAAUCCAAUAAUUAAAAUUUAUAAUAUAUUUUUUAUUUUAUACUUUAAAUUAAAAAGUUGUAUCCUUACCCCUUUUCAUUUUCUAUAUCAAGUAAAACCUUAUUCUUACCUUUUAUUACUUUAAAAAUUUUCAUAACUUAUUUUUUAAAAUGUUACAAUAUUUUUAAUAAAUUUUAUGUCAAUUCAAACAAAUUUUAUUUUUUCUAGAUCUCACAUCUUUACAUCAAUAUUUUUUUAUUCUUUCAUUUUAAAAAAAUAAUUCUUUUAUAUUUUCCUUGAAAUUAUUUUUAUUUUAAUAUUUUAUUAAUUUAUAUAGAAUCAUAUUUUUUGUUUAAUAGUACUUUUUAGCUAUUUUAAGAGAUACUAAUUAUUUUAAAUUUUUUAAAUAUAUUUUUAUUAUUUUUUAUUUUUAAGUAAAUUCGUAAACAAGUAAGAAAGUGAAAAAUCGAAGACUAAUCGAGGCAAACGAGAAAUGAAGUUGAACAUAGCAAAAAUUACGGAGAAUAAAAUUUAUAUAUAAUGGUUUAUUGAAGCAUACCUCACUUGAGAUGGAUCUUCAAAAGCCGUAUGGAUCAGUAAAGGAAAAUCAAGGACCAGUUUUUUUUUUUUUCUAUUUCCCUGUUAAAAGAACAGAAAAUUAGAAAUCAAUAAAAGCCAAAAAAAAAAAAACGCUUUUUUUAGUUAUAAAAGCAAAGUAAAAAAUCAAGGAAAUUAAAAAAGCACCAAAAUUUUUUUGUUGAGUUAUAAAAAGAAGAGCAAUAAAGCAGAAAUCAAGCAAAGGAUUUGGUACUCUAGCUAGCUGGAAGAUGUGGAGAUAAUGAUAUAAGACGAUGCUUGAUUGCCUCGAUGGAAACUGUUUGAGGAGAGAGCUGUAAGCGAAAGGUAAGGCAGCAAUACAAAAGAAGAAAAGAUAGAAAUAACAAAGAAAUGUGAAGUUUCAAGAUCCAACAACUUUGCUUCAAUUGAAUAAAAAAUUCAACCAUCAAAGAACUUCGCUUCCGAGAAAAGUAAGUUUCACCAAAGACUUCUUCAAUUUCUUUGGAGUCUUUGUUUAUUAUUAUUGUAAUUACUAUUUUUCUUAUUCUAAUCCUUAGUGGAAGGCGAUUAGACUAGGGCCUGAACGUCUCUUUCUCUUCUUCGAAGCUGUACCUUCUUUAAUUUAUCACUAUAUUACGGUUUAAUAUUAAACUGUCAUUGGAUUUUUAAUUUAUUAAUUUUUAAAUAAAAAUAAUAAAAUAAAAAUAUUUUCAUAAUAUUCUAUUAAUAUAAGUGAUAAAUUAUGCAACAUGCGAAACAAGAUUUAAUGCCGAACAAAUUAAAUCUUCAUUUUAAUUAAAAUAAAGAGACAAAUUUCAUAAUUUGAUAUUUAUGGAUAAUUUUAUUAAUUGUUUCAUAAAUUAAAAAAAUCUAAAAAAUUAUUUGAAGAGUUGUAUAAAAAAUAUACAAAAUUUUAUUAAAUACAUUAAUAGUAAAAUUUUUUAAUUUUAUAAACAAAAUAACACAUCUUUUGUAUAUUUAAAAAAUUUAAUUUAAAAAAUAUAUAUUAUCAUUUUAAUUUAAUUUGUAAAAUUAAAAGAUUUUACUAUUAAUUUAUCAAAUAUUUUUUAAAAUAUAAUUUCAAAAUUUUGUGAAAAAAUAUGAAUGAAUUAAUUUUAAAAAUUGAAAUCAACAUCAAAAUAAAAAACAUUAGAAACGUAUUAGUUUUUCUGCAUUGUCAUUACCAUUUUUCUUAUUCAAAUCCUUGUGAAAGACAGCAAGAGAAGGGGCCAAGCAUCGACUUCUUUUCCUAAAUUAUUUAACCAGUAAAUAAAAGUGCAAUGGCACAUGGAUUAGCAACAAAUUGACCGCACAUGCAGGUCACGUGCGCUUUAACGGUCCCUAACAGGUUUGUUAAAGUUUUGUUUGUUUCUUUGUUGGUGUAAUCUUUUUUAGUGUUUCUAAAAAAAAAAAGGUUUUUUCCUUAUCAUUCACGGCGCAAACAGUGGUUUUAUGACGCGAUGCUUUUAAGAGGCAUAAGAUCUCAAUUUUAUUCAUAUUUAAUAAAAAAUUUUAAUUUUUUAUCUGAACGAAAAUAAAAAAUAAAUAUUAUAUUAUAUAAAUAAAAAUAAAUAUAACUUUAAAUUUUUAUAAAAUACGAAUAUGAAAACAAGUAUGGAAAAAAUAAUAUAACACUUGCUUCAUUUUUAUAUUUUAUACUUAUUUAUAUAUAAUUAAUAAAUAAAUUUUUUAUUAAAUAAUAUAAAAUAUUAUUUUAAAUUAAUUAAAAUAAAUAUAUUUUUAUUAAAAAAUAUAUUAAUAGAUAUUUAUUAAAAAUUAUCUAUAAAUACAAAUUAAAAAUAAAAAAAUAUUUUUUUAUUUUUUUAAAGAUUAUAAAAAUAAAAAUUACUCAUAUUUAUUAAAUAUUUAUAAAAAUAAAAUAAAUUUAAAAUUUUAUUAAAUAUAAAUAUGAAAAUAAAUAUAAUAUAUAAAUAUAUAAAUAAAAAUAACAAAUAUUUUUAUCUUUACCUGUAUCCUAGUCUUUCACGUCCCUAAAAAUAAACGAAUGAGAGACAACAACCAAUUACGACUUACGAGGGGAGCAAGAGCUUGUAUUUGGUCUGCAUCGGGGACCACCCCCUCACCCUAACAUAUUCCCUUAUCUUGAAAUCCACAUUUCCACGUUGUUUGAUCUUUAGCUUUAACGAAAUGCCACCCUCAAUUUCAAAUAUUAAACUGUGUAGCAUUAAUUUUGACACUAACUUCUUGUUUCAUUCGAAUCCAAUUUUUAAAUGCCUUUUUAAAUAACUUGAGAGCCGAAUGUCACGCAAUUUUCUUGGAUUCUCUUUUGUUAUAAUUAUUACCCUUUUUUGUUAUUCAAAUUUUAGUGGAAGAGAGCUAGCUAAAGUCUGUUUAUAUUUUUAUAAAAGAGAAUUUGAUUUACGAAAUUUUAAAUUUUAACAGAUAAAAUGAUUUUUGAAUAAGUGUAAAUUUUCAAUAAUAAAUGAUUUUUUAUGUUAUUCAAAUAUUAAUUUUUAUAUUUGGUUCAAAAAAAAUUAAAUUACUUAAUAAAAGAUUUUUAUUAUAAUGAUUUUCUUUACAUGUGAAUAAUCACGUGAUAAUUAUUUUAAUUACUAUUAUAUUAUUAAAAUUAAACAUCUGACAGUUAUUAAACAAUUAAAAUAUAAAAAGGCUUUUAUUUUUAUAUUGUUAAAAAUAAGCUAGUUUAUUAUGAUAAAAAUAUUUUUUUUCAAAAAAAGAAUAUAUAUAUGAUAAAAUAAAAAACAUAAUAUCUAAUUGAAACAAAAUACAAUUAAAAACACAAUCUUUAAUUGAUGUUUAAAAAAAUAAUUUGCAAAAUUAUGUUUCUAAAAGUAUAAACGUAAUCUUUAAUUGAAAAAAAAUUACUACAGAUUACAUUUUUUAAAUUAGAUUAUCUUAACUGAUAUGCAAUGAAACUCCACUAUUUGUAGUAAUUUACCAAAAUUAAAAUCUUAGAGUAAAAUUUUCUAAGAUAAGAAUUGCUUGAUAAUUGAUAGUUGUACACGAAGUUUUCACACAAAGAAGAAUUCCCCAACUCCAAAUCUCAAACCAUUUACUAUUUUUCCUUCCUAAAAUACAUGAACUCACGGUUGGGGAAGGGAUUUUCAUGAAACCAUUGAAAUCGUAAAACCAAUGAAUGGUGAACUAGGUUAAUUCUUUCUUUUCUUAAUUUAUACGAAAUUAAUUUCAAAAAAUUAUUUCAUCCAUUCUAAAUGGAACUCUGUUCUUUGCAAAGACAGAGACAGUUCUACUUAUGGUAGUUUGCUACUAAGCUAACUCCAUGAUUAACUAAUUAAAUAUUAAUUAUAGCCAUAUCUGCAUGCUUCAAACUUAAUUAGAACAAGACGAGGAAAACAAUUUCAUCAACACAAAUUGAAAUUUAAUUAUUUCUAAUUACUUCUAAUGAGAUUGAGAUAUGUGCUAUAUAAAUAUUCUCAUAUUAUCUAUGAAAACUAAUUUAAAGUAUCAAUUCCAAUUAUUUAAAUAAAAAAUUCUUUCAUAAAUUCUCUUUUAUCUAAUUUUUGAGCAUACACCUGAAAUCUUUGAAUUUGAGGUGCAAAAUUUGUGAACAGUUCUUUGAAGUAAAUCUUCUAAUGUUCGUUAAAUUAGAAAGAUGAAAGAAUUAGUGAAAAACAUACAAGGGCCCAAUCAUCCUUCUCUUAUGGAGUUUCGCUUCACUUUUCUUUUCUUUUUUUUCCUAAAUUAUUCAACCAAUAAAUAACAGUGUAAUAGAAAGAGGAAUGCAUGGGUCUUAAAAGAUGUAAAUUAGAUUUGAUAAUUUAUGUAUUUGUAUUAUAUAAAAUAUUAAUAUCAAUAUAUUUAUAUAAUAUUUUACAUAAAAAUUAUAUAUUAUAAUUCAUGUCAGAUAUGAAAAUAUAAAAUAUAUAUUUUUUAAUUUUAUUAAAUUCAUUUGUGGUUUUUGUUAAGAUUUUGAACUGUCUUAUUUUUUAUAUCUAUUACUCGUAUCAUUUUAUAUUAUAUUAUUAUAUUAUAUUUUAAAUUAUUAAGUUUAAUAAACUUUAAUUUCUUUUGACUUAUUUUUUAUAAUUAUUUUAUUUUUUAUGCUUUUUUAUUCAUAAUUCUGUUCUUAUUCAAGGGAUUAGAUUCUAUACCAAAUUAUGCCCCAUGAGAUGCAAGAUUUAAUGACUAAACAAAGAAAGAGUUCAUGAAUCAAAAUCUUUUUUUUCUCCUUCCUUUAUUUAUCCUAACAUAUAUAUAUAUAUAAACCCUAAAAUUUCAGUAGCAUACAACAAAAUUUUUAUAUCAUAAUAAAUUUAGUACUUAAAUUUUUUAAAACUAAAAAUUUUAUAUUUACUUUUUUAAUAUUGAAUUGGUUCAAUUUGUCAAUGAGUACUUCAAUUAAAGUACGAAAACAUUUCAUGCAAUUCUUGUGCAUAUUAUCUUUAGCAUAUUUGGAAGUUUAUUUAGACUCUAAAAUAUUUUGAUAAAAGACUGAAAAUCUGAACAUCUAUGAGUUUUCAUUUUUUUUAUUAAUAUAUGUUUUAUGUAUGCUUGUUGCAGGACUCUCCUUUUGAUUGAAGUUGUUGAAAAUGCUGUGAAAAUGUCUACUCUUUUCACUUUUCUUACCAGUAAUUUAUGGAAUUUUAUUUAUUAUCAUUAGAAAUUUUUGUUUCAAUGGUUUUUUAUUUCUCUUGGAUUUCCUCUAUGUUACUGUCAUUGUGCAUGUAUUGCAUGUUUACAAUUUGUUAUUAUUAUUGAAUAAAGGUUCUUUUUUAUUAUUAUUAUUUUGUAAUUAUGAUUUAGUUUUGUUAGUAAAUUAAUGUGUAGCUUGUCUCAUAGAUUGCAUUGCAUGCAUGAGGUGAGUUUCUCUGUUUCAGUUGUAUAGAAAAUAUUGCAUGAAGCUUUAUUAUUAUUAAUUUUAUAUGAAAUCAGUGUUCAUAAAUCCCAGAAAAGAAACAUGUUAAUGGGGGGGUUAUCUUUAGUCUUCAAUGAAUCCAAGGCUGGGGGGAGAUCUAUACCGUGUUAUUUUUAUCAAAAUAUGCCGUUUUAGUCGCUGAAAGUUUGAAUUGUUGGAACAAUUUUCAGAUUUUUUAUGGAAAUUCGAAGUGAUUCUUUCAUUGUUGGGAAAAAAAUUAGAGGCUAUUUUUUUUUCAUAGGAACACAAACAGAUAGAUUUGUAUUGAAAUAUGUUCAGCCAUGAUUUCUUGGUUUUUAUUCCUAUUGUAAUUAGCUAAUUCAACCUGUUGGCCAUGAUUUUGGGUCAUGUUGCUUUGCUGGAUUUAUACAUGUUGAAUGAGUAUUAUUGAUGUCCACAUUACCUAUGUUUGAUAAGAAACAUGAUUGUGACUGCCCCAUUUUCUCCUGCAAUAGCUCGAUAGCUUCACUAAAUAAGAUACAUGAUUGUUGGCUGGGAUAUUCCUAAAGAGGAUGGGUGUUCAACAUGGCCUUAAUGACCUGCAGUGGUGUUGAGAAGGCAACAUUCUUGCUUGAUGAUUUAUGAAGUUGAAUAUUUGCCUUUUGACAUGUUUGUUAAACACGGUUGUGCUUUGUACCAGCUUGGUUGUAUAGGCUAUAAUGUACCUGCCCUUUUGUCUUCCAGGAAAGAAACAGUAUUAAGAUCUGUGGAAAAAGCAAUUUCUUUGCUGCAAAUUUGUGAUGGAUCAAGACAAUGACCAAGAGAAUAAAUCUGAUGCAUCAGCAGAUGUUCCGCUGAAACGCAGACGUGGUCGCCCGAGGAAACAUCCGAAAUAUAAUCUAAAAUAGGGGGAGAAUCCAAAUCUGAACUGUGCAGGGAAUACCCGUAUCCGACCUGGAUUUGAAGGGGUGAACGGAAAUCAACCCCGUCAAGCAAAUUCAAUCAAUGAUGCAAAUGAUAUAAUGGUGGGUCAUUCUGUUUAUAGUAUUAUUGAGGCAGCAUUUGUUGCAGGAUAUUUGCUCACUGUUAGCGUUGGUAACUCUGACACCACUUUAAGGGGUGUGGUUUUCAAGCCUGGCCAUUUUGUUCUUGUUUCAGCUGAGAAUGAUGUGGCACCAAAUGUUCAAAUGAUCAGAAGAAAUGAGAUUUCCUUCCCAAGGGAGAGGAAUGAGCAGCAUGUCAAUUCUCAUAGAAAUGGAUCUGCUCAUUCAUUCAAUGAACCGGUUGUUGUCAACCAGGUGCCUCCAGCCUGGUUUUCAAACCUUGAAGGCUCAAAAAGCAAACAUGUGCAGUCGGUGUCAACACAAUCUGCUUCUCCACUAAUGACCAGAGGCAUUGUGGUGCCCGUUGUGCUCCAAACUGCUAAUUUAUCAAACCGCGAAUCAGUUUCCAACCAACCAUCUCUGGUUGCAAGCCGACCAGCUCAUUUGGUGGCCUCUAAAGGCAAACAAGUGUCUGAAGCUGCUGAUACAUCAAAUGAGGGAAAACCCACCAACCAGAUGCCAACAGUUAGAAAUCAAAUAUUUCCUACUCAAUCUCUAAGUAGUAACCACAGCAUGCCAAAAGGCAUACAAAGUGAAACUGUUUCAUAUAAUCAACCCGCAACAGAGUUUUUUCUGGAGACAGAAGCCAUGUCAAUGACUGGCAUGCCUUUUGAAAAACUAUUAACUGUAGUCAUGAAAAGAACUCAAGUACCCCCACAACCAUCGGAGGCUCAAGGUGGUAAUUUGUUGGUCAAAGAUUCUGGACACAACCUGGAAGAUGAUCAGCCACUCUCUAUUGAACCAAUGCAAGCUGUACAGCCUGCUCAUUCUUCUUCUGUGCUCAAACAUUUGGAAAAUUUUCGAACUGAAAAGAUGACUGAGCUGCUGAAGGUAUAAUAAUUUUGAACUAGAAUUUUAUUUCCAUUUGACUAAUCUAUUAUGCCCUGAGGUUUGACAUAGACUGAUACACUGCACUCCUCUUCAAGGCUGUUCGGAAAACAAGAGGGAAACUCAAGCAUCUCGCACUGAAGAGCUAGCCGUUAGAUUUGGAGAAACUUAGCAUGGAGAUAAAGAAAUGCAUGAUUCCAAUAAGCAUUCACAGGUUUCGAGGGUCUAAUUCAGCAGGCAUUUUACUAGCAGGUUCUGGACUAGCUCACAUUUUGUAGAGUGUUUUAGUUGAAUCAGAUAGAUUCUGUAAAAUGUUUUAGAUCCUAAACUAGGCGAAGGAGCUAAAUGAUCCCUGGACGGUUAUGACCUUAAAGCACAAAAUGCUGCACGGGAUCUUCUAUCCUUUAACCUGAGGAUCAAAACUGAUACCAUUACUUGGAAUUAAAGAUUUUAUUUUUGUCACUUCACAGAUUUAUAGAAAAUCUAUCUUCAUUUUACUUUAUGCUUUGUCAUCAUUUAGAGUCCAUUUAGGAGUCCGACUGGAGGGCUCCCCAUAGCGCAUUUUAUGGUUGGACACUUAGUAAACGGCCCUUAUUAAAUAUAUGCGGCUUCCUUAUAUUAAGAUCAUCUAAGCAUUGAGCACGGGACUUGUGAUGUGGUCAAUUAAGUGGAAACUAAAUGUCUUGAAUAGAAUACAAAAUCAUCAGUGGCUAUGGAGAACGUUUGCAAAUGAUUAUGAUGUCAAAAUCAUGAUGGGGGGUUUUUCCCGAACCGUGUUUGUUUCAGAACUCAGGUUAACUCUUGCACUGGGUUAAACCUUGCUAUAGAUUAGCCUCCAUUCUUCUACCAAUUCAUCAUUGAGAGUCUUACCUAGCUGUCACCGCCUCGACAGCCUCUUCAUGAAGUACAAAUCUUCAGUAGAACGUUUAUUGAUUAAUUGAUUGUAGAUUUGAAUACGAAGUUUAGUUUAAUUGGUUUAUGUAAUCGUUUUUAAAAAAUAACAUUCAACAAGUCUAAAAUUCGAAUAUUAAGCUAUUAGCACUUAUAACUUCUAUUCUUAAAUUGUGAUCUUAUUCAAUAAAUAAAUUUAUGAUUUGAGUUAAUUCUUCAUUCGUAAAGAACCUUAAGUUUUUUGGUUGUCAAAAUUACAUAAAUUAGUUACCUUAUAAGGCUAUGCUGCUCUAUCUAUUGUAUCAAUAACCAAAUUGAUGAAAAAAAUAACAUACAAGCCAAUUUCACUUGCAUUGUUGAAUCGCUUUAUGAUAGUUUAAAACUCUUAUAAUAUUGCUAAUGAUCUUAUCUUGGUUGCAAGAGGAGGUUCUUGAAAUAUUCAAAUCUCAAAGUUCAAGUUCUAUUAUUCUUAGAUUUGAUCUAAUUGUAUAUUCGAUUUGUUUAGUUUUAUGUUGAUUCACUAAUUUAUUAUAAUAAUUAUUAUUGAAAAUGAAAGAAUUUGAAUCCCAUGUACCAUUCCUUGAGUUAUGUGCUCUCAAUUCGUAUAUAUUUGAUAAUUUAUGUAUUCAUAUCAUGUAAAAAAUUGAUAUUUUGUAUAUUUGUAUCAUAUUUACGUAAAAAUUAUAUAUCAUAAUUCAUGCCAACAUUAAAAAUAUAAAAUAUAUUUUUUUAUUUUUGUUAAAGCAUAUAUAAUUUUUGUUAAAAUUUUAGUCAAUAUCACUUUUGUUUUUUUGUUUUCCAAUAUAGAUCCAAAUUAAUUAUUCGAACAAAAUAUCGAACCUAUAUAUAAGCAAAUAUUCCUUUAUCAUCGAAUUAAACCUAAGUAAGGUAAAUAACUUUCUUUUAAUUUCUGUCUAAAAAUUUUCUUUUAACUUCAUCAAUAACCUUAAACAUGGGUUUUCAUUUGUACCUAUACAAUUUGUGGUUUCUGAGUUUCUUUUAUCAUUAAACCAACAUGUGUUUGAUUUGGGUUAUAUUUUUACUUUUCCUUUGUAAAUGUCAUGAAUUCAUCAUCAUUAUUGCAUGAUAUCUUUUGGUAUUAUUGUUGGGGCUGCUUCUACAAAAUUUGCCACAACUUAAAACAAAAAAUCUCCACAAAGUAUAUUGUAGGUAAAUUUGUGGUAUAAUUAACUUCAAAUUCAAUUUAAUUCAUUAUAUUUUUAGAUACUGAUAUGGGUCUUGACACAUUUUGAACACUUUAAUGUUCAUAUUUGUAGGAUACUUUGAUUUUUAAAUUUAAUAUAAAAGAUUAUCAAAAACAAAAUUUAUUCAUGUUCGAUGUCCUAUCACACAAGUUCAUAUAACAUAAUGUAUAAAUAGUAUACCACUGAAUUAAUUAUUAAAUCACCACAACAAAAACAAGCAUGGAAGACCAUCUAUGACAUGCAAGUAGACAAAAAUAUGUACUACUCAUCCAUACAAGCUGCUAUAGGGAACUAAUAAGGAACCAGCAAACCAAUCUAAACAUAAAAAACCAUGUUUCUUAAGAGUACAUGAAUUUUGCCAACAAUCCCUAGGCCAGGAUAUAAGAAAAGGAUUUAUGAGACCUGUAAGCUUAAGUUCGAGUUCAAAUAUAAAAAAAAAAAAAGCCGUGACAUUUGUCUUAAAUGAAUGGCUAAACAUGGCUUUAUUUUACAAUAUCAAACAAGUAAAUGCAAUGCAACAUAGGGUAAACUAGUCCUACACUGCAAAGUAAAGCUCAAAAAGUAGAGAAAGUAGAGAUCCAAUCAAUUGACAGCAUCAUAAAACAAAAAGCUCAAACGAUGAUAAGCACAAUUAAAUAUCAACCACAUAUCAUUUGAGGCAAAAAAUUGAUAAGAAUUUAAAUAAGAAAAUUGAUUAAGGAAAUUAUAAAUAUAUGGAUAGAGGCGGAUUCAAGAUUUUUGUUGGGAAGUAUUUACUUAUAAUAUAUAAAAUACUAUUGACAGAUUUAUCAAUUUUAUCCAUGAAAAAGGUGUUAAGAAGAAAGUUUUGGAUGUUCAUGAAAAUUUUUUCUUUAAAUUUUUUUUAUUUUCUAAAUUUUAAGAGUUUCCAGAAAAAAAUUUAAGGGUAUCAACACAAAGUUUUCCUUAAAUUUUUUUUUAAAUGGACACACCGCAAUACCAUGUAAAUCCGCCUCUGUACAUGGAAAAAUGCAUAACCCCUCCAAUUCCUUCAACUUGUCCUCAAAUUCAUCAACUUCUGUUAAUUGGUUCCUAUCAAGCCAUUUAACAGUCUCAUUAAUGGCCUUCUUGAUCUUCUGCUUGUCUGCCGGGUCAAGUUUUCCAACAAACUAAUCAUCUUUCACGGUUUUCCUCGUAUUGUAUGCGUAGUUCUCGAGGGCAUUCUUGGCCUCCAGCUUUUUCACAUCCUCAUCCUCUACCUUGUAUCUCUCUGCCUCUUACACCAUUAUUUACUUUGUCAUUCCAAAAAAAAAAAAGAAAUCUUGCUUUGACAAUUGAAACCUCAAUGUUGACAAAGUUAUCAACAAAAAGGAAUCAAUAUUUUAAAAGUAAUUUGUUAUUCAGUAUAUCAAAUUUGUUCUCCAUCUAUUUUUAUAGACCAUGAAAAGCAAUGGGAAAGUACCACUAGGCAAUCUUCCAUGGUGAAAUUACGAGACAAUUUUCAUGUAUGAUGCUAAAAGUUAUCGAGCAGGAAAAGGGCAAUUCUUUCUUCUUUUUAUUGGUAGGUAUAAUAAAACAUUUCCCAUUUGUAAGCUACGAAUGCAUUAUUGUUACUAAACUUGGUAACAAAAACUCAUUUCACAAAGGUGAUAAGUUGCUUUUCAACCAUUCUUAAAAAGUUUUGAACUCUACAUAGUUCCAAUCUGAAUAUUUAUACACAAACUGAAUCAACAAAGAAACUUAACAUUGUUAUCAUCUUAUUGCGCGCUUUAUAUUCUCAUAUUUACUUCUGACAGGUCAUAACCAUCUAAAAGUUAAGGGUCCAGCCAGUCGAGUUUACUCAUAACUUGAUGAUGCCUCCAUGGAGUUCCAAGAAGGAAAUAUAGUGCCAGCCGGAAGUCAACAAGAAAAAAUUGCACAAAAACUGCCAAAGAGCAUAUUCUAAUAAAUAAGAGGAUAAAGAAUGAUUAUACCUUUCACAUAGCUGAAAGCUUUUACAAAGACCGCAAAACCAUCGCCAUCCGGAUAAUAUAGGUCUAUGGCAACAUAUGCAGACAAACUGCAGGUGGGCAAUGAUAGAGUCAUCCUUAAUAGGUAGAAUAUUUUGGCCCAGCUACCAAAAGAAACAAUGAAAUCAAAUAUUAAGUGACUAUUAUAGUUGCAUAAAAAAGGAUUCAAUAAAAAGAAAUAACUAAACAGAUCUAAAAUAGCAUGUUUUCAUAAUUACAUCUACCGCAUGUAAUUUCUUUGUCUAAUUCCAGUGUGCUUAAAGGAAUAGUCAAAAAAAUAAAGCUCCUUCCAUAGCAUGAAGGGAAUCGGCCAAAGAAUGUGUCAAGAUGAGCUGACAAAAUAUCAACUAAUUGGUUCGUGAUGGUGGCAGUUAAGGGUCAAAAAACUAUAUGAAAGAGUGUAAAAUUUGGCAUGUCUCCUUCUGAAUGGGUAUCUACACCCCCACCUCAAACACACCAAAAAAAGAAAAGUUAAACUGCAAAAUUUAAUCCAUUUCUCGGCGCAAAUAAUACCGACUACAAAAACUGAAAGAAAGUGAUCUAUCAAAUUCAUUCAUGCUUAGGCUUGAACAUUUAACUAUAAAAGCUACAGCUAACUCCACAAGGUUCAUCAAUUUAUCCAUGGUUUUAAAAUAAAAUAUUUUUAAAGACCAUGGUUUUUAAAACUCAGAAGCAACAACGAUAGAAAAAAUAAAUCUAAAUGGACGGAAACUCAUCUGCUAUGUUUUCAUUGAAGCAUUUCAUUGAACAAAUAACAAGCAUCAUAUAAAAUGCCUUAAUUUGAUGUGACCAAAAAUUGCAGAAACGAUGCAAAGUACCAACAGCAAAAACUAAAGAUCUAUUCAAUACCAGUGAAUCAGUUACUAUUAUAAAAAAUUGAACAUUAUUAGUAAAUGGAAAAAAAAAGACUAACGACUUAAAGUAAUGGCCAGAGGAUUACAGAGCAUGGCACGAAAAUGUGAGAAUAUACAGUCAUUUAUCUAUUCAAUACCUUGAAGUAAUUCUCCACAAAAGUGGGAUCCCCAAGAGUUGAAUGCUGCUUACAAUCUCUUACAAUUGGACAGCUUGUGUUUUAAAUUUUUUGCAAUUCUGUUUCUCUUUGAAGACUUCUUUAAAAACAAUAUUACAUUUCAUUAGAUCUGUAAGCAAUACUAAAUUACCACCUGCAAUUACAAUCCCAACUCUCCCAACCCUCACAUGCCACACCCAUCCUUUAUUUUUUUCUGUCAUUUUCCUUUAGACAAAGAAAAGAAACAAGACCAAGUCAAACGUAUUACCUAUAUACUUUACAGCUUGAUUACAAAGGUUCCAACUAAUGGUAGAAAAUUUUUUUUCUAAACAGAAUUAUAAUUAGUAUAUAUGCAUCAAAUACUCUGAAUAUCAUUUAAGGCUUGCUAACAGUAAAUUAAUCAAAAACUUUGGGAUUAAGAUCAAAUUUGUCUCCACAUUUUGAUUUAAUAUUAAAAUUUGUCAUUAUACUAUCAAUUCGUUGAUUUUUGGACAACAUCCUCUUUAAUUUCUUCAGUUUGCCUGAUGGCUUCAUUGACAUCAUGUUGCAAACGACCUUGUACCACUGUCUCUUACCUGAGGUCUUUAACAUAACUGGCAAAACAGAAAACAUAACUAAGAUGAGGAAUUGCAUGCUGGUGCCACCAGAAGCAGGGGCGGAUCCAUGCUUUGAAACAGGGUGUCCAUGGAUUGGAAAACAAGAUUGUUUGACAGAAAAACUUUUCUUGCACACCUCCAAAAUUUUCUGUUGCCACCUUUUCAAUCAGCAAAAUUGAUAAAUCCGUCAUUUAUAUAUAUAUAUAUAUAUAUAUUUAUUUAUAAGUGGACGCUCCCAAUAAAAAAAAAAUUUGGAUUAGCGACAAAUGUCACAGAUAGACCAAAAUUAGCCAUGCCUGAGAAUCGAAAUUUAAAAGACAUUCUGAAUUAGUACAUGGAAUGUCAUUGACAAAUUAAUAAUGAAGGAGAACCUCUGAAACUUCGCUGAGCACCUGAACUCUUAGCAAUUCCUAUCUGAAACUGCCCACAACGGGUGAACAAGUCACGGAUAAAUCAGCUUGAUAUCUAGGAAGGGAAAGAAAACAGAGCCUUCAUAUUUAAUCACUAUUUCUGUAUCUGCAAAAGAAUUAAGACAGAAGCAUGUAGUUAGACAAAAUCAUAGUUUUUACAGAAAGCUCAAUUAAGAUAGAACCAUAGCUUUUUUAGCAAGCUCUCAGCAAAAUCACUUCUUCCCUAGUUCCUACAUGUUGUUAUCCUUUGACCACAACUUGCAAUUAAUGUCCUUAUUACAAAACCUUUUGAAUUUUAAAAUGGAAAAUAUAGGGAAAAAGAUUUUCUCAAAAAUGAUAUAAAGAAAUCAACAUCUGCUCUUUGCACAAACAAUAAGUAAUCUGAAAAGAGGAAGCAAAAUUUUGGAGUAUCCUCCGAGUCUUUGUCUAUUUUGUGAGCUUUAACAGCCUUUACCGCCAAUAAAAUAGUUACAUAUGGAUCCAUUCACUGAUUAAUGAGAAACAAACUAAUUUUCAGAUUCUAGUGGAGAUACGUUAGCCAAAAUUAACACAUAAGUCAUAUUAUGAGAUAAGCAAUACUGAUGUUGAUCAUAGCAAUGCUUUGUUUCAUGUUGGAGAGGUUUCAUUUCUCUUUCAAAAUCCGUGGCGUCACAUGCACAAAAUACAUAGUUCCUUUCUCUGUCCAGAUUAAUGCUAGUCAACACUGCUUUGGUAUGUUCUCCACACCCUCAAGAUUUACAAAAAUCUGCUUUGUCAGCCAUGGUUACAUUCAUCCAUCCUGCCUCGGUUAGCGUAUACUUGAAUGAGCAACUUCAUUCAGGACUUUUUUUUCUUCUAAUUAUUGUAGAAACUCUUGCCAACGAGGGUAUGAGGCGGAUGUAUAGAACAGUAUUCCACCUUCAACUUCCAUGCUUGAACACUAUUCAAUUAUGGUAACAAAGUCAAAGCUAUACACAAUCUGUUUAAAAAAAUGCACUUGAUUGGGAGUCUGCAUUUAUCAAUAUACCAAUAUCCUUGAUGCCCCACAAUUUAUUAGACUAUAGAGAAAAUGUCAUAAUUAACAUAAGAAAUGACAUAAGUAAACACGAAUGCAACCAACAUUGUUCAUUUAUUUAUUUAUUUUUGUUUUUGCAAACUUUUCUUUUUUUUUUUGUUUCCAAAAAUAGAAAUAAGGGAAUAACUAUUAAAUAUCAAUUAAACCACUAAAUUAAAACUUAGGAUAACACAUAAUUCAUUUUUGGUUUGACUCUAAAAAAAAAAUUCUCUAUUGGUAUCAUUAAGCUGUUACAACAUGCAGGUUCAAGAACCAGACCAGUUAGACAAAAUUUUAAAAUUAAAACAAGAAGUCAUUAUUAAUCUUUUUGGAUUACGUAUGAUUAGUCACCUUAAAAGUUUUUUUUAAUAAAAAUUUUAAUUUGAUUAAAACUUAUUAAAAAGAUAUUUUUUUGGCAUGCGAAAUCACAACUAGGUUUAUGAAUAUGGUUAUGUGUGGGGAAGGAUUAACAUCCCACAGAACCCAUUAGAAAUGGCACUAAUUAAUAACAUGUAAUUCUUUUAUUAUAGAUAAAAAAUGGCCUUAAUUUUAAAAUUGAAAAAUAAUUUCUUAAAUCCCAUUUAUUAUUAUAAAACCCCCCUUUUGUCAAUUUUUUUAGAAUCGCUUUAACAAUUUUAAUUCAAUUAAAAUUUAUUAAAAAAAUAUUUUUUUGUAUGCGAAAACACAUCUAAGUAUAGUUGCAUGUGGAGAAGAAUUAGCAUCCUAUAAUACCCACUAAAAAAUGUACCAAUUAAUAACAUGUUAUUUUUUAUUAUUGAUAAAAAAAAUGACCUUAAUUUUAAAAUUUAAAAAUAAUUUCCUAAAUCCUAUUUAUUAUCUUAAAACCUUUUUUUCUGCCAUCCUUUUUAGAAUCGCUUUCUUUAGGAAUAAAAUGAAAAAUUUUCGUUUCAAAACAUUUUUAAAUUCCUCAAUAACUAGAUGAAAUUUAGAAAAAUGUUUUUUCGUUUGGGUAUUUUCAUGAUAAUCCUUAAAACCAAAGAUAAUAUUUUUGGGUAAAGAAUAAUUGUUGAGAAUUUCUCCCAUAUCUAAAUAGGGUCUUAGGAAAUAUUUUACUUAGGAUAUUAUCUUAUUUUAUUUCUAAAAAAUAAGUUUUUUUUCAAAAUCAUCUUUUACUACUUUAUAUAUUUUUUGAGAAUAGUAAAACGCAUGUGAUGUAACAUAAGGCAAAUUAAUGAUGCAAAUAUAAACUAAAAGAUACAAAUGAUAAAUUUAAUUUAUCUUAUAAAUCUUUAAUUUUAUCACUUUUUAUUUUCUUCAUUGUUUUUUUUUAAUAUUUAGUGAUAAAAUGAAAAUAUUUAUAUGUUUUUGGAAGUUACCUUUGUGCAUUAUCAACUUUAUAAUAUUUAUAAAUCCGAUAAUAUUAAAAUUUUAAAUUAAUAUCUCAUCAUAUAUGAAUUUAAUUUAAUUUAUAUUAAAUUUAUUAAAUUAUUUGUUGAUUUAUUUGUUUGAUUUAAUUCAAUGAUUUUCUUAUAGGAAUAUAAUACUUUCUUAUACUAUUAAGUUCAUAAAAAAAAAUUAAUAAGUAAAGAAUCUCCUAAAAUUUCCAUUGACAUGCAUUUUUUUUGGAACUCUUGAAUGCUUUGCAACGAGACUAGCUUUUUUGCUUUCUAAUAACUGGAAAAAGUCAUAUAUAAUCUUAACUAGAAAUAAGGAGAAUGAUUUUUUGGCUUUAAUUUGAAAUUUAAAACUAGAAAUUAAAGAUCUCCCCUCCCCAUGACUCAUAUACCAUAAUCACUACUUAUGAUUAGUAUGGUUAAUCGAAUUCUUUCUAAUUAUAUUAAGGAAAAACGAAAAUGAAAAGAAUAUUAAAAAAAGUAUGUAAGCGGUUAGUUGUACAUUAUUGGCCUCAAAUACGAUUGGUUUAUAUUUUGAUUUUUUGUCCAUGGAAAUGCAUUUUUUAUAAUAAAUAAUAAAUAAAUAAAUUUAGUAACCAAAUAAUUCAAAAUUUAAAACUAAAAAAAAUAUUCACAUGGAUGCAAAUGCAUUUUCAUUAAUUAAUUUCAUUUCACACUGUUUAAAAAAUAAUAUUUAAUACACGACUGGAUCAAGAGGUGAGCCUAUGGAUGAAAUAUGGCCAAUCUUCAAUUAAUUAACAAAUCAGAGAAAAUGUACUUAUAUUGCUGACAUCAAUAAAAACUAAAUGAAAAUAUAAUAAAAAAGAGGGCCAAAACCUUUUGUCCUUUUUCAUAAUGAUGCACCUUCCAACAAUAUUUUAUCCCUUGGUCUUUGAGGAAAGUGAUGGCCUUGGAGUACUAUGUUGUCUUCUUCCAAAUGAACCACCCAAAAAUUCCCAUUAAUUAGAUGAAUUAUAAAAAAUCUUAAAGAUCACAGCGGAAUUUAAAAAAUUAUAUAAUGUAAAAGUUGAACUACAUGUUUUGAUUUGGUUUAUAUUUUUAGUUUUCCUUUUUAAAUGUCAUGAAUUCAUUAUCAUUAUUGCAUGAUAUAUAUCUUUUGGUAUUAUUGUUGGGGCUGCUCCUACAAAUUUUGCCAUAACUUAAAACAAAAAAUCUCGAAUGUCUGUAAAUUUGUGGUAUAAUUAACUUUCAAUUCAAUUUGGUUCAUUAUAUUUUAAGAUACUUGAAUGGGCCUUGACACUUUUAAACACUUUAGUGUAUAUAUAUAUAUAUAUAUAGGAUACUUAGAUUUUCAAAAUUAAUAUAAAAAAUUAUCAAAAUAAAAUUUAUUCAUAUUUGAUGUUGUAUAACGCGAGUUCAUAUAACGUAUAUAUAAAAUAACUUAUCAUUGAAUUAAUUAUUAAAUCACCACAAUAAAAACAAGCAUAGAAAACUAUCUAUGACAUGCAAGUAGACAUAACUAUGUAUUACUCAUCCAUUCAAGCUGCUACAAGCAACUAAUAAAGAACCAGCAAACUAAACUGAACACAAAAAAACAUGUUUCUUAAGAGUAAAUGAAUUUUGCCACCAAUCUCUUGGCCAAGUGAUAAGAAGAGGAUUUAUGAGAUAUGCAAGCUUGAGUUCGAGUCCAAAUAUUAAAAAAAAAAUACAUGAAGUUUGUCUUAAAUGAAUGGCUAAAUAUGGCUUUAUUUCACAAUAUCAAACAAGCAAAUGCAAUGCAACAUAGAGUAAAUUACUUCUUCAUUGCAAAGUAAAGCUGAAAAAGCAGAGAUCCAAUCAGUUGACGCACCAUAAAACAGAAAGCUCAAAUAAUGAUGAGCACAAUCAAGUAUCAAUCACCUAUCAUUGAGGCAAAGAAUCAAUAAGAAUUUAAACAAGAAGCUUGAUUAAGGAAAAUCAUAAAUACAUGGACAAUGGUGGAUUCAAGAUUUUUGUCAAAAAGUGUUCACUUAUAAUAUAUAAAAUACUGUCGAUGGGUUUAUUAAUUUUAUCCAUUAAAAUCAUGUUUAGAAGAAAAUUUUGGAUGUUCAUGGAAAAGUUUCCUUUAAAUUUUCUUAUUUUUUUAAUUUUUAGGAGUCUCCAAAAAAAUUUUAUGGGUAUCCAACACAAAAUUUUAUUUAAAUUUUUUUAUUUUUCAAUGGACACCCCACAAUACCAUGUAAAUCCACCACAGUACAUGGAAAAAAAUCCCUAUUUACCUGCUUAGCUAACAAGUUUCUCCUGAAUUUUCACUUCCUUGUGUAACGUUAUCCUUGUUUCUCCCACAGUCAUAUAUUGUGGUACUUGAUCUUCCCAGCUUCUCCAAAUUAUAUCAUUGCAAGUGGUUUGAUUAUCAACUAUUUCUUCCAUUGUGGUGAAACCUUCUGUUGUAUUAUUCUGAACUUGUUGGGGUUCCUUCACAACAAAUUACCCAAAAAAGUGACAUAAAGUACUAAAUUUCCGUUUUCUUGUCACGAGGAUACACAAAAAAUAAAGACAAUUCUUAUUAAGUAAAUAAUGCUAGAAGUAAUUAAUUAAUUAAUUAUGCAUAUGACUUGUGUGUAUAUAAAAGAAUCAUCCAAUUCAUAAUAAUGUGUAGUUAUUUACUAGCAUAACUUUUGUUUCAAUGCAUCAUCAUUUCAUCAUUAGUAUCAAUAUGAUCAAGAACAACAAAUUAAUUAAUUAAGCAUAAUAGUUAGAAAAACAGUCGGUUAGGUACCUCCGUUAUGGCAGGCACUGGAUGUUUUGAAUCCAUGAUGACACUUCUGGUCAACUUGGGAGAUUUGGUUAUUUUAAAAUGAAACAAAGAAGGGAAUCGGAAAUGAUAACCCAUUGGAGCAAAACUCUUUAGGCUUGAUAGCUCAUGAAGAUUCAAAAUUUGUAAUUUAGGGAGCACCAGUCCCUUUUGAUCAUCUUCAAUGUUUAGUUCACCUUGAUACCCGAAGACUUGCUCUAGUUUAGAAGCCCCUUCAAUUUGGAUUCUCUCGAGGUUGGCAAAAGAACGGGCGACACUAAUAGGAAACAAGCUUUUCAAAUUGCUGCACCCAGAAAUAGAUAUAAAUUGAAGAAUAGGGAAGGAUAUAGGUUGGAGAUGACUCUGUGAUGAUGAUGCUAUUGAAGUUUGGUCCAUUUCAAUGAUUUCUUCCAACUCCUCACAACACUUUAUUUUCAAAACUUUCAAUUGCGGCAUAUUUGGAGCAAGCAUAGAAGAGAAGAGAGAUUUCAGCCUUUACAACUUGACACUUUUAAGUCUUUAAGAUAAGGAAGGCUUGCAACUUGGAUGGGACUCUGCAACUGAUGUAUACCCUUUAGAUUUAAAAUCUCUAUCUUUGAGAACAAGUGUCCGCCUUGAAUUUGAAAUAUAUUCUCCCAAUUAAUAGUGUCACACACAUUGUCUUGUCCCAACUCAGAGAAUCGUAACUCCUGUAUAAAUAUAAAAAUAUCAUAAUUUCAUUAAAAUUUGAAUAAAUUACAAUGGUCAAAUAAUAUAUGACGUCAAAAGUACAAAAUCUAAUAUAUACAUAAGUACAUUUAUGUGAAUAAUUUCUCUUUAUGACAUGUAGGAUAAUGUUUAUAUUAUUAUAUUAUUUAUCAAAUAACUCUGUUUAAUAAAUUAUUCAAAUUUAAUAUUUUUGAAUAAUUAUUUAAAUUCAAAUCAAAAUCUAUAAAAAAAAUUUUGCAUAAAUUUUAAAUUCAAAUAUAUUCAAUUAUAAUUUAUUUUUUCUUUUUACAUUAAUCAUAGUUCCAAAAAUAUAUGUAUUUAUAUGGUUAAUAUAUUUUUAUCUACCAUCAAAUAAUUCUAUUUAAUAAAUUAUCUAAAUUUAAUAUUUUGUAUAAUUAUUUAAAUUUAAAUCAAACUCUGUCAAAGGUUGAAAAUUUUACAUAAUUUAUCUUUCUUUUUAAAUUUAAUAAUAGUUCCAAAUAUAUAUACUUAUUAAAUUUUUAUUUAACGAAAUCAGAAUCUAAAAUUGAAAAUAAAGAGUUUAUAAAAUGAGAGGUCACCUUCUAGCCAAGCUUAUUUUAUUUGUUGUUAUUAGAAUUAAAAAUUGAAGAAUACAAGCCUUUUUUUCACUUGACGGUUAUGAUUUAUUAGUUUUGACGGGAAUGGACAAAAGUUAGAAAGAAGAGUAAACCACAUCAUACUAUGAACUAGUAAGUCCAUUGUUGCCUUUAUUAUUCUUUUAUUUUCUUUUUUGUUUGCAAAAAUAAGUAUGUGAUGGUGUUGGAUUUUUUUUAUAUAUAAUUUUUGCUUAAAUGACACUGAUUUUUUUUUAUCAAUUUCAAUAAUGGAAAGAAAAUGAAAGUACAUUUGGAUUUGGUUCCAACUCGGUAAUAAGUAGGUUCAUUACUUUUUUUUUCAUAUUUUAUGUUCUUUUUAUUUUUUAUUCCUCCAUUUGUUGUUCUUCAACUGUUUAUUUGGCCUUAUAUCUAUUAUAUGAUAUAUACAUUUGAUUUGAUUUAUCCUAAAAAAUUCAUUUAUAUUAAUUUUUAUAUAUAUUUAGUUAAGUGGAUAUUUUGUAGUGAUAAGUUCAAGAGAUUUCAACUGUAUAUGCCGUCCUCAAUUCGUUAUUGGUUUUUUUUUUGAUACAUGUAUUUGACUUUUGUUUUUAAUAAAAAGGCAAUAUAUAUGUUGAAGUAUGUGAAAAAUAAGAAUUAAUAAAAAGUAAAAUUGUUAUGAACAAAUUAAUAAUUAUAUAUGCUUUAUUGUUUAAUCAAAUAUAUAUAUAUAUAAAAGAAAUUAUUAUUAUUUUAUGUUUUAUUUUUUGUUCAACUUUAUAAGAUUUAAUAGUUUAUGAAUAUUCUAUUAAUAUAAAUGUCUUAUAAUUUAACAAAAUGAUAUAUUUUUUAUAUCCAUAUUAACAUUAUCAUAAAAACAAUUAUUAAUUUUUUACUAUUUAAAGAUUGACCCUUUAUUUUUUGAUCAAAAAAUAAAUAAUUAGUAACAAAAUUUUUUAUGUUUAGCAAAUAAAUAAAAAAAUAAUUUUUUGUUAAAAAGAAAGGAUUUGCAUAAUUCUUUGAAAUUUUGUAAAAGAUUGUACUUUAAAUGAUAAUAUGUGAAUGCUAUCAUUUAAUCAUAUCUUAGAAUUUAUAAAUGUAUGAUUAUAUAGUUGAUUAAUAAGAGUUUGCAUAUUCUUUUAUUGAGGAAAUAUAAAAAAUUAAAUUUAGUUAAAAAAAUAAAUUUAAAUUAAGAAAAUAAUAACACGGUUAAAAAAGCUAGUAUGUAUGUAAAACAAAUACCAAAGGCAAAAUCUCGAACUACAAUUGAAGGAAAAGAGUGUAACAAUACCUUUGGUUGAAGCUGUUUGUGAACUUGUAGUUGAAUAAUGAAAUUUUCCAAACGAGGACAGACCACAACGAUUAACUUCUUUAAGGAUGGUGACAUAAUGGGAUAGUUUUCUGAACAGAAGCUACUCAAAUUUAUCAAGUUUUCAAGUCGUAGAUGUUGCAGGUGACGGAGAGCAAUGGCAUGAUCAACUCCAUUCUUUUCUUCUGCGACAUUGAAGACAUACUGUAGUCGUGGACAACCAUGUAUUUCAAGAGAUGCCAAUUUUGGCAAGGGCGGAGGAUGGAGAAGGUCACUGUCUGAUUCUAUACUAUCAUCGCUUUCCAACUCUGUGGCAAUGUGUUCCAGUUCAUCGCAGUCUUCUAUCUUGAGUUGUUCUAGCAUCACCAAGCUUUGAACAAGUGAUGGUGAGAAGAGAUAUUUCAUUUAUUGCAGCGACUAAUUACUGCAACCUUCAGGCUUUGGAGGCAGACAUGAUGGCUGGGCCCUUUCCAUAUCCACUUCAAUUCUGGUAAUGACUUCAGCUUCAAAUUUGUUAAAUUUGGCAGCGGUGGAAUGGUUGAGACAUGGCCUUGAACUCUUGUAUCAAUCAAGCAUUCCAGCUCUUUACCAUCUUUAAGUGUAAGAAAAGUUAAUUCAUGUAGACCCCGUGAAUCGACGUUUGGAAUGAGAUUUUUGUGAUGCAUGAUUCCAUCCGUGGUAAGUUUUUUGACAUUGCAUAAUAAUUCCUUGAAACCAUUAAUGGAACAUCCUGAUAGAUUCACAAUAUAAAGGAAAACAGCAACAAAAUUCGAAACAUAUAAUGAGAUUUCUCUUAUUAGAAAAAAGAAAGAUUUGAGCUAAAAGAAUAUUUUUAUCCUUCACUUUUUACUGAAAGUUCAUUACUGUAAAAAUUUAAACAAUUAAAAUUAAACUGAGUAUAACUAAUAUAGGUAUGACACUACAUGGACACAAUAACACAAUAAUUUUAAAAAUAGAGGACAUGGAUACGAUAAAACAUGACAAUAAAAAAAUAUUUUUAUAUAUAUUUUUUAUCCAUAAAUUUUUAUAUGAAAAUAAAUUGAACACAAUUAUAACAUAAUUAAUGAUGUGUGUAAAACUAAAAUAAAAUUUUAUUAUUGCUAUGCGUAAAAGUAAAAAAUAAUUGAUAUAAUUAUAAUUUUAUUAAUUUAAUUUUUAAUACUAAUAGAUUAUAAAAUUUUAAACUUUUUAAAUAAUUUUAUUUUUCCUUAUUUUUCAUUUCUUUUCUUUUACUUCCUACAUUUUCUUCUUUCAUUUCUUAUUUUUUCUUUCUUUUUCCCUUUUUUUCCCUUCCCCAAAUCGUACGAUUUAAAAGCUUUAUCAAUUCAAUAAUAAUAGUUAUUGAAUAAUAUUUUAUUAUAUAAAGAAUAAAAAAAAUGAGAAUAAACAUACAAAGAUUUUAUAAAGUGUGUUAAUAAAGAGAAAAAAGAUACAUGGUGUUAGUUUUCUCAACCUGCAAGACAUGUAAUAAAUAUACAUUUAAUAAAACUUUUUUCUUUUAAACUUCAACAAAAGCUAAUUAUGUAUAAUAUAUAUAUAGUAUUUGUUUUCUCAAUCUGCAAGUCAUGUAAUAAAUAUACAUUUAGAUUAGUUAGUAAUAUAAUUUAAUUAAACUUUCUUUCUUUUAAACUUCAAUAAAAGUUAAUUAUAUGAUCAAUAUAUAAAAUUUAGUAAUUUCUCAUUAUUCAUUGAAGGAGAAAUGGAAAGAGAAAAGGUACCUGAAGCUCAACCAUUUCUUGGGGAAAAUCAAAGACUUGCUCUAAUCUAUCGCAGUCAGAUAUUUACGAGUCUUGUAGGUGCGAACAACUUUGAGCAAGGCAAGGCGGGAAGAUGGAUUUCAAUUCACUGCAUUCCCCGAUGUUUACAUCCUUUAGACUUUGGAGGCUUGCAUGACAUUGAUGGGCUGAUUGUAAUUUCCAUAUACUCUCCAAUUCUGGUAAGAAUGAUAGAUUCAAGCUUGUUAAAUUUGAGAGUAACGGUGUCUGACUAAUUUCUCCCUUUUAAAGAAGACUAUUCGUUUCAAAUACCACUUUCAACCGCUUACAAUCUUCAACGGUCACAUCUUUUAACUUUUGUAAGAAGCUAAUCGGACGCGGACCAUGGCGCAACUCUUUCAAACAAGUCAUUUUCACCAUUCUCAAUUUCACCAAAUUAGAGAACGCAGUGGUUGGUCCUUUCUCUCGUGUUGUAUCCAUUAAGCAUUCCAUAUUAUUGCAAUCUUCAAGCUUAAGAGAAGUUAAUUCUUCUAGGCCCUUUGGAUCUAUGUUUUGUGUUUCAUGACAACAUUCUUCAGAGCCAACUCUCCGACAUUGCAAAACAACUCCUUGAAUGCACUUAAUGAAGACGAGAAUUCAGUAAUUUCCAAGGUUCUAAAGUUUAGCACCUGCAUAAAUGGAUGAUAUUCAUUUACAGCUAUAAUGAAACUUUGUAGUUUAGGGAACACAAAAUUUUCUGGAAAACAUUGAGCUGUAGAAACACUCAAUGACAGUGCAGUCAAACGAGAUAAUGAAUUCAGCUCCGAUAAGUUAACAUUGUUUUCACAUCCGAUGUGUAGCUCUUGGAGUGACGUCAACCUGUUUGUUACACAAAUACCAAAAACCAUUAUCAAACACUUCAAGUGAAUCAUAAAAAUAGAAGUAAACAUAAGUUAAUUUUAAUUAUCUCAGCAAAUACAUCAUGAUUUUUCAGCACCUUUUCUUAUUAAAAAGGUUUGAGCAUUUUUUACUAUUUCGUAAUUCAUGUGACAAUCAUCUUAUAUACUAGCAUUUUUGUUAAAAUGGAAAGACUACAGCCUCGAAUGUUUCAUAACAAUGGAAGUGACCAAAAGCUUAUGGUAGAUAUAUUUCCCAUAGUCUAAAAUCAAAUUACUUAUAAUAAAGUAAAUAAAAGAAAAAUAAAUAACAUAAAACUAAAUACUUAAUUUUCAGCAAUAUAAUAAAAAAAAUAAUUGACAUCUACUAUUACCUUGAUAGCAAAUUAGGGGGAAAAUCGAUCUGUUUCUUUCUAGAGAAAGAAAAAUAAGAAAAACGUAGCGAUUUUAGUCUAUGCAAUGCCACUAAUUCUUCAGGUAGCUUAUAAAUAUUAGUAUUAGAAAAUGCAAGAAUCUCAAGUUUUUCCAUGCUCCUCAAUGAUGAGAUGUUCUCCAGCUCGCAAUUUGGAAAGCAUAGACCUCGAAGAUUUGAUACGAAUUGAAGUACUUCUAGUGAGAAAAUGACAUUUGCGAGAUACAAAACUUGAAGGGCUUUCAUUCCUUUAACAAAUGCAUUCGGAACUUUCACUAUAGUCUUUCCUGCAAAAAUCAAAAUUUUGAGUUCAGGAAAUUCCAAAUUUUCAGGAAAAAUAUUUAUGUUGCUGCUCCAAAGGAAGAUUGUGUAUGGGAUCACAACUUUUACUUAGAGGCCAUUCCAUCAACCCGUCUUUUACCAUGAAUAUAUGUUUCCCUGUAGGUGCUAUCCAAUGAGCAAAAUCACGAACCACGUCAUGCAUUCUUACAUUUAAUUCAGCGUCAUCAUCAUCAGUUCUCAGUAACGAAACCAGACUCUUGGAGUUUUCUUAGUGCUUCACGAAUUUCCCUCCGUAAGUCGUCAAUUAAUAAGUCUUUAGGUAAGUCAAUAUCAGAAAAUAAUCCAUGACCAAUUGCAAACAUAACCAAUAACUCAAUAUCAAUAUCCCUAUCUUCUGGAAAAAGGGAACACAGCAAGAAACAUGUUCGAAUAUUAUCUCCCUUCAAAUAAUCAUAACUCAGCUUAAGGCAGUUGUAGAUACCUUGAGAAACCUCUUCAUUGUCUAAAUCUCUUGAGUCCUUGAGUCGCUUGUUUGCCACUUUCCAGCCAUCUAGAGUUGCAACUUUUAAAGCUUUUCCGAUUGUCACGAUUGCAAGAGGCAAACCCANNNNNNNNNNNNNNNNNNNNNNNNNNNNNNNNNNNNNNNNNNNNNNNNNNNNNNNNNNNNNNNNNNNNNNNNNNNNNNNNNNNNNNNNNNNNNNNNNNNNNNNNNNNNNNNNNNNNNNNNNNNNNNNNNNNNNNNNNNNNNNNNNNNNNNNNNNNNNNNNNNNNNNNNNNNNNNNNNNNNNNNNNNNNNNNNNNNNNNNNNNNNNNNNNNNNNNNNNNNNNNNNNNNNNNNNNNNNNNNNNNNNNNNNNNNNNNNNNNNNNNNNNNNNNNNNNNNNNNNNNNNNNNNNNNNNNNNNNNNNNNNNNNNNNNNNNNNNNNNNNNNNNNNNNNNNNNNNNNNNNNNNNNNNNNNNNNNNNNNNNNNNNNNNNNNNNNNNNNNNNNNNNNNNNNNNNNNNNNNNNNNNNNNNNNNNNNNNNNNNNNNNNNNNNNNNNNNNNNNNNNNNNNNNNNNNNNNNNNNNNNNNNNNNNNNNNNNNNNNNNNNNNNNNNNNNNNNNNNNNNNNNNNNNNNNNNNNNNNNNNNNNNNNNNNNNNNNNNNNNNNNNNNNNNNNNNNNNNNNNNNNNNNNNNNNNNNNNNNNNNNNNNNNNNNNNNNNNNNNNNNNNNNNNNNNNNNNNNNNNNNNNNNNNNNNNNNNNNNNNNNNNNNNNNNNNNNNNNNNNNNNNNNNNNNNNNNNNNNNNNNNNNNNNNNNNNNNNNNNNNNNNNNNNNNNNNNNNNNNNNNNNNNNNNNNNNNNNNNNNNNNNNNNNNNNNNNNNNNNNNNNNNNNNNNNNNNNNNNNNNNNNNNNNNNNNNNNNNNNNNNNNNNNNNNNNNNNNNNNNNNNNNNNNNNNNNNNNNNNNNNNNNNNNNNNNNNNNNNNNNNNNNNNNNNNNNNNNNNNNNNNNNNNNNNNNNNNNNNNNNNNNNNNNNNNNNNNNNNNNNNNNNNNNNNNNNNNNNNNNNNNNNNNNNNNNNNNNNNNNNNNNNNNNNNNNNNNNNNNNNNNNNNNNNNNNNNNNNNNNGAAAAGAAAUUGGUUUCAUUGUUUUGAAAACAUUGCCUUUUUACUUAUUAAAGAAAAUUCCUUUUUUUUAAAAGAAAAUAUAUACAUUUGGGCUUUCAUCAGGUAUCACAGAAACCUCAAAACGGUGGUGUCAUCCUAUUAUAGAUAUCGAGAUGCUAUUAAACUUAAACUAUUCUACGAUCCAUGUAUUUGUCCAAAAUCAAGUAAAGGGUAAAAAUUUUUUCAUGUGUUUUAAUUUUGUGUGCAUUCUAUGAAGAAGGUUCUGCAUGGCUCACCUAUAGGGUGGUUCUUUAUGGUUUUCUAUGUGCUUGGCUGGGAUUUUUACAUGCCUAAAGAUUCUAAAUUGCUCUUUACUAUUACCCAUACUAAUCUAGUAAGUUAUAUUGAUCUUAAACUAUUAUAGGAUACAAAUGGAAAAUGUUUAAUAUGAAUAAGAGUACUUUAGAUGAUUCACCUCAUAAGAGUGUAAGUAUUUACUUUCUCCUAAAAGGUCGGAGCUCACAUAAAAACUCAUGCAUGUAAAUGAAUAUAAAUUGUGUGUGCCAAAGAACAAACAAGCAUUUGAUAUUUUUACUCUUUACCAAGAUUCCAAUAUCUUAAAUGCCUCACAAUUUAUUAGACAACAGAGAAAAUGCCAUAAUUAACAUAAGUAAUGAAUGAUAUAAAUAAACAUGAAUGUAGGCAACAUUAUUUGUUUUUCUUUUGUUUUUUGCAAAAUUUUUCAUUUUUCAAAAUUUUUGUUUUUGAAAAAUAGAAAUAAGGGAAUUACUAUUAAAUAUCAAUUAAAACCAUUAAAUCGAAACUUAAGAUAGCACAUAAUUUUUUUUUGGCUCGACUUUAAAAAUAUCUCCAGUGAAGUGGUCAAGCUGUCAUACCAUACAGGUUUAGGAAUCUGACCACCUCGUUAAAAUUUUAAAAUUAAACAAUGAAUUGUCACAAAUCUUUAUUUGAGUAGAUACGAUUGGUUACUUUAAAAGAUUAUUUUUUUAAUAAAAAUUUUAAAUUAAUUAAACUUAUUAAAAAUAUAAUUUUUUGUAUCGAAACACAUCUGGUAAAAAAAUAAUGUUAUACAUGGAAACAUUAACACCCACAGUACCGGUUAAAAAUAGUCUAAUAAUAACAUAUAUUCCUUUAAUAUUGAUAAAAAAAUGCCUAUAAUUUUAAAAUUUAAAAAUAAUGUCUAAAUCCAUUUAUUAUGAUAAAACCCUUUUUUUGCCAUCCUUUUUAGAAUCAUUUUAUUAAAAAUAAAAUAAAAUUUGUGUUUCGAAUUUCUCAUUCCAGAAAAUUUAGAAAAAUGUUUUUUACUUAGGUAUUUCAUAAUAAUCCUUAAAACAAAGAUAAUAUUUUUUUCAUAAGAAAUAAUUAUUAAAGAAUCCAUUUAAUAUUAGCAGAGUCCCAAGAAAUAUUUUACUUAGAUAUUAUCUUAUUUUUUUUUAAAAAAUAAUUUCUUUAUAUUCAUCUUUUACUACACUAUAUAUUUUUAAGAAUAGUAAAAUGUAUGUGAUGUAACAUGAAGCAAAUUAAUGAUGCAAAAUAAACUAAAAGAUAAAAAUGACCAAUUUAAUCAUAUUAUAAAUCUUUAACUUUAUCACUUUAUAUUUUUUCAUUGUUGUUUUUUUAAAAAAUAUUUAGUGAUAAAAUGAAAAUAUUUUUGUGUUUUUAGAAGUAACCUUGUGCUUUAUCAACAUUAUAAUAUUUAUAAAUCUGAUAAUAUUAAAUUUUUAAGUUCAAUUCUCAUCAUAUGUGAAUUUAAUUUAAUUUUAUAUUAAAUUAUUUAAUUAUGUGUUGAUUUAUUAUUUGAUUUAAUUCAAUGAUUUUCUUAUAUAAUAUUUUCUUAUACUAUUAAGUUCAUAAAAAAAUUAAUAACUAAAGAAUUUUCUAAAAUUUUCAUUGACAUAGCAAUUUUUUUUUUGGAACUCUUGAAGGCUUGGCAACAAGAGUAGCUUUUUUGCUUUAUAAAUAACCGAAAAAAGUCAUAUAUAAUCCUAACUAGAAAUAAAGAGAAUGACUUUUUGGUUUUAAUUUGAAAUUCAAAACUAGCAAUUAAAAGUCCCCUCUCCUCAUGACCUGAAUAUCAUAAUCACUUAUUAUGAUUAGACUUGAUAAUUUAAAUUAUGAUAUGAUUAUAUAAUAUGAAUACAAUAUAAAAUUAAAUACGAAAGUGAUAGAGUUUAAAAUUUAUAAUAAUAACUAUAUAUAAAUUUAACAAAAUAAAAAAAUAUAUUUUAUAUUUUUAUAUCGAUACGAAAUAUGACAUAAUUUUUGUGUAAAACACAAAACGAAUACAUGAAUUUCAUUAUAUUACACUAUAUGAAUACGUGAAUCGUCAGAUUUACUUAUGAUAAACAUGGUUAAUCAAAGAAAAAAUGAAAAAAGAAAGUAUGUAAACAUUAAGCAACUAGCUAUACAUUAUUGGCCUAAAACACGACUGGUUUAUAUUUUGAUUUUUUUACCUAUGGAAAUGCAUUUUUUAAUAAUAAACAAUCAAUCAAUCAACCAAUCUAGUAAUUAAAUAAUUCAAAAUUUAAUACUAGAGAAAAUAUUCACAUGUAUGCAAAUGCAUUUUCAUUAAUUAAUUUCAUUUCACACUGUUCAAAAAGAAUGAUAUUCGAUAUAGCUAGAUCAAGACAUGAGAAUAUGGAUGAAAUAUGGACAAUCUUCAAUUAAUUAACAAAUCAGUGAAAAUAUGUUUAUAUUGCCGAAAUCAAUAAAAACUAAAAGAAAAUAUAAUAAAAAAGGCCAAAACCUUUGGUCCCUUUUCAUAAUGAUGCUCCUUCCAACAAUAUUUUAUCCCUUGGCCUUUGAGGAAAGUGAUGGCCUUGGGGUAGCAUGCUGUCUUCUUCCAAAUUAGCCACCCAAAAAUUCCCACUAAUUAGAUGAAUAAUAAAAAAUUAUAAAGAUCUCAGUGGAAUUUAAAACAUUAUAUGAUGUAAAAGUUGAAUUACAUAAUAGUAUUUUUGCUAUUUACAUGUUUUGAUUUGGUUUAUAUUUUUAUUUUUCCUUUUUAAAUGUCAUGAAUUUCAUCAUCAUUAUUGCAUGGUAUCUUUUUGGUAUUAUUGUUGGGGCCGCUUCUACAAAUUUUGCCACAACUCAUAACAAAUAAUCUCUGCAAAGCAUAUUGCAUAUAAAUUUGUGGGAUAAUUAACUUCCAAUUCAAUUUGGUUCCAUAUGGGUCUUGAUUUUUUGAACACUAUACUGUUUAUAUGUAUAGGAUACUUUCAUUUCAAAAUUAAUAUAAAAAAUUGUCAAAACAAAAUUUAUUCAUGUUUGACGUCCUAUCAAUGAGUUCAUAUAACAUAGUGUAUAAAUAACAUCAUUGAAUUAAUUAUUAAAUCACCACAAUAAAAACAAGUCUGGAGAAUCAUCUAUGACAUGCAAGUAGACAUAACUACAUACUACUCAUCCAUACAAACGGUUAUAAGCAACUAAUAAAGAACCAGCAAACCAAACUGAACGCCAUGUUUCUUUAGAGUACAUGAAUUUUGCUAACAAUGUGAUAAGAAGAGGAUUUAUGAGACAUGUAAGCUCGAGUUCGAGUCCAAAUAAAACAAUACAUGAAAUUUAUCUUAAAGGAAUGGCUAAACAUGACUUUAUUCACAAUAUCAAACACGAAAAUGCGAUGAAAUGUAAAGCAAAUUAGUUCUUCAUUGCAAAGCAAAAUUGAAAAAAUAGAGUUCCGAUCAGUUGACGGUGCCAUAAAACAGAAAGCUCAAACGAUGAUAAGUACAAUCAAGUAUCAACCACCUAUCAUUGAGGCAAAGAAUCGAUAAGAAUUUAAACAAGAAACUUGAUUAAGGAAAUCAUAAAUACAUGGCAGUGACAGAUUCAAGAUUUUUGUUGGGAUGUGUUCACUUAUAAUAUAUAAAAUACUAACGAUGGAUUUAUCAAUGUUAUCCAUGAAAAUGGUGUUUAAAAGAAAAUUUUGAAUGUUUAUGAAAAUUUUCUUUUAAAAUUUCUUAUUUUCUAAUUUUUAGGAGUGUCCAAAAAAAGAUUUGAAGGUAUCCAACACAAAAUUUUUCUUUAAAGUUUUUUUUAUUUUCAAUGUACACCCCACAAUGCCAUGUAAAUCCACCACUAGACAUGGAAAAAAGCCAUAUUUACCUGUUUAGCUAACAAGUUUCUCCUGAAAUUUUCACUUGCGUAACAUUAUCCUUGUUUCUCCCAGAGUCAUAUAUAGAGGUAUUCGAUCUUUCCAAUGAAUCCAAACUAUAUCAUUGCAGGUGGACUGAUUAUCAACUAUUUCUUCCAUUGUGGUGAAACCUUCUGUUGUAUUAUUCUGAACUUGUUGGGGUUCCUUCACAACAAAAGACAAUUCUCAUUAAGUAAGUUAUGCUAGAAGUAAUUAAUUAAUUAAUUAUGCAUAUGACUUGUGUAUGUAUAUAAAGAGUCAUCCAAUUCAUAAUAAUAUGUAGUUAUAUACUAAUAUAACUUUUGUUUCCAUCAUCGUUUCAUCAUUAGUAUCAAUAUGAUAAAGAAAAACAAAUUAAUUAAUUCAGCAUAAUAGUUAGAAAAAAAAAGUCGGUUAGGUCCUCUGUUACCUCUGUUAUGGCAGGCACAGGAUGUUUUAAAUCCAUGAUGACACUUGUGGUCAACUUGGGAGAUUUGGUUAUUUUAAACGACCACAUAGAAGGGAAUCGGAAAUGAUAACCCAUUGAAGCAAAACUCCUGAGGUCUGAUAGCUCAAAAAGAUACAAUUCUUGUAAUUUAUGGAGCACUAUUCCCUUUUGAUCAUCUUCAAUGUCUAGUUCACCUUGAUACCCAAAGACUUGCUCUAGUUUAGAAGGCCCUUUAAUUUCGAUUCUCUUGAGGUUGGCAAAAGAACGGGUGACACUAAAAGGAAACAAGCUUUUCAAAUUGCUGCAACUAGAAAUCCGUAUGUCUUGAAGACUAGGGAAGGAUAUAGUUUGGAGAUGACCCUGUGAUGAUGAUGCUAUUGAAGUUUGGUCCAUUUCAAUGAUUUCUUCCAGCUUCUCACAAUACUCUAUAUUCAAAAUUUUCAAUUGCGGCAAAUUUUGAGCAAGCAGAGAAGAGAAGAGAGAUUUCAGCUUAUUACAAUUUGACACUUUUAAGUCUUUAAGACAAGGAAGGCUUGCAACUUGGAUGGGACCCUGCAACUGAUGUAUACCCUUUAAAUUUAAAAUCUCUAUCGUCCUUAAGAGUAAAUGUCCAUCUUGAAUUUGAAAUAUAUUCUCCCAAUUAAUAGUGUCGCACAAGUUGUCUUGCUCCAACUCAGAACAUCGUAAUUCCUAUAUAAAUAUAAAAAUGUCAUAAUUUCAUUAAAAUUUGAAUAAAUUACAAUGGUCAAAGAAUAUAUGAUUUCAAAAGUACAAAAUCUAUUAUAUAUAUAUAUUAUAAGAUACAAAAUUAUCAAAUAAGAUGUGCUGAUAUACACGUUUAUAUGAAUAAUUUUUCUUUAUGACAUGUAGAAUAAUGUUUAUAUUAUUAUAUUAUUUAUCAAAUAACUCUAUUUAAUAAAUUAUUUAAAUUUAAUAUUUUUGAAUAAUUAUUUAAAUUCAAAUCAAACUCUAACAAAAGUUGAAAAUUUUGCAUAAGUUUUGCAUUUAAAUAUAUUAAAUCUUAAUUUAUAUAUUUUUUUAAUUUAAUCAUAAUAUAUAUAUACACACUUAAUACAUUUUUAUUUGAUGAAAUCAGAAUCUAAAAUUGAAAAUAAAGAGUUUAUAAAGUGAGAGAUCACCUUCUAGCCAAGCUUAUUUUAUUUAUUGUUAUUAGAAUUAGAAAUUGAAGAAUACAAGCCUUUUUUUUUUACUUGACAGUUAUGAUUUAUUGGCUUUGAUGGGAAUGGACAAAAGUUAGAAAGAAGAGUAAACCACAUCAUACCGUGAACAAGUUCAUUUUUGCCUUUAUUAUUCUCUUUUUUCUUUUAUUUUCUUUUUUAUUUGCAAAAAUCAAUAUGUGAUGGUGUUGGAUUGUUUUUACGUUUGCAUAUUUUUUGCUUAAAUGACAUUGAUUUUUUAUCAAAUUUCAAUAAUGGAAAGAAAACAUACGUACAUUUGGAUUGAUUUCAACUCGGUAAUAGGUAUGGUUCAUUACUUUUUUUCAUAUUUUAUUGUUUUUUAUUUCUUCCAUUUGUUUGUUCCUUCAAACUAUUUAUUUGGUCUUAUUUCUAUGAUAUGAUAUAUACAUUUGAUUUGAUUUAUUCUAAAAAUUUUUUUGAUUUAUAUAUUUUUAUAUAUUUAUUAAGUUGAAUAUUUGUUACGCAUAAGUUCAAGAGAUUUCAACUGUAUAUGCAUUCUCAAUUUGUAUAUUUGAUUUUUUUUAUAAACGUAUUUUGACUUAUAUUUUAAUAAAAGCAAAUAUAUAUGUUGAAGUAUGUAAAAAAUAAAAACUAAUAAAAAGCAAAUGGCUAUGAACAAAUUAAUAAUUAUAUAUGCUUUAUUGUUCAAUCAAAUAUAUAUAUAUAUAUAUAAAAGAAAUUAUUAUUAUUUGAUGUUUUAUUUUUGGUUCGGGUUUAUAAGAUUUAAUAGUUUAUGAAUAUUCUAUUAAUAUAAAUGUCUUUUACAAUUUAAUAAAAUGAUUUUUUUUUAUAUCCAUAUUAACAUUAUCAUAAAAAAUUAUUAAUUUUGACUAUUAAAAGACUGACCCUUGCUUUUUUGAUCAAAAAAAUAAAUAAUUAGUAACAAAAUUUUUGGUGUUUAGCAAAUAAAUAAAUAAAAUUAAUUUUUUGAUAAAAAAGAAAGGAUUUUUGAAAUUUUGUAAAAAAUUAAACUUAAAACAACAAUAUGUGAAUGCUAUCAUUUAAUCGUAUCUUAAAAUUUAUGAAUGUAUGAUUAUAUAUAGUUGAUUAAUAAAAGUUUAAAUAUUCUUUUAUUAAGGAAAUAUAAAAAAUUAAAGUUAAUUAAAAAAUAAAUUUAAAUUAUGAAAAUAAUAACACGGUUAAAAAAGCUAGUAUAUAUGUAAAACAAAUACCAUUCUCAAGAUUUUAUUAUAAUGUACAAAUUAAAUAUGUUUAAUUGAUUUUCAAAUUCUAUUUAUUUUAUAAGCAAGUGAAAUGUUAUCUAAAUGUUCUCUAUGAGUGCCAUGUCAUCAAAGUUUGCCUAUAUGUAUGCAUGCCAGCAGUUUGAAUUCCCAUCCAAAUUGGAUUUCAUUAAAUUAAAAUAGUAGGAUGGCUAAAUUACACACAAUAAUAUUGUAAGGGCUUAAGUGAAAUUUUGAUUAUAAUAUGGUUAGAGAGCUUAUUUUAUUAUUUUUCCAUUACUUAAAAAGGUUUUUUUUUUUUUUUUGAUAACAAACAAGUUUAACUCAGUCUUAAAUGAGUUGAACAUAAAAUAUUGUUAAAGAUGAGAGUUCAACAUAAGUCUUGAAUGAUUUAUUUUAAUUUUUCUAAUAUAAAACUUAAAUAAGAAACCCUUUUUUGAAAAGAGAUUCAAAGCAUUGAUUAUUUUAUGAGUAUAGAAAAGAUUUGGGCCAAAGGUAAAAUCUCAAACCAUAACGGAAGGAAAGGAGUAUAAAAUUACCUUUAGUUGAAGCCGUUUGUGGACUACUUGUUGAAUAAUGAACUUUGCAAAUCGAGGACAAACCACUAUGGUUAACUUCUCCAAUGAUGGUGGCACAAUGGCGUGAUCAACUCCAUUCUUUUCUUUUGCCACAUUGAAGACAUAUUGUAGUCGUGGACAACCAUGUAUUUCAAGAGAUGUCAAUCUUCGCAAGGGAGGAGGAUGGAGAAGAACACUGUCUGAUUCUAUAUUAUCAUCACUUUCCAACUCUGUGGCAAGGCGUUCCAGUUCAUCGCAGUAUUCUAUCUUGAGUUGUUCUAGCAUCACCAUGCUUUGAACAAGUGAUGGUGAGAAGAGAUAUUUCAAUUUAUUGCAGCGACUAAUUACUGCAACCUUGAGGCUUUGGAGGCAGACAUAAUGGUUGGGCCCUUUCCAUAUCCACUUCAGUUCUGGUAAUGACUUUAGCUUCAAACUUGUUAAAUUUGGCAGCAGUGGAACGGUUGAGACAUGGCCUUCAUCUGUUGUAUCAAUCAGGCAUUGCAGCUCUUUACCAUCUCUAAGUGUAAGAAAAAUUAAUUCGUUUAGUCCCCGUGGAUCUACAUAUGGAAUGAGAAUUUUGUGAUACAUGAUUCCAUCCAUGGUAAGUUUUCUGACAUUGCAUAACAAUUCCUUGAAAUCCUGAUAAAUUCACAACAUAAUGAAAAAUAGCAGCAACAUUAGAAACAUAUAAUUAGAUUUCUUUUAUUAGGAAAGAGAAAGAUUUGAGUUAAAAGAAUAUUUUUAUUCCUCGCUUUUCACUAAAAGUUUGUUACUGUAAAAAUUUAAAUAAUUCAAACUACUGCUUAGAAAUCAUUGAUAGUGACAAAUAAUACAAGUACGAUACGACAUGAAUAUGACAACUAAACAAUUUUAAAAAUAGAAAACAUGGGUAUGGUAAAACAUGACAAUAAAAUACAUUUUUAUAUAUUUUUAAUCCAUAAAUUUUUUAUACGAAUAUAAAUUGAACACAAUUAUAAAAUAAUUAAUGGUAUGUGUAAAAGUAAAAUAAAAUAAAUUUAUAAACAAGAUUAAAAUUAUAUAGGAAAAAAUAUAAUCAAUAUAAUUAUAAUUUUUUUAAUUUAAUUUUUAAUACUAAUAAAUUAUAAAAUUUUAAACUUUUUAAAUAGUUUCAUUUUUUCCUUUUCUUCUUUUCUUUUCAUUUUUUUUCCUUCUUUUUCUUUUUCUUCCUACAUUUUCUUCCUUUUCUUUUCUCUCUUUUUCAUCCCGUUUCUUCUUUUUUUUUUCUUUCAUUUUGCCCUUUUCCCUUCCCCAAAUCAUUCGAUUUGUAAGCUUUACAAAUUCAAUAAUAGUAGUUAUUGAAUAAUAUUUUAUUAUGUACAGAAUUAAAAAGAGAAAAAAAUACAAAGAUUUUAUAAAGUGUGUUAAUAGAGAGAAAAAAAUAUGUAGUGCUAGUUUUUCUCAACCUGCAAACCAUGUAAUAAGUAUACAUUUAAUCAACCUUUUUUCUUUUAAACAUCAACAGAAGCUAAUUAUAUAUAAUACUUUUAUAUUUAAAUGUGAAUGUACUGAAUUUUGACGUUUGUGUUAUAAGAUAAAUAAUUCAAUUAAUUAUUAUCAAAAUAAACAAAAUUAAAACAAAAAUAUAGUAUAAGAGAAGUACCUUUAAAUGGGCCUGCAACGUCUUAAACUCAGUUAAUUGGGGACAACUGCGAACUUGGAACUCCUUCAAAGAUAAUGACAUGACAAAAUUUUCUGGACAAAAACUACUCAACUUCUCUAAAUUUUUAAGCCUUAAAAUUUGCAAUCUCUGUAGCACAAUAUGUUGUGGUGGACGUCCACCCUUACCCUUUGUCACAUUGAAGACCUGCUUUAGUUGAGAACAAUCAGUUAUCUCAACAGAUUCCAAAUAAGGAAGUCCUUGAGCUAAAGUGAAUGGAAACACAUAUUUCAAUCUUCCGCAAUUAAUUAUCUUGAGAGUUCUCAACUUAGGCCAGCGGAGAGGAUAGCCAUCCAUCUUUGAAACUAUUUGAUCCUCAUUUUCUGCUUCUCCGAAGAUUACAUGUUCCAAAGAGCCGCAAUCUUUUAUGUCGAGUUCUUCUAGAUGCUCCAAACUUUGAGCAAGGGGAGUCGAAAAGAGAUAUGCCAGUUGCACACACCUCCAUAUUAUCAUAGUCUUAAGACUUUGGAGGUUAACAAGAUGGGUGGGCCCUUUCCAUAUCCACUUCAAUUCUGGUAAUCUGAGUAGCUCCAAAGAAGUUAGAUUAGAGAGCAGCUGUACCUGACAUGAAUUCAUUGAUUGAAAAUGCAAAUAAAUAUGGACAAAACAUUAUAUACAAAGGCAAUAAUAGUAGUUAUUGAAUAAUAUAUAAUUUAGAAAGAAUAAAAAAAAGAGAAAAAAUACAAUGAUUUUAUAAGUGUACUAAUAAAGAGAAAAAAAAAGAGAUAUAUAGUGUUAGUUUUCUCAACUUGCAAGUCAUGUAAUAAAUAUACAUUUAGAUUAGUUACUAAUAUAAUUUAAUUAAACUUUAUCUCUUCUAAUCUUCAAUACAAGUUAAUUAUAUGAGCAAUAUAUAAAGUAGCAAUUUCUCAUUAUCCAUUAAAGGAAAAAUGGAGAGAAAACAGAUACCUCAAGCUCUCCCACUUCUUGGGGAAAAUCAAAGACUUGUUCUAAUCUAUCGCACCCAGAUAUUUGAAGUAUUUGUAGAUGCAACAAACUUUGAGCAAGGCAAGGCGGGAAGAUCGCUUUCAAUUCAUCACAACUCCAAAUGUUUACAAACUUCAGACUUCGGAGGCUUGCAUGAUAUUGAUGGGUUGAUUGUGAUUUCCAUAUACUCUCCAAUUCCGGUUAACAAAAUAGCAUCAAACUUGUUAAAUUUGAGAGUAGCGGCGUCUGACUAAUUUCUUCCUUUUCAAGAAGCCCAUCCAUUUCAAAUACCACUUUCAACCGCUUACAAUCUGCAAUGGUCAAAUCUUUUAACUUUUGUAAGAACCUAAUAUGCCCAUCUAUUUCAAGAGAUGUCAAUUUUGGCAAGGGCGGAUGAUGGAGAAGGCCACUGUCUGGUUCUACAUUAUUAUCAAUUUCCAACUCAGUGGCAAUGUGUUCCAGUUCAUCGCAGCGUUCUAUCUUCAGUGUUUCUAGCAUUACCAAGCUUUGAACAAGUGAUGGUGAGAAGAGAUGCUUCAAUUUGUGAUACAUGAUUCCAUCCAUGGUAAGUUCUUUGACAUUGCAUAACAAUUCCUUGAAACCAUAUGAUGGGACAUCCUGAUAAAUUCACAAUAUAAUGGAAACUAUUAGCAGAAUUAGAAACAUAUAAUUGGAUUUCUUUUAUUAGGAAAAAGAAAGAUUUGAGUUAAAAGAAUAAUUUUUUCUAUCGCUUUUCAUUAAAAAUUCAUUAUUGUAGAAAUUUAAACAAUCAAGUUGAGUAUAACUAGAACCUAGAAAGCAUGAAUAGUGACAAAUAAUAUAGUUAAGACAUGACAUGGACACGGCAACACAACAAUUAUAAAAAUAUAUUUUUAUAUAUUUUUUAUCCAUAAAUUUUUACUACGAAUAUAAAUUGAAUACAAUUAUAAUGUAAUUAAUGGUGUGUGUAAAAGUAAAAUAAAAUAAAUUUAUAAACAAGAUUAAAAUUAUGUAGGAAAAAAUAAUCAAUAUAAUUAAUUUUUAAUACUAAUAGAUUAUAAAAUUAUAAACUUUUUAAAUAAUUUCAUUUUCCCUUUUUUUCUUUUCUUUUUUUCCUUCUUUUUCUUUCUCUUCCUACAUUUUCUUUUUUUUCUUUUCUUUCUCUUUCUCCUUCCUGUUUCCUUUUUUUAUUUUUUAUUUUUGUUUUUUGUUUUCCCUUUUUACCCUUUAUCAAAUUGUACGAUUUAAGAGCUUUAUAAAUUCAAUACUAGUUGUUAUAGAAUAAUAUUUUAUUAUAUAAAGAAUAAAAAAAGAGAAAAAAAUACAAAGAUUUUAUAAUGUGUGUUAAUAAAGAGAAAAAAAGAUACAGUGUUAGUUUUCUCAACCUGCAAGCCAUGUAAUAAAUAUACAUUGAAUUAAACUUUUUUCUUUUAAACAUCAACAGAAGCUAAUUAUAUAUAUUACUAUAUAAUACUUUUACAUGUAGAUGUGAAUGUACUAAAUUUUGACGUUUGUGUUAUAAGAUAAAUAAUUCAAUUAAUUAUUACCAAAAUAAACAAAAUUAAAACAAAAAUAUAGUAUAAGAGAAGUACCUUUAAAUGGGCCUGCAACGUCUUGAACUCUGUUAAUUGGGGACAAUUGCAAACUUCGAACGCCUUCAAAGAUAAUGACAUGACAAAAUUUUCUGGACAAAAACUACUCAACUUCUCUAAACUUGAAAGUCUUAAAAUUUGCAAUCUCUGUAGCACAAUGUCUUGCGGUGGACGUCCAUCCUUAUCCUUUGUCAUAUUGAAGAUCUCAUUUUCUGCUUCAUCAAAGAUUACAUGUUCCAAAGAGUUGCAAUGGCUUAUUACGAGUACUUCCAGAUGCACCAAACUUUGAGCAAGGGGAGUCGAAAAGAGAUAUGCCAGUUGCCCACACCCCCAUAUCAUCAUAGUCUUAAGACUUUGGAGGUUAACAAGAUGGGUUGGCCCUUUCCAUAUCCACUUUAGUUCUGGUAAUGAGUUUAGCUUCAAAGAAGUUAAAUUAGAGAGUGGUCGUACCUGACAUGAAUUCAUUGAUUGAAAAUGCAAAUAAAUAUGGACAAAACAUUAUAUACAAAGGCAAUAAUAGUAGUUAUUGAAUAAUAUAUAAUUUAGAAAGAAUAAAAAAAAGAGAAAAAAUACAAUGAUUUUAUAAGUGUACUAAUAAAGAGAAAAAAAAAGAGAUAUAUAGUGUUAGUUUUCUCAACUUGCAAGUCAUGUAAUAAAUAUACAUUUAGAUUAAUUACUAAUAUAAUUUAAUUAAACUUUAUCUCUUCUAAUCUUCAAUAGAAGUUAAUUAUAUGAGCAAUAUAUAAAGUUUAGCAAUUUCUCAUUAUCCAUUAAAGGAAAAAUGGAGAGAAAACAGAUACCUCAAGCUCUCCCACUUCUUGGGGAAAAUCAAAGACUUGUUCUAAUCUAUCGCACUCAGAUAUUUCAAGUUCUUGUAGAUGCAACAAACUUUGAGCAAGGCAAGGCGGGAAGAUGGAUUUCAAUUCACUGCACUUCCGAAUGGUUGCAUUCUUUAGACUUUGGAGGCUUGCAUUUAGACCCUCAGGAUCUACGUUUGGGACAAUAUUUUUGUGUCCCAUGACAUUCUCCAGAGCCAACUUUUCCACAUUGCAGAACAACUCGUUGUAUGCACUUAAUGAAGUUGAGUCAAUAAUUUCCAAGGUUCUAAAGCUUGGCCCCUGCAUAAAUUCAACAUCUUUAUCUACAACUAUAAUGUAGCUUUGUAGUUUAGGGAACACAAAGUUUUCUGGAAAACAUUGAGCAGUAGAAACCCUCAGUGACAGCACAGUCAAACGAGACAAUGAAUUCAGCUCCGAUAAGUCAACAUUGUUUUUACAUAUCACGUAUAGUUCUUGGAGUGAUGUCAACCUAUUUGUUACACACAAAUACAAAAAAGUAUUAUCAAACACUUAAAGCGAAUCAUAAAAAUAGAAGUAAACAUAAAUUAAUUUUAAUUACCUCAGCAAAUAUAGCAUGAUUCUUCAGCACCUUUUCUUAUAAAAAAAGGUUUGAGCAUUUUUUUAUUGUUUUGUAAUUCAUGUGACAAUCAUGUUAUAUAAUAGCAUUUUUUUAAAAAUGGAAAUGACUACAGCUCUGAAUGCUUCAUGAUAACGGGAGUGACCAAAAGCUUAAGGUAGAUAUUUUUCCCAUAGUCUAGAGUCAAAUUAUUUAAUAAAGUAAAUAAAAGAAAAAUAAAUAACAUAAAACUAAAUACUUAAUUUUGGGAAAUAUGAUUAAAUAAAAUAAUUGACAUCUACUAUUACCUUGAUAGUAAAUUAGGGGGAAAAUUGAUCUGUUCUCUUCCAGAGUCAAAAAAAUGUAGCGAUUUUAGGCCACGCAAUGCCACUAAUUCUUCAGGUAACUCAUAAAUAUUAGUACCAGAAAAUGCAAGAAUCUCAAGGUUUUUCAAAUUUCCCACUGAUGAGAUGUUCUCCAACUCGCAAUUUACAAGGCACAGAGUUCGAAGAUUUGUUACCAAAUUAAGUACUUCUAGUGAGAAAAUGACAUUUUCGAGAUGCAAAACUCGGAGGGCUUUCAUUCCUUCAACAAAUGCAAUCGGAACUUUCACUAAAGUCUUUCCUGUAAAAAUCAAAAUUUUGAGUUCUGGAAAUUCUAAUUUUUCAGGAAAAAAAUUUAUGUUGCUGUUCCAAAGGGAGAUUGCUGUAUGAGAUCCACAACUUUCACUUGUAGGCAAUUCCAUCAACCCCUCUUUUACCAUGAAUAUAUUUUCCUCUGUAGAUGCUAUCCAAUGAGCAAAAUCACGAACUACGUCAUGCAUGCUUACGUAUCUUUCAUAACCAGUUCUCAAUAACAAACCAGACUCGUGGAGGUUUGCUAGUGCUUCACGAAUUUCUAUCCGCACGUCUUCAAUUGAGGAAAUAUGAGAAAAUAAUCCAUAACCAAUUGCAAACAUAACCAACUCCUCAAUCUUAAUAAGCCAAUCUUCUGGAAAAAGGGAACACAGCAAUAAACAUGUUCGAAUAUUAUCUCCCGUCAAAUAAUCAUAACUCAGUUUAAGGCAGUUGUAGAUACCUUGAGAAACCUCUUCAUUGUCUAAAUGUCUUGAGUCCUUGAGUCGCUUAUUUGCUGCUUUCCACCCAUCUAGACUUGCACCUUUUAAAGCUUUUCCGAUUGUUACAAUUGCAAGAGGCAAACCCUUGCAUUCACGAGCAACCUCCUUGGCUACAUCAUUCAAUCUCGAAGAAACAUCUUUUAGACCAGCAGUAUCUUUGAACAAAGCCCAUGCUUCAUCUUUGGAUAAGAUGUCAAGUUGAAAUUUCUGUUGACAAUUCAUACGAACACAGACUUGUUGAAGACGUGUGGUCAGAAGCAUUUUGCAACCUCCGUGUUCAACACCGAAAGGAAUACCUACAGUCAGCAACUUAAAUUCAUUCCAAACAUCAUCGAUAAUUACGAGGAUCUUCUCCACGCCUAGCAAUCUCUGAUGUAACUCUUCUGCUUUUCCUUCUGGCGUGCUUGCUUUAAAUUUCAAACUUAAUAAUUCUGCUAUUUUAUCUUGAAUUUGUCGAUGUUUGGAGUUUGGGACAUUGUAGCCAUCACAACUUUGUCAAAGAGCUUCUGCUCUUUAGCAUGCUUCCCAACUUCUUUUGCCAAAGUUGUUUUGCCCACCCCUGGCAUUCCAUACAAUCCAAUCAUGUUCACACCAUCAGUAUUUAGAGCCUUGAUGAUCUCAUUGAAAGUAAACUUUGGAGACUCAUUAGGCAUGAAAUUUUUAGAGGGGAAGAAUUCUAUUCCUUCUAGAGGAGCACGGUGGCCCACCCGUGGAAAGUUACAACUCACAAGAAGUUUAUCGAUAGAGAUCGUCUUCUUUGCCACUUUCUUACUUAAGCAAUAUCGCCAACCCCAACUUGGACACCAAUUGAAACACUUCAUACGUUCUAUUUGAGCUUCCAAACACUGGGUUUCUUCCAGUUCUUUCUCUGCCCUUUUUCGCCAGUCUUGGACAUCCUUCUCAAUUACCUCAUUUUGCCUUAUAGCCUCUUCGACAUCAUUUUUUACCCGAUCACUUUUCAAUUCAAGUUCUUUUCUCCGAUUCUUGAAUUCUUCAACAAUUUUCCCAAAUUGGAAAAAGUAACUAACAUAAGGUGAUGCAUAUUCUGUUGUGAUGUUUCCUACAGCAUUGGCAGCACCAGAGGCAAUAAAUUCACAUGCCAUUCUUUGAGUAUCUGCGGUUGAAAAACAACUUUAAUAAUUAGUAAACAUAUAAACAGCUAGAGAGACAAAAGAAAUUGUGAAUGUUUGCGAAGUACCUUAAUUACUUUGGGAGUCAAUUGUGAAGUAGAAGAGAAAAAUUGUUGAUGGAUCAACUUGGAAAUUGAAAAUUCUGCAAAGGGAAGAAAUUAUUCAGUGUUCAUGUGUAUAUUAAGAAUAUAUGUUACAUGUGUUAAGAGUAAAUGCAGUAUAUAUUUUGAUCAUUAAUCUAUCUAAUAGUUUCUCAAUUUUUAAAUAAAUCCGUUUAUUUCAUUUUUUUUCCUUAUAAAUGCAUUUUUUUUAUUUAAAUAAGGUAGGGAAACAAACAAGCAAACAACUUUUGAGCAUAUAAAAAAUUAUGGAAAUAAAAAUAAUUAUUUAAGCAUACCAAAUUGGGGAUGGACAUUCUAAAUAAAGCUGUGAGAACUUUUUACAUCAUCAACUCCAGAGAUCAUUAGGAAAGGAGAAUUAAGGAACAACCUUAAUAGAAAUUAAAAGAAAAAGGGAAUAAAGAUUAGUAACAAUAAGAUUAUAAGAACAUUGAAUUAUUUUUUUCUUUUUUUGAAGUUAAACGCAAAUCAGAAUAGAUAUAGGAUGAAAUAAAAUAAAAAAUAGAACUCAAAGAAACCAAAAAAUUAUACAGCAAUACUAUUUUUGCUUCUUUUAUUGUACAGAGAAAAACACAAGAAAAAAAAAAAAAAGAGACAAAUAUACCGAGGACAUAUGAAUUUUCAGGAUUCAAGAUCGAGCUUUUUAUUUCUAUCCACACAGUUUUUAUUUUAUUUUAUUUUAUUUUUUUGAGUUCAAAGAAAACUUAAGUAGAAACUAACCUUAUUUGAAAUGAACAAAAGAGUUUCAAGUAUUUACAAAUAUUGAGAAGUUGUGCUUGAAAUUUUCGUGACUGAUUGAAACUACAGAGAAAAGUUUGAUCAAAGACUUGUUUAAUUUCUUAGGUUUCUCUUUUAUCACCGUUAUUAUCAUUUUACUAGCUCAAAUCCUUAGUGAAAGACAGCUAGACAAGGGCCCAAGCAUCUUUUCCUUUUGUUGGGAGUUGGGCGCAAUGCCUUCAAGUCACACGUUUACUUUUUCUUUUUUGUGCUCGGUCAAAUUUUUUUUUUUCCUUGAAGAAAACUGAUCUAUUGAUGGUAGUGGGACAUGGCAUCAUUGAUGCACUUUUGAAUUAUUGACCCCUUUAUUUUGUCUUUUCUCAAUUAUUUUUCAACAAUCACUUUCUCACCUACUUUGUUUUGUUGGUUUUUCAUGGAUUAAAUUCGAUGCAUUGAAAGAUUUAAUGAUUCAAAAUCUUGUUUAUUUCCUCCGUUGAUUUAUCCUAACGUAUGAAAGAAAUAGUUUUUCAUAUCGUCAUUUGCUGAUAUACUGGGAAAUUCCACAGCUUACACAAAUUUAUCGAAAUUAAAAUCUUAUAAUAAAAAUUUUUAUUUUUUUAAGACAAUAAUUAUUUGAUAAUUGAUAUUACUUUCGUUUAAAAAUAUUUCUCAUAUAUUAAUUUUUACGAAAUUAAAAAAAAACUUUGAUUUUAAUUUUGUAUAAAAUUAAAAUUUCAUAAUUUUUUAUGUUAAAAAAAUAAAAAAUAAUUUAAAAUAUAAAAAAUUAAAUAAGAAUUUUAGAUUUUAAAAAAAGGAAUAGGAUAUAUAUGUAACAUCCCAAAAAAUAACAAAAAAAAAAAAGGAACGGAAUGAGUAGUUAUAAAUAGAUUUUUCACACAAAUGCGUAAUUCGUCAUUUCAAGUUCUCGACUCUCUAACCAUUUACUCUUUUAGCUAUACUUUUUAUUUUGUCGCAGGAAAGAAAAAUAAGUAAAAGAAAUGGAGAAUCGGAGAGAAAAGAGGCACCUCAAGCUCACUUUUGAAUUAUUGAUCCCUUUAUUUUUCUACUUUUUCAAUUAUUUUUCAGCAAUGAUUUUGUCACCUACUCGGUUUUGUUGGUUUUCAUGGAUUAAAUUUAUUUUUCAACAAUAAUUUUCUCACUUACUCAGUUUUUAAGGUUUUGAUGGAUUGGAUUCUGUAUCAAAUUAUGCCCCAUGCAAUGCAAUUAGAUUUAAUGACCAAACAAACAAAAGAAAGGGUUAAUGAUUCUAAUAUUCUUGGUUUUUUUUUUUCCUCCAUUGAUUCAUCCUACCACUUGAAAGAAGUAAAUUUUUAGAUUAUAUGAGCUGAUAUGCUGCGCAGCAUCUUAAUUACUUUGGGAGCAAUAUAUCGCUCCAUGAAAAUGAAAAUAAAAGAGAACAAAUGGUUGAUGGAUCAAUUUGGAAAUAAAAAUUCUGCAGAUGGAAGAAAUUAUUCAGUGUUCAUGCAUAUAUUAAGAAUAUACGUUACAUGUAUUAGAUUAAGGGCAUAGUAUAUAUUUUUAUCAUUAAUCUAUCUAAUAUUUUCUCAAUUUUUAAAUGAAUCUAUUUAUUUCACUUUUUUCCUUAUAAGUUUUUUUUUUUAAUAUGCCAGGGAAACAAAUAAGUGAACAACCUUUGAGGAUAUAAAAAACAAUGGAAAUAAAAUAAUUAUUUACGCAUACCUAAUUGGGGAUGGAUCUUCUAAAUUAAACUGUGUGGACAUUUUACAUCAACUCCAGAGAUCAUUAGGAAAGGAGAAUUAAGGACCAACCUAAAUAGAAAUUAAAAGAAAAAGGUAAUAAAGAUUAGCAGCAAUAAAAUUAUGAGAACAUUGAAUUAUUUUUUUUCCAUUUUUUUUGGAGUUAAAAGCAAAUCAGAAUAGAUAUAGCAUAAAACAAAAUAGAAAAUAGAAAGCAAAGAAAGCAAAAAAAAUUAUAGAGCAACACUAUUUUGUUUCAUUCUAGAGAGAAAAACACAGAAAACAAGAUAAAUAUAUCUAGGAAACAUGAAUUCUCAGGAUCCACGCAGUUUUUUUUUUUUUUUUUUUUUUAGUUCAAAGAAAACUUAAGUAGAAACCAACCUUGUUUCAAAUGAACAAAGAGCUUCAAGUAUCCACAAAUAUUGAUAAGUUGUGCUGGAAAUCCUUGUGACCAAUUGAACCUACAAAGAAAAGUUUGAUCAAAGACUAUUUUAAUUUCUUUUGAUUCUCUUUUAUCAUCAUUAUUACCAUUUUCCUUGUUCAAAUCCUUAGUGUAAGAUAACUAGAAAACCGCUUAUAAUAAGAUUUUCUAUUCCUUUAUAAGGUACCAAUUAUUUGAUAAUUGAUAGUUGCAAAUAAAUUAUUCACACAAAUGCAGAAUUCCCUAUCUUAACUCUUUAACCAUUUACCCUUUUAACUAUUUUGUCUGAUAGGAAAAAAAAUUAAGUUAAAGAAAUAGAGAAAUGGAGAGAGAAGAGGUACCUCAAGCUCACCCAUUUCUUUGGGGAAAUCAAAGACUUGAUCUAAUCCAUUACAGUAACAAACAGAAACAAUUGUUGAUGGAUCAACUUGGAAAUUUUUUUUUUCAAAGAAAACUGAAGUAAAAACCAAAUUUGCUUCAAAUGAACAAAAAGCUUCAAUUAUCAAAAAAUAUUGAGAAGUUGUUCUUGAUAUCUUUGUGACCGAUUGAAACCACAGAAAAAUGUUUCAUCAAAGACUUGUUUAACUUCUUUGGGUUCUCUUUUAUCAUCAUUAUUAUUACCAUUUUCCUUGUUCAAAUCUUUGGUGGAAGACACCUAGACAAGGGCCCAAGUGUCUUUUACUUUUCUUGGAUGUUGGGAGCAAUGCUCUUGGGUCAUGCCUUUACUUUUUUUUUUUUUUUUUGGGUGCACGUUCGAUUUUUUGAAGAAAACUGAUCUAUUGAUGCUAGUGGGACGUGGCAUCAUUGAUGCACUUCUGAAUUAUUGGCCCCUUUAUUUUUGUCUUCUUUCAAUUAUUUUUCAACAAUUACUUUCUCUCUUACUUUUUUUUUUUUUUGGUUGCUUUUGGUGGGAUUAGAUUCUGUAUCGAAUUGUGCCCUACGCGUUGAAAGAGUUAAUGAUUCAAAAUAUUGUUUAUUUCCUCCGUUGAUUUAUCCUAACAAAUGAAAGAAAUAGUUUUUUAGAUUAUCUUAGUUGAUGUAUUGCAAAACUCUACAGCUUACACUAAUUUAUCAAAAUUAAAAUCUUACAAUAAAAUAUUUUAUUUUUUUUAUAACGUAACAAUUAUUGGAUGAUUGAUAGUUGUAAAUAAAUUUUUCGCACAAAUACAAAAUUUCCUAUCUCAACUCUCCAUCCAUUUUCUCUUUUAGCUAUUUUGUUUGAUAGGGAAAAUAUAAGUAAAAGAAAUAGAGAAAUGAAAAGAGAAGAGGUUCCUCAAGCUCACCUAUUUCUUUGAGAAAAUCAAAGAUUUGCUCUAAUGGAUUAUAGUCACAAACGGAAACAAUUGUUGAUGGCUCAACUUGGAAAUUGAAAAUUCUGCAGAUAGUAGAAAUUCUUCAGUGUUCAUGCGCGUAUAUAUUAAGAAUAUAUCAUAAUGUUUUAGAGUAAAGGCAUAGUAUAAAUGCAGUUUUUAUUUAAAUAUGGUAGGGAAAGAAACAAGUAAAGAACUUUGGAGCAAAUAAAAAAUUAUAUUAUUUAAGCUUACCUAACUGGGAAUGGAUCUUCUGAAUUAAGGUAUGUGGGCGUUUUACAUCACCGACUCCAGAGAUCAUUAGGAAGGAAAAAUUAGGGACCAACCUAAAUAGAAAUUUAAAAAGAAAGGGUAAAAAAAUCAACAACAAUAAAAUUAUAAGAACAUGAAAUUAUUUUUUUCUUUCCUGGGAACUUAAAGCAAAUCAAAAUAGAUAUAGCAUGAAACAAAGUAACACAGUACUUUUUUAUCAUUAAAAAUGAAAAAGAAAGUAGAAAGCAAUGAAUGCCAAAAAGAUAUAGCAACAUUAUUUAAGUUAAUGUCUUUAUUAUUCCUCUUACCUGUUUAAGUUAAUACUUUUUAUGAAAUUUUUAAUUUUAAAAACAUCAAUCUUUUUACGUUUUUUAUACUUAAAAGUAUUUUUUAGCCAUUUAUCUUAACUAUUUACUGGAAAAAUAAUUAAUUUAAAUUUUAUGUUGCCUACUUUAUUCUUAUUUUCAUUUAUCAUUCUUAAGGUGUUAUAACACUUUUAAUUCAUUUUACGUCAAAUGAUAUUAAUUUUAUCAUCUUUUUUAUUUGUUUAUGUUAUUAAGUUUUUUUUAAAGAAGUUUGUUUUUAUUUUCAAAUAUUAAUUGUUAACAUUUUCUUUUUUAGACCUUAAAAUAUUUUUUAGCGAUUAACCUAAAAAUAUUUAUAAAAAAAUAAUUAAUUUAAAUUUUACAUUACCAAUUUAAUUAUUUAUAUUAAAAUAAUAUUGUCUAACGUCUACUCUUAUAUUAUAUUAUGAUUAUAAUUUUUAUAGCCAUUUCUUAAUCCAUUAUGAUAUUUUUAACAUAUUUUACAUCAAUAUGAAUUUUAUUACUCUUACAUGUUUACGUUUAUUCUUUAUCUUUUAUUAUGUUUAAAAUUUUCAUAACUCUUUUUAAUGAUGUUAUGAUACUUCUAAAUCAUUUUAUACUAAUUGAUAUGAAUUUUAUUAUUCUUCUCACUUAUUUACAUUGGUAAUUUUUUUUAAAAAAAAUAUUUCUAACUCCUUUUACCUUAAUUGAUAUGAAUUUUAUUAUUAUUCUCAAAAAUUUAUGUUUAUUAUUACUUUUUAUUACAUUUUAAAUUUUAUAAAUAUUUAUUUUAAUGUUACGACACUUCUAAUUAAGUUAUUUUUAAAUUUUUUAAUAUUAAUUUUUUAACAUUAACUUUUUAGCCUUUAAAGUAUUUUUAGCCAUUGGCUUAAAAAAUUUACAAAAAAAAUAAUUAUUAAUUUAAAUUUACAUUGCAAACUUAAUUAUUUAUGUUAAAUAAUAAUUUUACACUUAUUUUUAAUUAUUUAUGUUAAAAUAAUAUAUUUUUAUACUUUUUUUCUUAAUUAUUUAUGUUAAAAGAUUUAUAACUUUUUUAUAACACUUAUGACCUAUUUUUACAACAAAUUAUACUAAUUUUAUAAUUUUUCACACAUGUUUACAUUAAUAAUUUUUUUGAUAUUUUAUUUUCAAAAAUUAAUUUUUUAACUUUUAAGUAUUUUUUAGUCAUUGCCCAAAAAAUAUUUACAUGAAUAUAAUUAAUUUAAAUUUUACAUAACAACUUAAUCAUUUAUGUUAAAAAAUAUCUUUUUACGAUUUAUUUUUAUCUUUCUAUCAUAUUUAAAAUUUUUAUAAUUUUAUCUUAAGUUAUUACAUCACUUUUAACUUAUUUUAAACUAACUGCUAUAAAUUUUAUUAUUCUUCUCAAUUAUUUACAUUAAUAAUUUUUUACAAUAAAUUUUAAAAUAUUAACUUUUUAUGUUAUCAUUUUAGCCUUGAAAGUAUUUGUUUAGCCAUUGAUGUUAUAUAUCUAUUAAUUAAAAAAAUAAUUAAUUUAAAUUUUACAUUACUAAUGUAAUUAUUUAUGUUAAAAUAAUAUCUUUCAACACUUAAAUUUUGCUUGGUUAAAAUUAAAGAUAAAAAAAAUCAUGAGUGAAAAACUUAUUAAUCCAAUAAUUAAAAUUUAUAAUAUUUUUUUAUUUUAUACUUUAAAUUAAAAAGUUGUAUCCUUACCCCUUUUCAUUUUCUAUAUCAAGUAAAACCUUAUUCUUACCUUUUAUUACUUUUAAAAUUUUCAUAACUUAUUUUUUAAAAUGUUGCAAUAUUUUUAAUAAAUUUUAUGUCAAUUGAAACAAAUUUUAUUUUUUCUAGAUCUCACAUCUUUACAUCAAUAUUUUUUUAUUCUUUCAUUUUAAAAAAUAAUUCUUUUAUAUUUUCCUUGAAAUUAUUUUUAUGUUAAUAUUUUAUUAAUUUAUAUAGAAUCAUAUUUUUUGUUUAAUAAUACUUUUUAGCUAUUUUAAGAGAUACUAAUUAUUUUAAAUUUUUUAAAAUAUAUAUUUUAUUAUUUUUUAUUUUGAAGUAAAUUCAUAAACAAGUAAGAAAGUGAAAAAUCGAAGACUAAUCGAGGCAAACGAGAAAUGAAGUUGAGCAUAGCAAAAAUUACGGAGAAUAAAAUUUAUAUAUAAUGGUUUAUUGAAGCAUACCUCACUUGAGAUGGAUCUUCAAAAGCCGUAUGGAUCAGUAAAGGAAAAUCAAGGACCAGUUUUUUUUUCUAUUUCCCUGUUAAAAGAACAGAAAAUUAGAAAUCAAUAAAAGCCAAAAAAAAAAAAAGAACGCUUUUUUUAGUUAUAAAAGCAAAGUAGAAAAUCAAGGAAAUUAAAAAAGCACCAAAUUUUUUUUGUUGAGUUAUAAAAAGAAGAGCAAUAAAGCAGAAAUCAAGCAAAGGAUUUGGUACUCUAGCUAGCUGGAAGAUGUGGAGAUAAUGAUGGAAGACGAUGCUUGAUUGCCUCGAUGGAAACGGUUUGAGGAGAGAGCUGUAAGCGAAAGGUAAGGCAGCAAUACAAAAGAAGAAAAGAUAGAAAUAACAAAGAAAUGUGAAGUUUCAAGAUCCAACAACUUUGCUUCAAUUGAAUAAAAAAUUCAACCAUCAAAGAACUUCGCUUCCGAGAAAAGUAAGUUUCACCAAAGACUUCUUCAAUUUCUUUGGAGUCUUUGUUUAUUAUUAUUGUAAUUACUAUUUUUCUUAUUCUAAUCCUUAGUGGAAGGCGAUUAGAUUAGGGCCUGAACGUCUCUUUCUCUUCUUCGAAGCUGUACCUUCUUUAAUUUAUCACUAUAUUACGGUUUAAUAUUAAACUGUCAUUGGAUUUUUAAUUUAUUGAUUUUUAAAUAAAAAUAAUAAAAUAAAAAAUAUUUUCAAAAUAUUCUAUUAAUAUAAGUGAUAAAUUAUGCAACAUGCGAAACAAGAUUUAAUGCCGAACAAAUUAAAUCUUCAUUUUAAUUAAAAUAAAGAGACAAAUUUCAUAAUAAAAGCUACAGCUAACUCCACAAGGUUCAUCAAUUUAUCCAUGGUUUUAAAAUAAACUAUUUUUAAAGACCAUGGUUUUUAAAACUCAGAGGCUGCAACGAAAGAAAAAAUAAACCUAAAUGGGUGGAAACUCAUACGCUAAGUUUUUAUUGAAGCAUUCUAUUGAACAAGCAACAAGCAUCAUAUAAAAUGCCUUAAUUAGAUGUGACAAAAAUUGCAGAAAGGAUGCAAAGUACCAACAGCAAAAACUAAAGAUCUAUUCAAUACCAGUGAAUCAGUAACUAUUAUAAAAAAUUGAACAUUAUAAAUAAAAGAAAAAAAAAAACACUAAUGACUUAAAGUAAUGGUAGAGGAUUACAGAGAAUUAAUACAUGGCACGAGAAUGUGAGAAUAUGCAAUCAUUAAUCUAUUCAAUACCUUGAAGUAAUUCUCCACAAAAGUGGAUUCCCAAGAGUUGAAUGCUGCUUAUAAUGUGAUUGCCAAACUAGCGGCCACUAACAGAAGUAGAGGUUGUACCGGGUAAGACUGAAGUCUGCUUCAGCAAUUUCCUAUUUUACUUUCUGAAGCGGCAGAAGGUGAAAUAAGAAAUUGUCAUCUCCGAAGGGCAUGGGCAUUUAAUCUGAAACAGAAGCAGAGAGGCUUAAAGAGAGAUAGCAAAAGUUUGGGAGUUGCAUGAUUAGAAAACUAAGAACAGAGUGAGAAUUGAGGGACUGUGUUAGAGAAAAGUUCUGAGAAGGAAGGUUGAGAGAGAGUUUCUAAGUCAAAAGUAUUGCCUCUAUACUUGUACAGCUUGAUUACAAAGGUUCCAACUAAUGGUAGAAAAUUUUUUUUCUAAACAGAAUUAUAAUUAGUAUAUAUGCAUCAAAUAAUCUGAAUAUCAUUUGAGGCUUGCUAACAGUAAAUUAAUCAAAAAAUUUGGGAUUAAGAUCAACUUUGUCACUAUAUUUUGAUUUAAUAUUAAAUAUUGUCAUUAUACCAUCAAUUCGUUGAUUUUUGGACAACGUCCUCUUCAAUUUCUUCAGUUUGCCUGAUGGCUUCAUUGACAUCAUCUUGCAAACGCCCUUGUGCCACUGUCUCUUUCCCGAGGUCUUUAACAUUACUUAGACAAAAUUUUAAAAUUAAAAUAAAGAGUUAUUAUCAAUUUUUUUAUUAGGUAUGAUCGAUCACCUAAAUAAUAUUUUUUAAUAAAAAUUUUAAUUUAAUUAAAUCUCAUUAAAAAGAUUUUUUUUGUAAAAACACAUCUAAAUUCAGAAGUAUGGUUAUGUGUGGAGAAAUAUUAAUACUCCACAAUACUCGUUAAAAAACAGUAUCAAUUAAUAACAUGUUAUCUUUUAUUAUUUAUAACAAAUUACCUUAAUUUUAAGAUUAAAAUUUUUUUUUAAAUCCCAUUUAUUAUCAUAAAACUCCUUUUUUUGCCAUCCUUUAUAGAAUUAUUUUAAAAAUUCUAAUUUAAUUAAAACAUAUUAAAAAAUCUUUUUGGUAUGCAAAAACACAUCUAGAUUCAAGAAUACAAUUAUGUAUGAGGAAGGAUUAAUACCUCACAAUACCCAUUAAAAAAUGAUACUAAUUAAUAACAUGUUAUCAUUUAUUAUUAAUAAAAAAUGACUUUAAUUUUAAAUUUCAAAAAUAAUUUCCUGAAUCUCAUUUAUUAUAAUAAAACCCCUUUUUUUCCAUCCAUUUUAGAAUCACUUUAUUUAGAAAUAAAAUAAAAAUUUUUUGUUUUGAAUUUCUCAAUAUCUUGGUAAAAUUUAAAAAAAUAUUUUUCACUUGGGUAUUUUCAUGAUAAUCCUUAAAAUCUGUGCAUUAUCAACAUUAUAAUAUUUAUAAAUCUGAUAAUAUUAAAUUUUUAAGUUCAAUUCUCAUCAUAUAUGAAUUUCAUUUUUUUUAUUAAAUUUAUUUAAUUAUGUGUAGAUUUAUUUGUUUGAUUUAAAUCAAAGAUUUUCUUGUAGGACUGUAAUACUUUCUUAUACUAUUAAGUUCAUAAAAAAUUUUAUAACUAAAGAAUUUCCCAAAAUUUCCAUUGGCAUGCAUUUUGUUUUUUUUUUUGGGAAUUCUUGGACGCUUUGCAACGAGACUAGCAUUUUUUUUGUUUAUAAUAACUGGAAAAAGUCAUAUAUAAUCCAAAAUAGAAAUAAAGAGAAUGACUUUCGGGUUUUAAUUAGAAAUAUAAAACUAGAAAUUAAAAAUCCCCUCUCCCCAUGACUCAUAUACCAUAAUCACUGCUUAUGAUAAGCAUGGUUAAUGGAAUUUUUUUUUAAUUAUAUUAAGAAAAAAUGAAAAUGAAAAGAAUAAAAAAAAAAUAAGUAUGUAAGCAUUAAGCGGUUAGUUGUACAUUAUUGGCCUAAAAUACAAAUGGUUUGUUUGACCUUUUGUCUACGGAAAUGCAUUUUUCAUAAUAAAUAAAUAAAUAAAUGUAGUAAUCAAAUAAUUCAAAUUUUAAAACUAAAAAAAAUAUUCACAUGUAUGCAAAUGCAUUUUCAUUAAUUAAUUUCAUUUCACAUUGUUUUAAAAAAAUGAUAUUUAAUAUAUUCACAUGUAUGCAAAUGCAUUUUCAUUAAUUAAUUUCAUUUCAGGUUGUUUAAAAAAAUGAUAUUUAAUAUAUGGCUGGAUCAAGACAUGAUCAUAUGGAUGAAAUAUGGCCAAUCUUGAAUUAAUUAACAAAUCAAAGAAAAUGUAUUUACAUCGCUGACAUCAAUAAAAACUAAAUGAAAAUAUAAUAAAAAAGAAGGCCAAAACCUUUUGUCCUUUUUCAGAAUGAUGCACCUUCCAACAAUAUUUUAUCCCUUGGUCUAUGAGGAAAGUAAUGGCCUUGGAGUGCUAUGUUGUCUUCUUCCAAAUGAACCACCCAAAAAUUCCCAUUAAUUAGAUGAAUUAUAAAAAAUCUUAAAGAUCUCAGCAGAAUUUAAUAAAUUAUAUAACCUAAAAGUUGAACUACAUAAUAGUAUUUUUGCCAUUUACAUGUUUUGAUUUGGUUUAUAUUUUUAGUUUUCCUUUUUAAAUGUCAUGAAUUCAUCAUCAUUAUUGCAUGAUAUAUAUCUUUUGGUAUUAUUGUUGGGGCUGCUUCUGCAAAAUUUGCCACAACUUAAAGCAAAAAAUCUCCACAAAGUAUAUUGUAUGUAAAUUUGUGGUAUAAUUAACUUCAAAUUCAGUUUGAUUCAUUAUAUUUUAAGAUAUCGGUAUGGGUUUUGAUUUUUUUGAAUAUUUUACUGUUUAUAUGUAUAUAUAUAGGAUACUUCGAUUUUCAAAAUUAAUAUAAAAAAUUAUCAAAACAAAAUUUAUUCAUAUUUGACGAGUCCAUAUAACAUAGUGUAUAAAUAAUUUAUCAUUGAGUCAAUUAUCAAAACACCACAAUAAAAACAAGCAUGGAAAACUAUCUAUGACAUGCAAGUAGACAUAACUAUGUAUUAUUCAUCCAUAUCCAUUCAAGCUACUACAAGGAACUAAAGAACCGGCAAACCAAACUGAACACAAAAAAAAUCAUGUUUCUUAAGAGUACUUGAAUUUUGCCACCAAUCUCUUGGCCAAGUGAUAAGAAGAGGAUUUAUGAAAUAUGUAAGCUUGAGUUCCAAUCCAAAUAUUAAAAAAAAAUACAUGAAGUUUUUCUUAAAUGAAUGGCUAAAUAUGGCUUUAUUUCACAAUAUCAAACAAACAAAUGCAAUGCAACAUAGAGUAAAUUACUUCUUCAUUGCAAAGUAAAGCUAAAAAAGCAGGCAUCAAAUUAGUUGAUGGCACCAUAAAAUAGAAAGCUCAAAUGAUGACAGAGCACAAUCAAGUAUCAACCACCUAUCACUGAGGCAAAGAAUCAAUAAGAAUUUAAACAAGAAACUUGAUUGAGGAAAUCAUAAAUACAUGAACAGUGAUUAAUUCAAGAUUUUUGUGGGGAAAUGUUCAUUCAUAAUAUAUACUAUUGUUAUCCAUUUUAGUAUAACCAAAGUCUCAUGCUUUGUAAGUUAUAAACAACUUUCUCUUAAUAACACAAUGAUAUGUCACUCCUAUGUUAACCAUACACUCAAUGUCAAGAUUACCAAUAUAAUUACAAUUACCCUGUGUACAAAUUAAAAUAACUGAAUCACUGUCUAAAUUCACUACUGUAACAUUACCAUCAUCUAAAUUUUUGCUUUUAUCAUCUUUCCUCUCUUGCUUCAAGAUUUUUCAGUAUCACUUUAUAUGACCUACUUUACCACAAUAGAAGCACUUCACUUUAUCUGUGGACUUGAAUCUAUAUUUAGACUUAUUACGGCCUUUUGAGUUUUGAUUUUUGUCAAUAUUUCUACAUCUGUUUUCUAUGACAAAAGUUUGAUUCAAGGGUCUGAGUCCUUUUGCAUUGCUUCUUCAUUAAGCAUACUGUCUUUUAUCAUCUCCAAUGUCACAUUGUAAUUAGGAUCUGAAUUAAGAACAGUCAUAACUAGAGUAUUCCUGUUGUCUGGCUAUGAACCCAAAAGAAACAAUGCAUUUAUUUUAUCAUCCAUCUUAACCUCUAUGGUAGUCAUCUGAUUAAAUAUAUUUUGAAAAUCACUUGAGUACUCUGUAAUUGAUCGUUCAUCCUUUUAUUAUAAAGUUGCAAGCUUUUUAAUAUGCAUAAUUUUAUUCAUGGUUGUUUUUCUUUCAUACAACACUGUUAAUUUUUUCAAACAGUGUGUGCAUAUUCUCCUGUGCUACAUAAUAGAACACGUUGAUAUCAACUCAUUUUUUUAUUGUGGCCAGUGCUUAACUUUUUUCAGCUUUCAUCUUUCGUAGCUGUCAGUUUAGCCAGAUCACCUAAUAUCAACUCAUACAAAUCUUUGUAGUAUAAAUGAUUUUCCAAAUUGAAUAAUUUGAUAUUGUCAAUUUUAUCAUGGAAAUUGUAUCACCCUUUAUGAUCUCAAAUAGAAUUUACUUCCAUCCUAAGUUGCUUCUGUAUUGAUGUCUAAAAAAUAACCUUCGCUCUGAUAUCACUUGUUGGGCCUAAAGUGACAAACACAACAAUGCAAAAGCAAUAUAUCAUAAUAAACCCAUAGCAAUACACAAUAAUCAAUAAUCAACAAUACAAGGAAAAUAAAAGCAUAUCAAGAUUUAUAUGAAAAACCUUCUAGUGUAGAGGAAAACAAUCACAGAUCAUCAAAAAAAUCUUCACUAUCAAAUAAUAGAUAUACAAAGUUCUCCUCUAAUCAAAACUAGAACUAAUCAACAACUAAAAAGAUAAUUGAAAAAAUCUCAUCAAAUAGGUGACUCAAUAAAUACACCCUAGAUUUAAUCCUAGAAAAUUUCAAAUCCAACAUUCACCGUUCAAAACGUAAAACUCUAAAUCAUAAACUUGUUGAUAAAAUUUUAGUUCAAUCAGACCACGAAUCAAUUUUUAUUCAAUCAACUCUCCCUUCUCUCUUUUCUCUCUAUUUUUUUUUUUACUUUUCUUUUUUACUUAGUUUCGAUGCCACCACACUUCUUUUCAAACCAAAAACUACCUCACUUUUAUAUGUAGGAUUUUAUUUCAUGGUCAAAGGCCACAAAACUUUAUGCCUUUUAAUUGGCUAAUCAAUUAGGGCUGGAUCCACAUAUUCCUAACAUCAACUACAUUGAUCAUAUCACGAAAGUUGAUUCACAUGUUGAUUUUGUAAAAAUAAAUCCUACUAAUGUAUUAAAAAUUUUAUUGAUUUGAAAAUAAAUUUAAGAAAAAUUUUCCUUGAAAUUAAAUUGUUUUGAAAAUGUUAGAAAAAAAAAGUUAAAAUAUCAAUUUUUUUAAAAUAAAAUUUUGAACGAUUAGAAAAAAUUUGAGAUAUCAAUUUUUUUUUUAAUUUUGAAAUUUAGAGAAACUUAAAAACAAUUUUCAAAAAAAAAAUUGUUUUGAGAUAUUUUUUAGAUGUUUUUAAGACUUAAUGAAUAGAACAAAAUCAAUUGGUAUUAUUUUUUGAAUGGACGUUGUAAGAAUAUUAUAUUUUUUUCCACAUAACGUACACUUGAAUCUAAUCUAGUUUCAUAGAAUAUAGUUUAUUCUUUUAAAAAACCUAAGUUGAGUUUAAAAAAUUUUUAAAAAGAAAUAAAUUUAACCCUUAAAUAAAAAAUUAAUGACAAUUCUAUGAUUUUAUAUUUAAUAAUUAAAUUUACCUACUUAUACCUUAUAAUAAAUAUACCUAAAAAAGAAUGAGCUUUCAAGAUCCAAGAUGGAGUUUUUAUUUCCAUAAAAAAAUUUUUGAAAUUAAAAGAAAACUGAAGUAAAAAUCAACUUUGCUUCACAUGACACAAAUAAAGGGAAAUUCUGCUUAAAAUCAUGUGACCAAUUGAAACUACAAAGAAAUGUUGCAUCAAAAACUUCUUUAAUUUUUUGGAUUGUAAAUAUUAUCAUUUUCCUUGUUCAAAUCCUUCAUGGAAGACAACUAGACAAUGGCCCAGGCUUCUUAUCCUUUACUUGGGAGUUGGGAGCAAUGACUUUAAUUCACACGUACAUUAUUAUUUUUUUGCACGUUAGAAAUUUUGAAGGAAACUGAUCUAUCAUUUAUCUGAAUUGCCAGAGUUAAUAAUUCACAGCUGUCAUUUGGUAGGACAUAGCAUCAUUGAUGCACUUUUGAGUUAUUGACCCUUUUUUUUUUCAAUUAUUUUUCUGCAUUUUUUAUAAUAUUUUUGGUUGACCUUCGUAGAUAAAUCUAUUCAAGAAUAGAAUUAAAUUAUUAAUCUCUUUAUUUUUUAAUUUUUUCUGUAUUUUUUAAAAAAAAAUUUGGUUUUCAAGAAUCAAAUUAUUCAUUCACGUCUGAAAAUUAAUUCAAAAUUUAGAGGUAUUUAAGCAUAAAUAUUAAGUUUCCCAAUUGGAUCAAAACUUAAAUUGAAGGUUCACUUAAAAAAUGGAUAAGCUUUGGGAAAAACAUUAAUGGUUUAAGCUUAACUUUAUAGUUUUUAUAUAUUAGACCGAUUUGAUAGUUACUUAUAUAUAUUAUUUAUAAUUAAAUUAUAUAAAAAUAAAUAAAUAAAUAAUAUACAUGCAUAUUAAUUUUUUAUACCUAUAUGUAUCGAUUUCAAUUAAAUAUUAAAUUAAAUUAAUAAAAUUAUUUUUAAAAUUUUAUUUUGUUAUAAUUAAUAUUUAUUAUAAAAUUUAUUUUUAUUUAAAAAAAAUUAAAAUCAAAACCCAAUUUUUGAUCUGAGCUUAAUAAUUGUAACACUUAUUAUUAAUAUGUUUAAGUUCAAUCCUAAUUCGAUCUCAUCAUAAAAUUUUUUAUCAUAAAUAAACAUCCGUUACAUCACUUUAUUUUUUAGUAAUGUUAUAUAGUAAUUAAAUAUUCAUUUUAAUUAUAGUACAAUGACAAAUUUUAUAAUUCGACAUUUCCUUUUUGUAUAAGACUAAAUAUCAUUUCAUUAUAUCUGUAAGCACCACUAAAUUGUCACCUGCAAUUACAAUCUCAACUCUUAUUAAUAUAUCAAGUCAAAUGAAUGCGCAACGUCAUAUCUAUUGGUAGAAAAGUUUUUCUAAACACAAUUAGUAUAUGUGCGUCAAAUAUUUCAUAAAUAAUUUUUUUUCUGUAUCUAAAUACCAUUUGAGGUUUGCUAAUAGUAAAUUUAUUAAAAACGUUGAGAUUAAAGUCAAAUUUGUCUGAAUAUUAUGGUUUAACACUUCCGCCCAAAAAUAAUUGUAUGUUAUUGAUUUCCGUUUAAAUUUAUUCAAUUUUGAUCUUCAUUUUUUAAAAUAUUAUAUUGAAUUAAAAUUUUAAAAAAUAUAUUUUGACAAUUUUGAAAUUCAAAAUUUACAAAUCUUAUUUUUAAAAAUUUUUUAAUUGUACAAUUUUAUAAAAAAUAAUGAUAAAAAAUGAGUUAAUUUAACCAAAAAAUCAAUUAGAGACGAUUAUUUGGAGAUGGAAAAAUCUACUUGAAAUCUCAGUGACCAAUUGAAACUACAGAGAAAAGUUGCAUCAAAGACUUAUUUAUUUUCUUUAAUUUCUUUGGAGUCUCUUUUAUUAUGACUAUUACCAUCUUUCUUAUUCAAAUCCUUAGUGGAAUACAGCUAGAAAGGGCUUGCCAAACAUACUUCCUAGUCCUGGAAGCUUUAAGAUUAUCAAAUUUUAAAUCUUAAUUAUUAAAAUAAAAAAUUUAUCAUUCUAUCAAUAAAUCAUACUGUUGAUUGAUCCCUUUAUUUUUUUUCCUCUUUUUUUUAUCAAAUUUUCUUUUGUAUUUGUUAUGAAACUCCACUGUUUAAGUGAUUUAUUAGAAUUAAAAUCUUAUAAUAAGAUUUUAUAUCUUUCAUAAGGUAACAAUUAUUUGAUAAUUAAUAGUUAUACAUAGAUUUUUCACACAAAUGCAGAAUUCCCCAUCUCAACUCUCUAACCAUUUAGUAAAUAAGUUUUUAUUUAAUAAUAUAAAUUUAUUUUAAAUUCAUUAAAAUUAAUAUAUUUCUAUUUAAAAAUAUAUUAUUAUAUAUUUAUAAAAAUUUAUGUGCUCAAAAUACAAAAUAAUAAAAACUAAAAAAUCUUGCCCCAAUUCAGGCUCAAUUCAAAAGCACAUGGCCAACUUUUUGCGCUAAAAUGUUUCUUUUUUUUUUUUUGGAAAGGUCAAUUUUAUACAAAUUCGAUAGAAGAUUUGAUUUUUUACUCGAAUGAAGAUAAAAAUAGGUAAUAAAUUUUGGAAUGAUAAUAUAAGUAUAGUUUUGAUCUUUUAUGGGAUAUAAAAAUGAAAAAGAAUAAUAUAAUAUCUAUCAUGUAUCCAUAUCCAUAUUAUAUAUAUUUUUAUAUAUGUGUAUUUAGUAAAUAGAUUUAAUAAUAUAAAAUUUAUUUUAGAUUACAGGUGGGUUUAAGGAUGAGAAAAACCUAUUUCAUUGUCGACCGAGAUUGGAUGGUGGCUUAGGAGGGUUAAAAAAUCAAUGAAUUAAAUCAAAUAAACAAUGAAAAGCUAUUCAAAUAAUUGGGUAGAAAAUAAUAUAUAAUGUUCAAUAAAAAAACAACGAUUACAUUGAUUGGAACAAUCAUUAGCAAAAUGCUAGAUAAGGUUUUGGACGUCAAGCUGUUAUCUUGAUUUUUCAGUCGUGAGCAUGGAAUGGAAUUAAUACAGCCAGCCAGUUGAAAGCAGAAGAAUAACUGGAAAAGUAGGUGACAAUUAAACACAAAUAAUUUAUCUGAAAGUUGUGGAUAACAUAUUGAUUAGUGAGAGCUGUUUUGAUUAUUAAUGGAAGGGUCAGUUGUCUUGAAGUUUUGCUUCAGUUUAGGCUGGCACAGGUAGAUGAAAAUUGUAAUGAACCAUAUUCAAUGGAAAAGCAAUUUUUCUAAUCAUUAAGAUCCAUUCAAAUAAUAAAUGAAAUUUAUUCUAGUGAAAUUAAAAAUAAUAGUGAUCAUAAAAUUAGUUAUUAUAGUAGUUAGAAUGGAUAUUAAUAAAAUUAAAAUUAAUGAUGAAAAUAUGUUUUUUAUUAUAAAUAUAAUGUUGACGAUGAAAUUAAAUAUGAUAAUCGAUUGUCAGAUUAAAGAUAAUCAAUUAUAAUAUUUAAAAACUAGGCAGUUAAAUGCCCAACAAAAAAUAAUAGAUUGUUAUAAUUGAAAAUAUCUUUUGUUUUAAUUUACACUAAAGACAGUCAAAUAUCUUAGAUAAAAGAAAUUAAAAUUAAGGUUAAGAAAUAAGAAAGUGGCUGAAAAUGGAAGAUUGGAGGUGGAUUUUUUGGCCUUUUCCAAAUUCGGAUCAAGUAAAUGGGUCUUGAAAUCAUAUUUCACCUGGUGAACCUAGCUGUAAAGGGUGAGGUUUAAAGUUCUAGCAACUGUCAGUAAAGAAUGUUGGCACUGACAAGCUGAGAGAGUCUAAACAAUAAAGAGACUCUCCCACUAUUCUUAAUAAAAAAAGGCAAAGGUUGGAACUUAGAAGGGAAUUGGGUUGAAAUAGAAAUGGGAUUUCAAGAAAAAAUUGCCUUUCACAUUAUGGAAUUGCUUGAUCUUCACUCAAAUGUUUCAUCCAAAUCCUAAAAAUCGGUCAUCAACCUCUCACUCAAGCUCACUUUUCAGUCAGACUAGGGAAAAAUAGUUUCACUCUGAGUCGAAACUCAAUUGCUUCAUGUAACUACCCGAUGACAUCCAGUAAUUUAAGAAUUCAAAUACUAAUAUUUAUAAUCUCUAUUCUUAUUCCUAAACUAUGACUUUUUUUGUGUAAAAAAAAAUGAUGACUUUUUUUAACUCUAAUUUUUUCAUAUAGGUUGCAACCCCUUUUGUUGCUGUUUGCUUUCUUUGAUUCCUCAAUCAAUAGGCCAACUCUACAGUUUCAUGGCCAUGGAGCAAACAUUCUUUACGCCAAAAGCUUUGUUGAUUUCCACAUUGCAAGACAUGGGGUGGAUUCAAUUCUCCUUACUUAUACCUAAAGGAUUACACGUUUUAAUGGAUCGUAAAAAAAGAGUUCACAGUUUGGCCACAACAUUAAGAUUACUCCAAUAUGUUUAAAUUACCAAAAUGAUGUUUUUUUUUUCUUACAAAAUAUCGAUAAAAUUGCAUACAUUUUCAAAUUACAUUAAUUUUAGAUUAAAUCGAAUUAUCAUUUUUGAAAUGAUUGAAUAAAUCAAUUGAAUUAAACUUAAAUAUUUCUUCCUUGUAUUGACAGCUUGAAAACUAAGAUAAAACAAAAAUACAAAACCAGCUCGGUUCACACUGUCAAGUGUUGAUUAAUCACCUUUGCGCCGCAAAAAUCACAACCUUAAUUAAGGAUUAAUUAACCAAUAAUAUGUCAUUAACACAGCAAUCUCGGCACGUGCUAAUGUAUCGUCAUGUGAAUGGCUUUAUUACAAGCUAAAGCAACCGCCGACCAUUGGAGGACAGAGCUGUCAAACAAGGCAAUGACAUCUUACCACGUGGCACAUUCUUGCUGUAUGAACUCAAAACCAAGUCUAACAAAGUAAGAAAGAGAUUUUUGUCUGUAAGAAUCUUCCCAAGUUGUUGCAUAUGCUUUGCAUUAAGUCACCAAAAUCAAAGGUACCCCCAAAGUUUAUACAUAAUAUAUAUUUUAUAUAUUUUUACUGAUAUUAAUUAUGAUACAUAAUUUUCAUAUAAAAUAUAAUAUAAAUACAUAAAUUAUUUGUAUUUUACAUAACACUGAAUUAUUAUCAUGUUUACUCAAAAGAAAACUUAGGAAUUAAGAAAUCCAUAAAGCGAAUUGGUUUACUAUGUUUAGAACUUUUGUCUGAAGCAUAUUAAUACAAGAAAGAAGUGAUUCUUGCCUCAUGAAUGAUCUAGGUUGCAACAUCCAACUAUUGUCUGGGCAUAUAUCAUUGCAAUUUUCCAUUCAGGAAAGAUGAAGUUACUGGUCAUCAGUCAAAAAAUCCUGAAUAUGGUGGUAAAAGAGCAGUCAAGGUUAUUAAGAUCAAUGGAACAUUCAAAAUUAGCUGAUGGUAUUUUAGUAUGAUUUUUUCUUGAUUUUCUUUGCUAUCUAAGAGAUUAUAAAUCAUGAGAAUUUUGGAUCAAAUUGGAUAAUUCUGAUAUUAACAUCAUUACAUGAAAUGAACUGGUUGACCAGAGAUUCAUGUCAUCCAAUUUCUAACAGUACAAAAUCCGUUGGAGAUAAAUUUGAUUCAAAUAAGAAUAAAAAAAGAGUUUGGUUGCAAACUCUUCUUCAUCCUCUUCUUGUGUUGAAGAAUGAGGAUGGAAUGCAUCAUCUGCAAGGUCUCUGAGCUCUGACAAACUUCUUCCAAGCUGAAGAGCGGCUUUCACUUCAAACAAUUUUCCAUUUUCCCUGUCAUCAGCAUCUCCUUCCUCCAAGGUUAAUUCUAUAGUCUCCCCCUUAAGCCUGAAGAAUCCAGCAGAGCUCCUAUACAUUUCAAACCCCGUACCAAUCUGCCCACCAUGCUCAAAACUGUUAACAACAAUUGCCAUAGCUCCAAAAACCACACUGAAAAUCACAGCAAAUGAGCCACAGAAAGAUGAUCCCAUCAAGGCAGAACAAACUGCAGCCGUGCCAGUGAACAAGGGGCCACAAAUAGCUAGAAUUUUAUUGAUUUUCAGCACUAUUUUGCUUAGUUUGAUAUAUUCUUCAGUGUCUUUUCUCUUCAAAACCAUAACAAUUUCUUUCAUUUCUUCUUCAAGAUUUUCAUCCCACCCAUCUGUUUCUAUUUACUGUUGAUAAUUUAGAAUGUGGUGCAUCCAUAAAGAUUUAAUUAUUGAUAAAUAAAAUUAAUUUUUAUAUUAAUUUUAUUUAUAUUUUAAGUUGUAAAAAACUUACCAAGCAUGGUUCCAAACAAGGGAAGUGGAUAAGCUUCAUCUAAUGCCAAGACUUUCUCCAUUGCAUCUUUCACAUCAUCUGAAUCUGGGUUUCCAAGAGCAAUGAGUGUAUUUAUCUCCUCAUGAAGCUGCUUAAACAAUCUUGAAGCAUUUCUUUGUUCUUCAGCCAGCUGCAACGGCUGUAUCUUAUUUAUAACCAGCAAAAGCCGGUUGAUGCAAUGUAAAGCAAACCGGAAGAUAGUUUUCAGAACCAAAAAUGAUGCUCCACCUCCAACGACAGCUGCAAUUCCAGCCAUUGUCGCCACUGUGACUGUCAUUUCAUUGACAGAAUUCAACAGCAGCCAGUUCCAGUUAUCACGCUGUGCUCCAAUAGUCCAAUGUUCUAGCGCAUUUCAACUAUUUCUGCUACAAUAUCCAUAAUAGCAUACAUCUCUUGCAACACCAUUGAAUUAGAGAUUUCUUCCUUGUUUACGUUGUUGUUUCCAAGUUCAGGCUUAAUUUCUAUCAGGGGAUUGGUUGUUUUCAAGGUUUUCAACCCUUUUCUUCUGUUAAACCCAUCAUUCAGGAACUUGGAAACUGAAAUAUUUGGGUUAUAAAGAGUGGCUUUGGUUUUUUCCGAAGGAACUUGAGGAAGAACGACAAGAGAAAUUGGUGAAAAAGCUUGAAGAAUAGCCACGAUCACUUUGCUUGUGAUCCAAAGGCUUUUUGCAGUAAUACGAGUGAGAAUCUGAUGUAUUUAUGCUAGAAUAAUUGGAGGAUUUUCUACAGAACUUGUCCAUGGUUUCAUUUUCAACGUAGUUGAAUUUGACUUUCCUUUACGGUUAUUGAAGUGUAGAGCGGGUUAAAGACUUCACGUGAUUGGUUCACUUGACAUUAUUUGCUUGUUGAUGGGUAUUUUCACUUGACAUUUUACUUUUACAUUUUCAUUGCCAAAGAAAGCUGUGAACCAAUGCGAUCCCAAUACUUUAACAUUAUAAAAAGUACAGAGGAAGUAGGAACUUGAAGAGAUCAUCACGUUAAGAAUUAAAUAUUAGAAUAAUCAAUCCCAAGUUUAACUAAGUUUAUUUAUACAGAUAUCUUCGAAAAAUUAAAUUUAAUUGUAAAAAUUUCAACAUUUACGAUCAUUAUUUUAUUUUAAGAGUUUUUGGAAAGAAUUAAAAGUACUAAAUUUAUGAUGUUAAACUUUUUGUUCUAAUUCAUACUGUUACUUCUUUCAUUUUUUUUAAUUGAUAAUUCGUAUAUUUAUAUUAUACAAAAUUUAAUAAUUUAUAUAUUUUUAUUAUAUUUUAUAUAAAAAAUUAUGUAUUAUUAUUCAUAUCAAUAAAAAAAUACAAAAUAUAUAUUUUUAUUUUAUUAAAUUUAUAUAUGUUUUUUAUUAAAAUUUUAAAUUAUAUUAUUUUUAAAUUUUUUAUAUUAUUUUCAUACGAUGUUAUUAUAUCGUGUUUAAAAUUAUGAACGAAAGCAAUAAAUUUUGAUUUAUGAGUAUUCACGGGUAAAUCUUGAUUUCUUUUUCCAUAUAGCAAGCAAAUACCCCUUUCUUUUUCAGUUUUCGGAUGGUCACGAAACAAAACAGGCAAAUGUGAACCCCAAUUCCUAACCAUUUUCACCCUUUGAAACCCAGAGUUCUACGCUUCAAGGAGACCAGAAUUACUCAGUUUAAGACUGACAGGAGGAAAAUCGACGCGCAUUCACUAGAAAACGACGAUGAAAUAUGACCAACCAUACCAAUAAUAUUCUUCAGUCUUCAUUCCUCGAGCAACAUGUGUUGUCUUUGUCAAUGCAACAAUCUUUGAAUCUAGGUGAGCAUUAUUCGGUUUAAAUCAAUUAAACCAAUUUAAAAUUGAUAAUUCAAUGAAAUCGAAAUUUUUUUUUUUGGAUUAUUUAGUUUUUCCAACUUAAAUGAUUUAAUCGAUUCAUUUUCGAUUUUAAAUUUAUAGUAAAUUGAAUUCAAUCUUUAAAAAAACUAUUUUAUAUAAAUUAAAAAUUAAUAAAUACAAACAUUUUACCUAAUUCGACUAAAUUAAUAAAUUGGUUCGAUUUUUAUAUAAAUUAAAUUGAUUAAGUCCAAUUUUUCAGUUUUUACAAACUAAAUUUUACAACCAAAUUCAUCUUAACAGAAUGUUAUGCCUUUCCCUAAGCCUCCGAGUUUCUUUCAUUCGAUAUUAUUAUAAAUUUAACUCGUUGCUGUCCCUAUGCCUAAGCAUGCGCCGUCACUGCCCCGGCCAGGCCAGGCGGUGAUGAUUUAGAAACGAAAUUUUCUCUGCUCAUGAGUUAAUAUAAGACCUCUACAUAUGUUUUAAACAACUAAGAAACUUUGAAUUACCCCAAUGGCAUCCAUGUCAUGUGUGAACCGUGAAGCUAGAACUCAGAUCCAAGCAGCAUAAGAAUACGGUACCGAUCAACUGCAUCACAAGGGAACCAGCCUUCUCUUGACAAAUUGUGGAAAAAAAAAAUUGUAAAACAUCAAUACAAAGACUAUUACAAGUCUUAACCAGUCAAGCUACUUAUGAAUUAUUCUUACUCGAUCAAGAAAAACUCAAAUAACAAAUGAAAUUGAGUUUGAGUAAUUUAAUGUCAAUAUUUACAAUUUCACCGAAUUAAAUAGAGCAUGCUAAAUCGAAUUCAAGCGAUUCAAUUAAAUUAUGAAUCAAAUUUGAGCAUGAAAAAUGAAGCUUGAUCGAAUUCAAGCAGUGUUAUACAAUCCCCAAAUGAAGAAUUGAGAGGAAAGAAUAAGCAACCACAACCAGGAAACAGAAUUCUCAUCUUAGAGACUGCAUGAAUCUAAGAAGAAACCAACCUGUCCAUGUAUGAUUUUCACAUUCAAGGUGUCAUAAAAAUGUGUACCCUUUACACCAGAAUUUAAAGAACUUAGUGUAAAAUAAAAGUAAAAACCGUAUUUGCACAACAGAAACUGGAAAUAUGUAUUUAUUCUUGUUCAACAAUGGCCAGCUGUAAUUUCGGAACUCGUUAAAGGGUGAAUCAACAAACGAAACCCUACAAAACUUCAGGAACUUAUUCUUGCUCAUUUAAAUAGGAAGUAUAUAUCCAAUGCUAAUCGUGGAAGUAUAUAUCCAAUGCUAAGCGUACCAGCAAACCAUGAAAAUAUCACAGCAGUUGCUACUAGGCCUUCAUACAUCAAGUAGCAGCCUGCGAGGGUCUUCCACAACAUCUUUGAUUCGACGCAAGAAGAAGACAGCCUCUCUUCCAUCAAUCAGCCUAUGGUCAUAAGUAAGGGCAAUGUACAUCAUUGGUCUUGGGACUAUGUUACCUCCGACAACCAUUGGUCGGGACACUAUUGAGUGCAUACCCAAGAUAGCCGACUGCCAAAAAAUUGUUUAAUCACGUGAGAUUCUCUUUCUGGUCUCAAACAAAAGCUGAAGAUUAGAAACACAGUAGAGCGAGCGCAAACAUCUCUAUUAAUAUGGAUGUCACAAGUGUAUGGAACCCUCAUACAUAAACAAGCAUGCACAAUUAUUCAGUUUGUGACCACUAACCUGAGGAGGGUUGAUAAUUGGGGUACUCAACAAACUUCCAUAAACACCACCAUUGGAUAUUGUAAACGAGCCUCCAGCCAUUUCAUCAAUUGAUAUGGUCCCAUCAUUUGCCUUCUUUGCGAGGCUGUUGAUUGUCUUCUCUAUCUCAGCAAAAUUCAUCUUAUCAGCAUCUCGAAUAACCGGAACGACAAGCCCCUGACAGGAAAGAUAAAGAAACAAAAAGCUUAACAUAGAAACAUGAAUCACAUUCUUCUUUAUCUUUUUCUUAACUUUCGGUGCCCAUGAAGGAUGGGGUGAUCUAUGCAUAUAUUUAUCAAUAGAGGCCUAUUUGAUUGGUGGAGAAACUUUGAAGAUUAGCAACAAACCAAAAUGAGAAAAGACUUGACAUAAUCAUCUAGAUACCUCAUUUUCUCUUUUGUCAUGAAAUAAAAUAAAGCAACUUCAGCUCAGCAAAUAAAGAAAACAAGUAAAAAAAAAAACCCUUCAAAAAAUCUAUAAUGUUUAAUUGUCAAAGGACACAGUUUUGAACCUAUUGAUUACUCAUUUCAACUUUACAAACUGCUCUAAGUUCAUAGGAAAUUCUUAAAUUCAAUACAUUUUUACAUGAUGUUUAAAUUCUUUCAAAACAAGCCAAGAAAGAAUGCUGAGAGAAACACUAACAAUCCAAGUUCAGCAAGCCAUUAAAUGGAUAAAUUGCAAUUUGGCAAAUCAAUCACAAAAAGAUUACCUUCGGAGUACCAACAGCAAUGCUGAUAUCAAUAUAAUCUCUAUAAAUAAUAUCAUCCCCAUCAAUUGGCAAAUCAAUCACAAAAAGAUUACCUUCGGAGUACCAACAGCAAUGCUGAUAUCAAUAUAAUCUCUAUAAAUAAUAUCAUCCCCGUCAAUUACAGCAUUUACUAUAGGCUGAUGCUGAAGUGCACUAACAGCAGCCUGAAACAAAUAAAAUAGAAGAAAUGAUAAGGGAAAAAAGAGAAAGCAAAGUUAGUGAAGACAGGCCAUGAGUGCAUAUGUGACCAUUUCAAGAACAAAUUUUGCAUACUUUAACAAAUCCUGACAUAAAUCCCAACUUGACACCAUGUCUCUCAACAAAAGCAUCCUUGAAAUCAGAGCGGAGCUUCAUCAAAUUAGUCCUGCAAUGAGAAGCAAAUCAAAAAGAAAAGGAAACAAAUCAGCAUAGCCUUCAUAAAGUAAAAUGAUCUGGUUAACUUCACAGAAAACUUGUAUCAGAAAAGGGAAGCAAAUAGUUAGGUACAGUCAAAGAAUCAUCUGAACCUAAAAAAAACCAAAAUAUAAAUGUUUAGAAAGUGAAGUAGCACAGACAGCAGGAUGCCAAACACCUGAUGCAAAGAACUAAAAUAUGAAGAUAACUGAACUCACAUGUCAACUUCAUUGAAUGUUGUCAACAUCGCAAAAGUAUUCUGAGAAUCUUUCAAUCGUGUAGCAACCCGUUUCCUAAGCCUUGUCAUAGGAACCUGUAAUCAUGAAGCCAUACACUCAGGAUAUUUUCUAAGAUGCUAACAUCAUUUUUCACAAAAGGCAUCAGAAAAUUCUAAGCAUACCCUUUGGAUAACAUUUGGAUGCAAACAGCAAAUGAAAAGACUUACUCUUCUUUCCCUUUCCUUGGGUGGUAGUAUAGGUUCAGUAGCAGUUCGUUUUGGAGGUGGUGGAGAAGGGGCUUUAGGCUUCUCCACAGCAGGAGAGACUUCAACUUUGGCUUUUGGCUUAUCCUCCUUUACAGUUUCAGCUGGAGGAGAUGGCUUGGAAGCAGCUUUUUCUGAUUUCUUUUCAGAGGGGGCAGCAGGUGCAACACCAUCAGUGGACUUUGAAAUGACAGCAAUCUUGGUACCUGGUUCCACAGUAUCUCCUUCCUUGGCUACAUACUGGCAAGAAUUAUGACAUUAAUAUUCAGGAUCCAAUCCACUUCCCUUCCUCCCAGAAAUGAGAAGGCAGGAGUCUAGGAACGACCAACAAGCUAGAUACAUGCGUGCAUGCAUGUUUGACCCAAAGAUCCAGAUUUAUUGAUAUAUUACCUCUUGUAUCACACCAUCUUGGGGGCUGACAACAUCAAUUGUUACCUGAUGGAAAUAAACACCACAGGUAUGAAGGGUAUAAUAUCUUCUUGAUAGAGGAAAAGGAGAAGAAUAGUACCUUAUCUGUUUCUAUCUGAGCGAUUGGUUCGUCAGCUGCUACUCUAUCACCAGGCUUCUGCUCUCAAAUUUCAGAUACAUACACAAUCAAACACUUACAACCCUGAAAACGAAUAUUUCUAGUGAAUGAAUGGAAAUUACAAUAGUGGAAAACAUACUUUUCAAGAAUGUUGCCAAAGUGCCAUCAGUAAUUGAUUCUCCCAUAAAAGGGACCACAGCAUCAACCAGAUCCCCUUCAUCACAAGUUAAGUAAAAUAGGAAAGUCAAAAUCUUUAAAUUUAACAUAAUUACAACAUAAAAGGGAAUUCAUCUUUAUUUUCAAGCAGACCUGUUCCUAAUCAGUAUGUACUUUUUGAAAGUGAAAAAUGCACUAAAAAUGCCAAAAUGGCGGAGGUGCAAGUCUAGUACCACCAAAGUUUACACCAAAUCAUUAUACAACUAAAUUGCAGCCAAAGUUUUGAAACUAUUGCAUUCACACUUUUCCAGAGAAAGAUUUUAAAAGAAAUUUUGAACUAAAACUAUUUUCUUCUUUUGACAUAUUGCCUGACGUAGUACCUCUUGGGCGGCCCAACUGCUAACUGAAAAUUGGGUUUGACAAUUGUUAGAUGUUAAUGGUCUAUCCCAGAUAAGUGGUGAUUCAAAUGAACAAUUAUAAUGCACAGGAUCUAAAUUCUAGCAGAAACCAAAAACACACAUCCCUAUGUUAAUAACCAUUCAAAAAGACCAAAAAGAGAAAAAAUGCUAAUAAACCUUAGGCCAAAUAAAUAUCAUUAAGGAAAUUAUUCAAUAACAUAACAUCUCUAGAAGAGAAAGCCCUGCACAACUUUUGCAUGAUAGCCUUUGACUGCAUGCUAGAAAUGACAUCCCUGCCCACAAGCAAAGCUUUCAGGGGAAAGAAGUGAAGAAGUGCUAAGGAGCAGCAAACUGAUUUAAAGAAUUAUAUAUAUAUAUAUAUAUCAUGGAAAGAGAAUUUCCUUUACUAGUUACCCUAAGUAAUCUAGUUCCUGAUAAACAAAUAAGAGAUGGACUAUGCAUUGAAAUGGGCCUGCUAUUAAAGUUAGAUAUACAAUUGUCAGAAUAAUCCAGUAGUCAACUCAUACCCUGUGAGAGUUUAAUUCCUAACAUUGAUGUGCAUUACAAAGUUCAGAACCAACUAACCUUGUCUCUGUUAAACCAGCUGAACAGCCUAUAAUAAUAAUUUAAUAUUUCAUUAAUAAUAAAGAAAAUCAACAAAAUUAUACCAACAAAAGAAGAAAAACCACCCAAAAGAUAUACCUGGCAGAACAAGAUGAGAGAAGUUUCGGACAUGGGCAAUUCCUCUCGGUUGAAGUAAUAGUAUCUGUUCAAGCACUUGAAAUUUCAAUCUCAUGAGAAUAUUUACCAAUGGAUGACAAAAAUUCAAACUCCAAAUGAUUAAAAUGAAAAAAAAGUAACAUUAUUUCUAAAUUAACUAAAGAUUAAAAUUUCAAAUUUUAUGGACAAUAAAACGUGCGAUUUUUUACUUUAAAUCAAAGGACUAAGUUUGAAUUAUUUUUGAAAAAAAAAAAAGAGAAUAUUUUACCAUAUGAUCUUGCACUUCUUUUACUUUAUAUCAACAUUUUAAUAUUGCAAGGCCUAAAUAAAUCAACCAUCUUCGACAUCAGUUAUAGAUUUAAUAGCAUCAAGAUCAAUUGAAAUUCAAAGAAACUGAACUAAGUUCAUGAUUACCAAAUCUAAUUCAUUUUCUUCUGAGUUAUUUACCUCUUUUCCAGCAUUACAAGAAACUCUAGAUACUGAAACACCCGAUCGAAUCGCCAGCAAUGACUUCCCUAAUACCUGAAAAAUCACAAAAAAAUGAAAAAAACAUUAACAAAAUCCUAUGCUUUAGCUAAAUAUAUUACAAUUUAAACAAUAAAAGUUCUAACCAAAGAUGAUGAGCCUCCGCUCGCGACUUUUCUCCUUAAAGCGCCCAACAUCACCGAUAUUCAAUCCCUACUCUUUUUUCAAAAUCAGAAGCAAAAAAUAAAAAACCAAUAAUUUUAAACGCAAAAAAUCAAUAAAAAUCAAUAAAUUAUAACGUAACUUACCAGAUUUCAGUGUAUAAGCAGUAUAUGAAUGAGACGUGAAGCAAAGUAAUAUCGAAGAGAGAGCAAUUUGACUUGAUUGCUUGCAGACAAAAUGAGAGUCGUCGAAUAGAGUAUAAUUUAAAAAAGACGGUUUUUAAGAGAGAUUUGGCUUUUCUUUCUUUUGUUUGUUUGAGAGAAAAUGAGAGAGAGAAACGCGAAGAUGCGGGUUUUGCGGGUCUGUUAUAUCCGCAAUGGCAAGCUGAUUUGAGCUCUCUUACCUGGCGUCGUUUUAUUGAUAGAUACAAGUGAGGAUUCUUUUCUUCCUUUUAACCGGGAAAGGAAGGAAAAGUCGCUACGGCGCCGUUUCGAAAAAUGACACUUUGAGCUUUGUUUGGGUUCGAAAAUCUAGAUUUAGGCUUCGUUUGGGCUCAAAAAUCUAAUGUUUAGGCUUCGUUUGGCUUUUAUUUGGAUUUGAAAAUUUUAAAACUUUUAAGACCGGCAUCUCAUAAUUUAUUAUGAUAAACUUUUAUUUCUUCCAUCUUGAUUUCUAUGUUCAUAUUUAUUUAUAUCUUAAAAUUAUAUUUUUUUUUAUAUUUUUAAAACUCUUACAUUUUAUAUUUUGAAAUUAUUUUUUAUAUAUAUUUUUUACAUUUUAACAUUAAAAAUCAUAAAAUUUUAAUUUUAUAAAAAAUUAAAUUUAAUAUUAAAUACAUAAAAUCAAAGUUUUUUUUCUUUUUUUUUAAACUCCAUGAAAGUUAAUAACACCCAAACAAUUUGAAGUAGAGGGAAUAUAAGUUAAGUUUUUAAUAUAUCUUAAGAAUGGUGAAAAUAUUAAAAAAUUUACUAUAAAAAUUUCCUUAUUACUAUUAUAUGUAUACAUGGUACUAAUAAAAAGUGAUUUUUCUAACAAAAAUAAAAAAUAAGGAGUGAUUUUAUGAGAAAUCAAGGAUUAACAUAGUCUUCGUGUGUUGACUUGAUAAUUAAUAUGUUAAUUAAUUUGCCAAAGAAAAAUAUUAUUUCAAUAGUACUGAAAUUGCUUUUAAAUUGAAGAUUUUGAGUUUGAACUUUAGUAUAAUAAAAAAAAAAAAGAAAAAUGUUCUUUUGUUUUCAUUAAUUGUUGGAUUAAAAUCUCUCAACGGGUAAUUAAGGUUAAGGACACAAGAUUUGUAUUUAUCGUGAAAGUGAACCUUGGGGUAUCUUCAAUUUGAGUGAUAGAACUACAAAAUAAGUUUUUUUUAACUUUAUUAAAAAUCUAGGAGUAGGAUUCAAAGCUUCACUUAGUUCAUGUAGUCACUUGUAAUAGGUAAUAUCUAGUAAGUUUAGGGUUAGAAUCUCAACCUUUGCACUCAUUUCCAUUAUCUCCAAGUUGCGAUCUCAUAAAAAAAAUUACUGAGAAUGGGUUAAAACUGAUGAUUCAAAUAUAGAGCACAUUACUAGAAAAAUAGGUUUUAUCGAUGAAAAAUUUCAUUGGUAAAAGCCAAAUUUCUGUCAAUGAUAACAUUAUUGACUGAUUUAUAGACAAAAAAAUUCCAUCGGUAUUAACUAAGUCGGUAAUGCUAUUCCGUCCGUAAUAAGCAAAUCCAUUAUAGGGCCUGCUAGUGUAGGCCAGUUUGUAGGUUGGCUGGCUUAGGCUUCAUUCUAGCUAUGGCAGUUGGUUUUACUUCCUUGACAACUUUCUUUCUUGGUGGCAUGGUGUUUUAGCUCAGCCAGAAAAAGAAAUUCCCCUACCUGGUGCAUCAAAUCUUGUGUCAAGCUAAGUUGGAGAGGUAAGACUCUAAAAUCACAAAGGAAAGAAAGAAAGCGAUUACGAUUAAAUACUAGGAGUGUCCUUAAAGUUUGUGCUUUGAUGCUCAAGUCAAAGAUUAGCCAAAGAGGAAAAUAGAAAAAAGAAUAGAGAAGAUAGAAAGACAUGUCAUGUCUAGAUAGUACUUGCAUGACUUUAGUUAUAGUUUGAAAGUAAGGGGUUUAGGGCAACUUAGGCUACCAAAGGUUAAUCACAUGGUUAAAGAUGACCUAAAGUAUCAAGUUAACUUAGAUAUUGAUUGUCCACCAAGAGGACGACAAGUCAACAUUGAGGGGAGCUCGUUGGACAGAUUAGUAAGGUGGUUGAGCUGACGUAGUACUAUGACCUUAAGUCAAUCAAACAUGUAAGGUCAGUCUAAAAGUCUAAAAUAUCCCUGGCUAUCUGUUGGUAGUCUCUAAUGAGAAAAGAUGACCAAAAUAACCUUUGGACCUAAAAAUACCCCUAAUAGUUAGAUUUUUAAUUUAAUUAAUCAGAUUUAAUAUUUGACAGCUUCAAUUAAAAAAAGUAUAUCAGUUAAUUAAUUGAUUCUAUAUAACUAGGUGAUGGACUGAACAUUUCAUGUGUGUAUAUAUUCAAGUAUUCCAUUAAGAACAAAAAAUAGAUAUGACUUUUGUUUUCAUUAAGAACAAGAACACUUCAUUUUGAUAAUUAAAACCAUCAAGAACAAGAAAUUAAGCAUAAGUAAAGAAAAAGUUGGUUAGGUACCAUUGUUAUGGCAUGAAAAUGUGUUUUGAGUCUUUACUAAAACUUAUACUCAAAUUGGGACAUCCUUUUUACUCCAAAAUAACACAAAGAAAGGAAUCCAAAAUGAUAACCCAUUUGAAUGAAGGUAUUUAAGCUUAGAAGCUCUAAAAGUUUCAAUCCUUUUAAUUUAAGGAAUACUAUUCCUUUUCCAUUAUCUCAAGUUUAAUUCACUUUGAUACCCAAAAACUUGCUUUGAUUUGGAAGCCAAAUUAAUUUCGAUAUUUUUUAGUUUUGAAAGAGAAUAGGCAACAAUAAUUGGAAACAAGCCUUGAAAUUGUUACACCCAUAAAUCCAUAUAUGUUUAAGACAAGGGAAGGAUAUAGGUUGGAUAUGACUUUAUAAUAAUGAUGCUAUUGAAGUUUGGUUUAUUUCAAUGAUUUUAUUUGACUCUUCACAUCACUCUAUAUCCAAAUAGUUCAUGUGUGGUAAAUUUCUAGCCAGCAUAAAAGAGAAGAUAGAUUUCAACCUAUUACAAUUUGACACAUUUAACUCUCCAAGACAUUGAAGGCUUACAACUUGGAAAGGACCUUAUAACUAAUGUACACGCUUUUAAAUUUAUAACCUCUAUUCUUGAGAGAAAAUAUCUAGCUUAUUUGAAGUAUCCUUUCCCAAUUAAUUAUGUUGCACAUGUUGUUAGGUCUUAACUCAGAAAGUUAUAGUUCAUAUAAAUAUAAAAAAAUCAUAAUUUCAUUAAAAUUGAAUAAAUUACAAAGGUUGAAGAAUGUAUAACUUUAAACAUAUGUUUAAUUGGUUUUCAACUGUCAAUUAAUUUUUUCCACAUAGUGCAAUGUCAUCAAAGUUUGCCUAUAUAUAUAUGUCAUUAAUUUGCAUUAAUAGGAUCAUCACUAGAAUUUCCCAUCCAAAUUAGGUUUCAUUAAACUCAAAUAGUUUGACUUAAUCACACGAUAACAAAGUAAGGGCUUAAGUGAAAAUUUGAUUAAAUAUAGUUAGAUGGUUUAUUUUAUUGUUAUGCCAUUACUAAACAAAACAAACAUUUUUUGUUUAGCUUUCAUCGGAUCUGAUCUUUUCAUCUUUUAAUUAAGCUUUUAACCUCUGAUUUUUCUUAUGCAAGCUUUAAAGUAACCACGAUUUACAUCUUUAUCUUUAGUAACUUUCUCCAAUUGUCUUUCCUAUACAAUGGCUUAAUAAUUCAAUUGUCUCAAUUUUUCUUAAAGUCUGAGAUUCUCUUUUUGUGUCCUUGCUUUUUUUGCCUUAAAUUCCAAUCUUGUGAUUUUGAUUUCCAACAUCAGUGCCUUUGCCCAUAAAUCAUCUAGUUGAGCAAACCAUCAUAUGGAGGGUACCAUAUUAUUAACCCAUUUUGCUCUCCAUACUAAGUAUCCUGAAGUGACAUCAUAAGUACAUCUUCUCAGUUGUGAUCAAUAGGUUUAUUUUUAUGCUUUAGUGAUAUUGUGUACUCUAACCACAUAGUUAGAUUUUCCAUAAUCAAACUCUAACUGGUUUAACCCAUGAGUCAUCUGAACAAACUGUUUAGACUUAUACUAUCUCCUGACCAUAAAAGGGUACAUAACUCAUAACUCCCAAAAUUCAUAAAAGUGGACCCAUGUUUUAUCACUUCAACUAUACAAUAUAGAUGUAUGAAGCAUCCAAAGUGCUCUCCAAAUCAAAUAUUUCAUAUUAAGAUUUUGAAAGAAUGCAACCCAUUGCUCUUUAAUGAGGUCCUUCUACGGAUGUCAGUAGGUAAGGUAUAAGGCGGAUAGGAGCAUUCCCUAUCCCAUUCCCAAAUUUUUAUAUUAUACCUAUCCCGGUAUCCAUAUCAAAUAGGUAUUUCAAAUCUAUCCUCCUAAGUAUUUAAUAAGUAUAGGUAAUCUUUAUAUCCAUAGCUUUUUUUAAAAAUAAAAACUAUAAUUUAUUUUUUAGCUUAUUUUAUUUUAUAUUAUAUAUUUAGGUAAUUUUUUCAUAAAUAUAUAUUAAUAUAUAUUUUUCAAUAAAAAUAUAUUAAUUCUAAUUAAUCUAAAAUAAUAAUUUAUAUCAUUUAACAAAAAAUCUAUUUACUAAGUAUAUAUAAAUAUAUAUGUAAAGUACAAAUAUGGGUUGGGUGUUAUAUUACCCAUCCCCAUCCCUAUACCUAAUAAAAAUUUAAAAUCAUAUAUAUAUUUAUCUCUAUACCCAUAAUGUAAUACCCUUUUUCAUCUUCAUUUAGGUAAAAAAUUAGAUUCUCCAUUAGGUAUAGGUAUUUUUAGGUCCUUUAGCCAUUCUUUCUUAUAAAACUUUGUGAUAAGGACUAGGAUUUCUUGUAUGGUUUAGAGGAACUUUAUCUUUGCCCUAAAAAUGGCUUUGAAGCUAGAUGUAUAAAAGCUGCACACAUCCCAAAAAAUGCCAUUCUCUUUUUUUUCGACAACAAUUCAAUGAUUUAAUUAUCUUUGCUAAGAUAACUAUUAAGGGAUUGAAAUAUUUAUGCAAGUAUGCUGAAGAAUCUACCAUUUAUACCUUGACAUGCCCUAAUACCCUCAAAAAGAUUAGCAACCAUAAAUCGCCAAGGAAAAUAUUUCAAUAACUUGCUUUUCAUUAUGGUUCUUAAAUUUAAGAUUAUGUAAGAAAGCCUGUGGGAUACCAUCAAUGACUGUUUUCUUCUUAUUGAUCACUUUGACAUCCACACCAGUUAUCUUAUAAAGCUUCUUUUGAUAACUUGAUUUCUUUUAUUCUUUCUAGUAUAUCCUAUUUGCACUUGGAAACUUUAUUGAAGUGGAAUAUUCUUCAAUAGUUAAUGUCAUAUCUUUUUUGUUGAAAGUUAAGCAACAGUAUGAUGAGGUUCCAAAAUCAUAUUAUCACCUUAAUUUACUUUUCAUUUGUCUUUACCAAAAUAAGUAGCACAAUAUUUAUGUACUUCUUAAUAAAAGCAUUUUUUCUUUCUACCUCCAUUAAUUCCAAAUGUUUUCCAACUUAGUCAAGUCAUUCUAACAUAGGUCUAAGUGGACUAUUACAAGACAUGUCCUUUAAUUAAACAAUCCCCAUCCUUUUGUUGCCCAUUCUCAGAUUGAUCAUUAAUUUCCCAAUAUGUCUUACUAAUAGUAAAUACUGAAAGUGAAUCCUGAGAUUGCACGGUCACAAUAGUAGUUCUUUUGGCUGGACAUUAUCUAAAAUAAAAAUACACCUCAAUGCAACUAUUUUAUAUUUUUGAUGAUGCAUGCAAAAAUGAAAAAACACAAAAAAAAGUUAGUAAAAAUAGAUUUAUAAUGAAUAAAUUUUCAAAAUAGGAAAAGAAAUUGGUUUCAUUGUUUUGAAAACAUUUGCCUUUUACUUAUCAAAGAAAAUUCCUUUUUUUUUUUUUUAAAGAAAAUAUAUACAUUUAGGCUUUCAUCAGGUAUUGCAGAAGCCUUGAAACGGUGGUGUCAUCCUAUUACAGAUAUCAAGAUGCUAUUAAACUUCUCCUAUUCUACGAUCCAUGUAUUUGUCCAAAAUCAAGUAAAGGGUAAGAAGUGUUUUUUCAUGUGUUCUAAUUUGGGUGCAUUCUAUGAAAAAGGUUCUGCAUGGCUCUACCUACAUGGUAGUUCUUUAUGGUUUUCUAUAUGCUUGACUAAGAUUUCUACGUAUCUAAAGAUUCUCAAAUUGCUCUUCACUAUUGCCCAUGCUAGUCUAGCAAGGUGCCUUGAUCUUCAACUAUUAUAGAAUACAAAUGAAAAAGGUUUAAUUUGAAUAAGAGUAUUUCACCAACCAUUGUAAAUGUAUUCAUCUCACAAGAGUGUAGGUACUUUACUCCCUCCUAAAAAGUAUUUUAUGCCCCAUAGUACCGGUUAAAAAAAAAGUCUCAAUUAAUAACAUAUAUUCCUUUGAUAUUGAUAAAAAAAUGGCCUAAAUUUUAAAUUUUAAAAUUAAUGUCUUAAAUCCCAUUUAUUAUCAUAAAACCCCUUUUUUUGCCAUCCUUUUUAGAAUCAUUUUAUUUAGAAAUAAAAUAAAAAUUUUGUGUUUCAAAUUUCUCAAUAUCUAGAUAAAAUUUAGAAAAAUGUUUUUGACUUAGUUAUUUUCAUGAUAAUCCGUAAAACCAAAGAUAAUAUUAUUUUCAUAAGAAAUAAUUAUUAAGAAUUCCUCUAAUAUUUCGGUAGAGUCUCAAGAAAUAUUUUACUUAGCAUAUUAUCUUAUUUUGUUUUUAAAAAAAUAAUUUCUUUUAUAGUCAUCUUUUACUACAUUAUAUAUUUUUAAAGAAUAGUAAAAUGUAUGUGACGCAACAUGAAGCAAAUUAAUGAUACAAAUAUAAACUAAAAGAUAAAAAUGACCAAUUUAAUUCAUAUUAUAAAUCUUUAACUUUAUCACUUUAUAUUUUUCAUUGUUUUUUUUUUUUUUUUAAUUUUUAGUGAUAAAAUGAAAAUAUUUUUGUGUUUUUAAAAGUAACUUUUGUGCAUUAUCAACAUUAUAAUAUUUAUAAAUCUAAUAAUAUUAAAUUUUUAAGUUCAAUUCUCAUCAUAUGUGAAUUUAAUAAAUUUUAUAUUAAAUUUAUUUAAUUAUGUGUUGAUUUAUUUAUUUGAUUUAAUUCAAUGUUUUUCUUAUAUAAUACUUUCUUAUACUAUUAAGUUCAUAAAAAAAUUAAUAACUAAAGAAUUUCCUAAAAUUUUCAUUGACAUAGCAAUUUUUUUUUGGAACUCUUGAAGGCUUGGCAACAAGAGUAGCUUUUUUGCUUUAUAAUAACCGGAAAAAGUCAUAUAUAAUCCUAAGGAGAAUGACUUUCUGGUUUUAAUUUGAAAUUCAAAACUAGCAAUUAAAAAUCCCCUCUCCCCAAUGACCCGUAUACCAUAAUCACUUAUUAUGAUUAGACUUGACAAUUUAAAAUAUGACAUGAUUAUAUAAUAUGAAUAUAAUAUAAAAAUAGAAUAUGAAAGUGAUAGAAUUUAAAAUUAUAAUAAUAAUUAUAUAUAAGUUUAACAAAUAAAAAAAAAAUUUUAUAUUUUAUAUCGAUACAAAAUAUGACAUAAUUUUUGUGUAAAACACGAAACGAAUAUAAGAAUUUUAUUAUAUCACACUAUAUGAAUACGUGAAUCGUUAGGUUUACUUAUGAUAAACAUGAUUAAUCAAAUUCUUUUUAAUUAUAUUAAGAAAAAUGAAAAAAAAAGUAUGUAAACAUUAAGCAGCUAGCUAUAAAUUAUCAGCCUAAAACACGAAUGGUUUAUACUUUCACACUAUAUGAAUACGUGAAUCGUUAGGUUUACUUAUAAUAAACAUGAUUAAUCAAAUUCGUUUUAAUUAUAUUAAGAAAAAAUGAAAAAAAAAUGCAAACAUUAAGCAACUAGCUAUACAUUAUUGGCCUAAAACACGACUGGUUUAUAUUUUGAUUUUUUUACCUAUGGAAAUGCAUUUUUUAAUAAUAAAUAAUCAAUCAAUCUAAUAAUGAAAUAAUUCAAAAUUUAAAACUAGAGAAAAUAUUCACAUGUAUGCAAAUGCAUCUUCAUUAAUUAAUUUCAUUUCACACUAUUCAAAGAGAAUGAUAUUCGAUAUAUAGCUAGAUCAAGACACGAGAAUAUGGAUGAAAUAUGGACAAUCUUCAAUUAAUUAACAAAUCAGUGAAAAUAUGUUUAUAUUACCGAAAUCAAUAAAAACUAAAAGAAAAUAUAAUAAAAAAGGCCAAAACCUUUAGUCCCUUUUCAUAAUGAUGCUCCUUUCCAACAAUAUUUUAUCCCUUGGCCUUUGAGGAAAGUAAUGGCCUUGGGGUAGCAUGUUGUCUUCUUCCAAAUUAACCACCAAAAAAUUCCCACUAAUUAGAUGAAUAAUAAAAAAUUAUAAAAUCUCAGUGGAAUUUAAAAAAUUAUAUGAUGUAAAGGUUGAAUUACAUAAUAGUAUUUUUGCCAUUUACAUGUUUUGAUUUGGUUUAUAUUUUUAAUUUUCCUUUUAAAUGUCAUGAAUUCAUCGUCAUUAUUGCAUGGUAUCUUUUGGUAUUAUUGUUGGGGCUGCUUCUACAAAUUUUGCCACAACAAAUAAUCUCCACAAAGUAUAUUGUAUGUAAAUUUGUGGGAUAAUUAACUUCCAAUUCAAAUUGGCUCCGUAUGGCGUCUUGAUAUUUUUUUUGAACACUUUACUGUUCAUAUGUAGAGGAUACUUUGGUUUUCAAAAUUAAUAUAAAAAAUUGUCAAAACAAAAUUUAUUCAUGUUUGAUGUCUUAUCACACGAGUUCAUAUAACAUAGAGUAUAAAUAACAUAUGAUUGAAUUAAUUAUUAAAUCACCACAAUAAAAACAAGCAUAGAGAACCAUCUAUGACAUGCAAGUAGACAUAACUACAUACUGCUAUCCAUACAAGCUGCUAUAAGGACUAAUAAAGAACCAGCAAACCAAACUGAACACAAAAACCAUGUUUCUUAGAGUACAUGAAUUUUGCCAAACAAUGUCUUGGCCAAGCGAUACAUGUAAGCUUGAGUUCGAGUCCAAAUAAAAAAAUACAUGAAAUUUGUCUUACAUGAAUGGCUAAACAUGACUUUAUUCACAAUAUCAAAUAUGCAAAUGCUAUGAAAUGUAGAGUAAACUAGUUCUUCACUGCAAAGUAAAACUGAAAAAUAGAGAUCCAACCAGUUGACGGCGACAUAAAACUGAAAGCUCAAACGAUGAUAAGCAUAAUCAAGUAUCAACCACCUAUCAUUGAGGCAAAGAAUGAAUAAGAAUUUAAACAAGAAACUUGAUUAAGGAAGUCAUAAAUACAUGGACAGAGGCAGAUCAAGAUUUUUGUUAGGAAGUAAUAUUAUCCAUGAAAAUAGUGUUUAAAAGGAAAAUUUUGAAUGUUUAUGGAAAUUUUCUUUUAAAAUUUCUUAUUUUCUAAUUUUUAACAGUGUCCCAAAAAAGAUAUGAGGGUAUCCAACACAAAAUUUUUCUUUAAAUUUUUUUGAUUUUCAACGUACACCCCACAAUGCCAUGUAAAUCCACCCACUAGACAUGGAAAAAAGCCAUAUUUACCUGUUUAGCUAACAAGUUUCUCCUUAAAUUUUCACUUCCUUGCAUAACAUCAUCCUUGUUUCUCCCAGAGUCAUAUAUAGAGGUAUUUGAUCUUUCCACUUAUGCCAAGAUAUAUCAUUGCAGGUGGAUUGAUUUAUCAACUAUUUCUUCCAUUGCGGUGAACCUUCUGUUGUAUUAUUCUGAACUUGUUGGGGUUCCUUCACAACAAAAGACAAUUCUCAUUAAGUUAUGCCAGAAGUAAGUAAUUAAUUAAUUAAUUAUGCAUAUGACUUGUGUAUGUAUAUAAAAGAGUCAUCCAAUUCAUAAUAAUAUGUAGUUAUAUACUAAAUCCCAUUUAUUAUCAUAAAACCCCUUUUUUGCCAUCCUUUUUUAAAAUCAUUUUAUUUAGAAAUAAAAUAAAAAUUUUGUGGUUCUAAUUUCUCAAUAUCCAGAUAAAAUUUAGAAAAAUGUUUUUGACUUAGGUAUUUUCAUGAUAAUCCUUAAAACCAAAGAUAAUAUUUUUUUCAUAAGAAAUAAUUAUUAAGAAUCCUUUAAUAUUUAGGCAGAGUCUCAAAAAAUAUUUACUUAGGAUAUUAUCUUAUUUUGUUUUUAAAAAAUAAUUUCUUUUAUAGUCAUCUUUUACUACACUAUAUAUUUUUUAAGAAUAGUAAAAUGUAUGUGAUGUAACAUGAAGCAAAUUAAUGAUGCAAAGUAAACUAAAAGAUAAAAUGACCAAUUUAAUUCAUAUUAUAAAUCUUUAACAUUAUCACUUUAUAUUUUUUCAUUGUUGUUGUUUUUUUUUUUAAAUAUUUAGUGAUAAAAUGAAAAUAUUUUUGUGUUUUAGAAGUAACCUUUGUGCAUUAUCAACAUUAUAAAAUUUAUAAAUAUGAUAAUAUUAAAUUUUUAAGUUCAAUUCUCAUCAUAUUUAAUUUAAUUUUGUAUUAAAUUUAUUUAAUUAUGUGUUGAUUUAUUUAUUUGAUUUAAUUCAAUGAUUUUCUUAUAUAAUACUUUCUUAUACUAUUAAGUUCAUAAAAAAAAUUAAUAACUAAAGAAUUUUCUAAAAUUUUCAUUGACAUAGCAAUUUUUUUUUGGAAGUCUUGAAGGCUUGGCAACAAGAGUAGGUUUUUUUGCUUUAUAAUAACCGAAAAAAGUCAUAUAUAAUCCUAACUAGAAAUAAGGAGAAUGACUAUAUGGUUUUAAUUUGAAAUUCAAAACUAGCAAUUAAAAAUCCCCUCUCCCCAUGACCCGAAUACCAUAAUCACUUAUUAUGAUUAGAUUUAACAAUUUAAAAUAUGACAUGAUUAUAUAAUAUGAAUACAAUAGAAAAAUAGAAUAAGAAAGUGAUAGAAUUUAAAAUUAUAAUAAUAACUAUAUAUAAGUUUAACAAAAUCAAAAAAAAAAUAUUUUAUAUUUUUAUAUCGAUACAAAAUAUGACAUAAUUUUUUGUGCAAAAUACGAAACAAAUACAUGAAUUUCAUUAUAUUACACUAUAUGAAUACGUGAAUCGUCAUGUUUACUUAUGAUAAACAUGGUUAAUCAAAUUUUUUUUAAUUAUAUUAAGAAAAAAUGAAAAAAAAAGUAUGUAAACAUUAAGUUGCUAGCUAUAAAUUAUUAGCCUAAAACACGAAUGGUUUAUAUUUUGAAUUUUUUUGUCCAUGGAAAUGCAUUUUUUUAAUAAUAAAUAAUAAAUCAAUCAAUCAAUCUAGUAAUGAAAUAAUUAAAAAUUUAAAACUAGAGAAAAUAUUCACAUGUAUGCAAAUGCAUCUUCAUAAAUUAAUUUCAUUUCACACUGUUCAAAAAGAAUGAUAUUCGAUAUAUAGCUAGAUCAAGACAACGAGAAUUUGGAUGAAAUAUGGACAAUCUUCAAUUAAUUAACAAAUCAGUGAAAAUAUGUUUAUAUUGCCGAAAUCAAUAAAAACUAAAAGAAAUAUAAUAAAAAAGGCCAAAACCUUUUGUCCCUUUCAUAAUAAUGCUCCUUCCAACAAUGUUUUAUACCUUGGCCUUUGAGGAAAGUGAUGGCCUGGAGUAGCAUGCUGUCUUCUUCCAAAUUAACCACCCAAAAAUUCCCACUAAUUAGACGAAUAAUAAAAAAUUAUAAAGAUCUCAGUGAAAUUUAAAAAAUUAUAUUGAUGUAAAAGUUGAAUUACAUAAUAGUAUUUUUGCCAUUUACAUGUUUUGAUUUGGUUUAUAUUUUUAAUUUUCCUUUUUAAAUGUCCAUGAAUUCAUCAUCACUAUUGCAAUGGUAUCUUUUGGUAUUAUUGUUGGGGCUGCUUCUACAAAUUUUGCCACAACAAUAAUCUCCACAAAGUAUAUUGUAUGUAAAUUUGUGGGAUAAUUAACUUCCAAUUCAAAUUGGCUCCGUAUGCGUCUUGAUAUUUUUUGAACAGUAUUUUUUGAACACUUUACUGUUCAUAUGUAUAGGAUACUUUGAUUUUCAAAAUUAAUAUAAAAAAUUGUCAAAACAAAAUUUAUUCAUGUUUGAUGUCUUAUCACACGAGUUCAUAUAACAUAGUGUAUAAAUAACAUAUCAUUGAAUUAAUUAUUAAAUCACCACAAUAAAAACAAGCAUGGAGAACCAUCUAUGACAUGCAAGUAGACAUAACUACAUACUGCUCAUCCAUACAAGCUGCUAUAAGGAACUAAUAAAGAACCAGCAAACCAAACUGAACACAAAAAACCAUGUUUCUUUAGAGUACAUGAAUUUUGCCAACAAUGUCUUGGCCAAGCGAUAAGAAGAGGAUUUAUGAGACAUGUAAGCUUGAGUUCGAGUCCAAAUAAAAAAAUACAUGAAAUUUGUCUUACAUGAAUGGCUAAACAUGACUUUAUUCACAAUAUCAAAUAUGCAAAUGCUAUGAAAUGUAGAGUAAACUAGUUCUUCACUGCAAAGUAAAACUGAAAAAUAGAGAUCCAACCAGUUGACGGUGCCAUAAAACAGAAAGCUCAAACGAUGAUAAGCAUAAUCAAGUAUCAACCACCUAUCAUUGAGGCAAAGAAUGAAUAAGAAUUUAACAAGAAACUUGAUUAAGGAAAUCAUAAAUACAUGGACAGAGGCAUAUUCAAGAUUUUUGUAGGGAAGUAAUUAUUAUCCAUGAAAAUAGUGUUUAAAAGAAAAUUUUGAAUGUUUAUGGAAAAUUUCUUUUAAAAUUUCUUAUUUUCUAAUUUUAACAGUGUCCCAAAAAAAUAUGAGGGUAUCCAACACAAAAUUUUUCUUUAAAUUUUUUUGAUUUUCAAUGUACACCCCACAAUGCCAUGUAAAUCCACCACUAUACAUGGAAAAAGCCAUAUUUACCUGUUUAGCUUAACAAGUUUCUCCUUAAAUUUUCAUUUCCUUGCGUAACAUUAUCCUUGUUUCUCCCAGAGUCAUAUAUAGAGGUAUUUGAUGUUGCCAGCCACGAUCCCAAAAUAUAUCAUUGCAGGUGGAUUGAUUAUCAACUAUUUCUUCCAUUGUGGUGAAACCUUCUGUUGUAUUAUUCUGAACUUGUUGGGGUUCCUUCACAACAAAAGACAGUUCUCAUUAAGUAAGUUAUGCUAGAAGUAAGUAAUUAAUUAAUUAAUUAAUUAUGCAUAUGACUUGUGUAUGUAUAUAAAAGUCAUCCAAUUCAUAAUAAUAUGUAGUUAUAUACUAACAUAACUUUGUUUCCAUCAUCGUUUCAUCAUUAGUAUCAAUAUGAUCAAGAACAACAAAUUAAUUAAUUCAGCAUAAUAGUUAGAAAAAAAAAAAUUGGUUAGGUACCUCUGUUACCUCUGUUAUGGCAGGCACAGGAUGUUUUGAAUCCAUGAUGACACUU